rnacentral:lncRNA from 1 species
AGGGGCAAAUAGGAGAGAGAGGCAAACAAGGAGAUUUUUUCCAUUUUCUGUGUCACCCGUGAUAGUGAGAUGAUGGAGAAUAUCCUAACACAUGUAACACCCAAGAUUGUCUCAAAUAGUGACCAUUCUAGCUAAACAGCUCUAACGAUGUUCAUUAUAAGGGUGUGGGUGGUGGUUUAAGCCACCAUGUUUGAGUAAACUUGGGAUGACACUACGAAGAUAACUUGAGCCCAUCACCACAACUCCAUCAUUUAAAGCACCAAGUCACCAAGGUGAACAUAGUAACUUUGAGAGUGUUGCGUUGAUUUACGCAUCAUAUAGGGUGAGAGAACUCAUGAAUUGAAUGCCUCCCCCUAAAUACAUGCCUACACCUAGAUAAAACAUGAAGUAAGUGUAUGUAGGUGUACAAGAUUUCACACAAUGUUAUCAAGAUCCAAGAUACCAAGUUCACGCCUAAGUUGACAAAACCUUGCUUCGUCCAAUGGCUUGGUGAAGAUGUCUGCUAGUUGCAUAUUUGUACCCACGUGAGCAAUAUCAAUGUCACCCUUUUGCACAUGAUCUCUCAAUAAGUGAUACCUAAUAUCAAUGUGUUUUGUGCGAGGGUGAUCAGUGGGGUUCUCAGCAAUCUUGAUGGCACUUUCAAUAUCACAUAAAAGAGGCACAUGUCUAUAGGUGAUAGCAUAAUCCUUUAAAGUUUGUCUCAUCCAUAGCAAUUGAGUUGCACGGCUUGCAGUUGCAAUGUAUUCAGCUUCGGCAGUGGAGAUGGAAACACAGGUCUGCUUCUUCGAGGACCAACUUACCAAGGAGCUUCCAAGAAACUAACAUGCACCAGAAGUGGAUUUCCGUCCCACUUUGUCACCAGCCCAAUCCGCAUCUGUGUACCCAAUGAGGUCAAACUUUGCAUCCUUGGGGCACCAUAAACCCAACUUUGGGGUGUGAACAAGGUACCUAAGGAUAUGCUUAACCGCCGUAUGAUGGCUUUCCCUAGGGGAAGCUUGAAAUCUUGCACAUAUGCCUACACGUAGCAUGAUGUCUCGUCUAGAUGCACAUAGAUAAAGCAAUGAACCAAUCAUAAAGCGGUAAUAGAUGGGUCAAAAGGAAUACCGUCGGUGUCUUCAGUGAGAACAAGUUUUGUGGACAUGGGUGUCUUACAUGGUUUAGCAUUUGUCAUGUCAAACUUCUCUAGAAUGUCCUUGAGGUAUUUUGUUUGAGAUAAGAAAAUUCCUUAUUGACAUUGUUAUAUUUGAAAUCCAACAAAGAACUUCAAGUCUGUAUUGAGUGACAUUUCAAAGGUCUUGGUCAUGGAGGCCGCAAACUUCUUGCACAAAUGAAUGUUAGGAGAACGAAAAAUUGUAUCAUCUACAUAGAUUUGGCAUAAGAUCAAAUCACUGUUAUCCCUCUUAGUAAAAAGAGUAGGAUCGAUCACCCCUCUCACAAUGCCAUCAUCGAGUAGAAACUUCUUAAGAUGAUCAUACCAAGCACGCGGUGCUUGAUUGAGGCCAUACAAAGCUUUGUGAAGUUUAUACACACAGUCGUCGUGAUCGGGGUCAACAAACCAAGGUGGUUGUGAUACAUAUACUUCUUCUUGUAGAUGACCAUUAAGGAAAGCACUCUUCACAUCCAUUUGAUGCAACGUAAAACCAUUGAAAGCAGCAUAAGCCAAUACAAUGCGAAUAGAAUAAAUACGAGCAACAGGAGCAAAGGUCUCACCAAAGUCCAAACCUUCAACUUGGGAGUACCCUUGUUCCACUAACCUUGCCUUGUUGCGGAUGACUAUGCCAUUCUCAUCUUGCUGGUUCUUAAAAAUCCAUUUUGUUCCAAUGACAUUGUGUUUCUCAGUUGGUCUUUGGACUAAUGACCAUACUUUGUUGCGUUUAAAACUGUUCAACUCUUCUUGCAUAGCAACAAGCCAAUCAUUGUCCCACAAUGCAUCUUGUACCUUGAGUGGCACAACAAUAGAGACAAACGAAAAGUGAGCACAAAAUUUUGUUAAUUGUUUACGAGUGACUCUACCUUCCGAUAUGCCGGUAAGAAUUUUAUCAACAUCGACACGACCAGCCACUCGUGGCAUGAUGGAGGUCAGGGUUUCACGAGGUUCAACUUCAUUUACAUGAUCUACAUCCUCAACAUAUGGAUCAUUAAUGUGUGGUGAAAGAUAUUCUUCUUCACAUUGCAAUUGUGAGGUUCAUCAUCAAUGAUAGCAUUUUCUUGGUCUAGUCUUAACGAUGAUAUUGGUCUUGAAUGUGAUCAUGGUGAGGAAUGUGUUCUCCUUCUUGAUCCUGAACGACUGUUCUCCUUCUUGAUCCUGAACAACUGGCAUGGUUUGAGCACUAGGAUCUUGUGGAGGUAUGGGCGUUGAGUCGACUUGAGGAUGAGGGAAAUUUACAUCUUCUUCAUCAUCAUCAUGAGGUUCUUAUUCCAUUGGAAGAAGGGCACCAACACCCAUGGUCAAAAUACCUAGAGAGGGAUCUUCUUCACCUGCAUCACUUAGAUCAACUUGCUCCCCAUGGGAGACAUUAAACUCAUCAAACAUCACAUCACAAGUUUCUACAACACAUCCAUUGGAUUUGUGGUAGACUUUAUAGGCGUGAGAGUUUGAUCCAUAAACAACAAAUAUCCCCUCAAUUGUCUUGGAUUGAAAUUUUCCUAACCGUUCCCGUUUGUUGAGGAUGAAACACUUGCACCCGAAUACACGAAAGUACUUGACAUUUGGCUUGUUCCGGUUAGGAGCUCAUAUGGAGUCUUCUCCGAUAUUGGGCAGAGGAAGAGCUAUUUUGAUGCAUGGCAUGCUAUGUUGACAGCCUGAGCCCAAAAACUAUGUGGUGACUUGUAUUCAUCCAACAUGGACCUUGCCAUUUCCGCAGUGUACGGUUCUUCCUCUCGGCUACACCGUUUUUAGAGGAGUGUAGGGUAUGGAAUUUGAUGCUCAAUACCCUCAUCACUAAGAAAUUCUUCCAAGGUGUAGUUCUUGAACUCGGAGUCAUUAUCACUUCUUAUUGCCAAGAUUUCUUUGUCAAACUUGCGUUGGGGUUGCUUGGAAAAAUCAAUGAAGGUGAUCUUCGUCUUGUCCUUGGACUUGAGGAAAAACACCCAUGUAUAUCUUGAAUAAUCAUCAACAAUGAAAAGUCCAUACUUUUUCCCACCAACACUAUCCCACAACAGUGGACCAAAAUGAUACACAUGAAGGAGAUCCAAAGGCCUUGAGUAGAUACAAUAUUCUUGGGUGGGUGUUUUGAUUGAUGUUGCUUCCCAGCUAUGCAUGCAUUACACACACGAUCUUUAUCAAAGAGGCAUUGGUUAGUCCAAGGAUGUGAUUACCCUUUAAGAUAUUUUGAAAAAUUCUCAUUGCGGCAUGGGCUAGCCGGCGAUGCCAUAGCCAUCCCUUAUCGGCCUUGGCCAUUAGACAAGUUGCAUGGAAUGUCCUCUCUUUCGAGAAAUAAACUGUGUGAAGAUUGCCAUCCAACUCUCCAACAAAAGAAACUUCGAGAGUAUCUCUCUUCAAGACUUUCACAUCCAUUAGUCCAAACAGUGUAUCAUAACCAACAGAAACCAAUUGGUGAACAGAGAGAAAAUGUUGUUUAAGGGAUUGGACAACAAUGACAUUUGCAAGAGACAUGUCAUUUGUGAUCGCCAUCUUGCCCGACCUGAGUACCUGUCCUUUUGAUCCUCCACCAAACACAAUGCUCAUAAAUGGUUGAAUAGCUUCCAUGAAAUAGAAAAGCAAUUUUCUAUCUCCGGUCAUAUGGUUGGUGCAUCCACUAUCGAUCACCCAUUUGACUCUACCAGAGAAAGCAACCUACAGACAAUUUAUGACUUGGUUAGAGGCGCCCAUUUUACUAUGGGACCUCUCAAGUUAGUCAAUAGGGUCUUAGGGACCCAAAUAGCAUAGAACCGGAAUGCAUUAUGAGGAACAACAAAUUUAGCAUAAAUCUCUCCAUCCUUUGUUUUACGAAGUAUAUAGGAUAGAGGCAUGAACUCUUUUGGCUUGUUGAGAGUGGGCAUGCCCCUAGUGGCCUUCCCACUCACAACCUUACCUUUCUCCUUGUGCCCUUCUCGUACAAAUGUUUCUUUGAGAGGGGUGGUGCACUUGAUAGGAGACAUAUUUUUCUUGUUUGUGCUUGGGUUAAACCCGAGCCCUUCCUUGGCAAACACCUCAUUGUGUUGGCUCAAAAUCUCAUUAAGAUUCUUUUGUCCUUGUGCACAUGUCAUGAGUCCUUUCUCUAGUUGUGCCUUUAGAAAACGAUUUUUCUCAAGAAUAGAUGCUAGCUCACUACUAGAGUUAGUAGUACAAGUAUCAACAUUGAUAAUAGGUGAGGAGUAAACCUUGGCUAGAGUUUGAAAAUAAGUAAGUUUGAGCAUCUCAAAGCUCUUUGUAAGAAGAGUGAGCUCAUCAUCCUUAGCCUUGAGGGACAUGGAUAAAAGCUCACAAUCCUUAGAGAGAGAAGCAUGAGAUUUCACAAGCUUACUUUUAUCAUUUAUUAACUCCUUGCACGAGUUCUUAGCCUUUUCCAAGGAGGCAAGAUUGUUAGCAUGAUUGUAAAUGUUUGCACUAAUUUUUAAGCAUAGUUCAUCAUUUUGCGCUUCCUCAUAUUGGACUUUCUGCUCAAGGAUUUUGUUCUUUUCCUUUUCCUCGGUGAUGAGCGUUUCGAGUUCCUUAAUGGUAUUGGUGUGUUUACUCACCAUCUCCAUAAGCAUACGAAACAUAGUGAGCUUCUUUCCUUUAAGGAAGCACAUGAACUUAUUUGUUUUAGCAAGCAUAUGACCAUCUAUAUUGUCAUCAUCAUAGUUAUCCUCUGCAUCAAGAUACUCAUCAAAGGACUAGACAAUAAAAGGGGGGAAUUUUAGCGUGGAGUUACCUUAACCUUGUUAGGAGAGUUUUGGUCCUCUCCAUCUUCUAUGACGGCCUUUGCCAUCAAGCACUUGUGAGCGUUGCCCUUGUAGUCUUUCGUAUAGUUGUAGGCGACAACAUCACCACUCUUAUUGAUUAACCUCAAGGUGUUUUGUGAAUCUUGAGCCACUCCGGCAACCCCACCAACAUCUUGUGGAUCAGAUUCUUCAUGAGCAACCAUUGCUUUCCCAUCUCUUCUCUUGAGCUUGGAGUUCAUAGGGUUUGGCAACUUCUUGUUUGCAAAGGUCUUCGAAACCUUGGUUUAUCUUCUCUCUUCUCAUAAGGGCAAUCUUUGGAGAAGUGGUUGGUCUCCUCACAGUUGUAGCAUUUUCUCACCUUCUUCUUCUGGAAUCUUCCUUUGAAUUUUCCUGCACUAAACUUCUUUACAAAGAGGGCAAUGACUUCAUGUGAUGGGGUCUCAUCGGAGUCAAUCUCAUCACCAUCUUCAUCAUCAUCAUCAUCUUCUUCUUCUUUACUUUGCUCUUCCUCACAAACAUGCUUGGCCUUCAAAGCAAGAUUUAUCUUUGAUGUUGAGGUACCAUGCAUGGCAAGAUGUUUAGUAGCAUUUGCGUUUGACUCUUUGAAUAGCUGGAAAGUGGAUAUGAUGCCGUCCGAGUCAUUUUCUUGAACCCAUGAUGUUAUAUUAUAUCCCACACCAUUUGGUGAUGAUUUGGAGCAAGGGCAUGAAGUAGCUUGUCCACAAGAAAUCUCUUGCUCAAGUAAAAUCCAUCUUGUGUUUUGUCACAGUCACAUGACUCAGUGUCGGCGGUGAGAGUCAUGAGCCGCUAUAGAAGCUGCAUGGGGGCUUCACCUUUUUCCAUACAAAAGUUUUGCAAUUGCCCCUUGGCAAUUUCAUACUGAGCAAGCGAGAGGGUGGAGGUACCGGUCUUGGUCCUUACAAUGGUGCCCCAUAAUUCCUUGGCACUUGUGAUGUGUAUGUUAGGUCUCUGUUGCUUAUCAUUCAUUCCUUUUCUUAUGCACAUGAUUGCGGUAUCGUUGAGAUGUUUCUCAUAAGUUUCUCAUGGAGUGAUAUUCUUUGGGUCGACAGGGUGGUAGCCAUGCUCCAGGAUGUCGAACAUUUCAUCAUUGGCAUACCUAAUAUGAUCCUGCAUACCAACUCUCCACAAGGAAAAAUAGGAACUGUCAUCAAGCAAAGGAGGUUUUCCUCCAGGAUUAUACUUAGGCUUCUCAACUUGAGGUCUAGCAUAAAGCCAUGGAAAACUAGUUUGGUCAUUGCUAGGAGGUUGUUGGUCAGGUGAAGAAAUAGGCACAUUUGGCCUCGAGGCCCCACCACUUGAAGGUGAUGCCAUCAUCAUGGACAAUGUGUCCAAUCUCAUUCGGACCAAGGACUCAAGAGAAGCAUCAUGCUUGUCCUUUUGCUUAGCAAGAGCCUGUUCCAGAUCCUCAGAAGUCAAGGACUUGACUUCCAUGGAAGUCGCACCCUUAUCCUUUGUAUCCGCGACAAGGGGAGUCCCAUCGGGGUUCAUCUCGCUCUAGGGAGGUUAAGCCACAAGAAUAAAGCACGAGGCUUUGAUACCAAUCAAAAGGGGUCGAGAUGGACCUAGAGGGGGGUGAAUAGGUACAAUUACAAAUUUUAACUGUUACUUAGCAAUUUUAGGCAAUAUUGCAGAAUAUGAAAGUGAGCCUAACAAUUGCAAGGGUGAAGGUUAGUCUUUGUGUACCAAGCACGACAACAAGUAGGGUAUGAUAAAGCACAAGUAAGUAAUCAAAGACUAGUAACAAGUAGAAAGUUAGGGUUAGGGAUAACCGCAGCUCCGAGAGACAAGGAUGUAUGCCGAUGUUCGCUUCCUUGGAGGAAAGCUACGUCACCGUUUAGAAAGGUGGGUGUUACCACGAAGGCACACCAAUGCCGCGAAGGCUCACCCUAUUCUCUCCUUGAGACAACACCACGAAGGCGUUUCUCAACCACUAGUGGUAAGCCUUUGAGGUGGCCUCCAAACCCUCACAAAUUUUCCGGGGGAAAUCACAAUGGUUUGAUUCCUCUCCGAAGAACUCCUACUUCCUAGGAGUCUCGAACCUUCAAUAGUAACAAGAUCACGGGGACUGCUCAAAACUUUCUCAAAUCACUAAUAGCUUGGGUUGAGAGGAGGAGAGGAAGACAAUCUAUCUUUUGAUUGGAAAAACACUCAAGGGAACUCACAUAUGCUCUUGGGAUCUAGGAUUUUGGCGUAUGUAAAUGGGAGGGAGAGAGAAAAGUGUUCUUGGAAUCUUUUCGCUGUGUUGGACAGCUCCCACUCGAGGUGGGAGAAGACUAUAUAUAGGGGUGGUAGAAAAGUGGUCGUUGGAGCCACUUAUGGUGUGUAGUUGCCGGACAUCCGGCAGUUCAUGAUCGUCCGGACAACCAUGACGGGACGGACGUCUGAACAUGGUCGGUCGUCCGAAGAUGCAGAAAGUAUCAGGUUACCACAGUACUCGGUGGAGAGGUGAUCAACAUACGAAUGUCCGGAAGACGUCGGCCGUACGGGGCACGGUCGUCCGGAACUGGUCAAAGUCCAACAUUUUGAAUGUGUUGUGUGGCAACGGAAUUCCAACCGUACCCGGACGUCCGGUCCUCGGACGACUGGAGGAGCCGGAAGUCCGAGGUUUGAAUCUAUUGGCUGGCUCCGGAUUUCUGGAGGACGUUGGCCAUCCGGCAUCCGGAUGUCUCAGAACCACCGGACAAUCGAACAAGAGCAGACCAACAACAGAAGAUAGAGAGAGAGGAAUCUGCUAGAGUUUUGAGAAAGUUUCUUGUGAGACCCAAUGACCCCCUCUUAAUAGUGUGGGGUCCCUAUACUAAAGAAAGACAAAUAGAAUGAUAGACCACUUCGUCUUGUUUCUUCGUUCUUGAGCAUUCUGGACAAAUUAGUCACGAUCCAUACAAAAACUCUCAUGGGAACAAAACCUAAGAUACACUCGAUUAAGAUAAUUAGUUUCCUUUAUGUAUGUUGUCAACAACAUCAAAUAUGAUUAAGGGCAUGAUUGCACUUCCAGCUUGGCGACACACUCCUUCUCGAGGCGCGCCAUCGCGGCAUGUUCGGCAGCCAACUUCGCGUCCGCCUCGCUGGCUGGGCCUCAUGAGGCUAGUGGCGGAAGACCAAUGGCCUCACUGCCAGAAAAUAUAAAAAAAGAGCACGAGCUCAAAUGCGAAAAACCCUUACCCAGACACGAGGGAGAGCGGACGCCCACUGCACCUCCGCACCCUCCGCCACAGCGACCGGAUGCCCGACGGCAACACGACCAACCAUGCCUUCUUGGCGUCUGGGUUGAUCGACGACCCCUCGAUCAGUCGUUCCUUCCACCACCGCUCCUCCGUCGUCUAUCGACGGGCUGACUAUCCAACUGUCGGGCAAUGCCUAGCUCGAAGCUCCUAGCUCCCUCCUCGCCUAUGGCACUAGGGAAGCUCCACUUCGACAAGCGGCGCAUCCACUAUACAUACAUCCUCAUCGUCGUCGUUUGUCCAAUCCUUCAAGGUCAUAUCCGAGUUUGAAAACGGUACCACCAAGAUUUGGAAACUUCCCGAGGUCAUCGAAUUAAUACAGCUGACAUUUAUAUAUCGGUCUCACUCACACCAAGAAUUCAAAAGUUGCCACAUUUAGUGCUACUCAAUACCAUCGAGAUUCGUUUCGGUGUCACCGAGUUGGGCAAUAAUGUUGUACCGGUUGGAAUUUCGGAGAAGCCUAUUGAUACGUCUUUUUCGUAUCUAUAAUUUUUGAUUGUUCCAUGAGAAUAUUUUACAACUUUCACAUAUGUCUGGCAACAUUUUAUAUGAUUUAUUGGACUAACAUAUUGAUCUAGUGCGAAGUGCCAGUUCCUGUUUGUGGCAUGUUUUUUGAUUCACAGAAUAUCCAUAUCAAUCGAAUUCCAAACGCGAUAAAAUUUUAUGGAGAAAUAUUUUGGAAUAUAUGUGAUUUUCGGGAGGUAAAAUCAACGCAACCGGAGUCCCACGACCUCCACUAGGUACCAGGGCGUGGCCCAUACCCCCUGGUGCGGGGUGGUACCUAGAGGCCACCACAUAAGUUUGUUAGGGCUCUUCUUUGGGCGUAAGAAAGCUAAUUUAUGGAUAAAAAUUUCCUCAAAAUUUCAGCCCGAUCGGAGUUACGGAUCUCUCGGAAUUUAAGUGCAUAUGAUCCAAGUACGGAAAGUGUGUUAGUGUAUGUCUCUCCCUCGUUGCACAUGAUAAGUAUCUCUCAUGUUAUAUUCUAUUGCCUAUGGACAAUCUUGAUUUUUGCGUUACACAAAAAUCUUUUUACUAAACAGCCCGAAAGUUUAUUUUACUUGCUCUUUAUUUUAUUGCAAAGUACUUCUAGUUUUAUUCUUGUUUUAGGUAAAGAAAACGUUAAGUGUGCAUAGAGUUGUAUGUGUGGUCGAUAGAACUUGAGGGUAUAUUUGUUCUACCUUUAGCUCCUCGUUGGGUUCGACACUCUUUCUUAUCGAAAAAGGCUACAAACGAUCCGCUACACUUGUGGGUUAUCGAGACCUUUUUCUGGCGCCAUUGCCGGGGAGCAAUAGCGUGGGGUGAAUAUUCUCGUGUGUUCCUGUUUGCUUUAUCACUAAGUAAUUUUUAUUUUCUGUUAUUAGUUGUUUUAUAUAUUUAGUUACGGAUAUGGAGCAUGAGACACCAAAAAAAUUAGUUGUACUUUCUACUCAUGGAGAUGGGAAACCUCCUAGAACCCUCGAUGCUUGUUACGUGGAAAAUAUUAAACAGUACUUUGAUAAUCCUCAAAAAACCCAAUUCAACUUGAUAACAGGAGUAAUGUUGGAUCAACGUGAAUACUUUAGGGAUUAUCACUUGAUUCAAAAGGGGAAAUUGUUAUGGGAUCAAAUUCAUAUGUUGCAUUGGAUUCUUGGAAUUUAUGCUAGAGAUACGAUUAUACUUUUUGUUCUAGGAUGAAGGUUUGACACCUUCCCUUUUCAUGUGAAUUUAAUGAUAAUGCAACUUAGCUUCUUAUGAUAAUGGUAUAUAUGAUUACUAUGAUAUGGAACGAAUAGAAGAAUUUGUUUCUUAUGAAAUUGAAUCUUUGUUUGAUAAGUGUGAAAAUUAUGAUGAUGUUGUUUACGAACGUGAAAUUUUUGCUAUACUAAAAUAUGGCUAUGAGAAUUAUGAAUACAAGUAAGAUAUUGAUGCAUUUCUCGAGAAAGUAUCUACUAUCCAAGAAGAGACUAAUAUUUUUGCAGUAACUAUGGAAGAAGAAAUUGAUGAAACUGUGAGCUCAUUGGAUGAAAAAUAUGAGGAUGAGAGUGAAGAACAGAAGGAGGAAGAGCGGGUUAGCUACCUGUGCCCACCUUCUAACGAGAGGACCUCUUUAACUCAUUCAUUGUUUAAUCUCCCUUCAUGCUUACGGAAGGAUGAAUACUAUGUUAACUACUAUGAUCCCGUUGAUUCUUUUGAAAUAUCCCUUUUUGAUGAAAUUGAUUCUUGCUAUGCUUGUGGUAAAUAUGCCAAUAUGAAUUAUGCUUAUGAAUAUGAACUUACAAUAGUUCCUUAUGUUAAGAAUGAAGUUGUCUCUAUUGCACCCACACAUGAUAGUCCUAUUAUCCUUUUGAAUUCUCCCAACUACACUAUAUCGGAGAAGUUUGCACUUAUUAAGUAUUAUAUUGAUGGGUUGCACUAUACCACUUCACAUGAUGAUUUUGAUGGAUAUAUUAUGCAUGUGCUUGCUGCUCCUACUUGCAAUUAUUAUGAGAGAGGAACUACAUCUGCACCUCUUUAUGUUUCCAACACGGUAAAAUUGCAAGAACAUGCUUAUGCUAUGUAUUGGCCUUUACUUGAUGUGCAUGAAUUAUUUUUUAUGAUAUGUCGAUGCAUAGGAAGAGAGUUAGACUUCGUCAUUGCAUGAUAUAUGUUGAUUUGUGCUCAUUACUAAAUAACAAAUCAUUGUUAAUUAAAAUUGGCUUUGAUAUACCUUGGCAUCCAGGUGGAUCCAUUACUUGAGCAAUUUAUGCCUAGCUUAAUGGCUUUAAAGAAAGUGUUGCGAGGGACACAACCCGGAAGUUUUAGAGAGUCAUUUAUUUCUAUUGAGUGCUUUUAGAAGGUUUAAAAAAGUGGGGAACUUAUAAAGUUUUCGAAAAGAAGAGUGGAAGUGAAAAGGACGAGCACCAUUGAAGUGGGGAUACCCUUGAACUUUGUUUAUGCCUAUGGAAACAUUGUGAAUCUUGAUCACAUUAACUUUUCAACAAAAAUAAUUAUCCCCUUGUGCAAAUCCAUUGUAUUAUAAAAAUAAUGUGCCAAGAUUUUCCUUUAGGAUGAUUAGAUUCCUUGUUGGUAUGUGUGGUGCAAAAACACAAAGUUUGGCUGUAGUGCGUGAAUUUACAUUUUUUUAUUGGAACGUCGAACGUUUCUAAAAUUGUUACAUAGGAAAUCUAUGCAAAUGUUUCCUUUUUUCCUGAGUUUUCCUAAUUUUUUAUGUUAGAGAAGUAUGGUCAAUAUACAGAUUACUUCAGACUGUUGUGUUUUUGAAAGAUUCAGUUUUUGAUGCAUUGUUUAGCUCGUUUUGAUGAAACUAUUGAUUUUAUCGGUGGUAUAAGCCAUGGAGAAGUUAUAUCACAAUAGCUAUAAUGAAAAACCAAAAUAUGAAUGGGUUUGUAAUAGUACUUAAGGUUGUAAUUUGUAUUAUUAUACAAAUGGAUCUCACAAGUUUUCUGUUAUGUUUUGUGUGGAUGAAGUGUUUGAAGUUCGAGGAGGUCUCAAUAUGAGGAUAUGGAGGAGUGUAGGAUCGAAACUAAGUCUGGAGGGUGGUGAUUAGACUACUUGAUAAGAUGAAAACAUAUAUUUUCCCAAUUUUAGUUGGGGGCCAGUUUUAGCAAUUAUGACUAGUCAAGUUCACCCUACACAGGCACAUCUAAGAGUACAGGAGUGGAAAAUAAGACAUGCAAAUGUAAUUUAGUGGGUAAGGUAGGGAGAUCAAACGCAAAGGUUGCACGACGAUUUUAGCAUGGUUCCGAUAGGUGGAGCUAUCGUACGUCCAUGUUAGUGGAGACUUCAACCCACGGAGGGUAAAGACUGCGAGAGUCCACGGAGGACUCCACCCACAAGGGGUCCACGAAGAAGCGGCCUUGUCUAUUCCACCACGGCUUCCAUCCACAUAGGACUAGCCUCACUCACUAUAGAUCUUCAUGAAGUAGGCGAUCUCCUUGCCCUUACAAACAUCUUGGUUCAACUCCACAACAUGAAGUAGGAGGCUCCCAAGCGGCAUCUAACCAAUAUAGGAGGAACCGCCCUCCAGAAGGUAAUAGAUGUGCUAGAACGAUGAACUUCUUGCUCUUGUGCUUAUAUAAAGAUAGUCUCCUCAACACUCAAUCACUCUCUCUCAUAUUCUGCUGGGGUAGGAGAGAUUGAUGUUGUGGAAAGCAACUCGGGGAGGCUAGAAAUCAAGGUUUAAAUGGUUGGAAGGAAUCUCUUGAUCUCAACACAUGAGUAGGUGGCUCUCUCUCAGAAAAUGGAUCUGGCAAGUGUAAGUGCGUUCUGAGUGCUUCCUCUACGAAUGAGAGGUAGGUGGAGGGGUAUAUAUAGGCAUGUCCCAAACUCCAACCAUUACAACAUUAUUUCCCAACUCGAUGACAACGAAAGGAAUCUCUGUGGUACCGAGUUGCACUAAAUGUGGCAACUUUUGAAUUCUCGGUGAUACACAUAUAGGAAUCUCAGUGGUACCGAUACGAUGACCUAGACCAGUUUCCAAAUCUUAGUGGGACUGAUUUCACACUUGGAAAUUCCAAUUCUUGAAAUCUUCUCAACAGAAAGUUGGUCACUGAAUCUCGGUGGUACCGAUGUGAAAGUUGGUGGUACCGAGAUGGUAGGGUUUGGUAUAAGAUAUGUCAAGUGUAAAAUCGGUAGGGACGAAUGGAAAUAAUUGGUGGCACCUAUUUGGCUGGUUUGGUAGUUGAUAGAGGUAUUUUGUGGGAGAAUGGCCGAGUAUUUUUGGAGGCUACCUCUAAGCACUUGAGCGAACAAUUCAUCAUAAUACCUCGCCCCCUUUUAAUAGUAUACGAUUUCAUAUGGACUCAAACGAUUUCUCACUAAUAGAAAAUGUAGAGUCUUGUUGCUUGAAGCUUGAGCCAAUCCUAUUCCUUUCCUUGCAUCAAGGGGUUUCUUCUCACAAUCCUAUAGCCAAGGCAUCUUUGAAAUUUCCGAAAUAUACUUGAUUAAGAUCAUUAGUCCAAUGAUGCAUAUGUUGUGGUUAAUUACAAAAAACACCUUAUGGAGCAAUUGUGCUUUUAAUCUCCCCCUUUUUGGUAAUUUAUGACAACAUAUUGAUCAAAAGUUCGACAAAAGAUAUAAUCAAUGAUUAGCAUCGAUGCCUUGAGAAGUAUGUGAAAAGCAAGAGCUCCCCCUAUAUUUGUGAAUUAUUUUAAAUUUGCAUUUGAAUGAAAUGCACAAUCGAUUAAGAUCAUGGGUUACGCUUCCAUGUCACAUACAACUUGGUGGUGCACAUAAAUGAUAUGAAUGAAUCGUAAUGCACAUAACACCAAACAAGCAAGUGAAUGAUCAUCAUGUAGAUAGCUCAAAGGUAAUAACGUGGUAGCAUCAAACAAUCGAAGCGUAUGAUCAAACACUCCUCCUAAACAGAUGAAGUCCUCCAAAAGACCAAAAGUUUUGGAAAACGAAAUGAGAAGAAAUAAAAUGUAAAUGUGUCCCUCUCGAAGCCCUAUUUGAUCUAUAAACUUCUCUCCUUUGGCAACAUGUUACCAAAAAGUUCAAAGGUCUAGAACUAAGCGUCUCUCUGGGCACGAUCUCCUCCGGUAGCUGAUGAUGGAGUGGACAAGAGAGCGUUGAUGAAGGCUUCUACAGAAGUCCUUGGAGGUGGAGGUGUAGACACUAGAGGUGUAGGAGCAGGAGAUGAAGCUUGAGGUGAUGAAGAUGGUCUUGCUUCCAGAACUGGCAUACCUGCUGACCUAGUCUGGGUCCUGAAUUGAUUAGUAAUAGGAAGAGGUGACUCUUCAUCGUCACUACUAGAGCAUGGAAUAUUCACAUAAUCAACUUCAUGUUGGAGCAGCUAAACAGUGGAAGUCAACUCCGUUACCUUAACAUCCAGGUCAUGGAAGUUUGUCUCCACGAUCGACUCGAAGUUCUUCUGGUUCAUCAAGAUAUCAAAAACUUUCUUCUCCAUCCCUUGGAUGGUGCUGACCAAGAAUGACAUCUACUCAUCUCUGGUUCGGAGUCGUGGGGUUGGAGCUGGAGCAUAACUAGCAGCCUCUGAUGUUGCUCCUUCUACUGCCUCUCGAGCAGUAGCUGAGCUGGGAUGGCUUUCGUCCAUCACAACUUCAUUGUCUUCAAAAUCAAGCUGACAUGGCAGGUGGGGACGAUCAAGUAGAUAUGCAUGCUUGCCAAUCUUGACAUUGAUGAUCAUCUGAAUAUAUGGAGCAUAUCCACACGAUCCAUUCUAACCUACAUCAUUCCUCUUGACAGUAUCAACUAUCAAGUCCAUCACUUGAAACUUGGUGUGAGUAUCUAGAUGAUGCAUCAUGUUGAUGGAAUAACAUGUAAUCAUCUUAUCAUCACCUAAUUUGGGCAUGUGGGUGUAUCUCACAAUGGUGUUCAUAGUAGGUAUUCCUGCUUGCUAGAAAUAGACACAACCAAACUUGUGCAACAACACAAACUCAUGGGGCACCGGCUUGUACAUGUUGGCCAUUGUCAGAUUUCGGGUUCCGCAAAACCCUAAGGAUUCGAACACACCGGUGUGUACGAUGGUUCCUCCCUACUUAGCUUUGCCUAGUUGGCUACUCGAUGGAAACGAUGACGGACUCACUCGAUGGUGAGGGAAACACAGAACACAACAGUUUACCCAGGUUCGGGCCGCCGCGAAGCGUAAAACCCUACUCCUUCUUUUGGUGGAUUGCCUCUCGCAGAGGUUGGUGGAUGAACUAGUACGGUUCUCUCGAGCCUCCGAAGGCUAAGUGGCUUGGUGUGUUGCUCUAGGGUCAGAAUGAACCGAUCCCCCUACCAAGUGUUCUACCCUUUCUAUUUAUAGAGGAGGCACGGGUCCUCUUCCCUCAUAGCUUCGGCGGGAAGGGAUCUGUCGGGACCCCGAUCCUAAGCCUUAGGAAUCCAGCCUGUAACACAUCACAUCUCUUUGCGGUCUCACGCACGGUUAACCCCACGGCUGCAGUCUUACCUUAGCCGGGACCGUUUGCGCCUUUUGACUCGCGUAUGCAAUUGUGUUGCUAGCAAUCCAAUGACAAAGAACCCGGAUCGACAUGUCUAGUCAUAAACCAAAGUGGCAGUUCCGCACAGGGACAUGCAUACAUGACCCAGCAAAGCAGGUGUCGGUCACCAGCGAAUGUAGACGAGUCGUAGCAAGCUACAAGGACUCCAUUACAUCAUGUGACAUUUCCCCAAAGGGGACAGACACAACAGCUAAGAAGGACACAUGCCGGUCAACCAAUGUGUCCGGAGCAGUAGCGAGCUACCAUGGGUCGUUGGAUCACAAAGGGGCAUUUCCCUGUAAAGAAUGCUACUAAAUUCUACAGCUAGGUAAUCGAACCCCAUACAUAUCAAGUACGACACACGUACGCAUGNNNNNNNNNNNNNNNNNNNNNNNNNNNNNNNNNNNNNNNNNNNNNNNNNNNNNNNNNNNNNNNNNNNNNNNNNNNNNNNNNNNNNNNNNNNNNNNNNNNNNNNNNNNNNNNNNNNNNNNNNNNNNNNNNNNNNNNNNNNNNNNNNNNNNNNNNNNNNNNNNNNNNNNNNNNNNNNNNNNNNNNNNNNNNNNNNNNNNNNNNNNNNNNNNNNNNNNNNNNNNNNNNNNNNNNNNNNNNNNNNNNNNNNNNNNNNNNNNNNNNNNNNNNNNNNNNNNNNNNNNNNNNNNNNNNNNNNNNNNNNNNNNNNNNNNNNNNNNNNNNNNNNNNNNNNNNNNNNNNNNNNNNNNNNNNNNNNNNNNNNNNNNNNNNNNNNNNNNNNNNNNNNNNNNNNNNNNNNNNNNNNNNNNNNNNNNNNNNNNNNNNNNNNNNNNNNNNNNNNNNNNNNNNNNNNNNNNNNNNNNNNNNNNNNNNNNNNNNNNNNNNNNNNNNNNNNNNNNNNNNNNNNNNNNNNNNNNNNNNNNNNNNNNNNNNNNNNNNNNNNNNNNNNNNNNNNNNNNNNNNNNNNNNNNNNNNNNNNNNNNNUUCAUUAUUCUACAUGUUUUGUCCAGUAGCAUUUUUCAAACAUGUUUGAAAAUGACAUAUUCAGAUUCCUUCGAUUUUUCUUAUACUUUUUCAUGUAUAAAUUAUUUUCAUUGGAGUUACAGAUUAAUUUCUAUGAUUUUUAGAAGUUUUGGCAUUUUUCUGGAAUUCUUUUAAUUCAGAAAUCCACUUAUUGCGUCAUAACUACAUCAGCAAUGCGUGAGCAGGUCAAUUGACCUGGUCAGGUCAAACCUCACAGGUGGGGGCCACUGGUCAGCGUCUCAGGAGCUAAUCCCGCGCUGACCAGUCCCUAAGUGGAUUUGACCUACUGCUAGGGCCCACUGUCAGUGGCUUCUUAGUGCUAAUCCACCGGGAUUAGGCCGGCCACGUCGUCCCCCGCCAGAGACUGACCGGCGGCGACCAGAUCCGCGAUGGAUCUUCGCCGGAGACGCACCAAAACGCACUGUGUUGCUCGGAAUCGAGUGCCGAGAGCACCGGGAUGAUCCCCAGGCUCGGCCUCAUCCUCUACGGGCAUCAGGAGGGGCUAUGGGUGGCCGGAGCAUGCCGACGACGAGCCGAGGCGGCUGCCGGAGCUCGGGUUCAUGGGUCUCGGGGCUAGAGUGUCGGAGAGAGAGGGGAAACAGAGGGAAAAUGCUCGCAAGCUCACGGUGGAGGCGAAGCUGGGCUCAGACUGCUCGGGGAGGGGCUGUAGCCGGCGAUCCACCGUCGAUUUGCCGGCGGCCGAAGGUUGAAGACGACGGCACUGGAGGCGUUGCAGGGCUCGGCGAGGAUGGUUUCGUCGACGUGCGUGUCUGGCUCGACGUUGCGAAGAGGAUGGAACACUCGGGGGGCUUCCCUGUGGCCAGAGAGCUCGGGCAGCUCGAGUUCGAGCUUCUGUCAAUGGCGGCAGGAGGAGGGAGGAGAGAACCGAGAGGAGAGGGGGAAUGGCGCUCGGGAACUAAUAGGGACGCGCUCGGGGUAGUCAUCCCCGUUGUCGCGCUGUCCUGGGGGGCACGGGAGGUCGGCACGGCGAAGCAGGAGGUGGAGGAGGCCGCCGUGGUCGAUCUCUCCUCUGCCAGAAGGUAGAGGAAGAAGACGACCCUGCCCCUGGUGGGCUGGGCCUCACAGGUAAGCGACAAGUAGGUUUUCUUCUUCUUUUUUCUGUUUUGUUUUUCUGAUUUGCUAACUAUUUUAAUUUGCUUUUUUAUUUCAGCUCCAAAAUAGUUUACCAAAAAUAUUUCGAACACACCAAAAUAUUUGUUGGAAUAUAUCCAACCAUUCGAGAAGUUUACAACAUUUUUGAAAACUUAAAGUUUUUGAAUUCAAAUUUAAACUUGAAUCCAGUAGCCUUUUGCAUUUAAAUAAAAUGCCAAAUGUGUUAUGAAAAUAGUUUUCUUCACUGCUUAUUUGCUUCCAUGAAUUAUCAGAAAAGUUGAACUUUUCUUGAGGCCAUUUUGGGUUCAUUGAUUUGAACAAGUUUAGAAUUUCUUUGAAUUUGAGAAGUGGCUAGGGUUUUUGAGUUUUGCUUCACCACUUGCUUUGACCUUGUUGCGAUUUUCUUGGAUGCAAUGCAAAGAAGAUAUGAGCACAAUGUUAACUUGAUUAGGGUUUCAGAGAUGUGACAAUUCACCCCCACUCAAAAGAAUCUCGUCCCGAGAUUUAGAGGUCGUCAGGAAUAACGCAGGAUACUCAAGUCGGAGACGAUCCUAUCUUUUCCAAGUGGCCUCCUUCUCAGAAUGAUUUGACCAUUGAACUUUAAGAAACUUGAGGUUUCGACGUCGAGUGGUACGCUCAGCUUGAUCAAGAAUACGCAUGGGGUAUUCUCGGUAUGAAAGGUUAUCUUGGAGAUCAAGCGUUUCGUGGUCCACUUCACGGAUAGGAUCCGAAAAGCAACGCCUGAGUUGCGAGACGUGGAAGACAUCAUGAACCUUGGAAAGAUGCGAAGGAAGUUCCAACUGGUAGGCAACUUCUCCUUGUUUGGCAAGAAUGCGAAAAGGACCAAUGUAACGAGGAGCCAACUUGCCUUUGAUACCGAAUCGAUGGGUACCCUUCAAAGGUGUAACCCGAAGGUAAGCCUUCUCGUCAACUUCAAAGGUCACAACCUUAUGAUGACGAUCAUAUUGGCUCUUUUGACGAGACUGGGCUGUUUUCAACUUUUCACGAAUAAUGCGAACCUUCUCUUCUGCAUCCUGGAUCAUAUCCGGGCCAAAGAGUUACCUCUCUUUGGUUUCUGACCAAUUAAGAGGUGUUCGACAUCUUCGUCCAUAGAGAACUUCAAAAGGGGCUUUGCCCAGGCUUGUUUGAUAACUAUUGUUAUAAGAAAAUUCGGCGAAUGGAAUUCACUUCUCCUAAUUCAUACUGAACGAUAUAACACAAGCUCGGAGCAUAUCUUCUACGAUUUGAUUCACUCUGUCUACUUGACCACUUGAUUGCGGAUGGAAAGUAGUGCUAAAAGAUAAGCGUGUCCCCAUAGCAUUUUGAAAACUUUCCGAGAAGCGAGAAGUAAAGAUACUCCCACGAUCUGAGUUAAUCUCCACGGGAACACCAUGAAGAGACACUAUUCAAGAGACAUAUAACUCUGCUAACUGGCUAGCUGUUAUACUCNNNNNNNNNNNNNNNNNNNNNNNNNNNNNNNNNNNNNNNNNNNNNNNNNNNNNNNNNNNNNNNNNNNNNNNNNNNNNNNNNNNNNNNNNNNNNNNNNNNNGGCCCCAAACGAUGUGCGCAGGGUUCCCAAGCCCACCAUCCGGGCGCCACUUGGUACACCGUGCCACUGCCUACCGCAUCAGAGCCCACCUCCGAGGUCAACACUAUGCACGGCCUCCAGCAUGACUAUAAACACCAGAAACUACUUGCAACUCCUGGACCGAGUACUAAGCGAUUAAUAAGUCGAGCGGGGUCAUAUUUCAGGGCCCAACAUGUGGUAGUAUCUCGUCUUGGAUUACAUACACGGAACUCGGUUCCUAAGGACGGUUCCAAUGAAACAACCCGCCAUGUACUCCUACAUAGCCUUUCACCAGUACCUUUACCAAAUCAUGUUCAACUCACAAACCUUUACUUACUGAACACAUUCUCACAAUUCUGUUCAUCUCCCAGAUGACAGACCAUACACAACUCUAAGCAUAGCAUGCAUAGUAGGAUAAGACACAUCAUGGCUCAAGCAACUACCAGGUAUGCUAGGUUGCAAGGUUCAGCUAUUUACUGUGACAAGGACAAGUCAUGCAAAGGAAGUGGGUUCAACUAACGUGGCAAAAGCAUUUGAAGCAUUUGAUCCUAAUGCAAUAAGUAAGUGCAGGAGCGAGAACAUGGGAUUUAUCGGGAUGAUCAAAAUGGUUCCUUGCCUUGUUGCUCAGAGGAGGGACAAUAUCCGUCAGUCGGAUAUUCAGUGGAAUCCGGAGGAGCGGAGCCUACCGAAAGAGAUGAUAACAAUCAAUGACUACCAUAUGCAACAAGAUGAUGCAUGAGCAUGGCAUGAGGAUUCAAGGUGGUUUGCUAAUAUAGCUAACAUUUGUUAGGUUUGAAGUUGAUUUGAAUCAGAUUCAAAUAUCACUUCAAACUAGGUAUUCUCGAAUACCAUUUUAAUUGAUUCGACCUGAUGCUCAGGUCAACUUGCUUUUAACAUCAUUGAAAUAACAUGUUAAGUUGCUGGUUUGUGAUUGAACAAUGUUUGAUCAUAUCAUUUGAAGUGGAAUUCAAAUGAUUUUCAANNNNNNNNNNNNNNNNNNNNNNNNNNNNNNNNNNNNNNNNNNNNNNNNNNNNNNNNNNNNNNNNNNNNNNNNNNNNNNNNNNNNNNNNNNNNNNNNNNNNGGAGCUGCUGGUGCCCUCGGAAGGACGAGCUGCUCAUCGGAGGGCUACCGGCGACGAGCGGCAGCGGCGGUCCUCGUCAGGCUCCGGUGAAACUAGAGCUAGAGGAGGGGAUCGACGGGGAAAACUUAGGGGAAAUGACCGCAUGCUCACGGGGAGUGCAGAGCAGAGCUUAGACGGCUCGGGGAAGGCCUGGGGGCGACGAAUCGACGGGAGAGGUCCGGCGGCCGGAGGUGGAAGACGACGGCGUUGCGGGCGUUGCAGGGCUCGAGGAAGCUUCGGCUUCUGCAGAGAUGACCAGGGCGACGAGGCGGAUCUAAAGGCGUGCUCUGGGANNNNNNNNNNNNNNNNNNNNNNNNNNNNNNNNNNNNNNNNNNNNNNNNNNNNNNNNNNNNNNNNNNNNNNNNNNNNNNNNNNNNNNNNNNNNNNNNNNNNNNNNNNNNNNNNNNNNNNNNNNNNNNNNNNNNNNNNNNNNNNNNNNNNNNNNNNNNNNNNNNNNNNNNNNNNNNNNNNNNNNNNNNNNNNNNNNNNNNNNNNNNNNNNNNNNNNNNNNNNNNNNNNNNNNNNNNNNNNNNNNNNNNNNNNNNNNNNNNNNNNNNNNNNNNNNNNNNNNNNNNNNNNNNNCUCUGGGGAGCUUAUCCCCAUCGUCGCCAGCGCGAGGCGGCGGCCAGGCAGGCAUGCAGGUGCGUGGCCGCGCCGGAGGAGGCGGCGGCCACCUCCUGCUGCCUACUGGCGCGAGGGAGGGGACGAGCGGGGAGAUGGGCCGGGCCAGGCUUAGGCGACAGGCAAGGUUUCCCAUUUUUUUUUCUGUUUUGUUUUUUUUCUGUUUUGCUAACUAGUGUUUUGCUAAUUAUUUCAGCUCCAAAACAAAAAGUAAAAACUAUUUUAGACCUCAUGAAAUAUUUGUUAUAAUAUCCCCACUCAUUUCCAAGGUUUUCAACAUUAUUGGAAAUUUAUAGAUUCUGAUUUCAAAUUUUAAAGUUUGAAACUAGUGGCUUUUGCAUUCAUUUAAAAUGCUUAAAGUGNNNNNNNNNNNNNNNNNNNNNNNNNNNNNNNNNNNNNNNNNNNNNNNNNNNNNNNNNNNNNNNNNNNNNNNNNNNNNNNNNNNNNNNNNNNNNNNNNNNNUAGGGCGAAUUCUUUCGCCUUUUGAUUUUGCAUUUCCAUUUUUCCUCACACAAGAAAUGCCGGGAAAAUACUCUCUUGCACGCAAGAGAGAGAGAGCGGAGGAAAAUGACCCUUCAAAGUGCGGGCAUUUCUGAAAUAUUUGGAGCAAAGAAAUUCAAAGUUUUAUCGUGAGAAUAUUUGCAAAAAUAAAACAAAGCAUUUAGGGAAAUUCUGAAAAAAACAUUUUUUUAAAGUUUUUAUUUUUGCUUUGGAAAAAUGUUAUCGAGUAGAGGAUAUUUUUAUGAUUUUUUUGGUAUAUAAUACCCCAUAUUAAAUAUCUUAUUUGUUUCCUUUUUAUUCACUUUUAUUUUUCUGUUUCUGAAAAAGAUUUAAACUAGGAAAGUUUUUUUUAAAAGGAAACCGUCUGGGCGCUUAAUAACAGUGGGCCGAAUCCCCGUGAGCCCGGGAUCCCGAAUCCCUUAAGCACCGCCUGGCCGACCCAAGCGCCACCGCGCCCCUCUCCCUGCCAGGUAGGCCCCGCGCCCGACCUUCCCCUUCCCCUCGGUUAGAUAUCUAACCGCUAGUCUUCGUUAGAUAUCUCAUGAGAUGGCCUUCAGCCACUUUAUUGUAAUCCUUUAUUGUAAUAAAGUACUCUUUAUGAGAUUUCGAUUAAUAAAGCUGUGUGAUUGAACUCUUGAACAUAUACAUUAUGUACUGAGUGUGUACCAGCAUGAUCAUGGAAUGGUACGAAUACACCAGAGGCUUGACUCGUCUUGAUUCGGGUCGCUACACCUCUAGUGGUUUUAUGUGAACGUCGACUACAUAACACUUCACGAUUAUUUGGGCCAAGAGGAAGGCAUUGGGAAGUAGUAAGUAGAUGAUGGGUUCCUAGAGUGACAGAAGCUUAAACCCUAGUUUAUGUGUUGCUUCCUAUAGGGCUGAUUUGGAUCCACUAGUUUAAUGCUAUGGUUAGACUUUGUCUUAAUUCUUCUUUCAUAGUUGCGGAUGCUUGCGAGAGGGGUUAAUCAUAAGUGGGAUGCUUGUCCAAGUAAGGGUAGUACCCAAGCGCCGGUCCACCCACAUAUCAAACUAGCAAAGUAACGAACACGAAUCAUAUGAACAUGAUGAAAACUAGCAUGACAGAAAUUCCCGUGUGUCCUCGAGAGCGUUUUUCCUCCUAUAAGACUUUGUCCAGGCUUGUCCCUUGCUAUAAAAGGGAUUGGGCCACUUUUCUGCACCGUUUCUACUUUUGUUACUUGUUGCUUGCUACGAAUCAUCUCACCACACAAUCACUUGUUACCGAGUAUUUUAGUGCCUGCAGAUUUUACCUUGCUGAAAACCACUUGUCAGAUCCUUCUGCUCCUCGUUGGGUUCGACACUCUUACUUAUCGAAAGGACUACGAUUGAUCGCCUAUACUUGUGGGUCAUCAAGACUCUUUUCUGGCGCCGUUGCCGGGGAGUGAAGCGCCUUUGGUAAGUGGAACUUGGUAAGGAAACAUUUAUAUAGUGUGCUGAAAUUUAUUGUCACUUGUCACUAUGGAUACUAAUCCUUUGAGGGGCUUGUUCGGGGUAUCUUCACCUCGAACGGAAGCACAACGAGUUGCUCCUCAACCUGCUGCACCUACUGAAAAUAUUUGCUUUGAAUUUCCUUCGGGUAUGCUUGAGAAACUGUUGGCUAAUCCUUUUACACGAGAUGGAACAUCACAUCCAGACUUGCAUCUAAUCUAUGUAGAUGAAGUUUGUGGUUUAUUUAAGCUUNNNNNNNNNNNNNNNNNNNNNNNNNNNNNNNNNNNNNNNNNNNNNNNNNNNNNNNNNNNNNNNNNNNNNNNNNNNNNNNNNNNNNNNNNNNNNNNNNNNNUGUCACAUCCCUAACCCUUAAGCAAGAUAGCAUUGUGCUCAUGUCUUCUUUGCAUUUGCAUCUAAGAAGUUUCAACAAAAACAACAAAGUGGCAAAGGAAAUACCCAAAACCCUAGCCACCAUUUCAAUUAAAGGAAAUCUCAAACUAGUUCAAAAUCAAUGAACCCAAAAUGGCCUCAAGAAAUGUUCAAACUUUCUGAUAAAUCAUGAAAGUAAAUGAGCAUUGGAGAAAACUAUUUUCUUGACACUUUAAGCAUUUUAAAUNNNNNNNNNNNNNNNNNNNNNNNNNNNNNNNNNNNNNNNNNNNNNNNNNNNNNNNNNNNNNNNNNNNNNNNNNNNNNNNNNNNNNNNNNNNNNNNNNNNNNNNNNNNNNNNNNNNNNNNNNNNNNNNNNNNNNNNNNNNNNNNNNNNNNNNNNNNNNNNNNNNNNNNNNNNNNNNNNNNNNNNNNNNNNNNNNNNNNNNNNNNNNNNNNNNNNNNNNNNNNNNNNNNNNNNNNNNNNNNNNNNNNNNNNNNNNNNNNNNNNNNNNNNNNNNNNNNNNNNNNNNNNNNNNNNNNNNNNNNNNNNNNNNNNNNNNNNNNNNNNNNNNNNNNNNNNNNNNNNNNNNNNNNNNNNNNNNNNNNNNNNNNNNNNNNNNNNNNNNNNNNNNNNNNNNNNNNNNNNNNNNNNNNNGGGGAUAAGCUCCCCAGAGCCUCCCCUAUCCAUUCCCCGCCUCGGUUCUCUUCCUCCUCCCGGAUCUCCUCCUCCUCCUUGCUGCCGCCAUUAGAGCCGAGCUCGAGCUCGAGCUGCCCGUGCCCCUGGCCAUAGGAUUCCCUCCCAGAGCACGCCUUUAGNNNNNNNNNNNNNNNNNNNNNNNNNNNNNNNNNNNNNNNNNNNNNNNNNNNNNNNNNNNNNNNNNNNNNNNNNNNNNNNNNNNNNNNNNNNNNNNNNNNNNNNNNNNNNNNNNNNNNNNNNNNNNNNNNNNNNNNNNNNNNNNNNNNNNNNNNNNNNNNNNNNNNNNNNNNNNNNNNNNNNNNNNNNNNNNNNNNNNNNNNNNNNNNNNNNNNNNNNNNNNNNNNNNNNNNNNNNNNNNNNNNNNNNNNNNNNNNNNNNNNNNNNNNNNNNNNNNNNNNNNNNNNNNNNNNNNNNNNNNNNNNNNNNNNNNNNNNNNNNNNNNNNNNNNNNNNNNNNNNNNNNNNNNNNNNNNNNNNNNNNNNNNNNNNNNNNNNNNNNNNNNNNNNNNNNNNNNNNNNNNNNNNNNNNNNNCGAGGGCACCAGCAGCUCCAGGACGACGCGUAGAUGCCGUAGCAGCUAAGAACCGAGCGUAGAUCCCCCUGAUUCAAAGACCCCGAUGACGCCCGAGCCUUGGCCGCCGCCAAGCUCGUCGCCGGCGUCAUCUCCGGCCAGAUCAGCCCCGGCUAGGCGCAAAAAUGAAGCUGCGGGAGACGUGCCGUUCCUCUGGUGCUCUCCGCGCAGCAUUUGGCCCCCUGUGCUCCGUUUCCGAGCCCCUCCGCCGUGCUGGUGGUCGCCGGAGGCUCCCCGCCGGCGAGGACGACCUCGCCGCCGGUGGAUGUCGACGUGGCAAGCUAACCCAGCCGAUUAGUGACCUAAUCACUCGCUGACAAGUGGGCCCAAGGCCAAGUCAAACCUCAGUUAGGACUGGUCAGCGCGGGAUUAGUCCCAGAGAGGCUGACCAGUGGGGCCCCCCUGUCAGGUUUGACCUGAACAGGUCGGCUGACCUGCUGACGUCAGCCUGAGGCAAUAAAUAGAAUUUCCAGUUUAAAACUAAUUCAGGAAAUUGCUAAAAUUUGUAAAAAUCAUAGAAAUUAAUCUGUAACUCNNNNNNNNNNNNNNNNNNNNNNNNNNNNNNNNNNNNNNNNNNNNNNNNNNNNNNNNNNNNNNNNNNNNNNNNNNNNNNNNNNNNNNNNNNNNNNNNNNNNNNNNNNNNNNNNNNNNNNNNNNNNNNNNNNNNNNNNNNNNNNNNNNNNNNNNNNNNNNNNNNNNNNNNNNNNNNNNNNNNNNNNNNNNNNNNNNNNNNNNNNNNNNNNNNNNNAAAAGUUACAGAACCCUAAAUUGUGAAAUAAGGAAUAAUUCAAUUCUUUUAAUCACUUUAUAAAUGGAAUUUGCAAAAAUAUUCAAAUUUCAUUAUAUAUGCAAUGAUCACACACUGCCCUAAUUACAAAUCAGUAUCAUAACAUGACAUUUCAUGCAUGUUAACAUCAAGUUGAACCGAGCAUCAGGUCGAAUCAAUUAAACCGGUAUCCGAGAAUACCCGUUUGAAUUGCUAUUCGAAUGUGAUUCAAAUCAACUCUAAACCUAUUACAUGUUGAAAAUAAUAACUUAUCACCUUNNNNNNNNNNNNNNNNNNNNNNNNNNNNNNNNNNNNNNNNNNNNNNNNNNNNNNNNNNNNNNNNNNNNNNNNNNNNNNNNNNNNNNNNNNNNNNNNNNNNNNNNNNNNNNNNNNNNNNNNNNNNNNNNNNNNNNNNNNNNNNNNNNNNNNNNNNNNNNNNNNNNNNNNNNNNNNNNNNNNNNNNNNNNNNNNNNNNNNNNNNNNNNNNNNNNNNNNNNNNNNNNNNNNNNNNNNNNNNNNNNNNNNNNNNNNNNNNNNNNNNNNNNNNNNNNNNNNNNNNNNNNNNNNNNNNNNNNNNNNNNNNNNNNNNNNNNNNNNNNNNNNNNNNNNNNNNNNNNNNNNNNNNNNNNNNNNNNNNNNNNNNNNNNNNNNNNNNNNNNNNNNNNNNNNNNNNNNNNNNNNNNNNNNNNNNNNNNNNNNNNNNNNNNNNNNNNNNNNNNNNNNNNNNNNNNNNNNNNNNNNNNNNNNNNNNNNNNNNNNNNNNACCGGUGAAAGGCUGUGUAGGAGUACAUGGCGGGUUGUUUCAUUGGAACCGUCCUUAGGAACUGAGUUCCGUGUAUGUAAUCCAAGACUAGAUACUACCACAUGCUGGGCCCUGAAAUAUGACCCCGCUCGGCCUAUUAAUCGCGUAGUACUCGGUCAAGGAGUUGCAAGUAGUUUCUGGUGUUUAUAGUAAUGCUGGAGGCCGUGCAUGGUGCUGACCUGAGAGGUGGGCCGUGAUGCGGUAGGCAGUGGNNNNNNNNNNNNNNNNNNNNNNNNNNNNNNNNNNNNNNNNNNNNNNNNNNNNNNNNNNNNNNNNNNNNNNNNNNNNNNNNNNNNNNNNNNNNNNNNNNNNUGUUGGAAAUAUGCCACAGAGGCAAUAAUAAAGUGGUUAUUAUUAUAUUUCCCAGUUCACGAUAAUUGUCUAUUAUUCAUGUUAUAAUUGUAUUAACCGGAAACCGUAAUACAUGUGUGAAUAUAUAGAUCACAAUGUGUCCCUAGUAAGACUCUAGUUGGCUAGCUCGUUGAUCAAUAGAUGAUCAUGGUUUCCUGAUCAUGGACAUUCGAUGUCAUUGAUAGCAGGAUCACAUCAUUGGGGAAUGAUGUGAUGGAAAAGACCCAAUCCUAAGUGUUGGGGAUAUUAUCUGUUGGGUAACCCGCCCUAGUUGGGCUGGGUCACCCAAGUUGGCGACUCAUCUCCAAGUGGUUCCGGCCUUGGCCCAGCGAGGCCGGGAGUCGUAUGACGGUUCAGGACCUUCGGGAGAAGUCCAUUGUAGGGAAGAUCUCCAAGUCUUGGAAAGAUGGCGACUUAGAGAUCGAAAGAAUCACGAUUUAUGUGAAUGAAAGGACUCUUGUAAACCCUAAGGACUUGCCCUGUAUAUAAAGGCGAGUCCCAGGGAAGGAGAGGACGGGUUAGAAAUCAUCGAGUGCUAGGUCAGGCGAGUUACGCCCCCUUGUAACCGAAACACCAUCAAUACAAACACCAAGCAUGACGUAGGCCUUUACCUCCUCACGAGGGGCCGAACCUAGGUAAAUCUCUGUCUCGCUCCCGCAUAACCCCUUUGAGUCGCCACCAAGGUGCGAUGGCUCCAACACUAAGUACUUUCACGAGGACAUCUGCCGUGACAAAACCACGACAGUUGGCGCCCACCGUGGGGACUACGCACGGUGGAGUUGAGUUCUCAAAGGGAGCCCUACCAGGGUCCAGAGCUACGCAGCGGGGCUCAUGACUCGGAGCCGCCGCAGGAAGUACUACAUCAAUAACUUGCUAUGGGGGCCCGAGGCCGAUUCGAUCGAAUCCGGCUAUAGAAUCCCCUUCGGCAAGAACAACGUCUUCGUCGGCGUGGUUGGAUCGCCUAUGCCUGAGCCGGACAUCUCCUCCGACAUCGUCGAGCCGGCCAGGUACGUCCGCCCUGUCGCAACGCCAAACCUAACCCGUCCGGUCUUUGUUGGGUUCAUGCAGGGAUCUGAGGAACCAGAACAAUCGGCGAACCAGGAGACCACGCCGGCGAACACUGAUGACGAAUCAUCCAUGGGCGAUUCAGAUUCAAUUCAGUCUCUACAUGGGGGCUGUUUUGGGGGCUUGUCAUUAGCCAUGGACCCCGAGGUUCUUGAACGGACCCGCCGUCAGAUCACCAUUUACAUGGCAGGGCGACUCAGCCCUCGCCAAACCCGGCAGGCGGAUAUGGGGCUGGCAAAAUGUCUAGAAGCCCGGCCGUGAUCUUGGUGGAGUUAGCGGCGGAGAUAACAAGGCUCAUGGCGACCCCCAUAACGUCAGAAAACCAGGACGCGAUAAACACGGAGCUAACAAAACUAAGAGAUUGGGUGGCAAAGGCUCAACGGGACGCUGAGGUGGAAGCCGCCAGGAUCGAGACCCGGCAGGCUCAAAUUACCGCUGAGGUAGCUCGCUUGAAUACCGAAAACUGGCGGCUCGAAAGGGAUCAGUGCGCAUCUGACGCCGUCCAUCAGUGGAGGCAUCAGGGUUGUUUACCCCCUGAUCUCAACCCGACCUGCCUGUUUGACACUCCACAAACUCCCGGGGUAGGAGACGCCCCGAGGGGAGGGCCGGGCCAGCCACCAAACCCGCCGUUUCAGCCAGCUGUGGAUCGCGUUCCCUGAUUCCAUACACCUCAAGGUCACUUUUCCAACCUGGUGCACAACGUCCUUGCCGCAACUCGCCAAUUGGAAUCCCUUCCAAUUCAUGGCAACACUCCAGCUGAGAUAGAAGCAGGGAACGCCAUUGAGAUGUUGAAGACGGCGGUGGUUCAAAACGCCCAGUUCUCACACAGCCUAGAUCGGCUGCACUCCACUCCCCAGACAAGCCGCGCCAGGAGUCGACCAGAGGACCAGCCCGCCAUAACUAGCGGACCGUGACCUUUUCCCCAGGUUAACUCACCUGAUCACCGAGACCCGCCAGGUCGGGAUCACCCGGACACCCAAGUCGCCCCAGCGCCUCUUGUUGGAAGCGGCAGACAAGUGGGGGUGCCAUGCUUGGCCCCCGCCCUUCGCAACGAGCGAAUGCCCAAGGAUUUUAAAGGACCAAGAAAGGUGCCUAACUACACUCCGGACCUUGAGCCGGCGUCAUGGUUGAGAGUUAUGAAAUCGCCAUGGACAUGCUCGAUGUAAGCGAAGUAGUCUCCGCCAGAUACUUCACAAUGAUGCUCGAAGGGACGGCGCGUACUUGGUUAAAAAACUUGCCCCCCCAACUCCAUCCAGUCUUGGGCCGAACUAAAAGAGCGUUUCGUCAAAAAUUUCCGAGGGACCUGCAAGCGCCCAAUCACGAUAGUCGAUUUACAGCACUGUGUUCAACGCCCGGAUGAGUCGGCCCACCGCUGGACGCGGAGGGUCACGGAAAUCAUUCAUUCGUCAGAUGGUAUCACGGCGGCUCAGGCUGUGCUAAUCCUGGAGCAGAACUGCCACUAUGAGCCCUUGGUGCAGAAGUUGGGACGACUCAAGCGAAAGGUGCAAGAUAUGGGGGAGCUAAUGGACACCCUCACUAGGUACGCUGAGGUGGACGACACCAAAGAUCCAGGAGAAGAUGGUGGUAAGGCCAACUCGCCAAGGAAAGGCGAGUCAUCCAAAAAUUAUACCCGGUUCCAGGGACGCGCCCGCUAUAAUCAUGGAGCGAAUGGCAAAAGAAGGCAGCAGGAAGAGUCUUCGGACUUAGUCGCCAACACCAACGUCAACAAUGGAAACCAGCGCCAGAAGAAGAAUAGGGGUUACAACGGCAAAAAGCCACGCAAAUAUAAUGAGUUACUGAAGGGCCCCUGCCCGCACCACGCCAUGGCAGACGGACCGGCGACCCAUUCCUGGGAGGACUGUUACGUGAUGCGGGAGUUCCGGGCGGAGGCGAUCAAAAAAUGGCAAGGCGGCGACCCGGACCAACGGCAGGAACAGUUUGGCGCACCUAAUCAACGCCAGAGCCAAUUCGGCGGCUUCCCCGAACCCGGGGCUCAGGGCGGCUCGCAGCCAAACAGUGGCCAGUAUCCGGUGCAUCACCAACAACGGUAUAACCCGCCGGGAGUCUUUCAACAACCACCCCCAUAGGGGGCUCCGCACGGGCAGGAUGACAAUGGCGGUUUCCGCAACAACCCCAAUCAGUUAAGUAAUGGGCAGUACCACGUUUUCACCACCAAGCGUACAGUGUAUCUGAGCCGGCGCUCCCUAGAUAUCUCCACUGGUCCGAGCAGACUAUAUCAUGGAGUAGGGAGGAUCACCCGCCAAGUGUUGACAAUCCCAGCGACUUAGCGUUGGUCGUGGCUCCUCAAGUUGGAGGAUAUACCUUAUCGAAGGUACUGAUGGAUGGUGGUAGCAGCAUCAACAUAUUAUACUUCGACACCUUUCGAAGGAUGAACCUGUUGGAGAAAGAUUUGAUGCCCUCAACCACGGUAUUCCAUGGGAUUGUCCCAGGUAAAUCGGCGUACCCCAUAGGCCGAGUUAGGCUCACAGUUGCGUUUGGAACAACCCAAAUAGAGGAGUCAGUCGCUUAUAUUUGAGGUGGUUAAGUUAAAAAGCCCCUAUCAUGCGCUGUUUGGGUGACCGGCUUACGCCCGGUUCAUGGCUCGCCCCUGCUAUGUCUACCUUAAACUCAAGAUGCCUGGUCCUAAAGGACCCAUCAUAGUUGAUGGUGAUAGAAGGAUUGCAAGAGAGUGUGAAGAAGGGGAUGCGGCUUACGCAGAAGUCGCCUGCGCCGCGGAAGAGCUUAAAUAUCACCAGGCCAAUGUUGAUCCGGCUGACAUGUCACCUUUAAAGAAGCCAACGACAGACGUUGAGCCGCCCCUCAAUUUCAAACCCACAGACGACAGUAAGACAGUGGAUUUCGUCCCUGGCGACUCAACCAAGCAGUUCACUAUCGGGGCGGGUCUAGACCCCAAAUAGGAAAGCGCGCUCAUCGAAUUCAUCCGUGAGAAUCGGGACAUCUUCGCAUGGAAACCUUCUGACAUGCCUGGUGUGCCGAGAGAAUUCGCUGAGCACCAUCUUAAUGUUGACCCAAAAGAAAAACCAAUUCAGCAAUAUCUUCGAAGGUUCAAUGAGGAACGACGCAUGGCAAUCGGGGAAGAAGUUGCCCGUCUCUUGGCCGCCGGAUUCAUCGUAGAGGUCUUCCACCCCAAAUGGUUGGCUAACCCGGUUCUGGUGCUCAAGAAGAACGGUACCUUCCGCAUGUGCAUUGAUUACACAGAUCUUAAUAGAGCUUGUCCAAAGGAUCCUUUCGCCCUUCCCUGUAUCAAUCAAAUUAUUGAUUCAGUGGCGGGAUGCGAGCGUUUGUGUUUCUUGGACGCUCAUUCCGGGUAUCACCAAAUCAAGAUGGCUGUGGAAGAUCAGGAGAAAACAACUUCUAUAAUCCCCUUCGGGGAUUUUUGCUAUGUGUCCAUGCCAUUUGGGCUCAAGAGUGCAGGGGCGACUUACCAGCGCUGCAUCCAAAAUUGCCUCCGUGGCCAAAUCAGACGCAACGUUCAUGCUUACGUUGACGACAUUGUGGUUAAGACUCACAGGAAGGAAACAUUACUGCAAGACCUAAGGGAAACUUUUGAUAAUCUGCGGGUAUACCAGAUGAAGCUUAAUCCCACCAAGUGUGUCUUCCGCGUUCCUGCAGGAAAAUUGUUGGGUUUCCUGGUAUCUGAGCGCGGCAUUGAAGCUAACCCAGACAAAAUCGAGGCUGUUACUUCCCUUGGGAAACCAGCGAGUAUCAAUCAAGUUCAACAUAUGGCGGGUCGUAUUGCGGACUUAAGUCGCUUCAUAAGCCGUCUGGGAGAAAAGGCUAUUCCCCUUUAUCAGUUUCUUAAGAAAUUUGACCAUUUUGUUUGGACAGACGAAGCCAAUGAAGCUUUCGAAGCCUUAAAACGGCACCUGGUCAACCCGCCGGUUUUGGCCGCCCCGACUGAGAAAGAGCCUAUGCUUCUGUAUAUUGCGGGAAACUCCAAAGCGAUGAGUGUGGCAGUGGUCGUCGAAAGGAAGGAAGAAGGGAAGGAAUAUCCAGUGCAACGCCCGGUGUAUUUCAUUAGCGAGGUGCUAACUCUCUCCAAGCAGCGAUACCCACACUGGCAGAAGUUAGUUUAUGGGGUCUUUAUGUCAAGUCGAAAGCUCAAACAUUAUUUCCAAGAGCAUCCCAUCAUGGUGGUUAGCUCCGCUCCCCUCGGGGACAUCAUCCAGAAUCGGGAAGCGACAGGGCAAAUCGCCAAGUGGGCAAUCGAACUCGGGCCGCACCACGUGCGAUACACCCCUCACAUGGCUAUCAAGUCUCAGGCCUUGGUUGAUUUCGUCAAUGAUUGGACCGAGUUACAGAUCCCAGAGGACAGGCCUGACCUUACAUACUGGACUAUUUAUUUUGACGGGUCUAGACAGUUGGAAGGCUCGGGGGCUGGUGUGGUGCUCAUAUCGGCUCAAGGAGACAAAUUCUGCUAUGUCCUCCGACUCAUGUUUCCAUGUACCAACAAUGCUGCGGAAUACGAAGCUUUACUUCAUGGCUUGCGAGUCGCCAAGGAGAUGAACCUUACGCGGGUCAGAUGUUUUGGCGAUUCUGAUUUGGUGGCUCAGCAAGUUUCAGGUACUUGGGAUUCUCGGGACCCCCUGAUGGCGGCUUACAGGAGGGCUAUGUCUGAUGUGGCGGGUCACUUCCAUGGUUAUCAGGUCGAUCAUAUCGACCGGUGCCUUAACGAAGCAGCUGAUGCCCUUUCACGUCUCGGUUCGCAGCGUAAGCCGGUUCCCCCCAAUGUCUUUGUGGAUACUCUGCAUAAUCCCUCCGUAAGGUUACCCUCGGAGGAGGAAUUGGCAAUACCAGACCCUGAGUCUCAGUUCGUGGCGGCUCUCCAUGUUACGUCGGAUUGGGUUCUUCCGUAUCUGGCAUAUCUCGCCCGAGGUGAGUUACCUUCGGAUGAAGUAUUGGCUCGCCAAAUCGUUCGGCGAAGCAAAUCCAUGGUGAUCAUCAAUGGCAAAUUAUAUAAACGAAGCACUUCUGGGGUUUUUCAAAGAUGUGUUUCCUCUGAAGAAGGAUGCGUAAUUCUAAACGACGUUCAUUCCGGAGAUUGUGGGCAUCACGCCGGGUCACGUUCCUUGGUUUCAAAGGCGUUCCGUCAUGGUUUCUUUUGGUUGACGGCCCAUGCAGAUGCAGAGGAGAUAGUUCAUCGAUGUGACGGAUACCAGCGUUAUGGACAACAGGCCCAUGUGCCGGCUCAAGAAAUAAGGAUGAUACCUAUCACUUGGCCUUUCGCGGUCUGGGGGUUAGACAUGGUUGGCCCCUUUAAGAUAUCGUCCAAAAAAAACUCAUCUGCUGGUGGCGGUUGAUAAGUUUACCAAGUGGGUCGAGGCAGAAGCUGUUGGAGCCUGCGACGCGGAAACAGCGGUCAAAUUUUUGAAAAAGUUGAUCUUCCGGUUUGGAUAUCCACACAACAUUAUUACUGACAAUGGCACUAAUCUGUCUCCAGGAGCGAUGCAUGAGUUUUGCCAUCGUGAGCACAUCCGGCUUGAUGUUUCUGCAAUAGCUCAUCCACAAUCUAAUGGGCAGACCGAGCGGACGAAUCAGGAAGUGUUGCGAGGAAUGAAACCCCGACUCAUGAUUCCCCUAGAAUGCACCCCAGGGUGUUGGGUUGAGGAGUUGUCUUCAGUACUAUGGAGCAUCCGGACCACCCCGAACCGUUCUAUGGGUUUUACUCCUUUCUUUCUGGUAUAUGGAGCAGAAGCCGUUCUUCCCACUGACAUUAGGCAUGACUCGCCCAGAGUUGCCGCUUAUGUGGAACAGGACAACGAGUUGGCACGUCAAGAUUCUUUGGACGCUUUGGAGGAAGCACGUGAUUUGGCUGCAGCCCGUUCGGCGGUUUAUCAGCAGGACUUGCGGCGUUAUCAUAGCCGCCAGGUCAAGAGCCAAGCCUUUCAGGAGGGCGACUUAGUACUUCGAUUGAUACAAGAUCGUACUGGCAUGCAUAAGUUAUCACCACCGUGGGAAGGACCGUUCGUCGUCAGCAAAAGCCUUCGCAACGGGUCCUAUUAUCUGCUGGAUCUACGGCCUGAUCGGCCAACCACGGAGGCUGAGUCAACUCGCCCCUGGAACAUAGGCCACUUGUGGCCUUAUUAAACUUGAGCUAACUAGCUCUGCCUUUUUGCAAGUUUUUUCAUUUUCUUAUGAAGCAAUAAAGUUGAUGCCUCCAGGCUUGGGGGAUUUCCUGCUAAUUCAUCUUAUUGAAAGUAUGGAUCUUUAUUUUACUCUUCAAAAAGUCGCCCAAGCAUGGACGCAAUCUAUACCAAAGAGCUUAAGUCGCCAUGAUGCGCUUAUUACAAAACUGGGUAUCGAUAAGCCAAAGAGGAUCGAAGUCGCUACGAGCGCGCGAUUCAAACUUAGGCGCCUUAUAUGAUUCUGUGGAUUAGGCCGGCUUACUUGAGGGCAGUUUGUUCUGAAGUCGUUUUGUGGUAAUAGCGUAUACGCUUCUACAAUCCUAUGACGGUCUUUCCCUUAAUCAUAGGUCACUUGGGGGCUUCCUCUCACUGAGAUCAGCCUUACUACCCAUUUGGCCUGUGAAAAAUUACCACAUUACAAAUGGUUAUACUGGACUGUGUGUUGGCCGAAUCGCCAUAUGGACCCAUGAACUCUUGGCGAGUUACUCCGCUUAUGGACCCUGAACUCGCCUUGGUUAAAACAUGUCUAGUACCGGCUAGCGCCUCACAUGGAAAAUAGAGAAACCAUUGGUUCACUGAACCCGCUUCACUGAAGCUUGACUCACGCCUGAUCAGCCGGUCUAAAUACUUGAGCUUUUUAUACAAAAGUCUCCCUCGGGUAGCACUUGAGUUUAUUUAACUCGUCCUAUCUUGUCGCGACCUGAUGAGCCGACGAAAUUGCUAUUUUUUACCUUCCUGGCACUGCCACAAGGUCUUUCAGACUCUUUUGUGACUCGCCUCAAAUAUCUUGCGUCGGUUAUUAUUUAUUAUCAUCGAUUACUCAUUGAGAUGAUUUGAUAUAUGUUUUUAAGCCUAACAGGUUGAUGAUCAAAAUCAUUCUAGCCAUGGCGGGUCAAGCAUCAUAAAAACGCCUUGAGGGCGGGUCAAGCAUUCUAAGGCGCCUUAAGGGCGACAUAAGGGUUUUCAAGACAUCACAGAAGCAGUUUUGAUCUCUAAAAAGACUUAUUACAUGGCUCUUAUGGCCAAAUCCAUAAAGUAUUAUUCUACUGAUGUCCUCGGGUCAGCCUCCUGCGAGCUCUGGCCGACUUCAAUUUGCAGGUCGCCCAGUACCCAGUUACACUUGGAUAACGCGGCAAACUCAUCUUCAUCGUUCAGCACUGAUGAGAGAUCCACCUCCAAGUCAAAAGGAUUCUUGGGUCGACGCGGAGUUAAGCUGGUUGUCACAAAGGUUGGCGGGUUGACUUUCUUGUUCUUGUUGUCAUAGGCGUCUUGAUAUUUUGCUAAAUCCAAGCUUGCUGCAAGCUGAGUCGCUACCAAACGGGAUUCUUUGACAACACGCUGGUAAUCUUCUUCAGCGAAUUCUGACUCGUCAUCCUUGAGCUGGGGAAAGCCUGCCGCUACCUCUUCCGGGUUUAUUUCUGGAGCAUACGCCAGACACCGACUCAGAGUAGUCAGUGCUCCUUUUUGGGCGGCAGACCGAUUUAACUCACCAAUUUGAGGAGGAAGAGUAGAUAAGCAGCCAAGCAUCUUCUUUAUGGAUGUUAUGGGUUCCUUGGCACCCAUCACUGCUUUCACGGUCAGCACACUUCCGGUCUAUAGCUGCUCCGUUAACGUGUAAAUCGGCGUCAGCAUCAGGACACAAUCAUUCUGAAGAUUGGCGGCUCUUGGACCUGCAUAAGGAGUAACGAUGGUCAGCAAUUUCUACAAACAAAGUUAUUUAUUUACAAAAUACAAGGUCAGGGUUUGGUUUUUUUACCAAAGACGGCUUGUGCCAUGUUGGAGAUAUGUCUCUUUAAGCCGGCCAGCUCUUGUUGCACAGUAUCCAACUUAGCUUCAGCUUUUUCUGCUCGCUUUAUCAAGGCAUCUUGAUCAGCUUGAGCCUUUUUUAAGUCGGCUUUUAGCUUCUCCAUGUGAGAUAAGAUUAGUUGACACUUCUCUUCUGAUUUUGCCCGGGCAUCCUGCUGAUCGGUUAAAUUUUUCUUCAAAUCGCCAAAUGUUGAUUCAGCUUGGGUAAGUGAUUCCUGUCAAAAUAUAUGGUCAAGGGGCAAGCCUCAGAAUUAUUGCAAGCAACAUCCCUGACACUUGGGGGCUAAUGUAUAAUUUUUUAGAUAAAUUAUACAAUAUCAAGACCCGACUCAUCUUUUUACAGAUGACCCGACCCUUGGGGGUUACAGGUCAAAAGUUUUCUUCAAUUAUCAAGACCCGGCUCAACUUUUUACAGAUGACUCGACCCUUGGGGGUUACAGGUCGAAAGUUUCUUCAAUUAUCAAGACCCGACUCAUCUUUUUACAGAUGACCCGGCCCUUGGGGGUUACAGAUCGAAAGUUUUCUUCAAUUAUCAAGACCUGACUCGUCUUUUUACAGAUUACCCGGCCCUUGGGGGUUACAGGUCGAAAGUUUUCUUCAAUUAUCAAGACCCGGCUUAUCUUUUUACAAGAUGACCCGGCUCUUGGGGGUUACAGGCCGACAGACUCAUUUUACUAUUAAUACCCGACUCAUCUUGGAGUCAUACUGGAGAGCUUAGCCUUGGAAAGUUCAUACUCCAUAGCAAGUUGAGCUGAUGAUGAUACAUGUUUCGACAAAACUGUUGUGACCGGCUUAGAAAAGCGAGUGCCGGUGAUGACCACACCGUCUGGGUCUUCUGCUGUUUUCAAUGGACUUGGCGGAUUAGGCGUGUCCAUAGUUUCCUUGGGCGAGCUUGGGAGAUCGAUUUGAUCCUCAGGUUUAUCUUGGGCCGGGUUAUCCUGGAUCGGCGCCGAUUUUUCAACAAGCUCCAAAGCUGUAAUGGGAGUUGACCCGCCAGUUUUCCUUUUCUUUGCUUGUGCCCUAAAUGCAAAAGGGGGUGCGUUUAAAUGAACAGACAUUACCACCAUCAGAACAAAGGUAAGUGUUAUAAAAGACUUACCCUGGGACACGGAUCAUCGGUGGAAGUGCUGACAUCACUGAGUCGCCGGAUGAAGGAGGAGAACUCUACAAAAAUAAUACUUCAAAGAUGUGAGCGAGUUAUAACCGCGAUCCAAAAGAAAAUGAAGAGGUGCUAUUAAAAGAUACCUCAUUUUGCCUUUUCUUGGUUUUUGUUGGUAACCCGGACACCAAGUCUCCAGUAUGACUCCGAGUUUUCCGAUUUGAAGCAUUUGGGUGUGAGAAGGGAACUUUCCCACAAAUUGGCCUGGCUGGCUUAAGUGGAGGAGAAGAUGAGUCGGAGGAAACAGAAAUUACCUCUACAGAGUCUUCCUGGCUUUCAUUGUCCUCAUUCUACACAAGAGAUACAAAGGCGUAAACACAAAACUAUCAACAAUGAAUGGUGAGUUAAAGAGGAUGGAUUUUUACCUCUGAAAGUACGUCGCCGACUUGGGAUUCAUCGGCGUCAGACGGCUCAGUGACGGCGGCUUUGCCCUUGCCCUUGGACUUCUUCUUUGGAGGCGGCUUGGCUUGCUUCAAGGCCAUCUUUUUUGGCCUCCUGGACCAGAAUUUGUCACGUUUCUGAAAUGACAUUUUUUAUUAUAAGAGGUCAUAUCUCAAGUAAGACGGAACGAAUAAAGCAAAAGCGGGUUAAGUUAUUUUACCUUUGGUGCCGGAUUGAUCUUGCAGGACGGCUUAAGACCUAUUUGGCCGCACUUGGCCGUGGGUUCGCCGGUCAAUUUCUUGAUGAUGGUUACAAUAUCAUUUUCUGUCAGUGUUGUGUGGAAGUAGCAUUGGGGGUGAUCCAGGGUGCCGUCAAAAUCACACAUUAAUCCGUACCGACGACUUAAGGGGAGGAUACACCAUUCGACCCAGCAGCGGAUUAAGUCUACCCCGGUAAGGCCAUUGUUUGUCAGAGAUCUUAACUUGGACAGUACUGGGAUAAAAUCUGACUCCUCUUCUUCGGUGAGCUUGUCUGGGAGUUUGAAAUUUGUUGGAAGGCGAUCCUCCCAAUAGCCAAGAAGCUUGUUCUCACCCUCAGGCGAAGUCUCCUGGCAGUAAAACCAAGACUCGCCCCAGCCUUUGGGAUAGCUUGGCAUGGCGAGUGACAGGAAUGAACUACCCCUACGGCGUUGAACAUUGACACCUCCAAGCUCCAAGCUAGGGCAAUUGGAAAAUUCUGUCUGGCAAUUCAAAUGGAAGAAGUACCAGAAUAAAGGAACUGAGGGUUCCAUCCGCAAGUAGGCCUCACAGAACACCUGGAACUGGCAUAAAUUGCUUAUCGAGUUGGGCCCUAAGUCCUGGAGGCAGACAUUCAUAAAGGUCAUGGCAUCUCGGAGGAAUUUUUAUCCGUACGGCUUAAAACCCCGUUCAAGGUGUUCAACAAAAACAACUAUCUCCCCUUCCUUCGGGUUGGGGAUCUCCUCUCCUAACCCGGAACGCCAACCGAUAACCUCUUGAGGGUCCAGAUUCCCCGUUUUCACACAGUUGUUAAGGAGAGUAUCAUCAACCUUGGUCGGGAGCCAAUCACUUUUGAAAACGAUGCCCAUGCUACAAAGGGACAAAAUUACGCGUAAAUUAACACGCCAAGCAUCUACUAAAUGGUGAAACAGAUUCAUUUGACUCGCCAAACAGUUUGCCUGAUAGCUGAGGUUGUUUUUUGACUCGCCGAUAAAGGUCCGGGUUAGGAUACCAGGGCGAGAUGGUUCACAGCUUCAGUAGUGUCCACCAAAAUGGUGAAGUAUGAAUCCAUAAACAGGUUUCACGCGACAGGCAGUAAUAUAUGGAUCUAUAGAACAUGUAGAAAUGAAUGCAAAAAGGUCUUGGUAAAACGGCCUAUGACCAAGAUGAAAAUAGUAGAGUUGAUCUGGUGAAAUCCUUUCUAAGUCUGCAAAUCAAGGCUAAGCAACUAAGGGUAUGGAAAAUGUUGUUGUACUCGCUAUCAUCACCACUAACUAGCCGGGAAUUACAAAGCUAUUCGAGAUGUUCUAAAGAAACAGUGGACAUGAACUCGAGAAGCGUAGAUCUGCCUUCAAUGGCGGGAGGCUGACCUGGUAAAUGCAGCUGGAGGCGUCUGAAGAAAGAUUCGCGGCGAGCAUCGCACGUUCAGCAGCUCCCAGACGGCGGUGAAGAUCUCGGACAGUGACGAAGAUCUCGGACGGCGACGAAGUGCUCGGACGACAGCGAAGCUUCGGGCGGCGACGAAGUUCUCGGGCGGCGGCGGAGCUGUUGGGCGGCGAUGAAGUGCUCGGGCGGCAACGAAGCUCUCGGGUGGCGACGAGGCUCUCGGUGAGACGGCGAGGAAGAAGAGGGCGACAAGAUGGGUAGGUGGAAAUAUGCCCUGUCCCCUCCUCCCGCCUAUUUAUCAGGUCAGGCGCUGGGAUCGAGGCGCCACGAGCGGGAACUGCCAAAAAAGAUAAAGAUUCGCCAUGAUGGCGCCCCAAAAUUUUCGGGAUAGCGAUACCGAAGGAUCCGUUGGACAUUACAUCAUCAUCUCUUCCGAGAUUAAAGGGAUAAGAAGGCGCGAAUAAGAAGUGGUUCAGCGACUUGAGUUUUUCCGCAACAGAUGGCAGUUUAAGUGUAUGGUGCAUGAAAGGAGUGAGAUGAAUCGCCCCUAACUGGGUGAGGAUAUUGGCGUGAAAAAAUUCAAGUCAAUCUGGGGCCUAAUGUUGGGGAUAUUAUCUUUUGGGUAACCCGCCCUAGUUGGGCCGGGUCACCCAAGUUGGUGACUCAUCUCCAAGUGGUUCCGGCCUUGGCCCAGCGAGGCUGGGAGUCGUAUGACGGUUCAGGACCUUCGGGAGAAGUCCAUUGUAGGGAAGAUCUCCAAGUCUUGGAAAGAUGGCGACUUAGAGAUCGAAAGAAUCACGAUUUAUGUGAAGGAAAGGACUCUUGUAAACCCUUAGGACUUGACCUGUAUAUAAAGGCGAGUCCCAGGGAAGGAGAGGAUGGGUUAGAAAUCAUCGAGUGCUAGGUCAGGCGAGUUACGCCCCCUUGUUACCGAAACACCAUCAAUACAAACACCAAGGAGGACGUAGGCCUUUACCUCCUCAUGAGGGGCCGAACCUGGGUAAAUCUCUGUCUCGCUCCCGCAUAACCCCUUUGAGUCGCCACCAAGGUGCGAUGGUUCCAACACGAAGUCCUUUCACGAGGACAUCUGCCGUGACAAAACCACGACACUAAGUAUAGCACUAGAUCGUGUUGUUCGUCUGCUAAAGGUUUUUCUAAUGUCAAGUAUCGUUUCCUCAAAUCAUGAGAUUGUGCAACUCCCGGAUACCGUAGGAGUGCUUUGGGUGUAUCAAACGUCACAACAUAACUGGGUGAUUAUAAAGGUGCACUACAGGUUGUACGAAUCGAGACUGGGAUUUGUCACUCCAUGUGACAGAGAGGUAUCUGUGGGCCCACUCGGUAAUACAUCAGCAUAUUGAGCUCAGUGUGACUAAGGAGUUAGCCGCAGGAUGAUGUGUUACAGAAUGAGUAAAGUAACUUGCCAGUAACAAGAUUGAAAAAGGUACAGGGAUACCGACGAUCGAAUCUCGGGCAAGUAUCAUACCCGUAGACAAAGGGAAUUGCAUACAUGAUUGAUUGAAUCCCCGACAUCAUGGUUCAUCCGAUGAGAUCAUCGUGGAACAUGUAGGAACCAACAUGGAUAUCCACACCCCCUGUUGGUUGUUGACCAGAGAGGUGUCUCGGUCAUGUCUGCAUGCUUGUCGAACCCGUAGGGUCUACACAUUUAAGGUUCGAUGAUGCUAGGGUUAUAGGGAAAUAGUGUACAUGGUGACCGAAGGUUGUUCGGAGUCCCGGAUGAGAUCCUGGAUGUCACGAGGUGUUCCGGAAUGGUCCAGAGGUAAUAUUCAUAUGUAGGAAUUGAGGAUUUGGUCACCGGAAGUGUUUUAGGCGACACCGGUAAUGUACCGGGACCACCGGAUGGGUUCCGGGGGUCCACCGGCAUGGGCCACCAGCCCCAACCUGCUACAUGGGCUAAAAGUGGAAGGGAACCGGCCCCUAAGUGGGUGUUGGGGAACAUCGCAAGGGAAACAAAAAAUUUCCUACGCACAAGAAGACCUAUCAUGGUGAUGUCCAGCUACGAGAGGAGAUCUGGAUCUACGUAGCCUUGUAGAUCGCACAGCAGGAAGCGUUAAGAAACGUGGUUGAUGUAGUGGAACGACCUCACGUCCCUCGAUCCGCCCCGCGAACCGUCCCACGAACAGUCCCGUGAUCCGUCCCACGACCCAUUCCGAUCUAGUGCCGAACAGACGACACCUCCGCGUUCAGCACACGUACAGCACGACGAUGAUCUCGGCCUUCUUGAUCCAGCAAGCAAGACGGAGAAGUAGAUGAGUUCUCCGACAGCGUGACGACGCUCCGGUGGUGGUGAAGGAUCUACUCCUGUAGGGCUCUGCAGAAAUACGAUCUGGAGGUAAAACUAUGGUUUCUAGAUCUGAGUUGCACCUCGCAAAAGUUGUCUCAAGUCAGCCCAAAAUCACCACUAUAUAUAGGAGGGAGGGGAGGAUCCUUGCCUUGAGGGCCAAGCCCUCAAGGGUGCGCUGGCUAGGGAGGAGAACGAGUCCUACUCCAAUCCUACUCCAACUAGGAUUGGAAAGUGGAGUCCUUCCCUUCCUUCCCACCUUUCUUAUUCUGCUUUUCUUUGGUUUUUUAUCCUUGGCGCAUAGGCCCUCUUGGGCUGUCCCACCAGCCCACUAAUGGCUGGUGCGCCACCCCUAGGGCCUUUGGGCUUCCCCUGGGAGGGUUGCCCCCCUCCUGCUGAACAUUCAGAACCCAUUCGUCACUCCCGGUACAAUCCCGGUAAUGCCCGAAAACUUCCCAGUAACCAAAUGAAGUCAUCCUAUAUAUCAAUAUUCGUCUCUCCGGACCAUUCCGGAAACCCUCGUGACGUCCGUGAUGUCAUCCCGGAUUCCGAACAACAUUCGGUAACCACACAUAUAACUCAACUAUACUAAAACAUCGCCGAACCUUAAGUGUGCAAACUCUACGGGUUCGAGAACUAUGUAGACAUGCCCCGAGUUACUCGGUCAAUAUCCAAUAGCGGGACCUGGAUGCCCAUAUUGGAUCCUACAUAAUCUUUGAAGAUCUUAUCGGUUGAACCUCAGUGUCAAGGAUUCAUAUAAUCCCGUAUGUCAUUCCCUUUGUCCUUCGGUAUGUUACUUGUCCUAGAUUCGAUCGUCGGUAUCCGCAUACCUAUUUCAAUCUUGUUACCGGCAAGUCUCUUUACUCAUUCUGUAAUACAAGAUCCCAUGACUUACACUUAGUCACAUUGCUUGCAAGGCUUGUGUGUGAUGUUGUAUUACCGAGUGGGCCCCGAGAUACCUCUCCGUCACACGGAGAGACAAAUCCCAGUCUUGAUCCAUACUAACUCAACUGACACCUUUGGAGAUACCUUUAGAGCACCUUUAUAGUCACCCAGUUACGUUGUCACGUUUGAUGCAUACAAGGUAUUCCUCCGGUGCCAGUGAGUUAUAUGAUCUCAUGGUCAUAGGAACAAAUACUCGACACGCAAAAAACUAUAGCAAUAAAAUGACACGAUGAAUAUGCUACGUUCAUAGUUUGGGUCCAGUCCAUCACAUGAUUCUCCUAAUGAUGUGAUCCAGUUAUCAAGUAACAACACUUUGCACAUAGUCAGAAAACCUUGACUAUCCUUGAUCAACUGGCUAGGCAACUAGAGGUUUGCUAGGGACAUUGUUUUGUCUAUGUAUCGACACAUGUAUCUAUGUUUUCAUUCAAUAAAAUUAUAGCAUGGAUAAUAAACAAUUAUCUUUAAACAGGAAAUAUAAUAAUAACUAUUUAUCAUUGCCUCUUGGGCAUAUUUCCAACAGUCUCCCACUUGCACUAGAGUCAAUAAUCUAGUCCUCACAUCGCCAUGCGAUUUACAUUGUAAUAAAUCAAACACCCGUACAGUUCUAGUGUUGAUCAUGUUUUGCCCGUGGAAGAAAUAUUCACGUCCUCUCGUUCGACGUAGUCGUGGAUGAGGUUGAAGCGUCGUUUGAUGUGUGUGGUCUUCUUGUGAAACCUUGGUUUGUUUGCUAAGGCAAUGACACCACUGUUGUCACAUAAAAGAUUUAAUGGAUCUAGUGCGCUCGGCACAACACCAAGAUCUGUCAUGAACUGCUUACGAGGCAGCCAUGUACUCCGCUUCACAUGUAGAAUCAGCUACGACGCUCUGCUUGGAACUGCACUAGCUUACCGCACCCUCAUUAAGAAUAAAUACUUAUCCGGUUUGUGACUCAGGGUCAUCCGGAUCGGUGUCAAAACUUGCAUCGACGUAACCUUUUACGACGAGCUCUUUGUAACCUCCAUAAAUGAGAAACAUUUCCUUAGUCCUCUUCAGGUACUUUAGAAUAUUCUUGAACGCCGUCGAGUGAUCCACUCCUAGAUUACUCUGAAACCUGCCUGCCAUACUUAUAGAACCUACGGCUCAAGAGUAGGGGCCAUAACUCAUUUGUUUUCUAUCUUUCGCAGUUGCUGGGCACUGAGUCUUACUCAAUUUUAUACCUUGUAAUACUCGCAAGAACCCUUUCUUGUACUGGUCCAUUUUGAACUUCUUCAAAACUUUAUCAAGGUAUGUGCUUUGUGAAUGUCCUAUCAGGCGUCUCGAUCCAUCCCUAUAGAUCUUAAUGCCUAGAAUGUAAGCAACUUCUCCAAGGUCCUUCAUAGAGAAACUUUUAUUCAAGUAAUCCUUUAUGCUCUCCAAAAGCUCCAUGUUGUUUCCAAUCAGCAAUAUGUCAUCCACAUUGUCGGGACCCCUAUCCUAAGUCAAUGGAAUCCAGCCUAUAACACAUCGCAUCUCUUUGCGGUCUCACACAUGGUUAUCCCCACGGCUGCAGCCUUACCUUACCCGGGACCGUUUGCACCUUUUGACUCGCGUAUGCAAUUGUGUCUCCAGCAAUCCAGUGACAGAGAACCCGGAUCGACAUGUCUAGUCAUAAACCAAAGCGGCAGUUCCGCACAGGGACAGGCAUACAUGACCCAGCAAAGCAGGUGUCGGUCACCAGUGAAUGUAGACGAGUCGUAGCAAGCUACAAGGACUCCAUUACAUCGCGUGACAUUUUCCCAAAGGGGACAUACACAACAGCUAAGAAGGACACAUGCCGGUCAACCAAUGUGUCCGGAGCAGUAGCGAACUACCAUGGCUCGUUGGAUCACAAAGGGGCAUUUCCCUGGAAGGAAUGCUACUAAAGCACACGGCUAGAUAAUCGAACCCCAUACAUAUCAAGUACGACACGUACGCAUGGCAUACUGAUAUGUAUAGAUACAUCGAUGGCAUCACAACAUAACCCUAAACAUACAAGCUUUGUUUAAAAGGCUCGGAAGAGCCUCACACAUAAUAUUACAAAGUAGGGGUCUCACGACCCAUCAUAACAGUCAUUCAAGUUACAAGCUAGUGGAAGUAGAUAAACUGUGUGAGUACAGACAGUUGAAACUAGAAGGCACAUGGCCUGACUAUACUACAGACCCAUCGUAGGGCCAGAUCGUAGGUGGGAUACCAGCUACUCGUCGUCGUCGAUGUCUAGGUAGAACCCUCAUUAGGGUCAUUAACAACCUCUACAACAAAUUAUUAAGAAAACGUGAGUACAGGGGUACUCAGCAAGACUUUAGGAUAACUAUCUACUCAUGCAAGGUAUCAGUAAUGAAUUGUGGGGUUUCAUGCGGAAAGCAAACAUUUGACUCGUGGCUAGACAACUUGCAUUUUUAAAUAAUUUUGAAAACUUGAUUUCUCGCACACGAGUCCACUAGCACCACAACAAUACUCCAUCGUGGAAUCAUUCCGUCUCCAUACGGAAAUGCCGUCCACGACACUCACGCUUAUCUUGACAAUUUUAUGAGUAGCCAUUAAAAUUUUAUGAAAUGGCGGCCGAAGGUUGAAGACAACGGUGUCGAGGGCGUUGCAGGGCUCGGGGGACCUUCUUCUUGGGCAGGGACGAUCAGCUUGUCGAGGCGGAGCGAACGGAGCACUCGGGGGGAAGAACCUGUGGCUAGAGGGCUCAGGCAGCUCGAGCUCGAGCUCCUGUCAAUGGCGGCAGUGGGGAACGAAGCAACCGAGAGGAGAGGGGAGGAAUGGGUCACGGGGAUGGAUAGGGUCGUGCUCGGGGAUGUUAUCCUCGCCUUGCCAGCGCACCGAGAUGUCUAGGCAAGCAGAGAGCUGCGUGGAGGCGGCGGGCAUCGCGGCGGCCACCUCCUGCUCCCACUGGCGAGGAGGAAGACGACACGGGGGGAAGCUGGGCCUGGGCCAAGUGAGCGACAGGUAAGCGUUUUGCUAUUUUUUUCUUGUUUUGUUUUCUGUUUUGCUAACUAUUUUGAUUUGCUAUUUAUUUCAGCUCCAAAAUAGCUUAUAAGAAUAUUUUGAACACACCAGAAUAAUAGUUGGAAUAUUUCCAACCAUUCCUGAAGUUUGCAACAUUUUUGAAACUUGAAAAUAUUUGAAUUCAAAUUUAAACUUGAAUCGAGUAGCUUUUUGAAUUUAAAUAAAAUGACAAAUCUGUUUUAGAAAUAGUUUUCUUCCCCGAUUAUUUGUUUCCAUGAAUUAUCAGAAAAGUUGAACUUUUCUUGAGGCCAUUUUGGGUUCAUUGAUUUGAACAAGUUUAGAAUUUCUUUGAAUUUGAGAAGUGCCUAGGGUUUUUGAGUUUUGCUUCACCACUUACUUUGAUCUUGAUGCAAUUUCUUGGAUGCAAUGCAAUGAAGGUAUGAGCACAAUGCUAAACCUUGGUUAGGGUUCGAGGGAUGUGACAACUCACCCUCACUCAAAAGAAUCUCGUCCCGAGAUUUAGAAGUCGUCGGGAAUAACGUGGGAUACUCAAGUCGGAGACGAUCCUCUCUUUCCCGUGUUGCCUCCUUUUCAGAAUGAUUUGACCAUUGAACUUUAAGAAACUUGAGGUUUCGACGUCGAGUGGUACGCUCAGCUUGAUCAAGAAUACGAACAAGGUAUUCUCGGUAUGAAAAGGUUAUCUUGGAGAUCAAGCGUUUCGUGGUCCACUUCACGGAUAGGAUCCGAAAAGCAACGCCUGAGUUGCGAGACGUGGAAAACAUCAUGAACCUUGGAAAGAUGCGAAGGAAGUUCCAACUGGUAGGCAACUUCUCCUCGUUUGGCAAGAAUGCGAAAAGGACCAAUGUAACGAGGAGCCAACUUGCUCUUGAUACCGAAUCGAUGGGUACCCUUCAAAGGUGUAACCCGAAGGUAAACCUUAUCGUCAACUUCAAAGGUCACAACCUUAUGAUGACGAUCAUAUUGGCUGUUUUGACGAGACUGGAUUGUUUUCAACUUUUCACGAAUAAUGCAAACCUGCUCUUCUGCAUCCUGGAUCAUAUCUGGGCCAAAGAGUUUCCUCUCUCCGGUUUCUCACCAAUUAAGAGGUGUUCGACAUCUUUGUCCAUAGAGAACUUCAAAAGGGGCUUUGGCCAAGCUUGAUUGAUAACUAUUGUUAUAAGCAAAUUCGGCGAAUGGAAGGCACUUCUCCCAAUUCAUACCGAAUGAUAUAACACAAGCUCGGAGCAUAUCUUCUAGGAUUUGAUUCACCCUUUCUACUUGACCACUGGAUUGAGGAUGGAAAGCAGUGUUAAAAGAUAAGUGAGUCCCCAUAGCAUUCUGAAAGCUUUCCCAGAAGCGAGAAGUAAAGAUACUCCCACGGUCUGAGUUAAUCUCCAAGGGAACACCAUGAAGAGACACUAUUCGAGAGAUAUAUAACUCUGCUAGCUGGCUAGCUGUUAUACUCUCACGAACUGGAAGAAAAUGAGCUACUUUGGAGAGACGGUCAAUGACCACAAAGAUAGCAUUAUUUCCUUUCUUGGUCUUGGGAAAUCGAGUAAUGAAAUCCAUACUGACUUUAUCCCAUUUCCAUUCAGGAAUAGCUAAAGGUUGAAAGGUGCCAGUAGGCCUUUGAUGUUCUACCUUAACUCGACGACAAACGUCGCAGUUAGAAACGAACUCAGCAAUUUCUCUCUUCAUCCUAGUCCACCAAAACCGCUGGCGUAGGUCCUCAUACAUCUUAGUACUACCAGGAUGAAUGGUGAGAGGAGAAUCAUGAUCCUCCUUAAGGAUCAAUUGCCGCAGACGUUUGCUCUUAGGAACCGCUAAACGGUUCUGAAAGAACACAACACCUUUCUCAUUGAUGGAGAAAUCCCUAGCAUUUCCGCUAGCAAUAUUCGACUUGAUCCGGGAUAUACCCUUAUCAUAAGCCUGCACGGCUAUGAUUUGAUCUCUAAGAGUAGGCUUCGCCACCAGGGUAGAAAGAAAUCCUUGAGGAACAAUAUGAAGAUUUAACUUCCGAAAUUCCUUAUAGAGAUGUGGUUGACCUCGUUGUAGCAUCAAAUUGUUACAAUAAGACUUACGACUUAGUGCAUCGGCCAUAACAUUGGCCUUCCCCGGGGGUAAGUUAUACCUAAGUCGUAAUCCGUGAUCAACUCAACCCACCGUCUUUGCCUGAGAUUCAAAUCCGGCUGGGUGAAGAUAUAUUUCAUACUUUGGUGAUCAGUGAAUAUUUCGCAACGAUUACCAAGAAGGUAAUGUCGCCAGGUUUUAAGUGCAUGGACUACAGCUGCAAGCUCAAGAUCAUGUGUGGGAUAAUUAUCCUCAUGUGGACGCAACUGUCGAGAUGCGUAUGCAAUCACAUGACGAUCUUGCAUGAGAAUGCAACCUAAUCCUUGUCGCGAGGCAUCGCAAUAAAUAACAAAGUCCUUAGAAAAAUCUGGUGGUAGCAACACAGGUGCGGAAGUCAGGCGUCUUUUGAGUUCCUGAAAACUAUGCUCACACUGUGGUGUCCACUCGAACUUUUUAUAUUUCUUGAGAAGUUCAGUUAGAGGCUUUGUAACCUUGGAGAAAUUCUUGACAAAGCGGCGACAAUAGCUCGCUAGACCAAGAAAACUCCUAACUUGCUUAACCGAUUCAGGUUGAGUCCAAUCAAGGACAGCUUGAACUCUCUCGGGAUUGAUAGCAAUACCCUUUCUAGAGAUUACGUGACCUAGAUAGGUCACUUCUGGUAACCAAAAUUCACAUUUUGAAAACUUGGCAUAAAGGUGAUGCUCUCGAAGUUUCAUCAAUACCAGCUUUAGAGGCUCGGCAUGUUCUUGUUCGUUCUUCGAGUAGAUGAGAAUAUCAUCGAGGUAUACCACGACGAAUUUAUCCAAAUACUCCAUGAAGAUUGAAUUCAUCAAGCGAGAGAAGGUGGCUGGGGCAUUGGUUAAACCGAAGGGCAUGACGGUGUACUCGUAUUGGCCAUAACGAGUAACAAAAGCCGUUUUUGUAAUGUCCCCGUUUUUUAUCUUGAUUUGAUGGUAUCCCAACCUCAAAUCCAUUUCGGAGAAGAUUGAGGAUCCAGCGAGCUGAUCAUAGAGGUCGUUGAUCCUGGGGAGCGGAUACUUGUUCUUUAUGUUGACCAGAUUAACUGGUCGGUAAUCUACAACCAUCCGAUCCGUUCCGUCUUUCUUCUUGACGAAGAGGACGGGACAAGCCCAAGGAGAAGAGCUAGUACGAAUGAAACCUUUAUUCAAGGCCUCAUCUAGUUGAUUCUUAAGUUCGGCUAGCUCCAGGGGUGCCAUCUUAUAUGGUCUUCUGGCUAUUGGAACAGUCUUGGAACAAGAUCUAUUACGAACUCUACAUCUCUGCCAGGUGGAAUUCCUGGCAUUUCCUCUGGAAAAACAUCCAGAAAGUCACGGACUACCGCAAUGUCUUCAAGUUCCGGAAGAGGGUUGGCAUUGAGGGAAUAGAGUUGGCAUUUGGCAACUCGAGUAGAGACAUUGACUAUAUCACCCGAGGGAUGGGUAAGCUGAACAUUUCUGGUAUGAGUAUAAAUCUUGGCAUAGUGAGCUGACAUCCAGUCCAUACCCAAGAUGAUAUUAAUAUCCGAGGAUUUCAGGGCUAUCAAUGAUGCUUGAAAAACUAGCCUGUCUACUAGAAUUUCAUUGUCAUAAGAUAUCCUAGAGGUUUGCCACUUACUACCAAGGGUUUGGACAACCAAUGGGAUUAGCAUAUCACAGAAAGACAUGUUAUGCAACUGUGCAUAACUUUAUGAAAUGAAGGAAUGAGAACACCCAGUGUCAAAAAGAACAAACGCUGGGUGAUGAUUAACAAGAAGCGUACCAAGUAUGACGUCGGGAUCCUCUGCAACUUCUUCUGCUGAGACAUAGUUCACACGGCCACGUGCAGGAGUUGGCUUCACAUAGUAAGCUUUGCCCGACUUGCCUUGCCCAACGGACUUUCCGGGUUGCUUGGCACCCACAUUCUGAGGACACUCACGGGAAUAGUGCCCUGGUUCUCCACACUUGUAACAGAUCACUUGAUUGGCACGCGGUGCAGCAUUGCUAGCUGGACCACCAUAGGUUUUUGCUGGGGGGGUUGGUCUGAUUCGACUGAGGCGCCACAUAGGAUGGCCUCGGAGUGUAUCUUGGGGGCAGAGAACUGUUUGGAACCCACAGCCUGCGUUUUGGAAACGCGGAACCAGAUGACGAGCCAAAGUCACGGGAGUGCUUCUUUGUGGCUUCAUAGUCGGUAUGACCAGUCUCGGCACUGAUCGCCUUGUUGACCAGGGCUUGGAAGCUUGUACACUCAGGGAGGCGCAAAUCACGACCAAGCUCAGGGCUCAGACCCUUACGGAAUCUUACUUGCUUCUUGGCAUCAGUAGACACCUCCUCUGUUGCAUAGCGGGCGAGGUUACCGAACUCGCGGCUAUAGGCAUCCACGGUCAACUUUCCUUGGGUGAAUGCACAGAACUCCUCUCUCUUUCUGUCCAUCAGGCCCUCUGGAAUAUGGUGCAGACGGAAUGCUGCACUAAAGUCUGCCAUGUGGCUGCUGGUUCAGCAGGACGCAUAGCUUCAAAGUUCUCCCACCACAGAUUGGCGGGUCCUUCGAGAAAAUACGCCGCAAAGGUCGCCUUGUCGUCCUCAGAAACGUUCGUAGAGCGAAUCUUUCGUGAAAUACUGCACAGCCAAUCAUCAGCGUCGAGGGGAUCGACGGAGUGAUGGAACUUUGGAGAAUUCAGCUUCACAAAGUCAUUGAGGGACACUACAGCAUUCCUAGGUUGACGAUCCGUAUUUUUCUCAAUACGCUAUAACAGUCAGUUUGUCUCCCUUUUGUUUCUCUCUGCCUCAAGCAUAACUUCCCCGAGAUAGGGCGGGUGAGGCAGCUCUUCCUGUGACGCUUGACUACCCUUUCCUUGCUCAUGAGCAGGGGCACGGUUCAACCUAGUGAACACCAUCCUGACAAACAAACUCACAGCUUAGACAAAUAUCAACAUCAAUGCUAGUUAUGGAUUAAGAAUGCACUGAACACAUGGAAUGCGGAAUUGAAUAUCCGAACAGCAUGGUAACAAGAAACUGCUAUAUAUACACCAUGGUUCAUACACACCAUUACAAAGUUCAGUACAACCUUAACCGAAGAGCAAACUACUGAAAUUAUGAAACUACUCAUGAGAGGCUUACAAGCUUCCUAUACAUUAUUUGUCUAUGCCUCCGGAAUUCAUUUCACAUCACAAGCAUACUUCACAAGUCACACAGGACUGUGAACGUACAGCUACUACCAUACUAUCCUUCCACUCACGGUUCAGGCAUCCGCAUAGAACAUCUCAUAAAGAUUGCCUCCAUGUCCUGGAAGCUCAACCUGCGGAUCAGGAAAUACUCAGGCCUAAGAUCCCUGGGAUCCAUAAGGACACGGAUGUGGCCUUGGUCCCCUGACUGGUGGUAGUAGGGGUCCUCGAAGAGGGGUGACUCCUCCUAUAGCGGGCCAGUCAACAUGAGUCGGAAGAUGGGUUCUAACAGGGUUCAGCAUCUCCAUAUCUCCAUACCUUGUCUGGACUACCGGUGCUAGCUGCAUCAAAGCCGUCCACAUACGGACAGGUGUAGCAUAAAGCUCCAUGCGGAGGGCACGAGCAUCCCUGUCUCUAUUCUCUAGCAUCUCAGCAGUGGACUGCAGUAGCGGAUCCUCCAUAGAGGAAUCAAAGUAGACCCCGCUGAGGUAUCCUUGUUCACCUGGCUGAGAAGCAGGAGCAUAGCAGAACUCUGAAUUCUGCGGGAGUGCAUGUCUAGCCCUCAUGAUGGUCAACAUUGAAUAGGCAGCAUCUUGUACUGCCAUGUCAACAGUGACUCCCAAUCCAUAAGACCAAUGGAUUGGCUCCUCAGCUCCAGUGUAAUCUGGGAAUACCCUAACAGUGCAGAUAUACUAGCUCUGGUUGAAGUCUCGGUACUGUUCCUCCACUGUGUACUCUGGGUACCAGCGGUAACCGCACACCGACAUCACCCUCAGUAGCAUGGCCGUAUGACCCGCACAUCAAUGCACCUAGUCAGAUGAACCACCUGACGAGAAGGACGGCUAGGCAUCUGUAAAUAGAGAGUAAUGCAAAAGCAUUAGAGCUCUGAAUGCAAAAUUGGGCAGCAUAACGGCUAUAAAUGCUCAAAAACAAUUUUGAGACAACCCAUAAAAUAGAAUAGAUUAACCACUCAACUACCAAGUUCAAUUCUCUGAUCAUCAAACUUACUUCCUUUUCCUAGGAAUAAAAGAAACCCGAAAUAAGUCUCGACCCGUAGUCCUAUAAUCUACCGAUCCGAAACACGAGCCUAGAAGAAGAUGAGUAACCUAGUCCUUAAUUCCCGCAGAAAAGACGAGGAUGACCAGAAUAGAAUAACUUGAGAAGAGAACAAGAGUCUUACAUUCCCUUCCACAAACAAUUCCCUUAUAUAUAACUAAAGCAAUUCCAGACUCAAUUUCGACCAGUUUGGCUUAGUAAUCCUACAGUCAGUCAGGCUCUGAUACCAACGCUGUCGGGACCCCAAUCCUCAGUCAAAGGAAUCCAUCCUGUAACACAUCGCAUCUCUUUGCGGUCUCACGCACGGUUAUCCCCACGGCUGCAGCCUUACCUUAGCCGGGACCGUUUGCGCCUUUUGACUUGCGUAUGCAAUUGUGUCGCUAGCAAUCUAGUGACAGAGAACCUGGAUCGACAUGUCUAGUCAUAAACCAAAGCGACAGUUCCUCACAGGGACAAGGAUACAUGACCCAGCAAAGCAGGUGUCGGUCACCAGCGAAUGUAGACAAGUCAUAGCAAGCUACAGGGACUCAAUUACAUCGCGUGACAUUUUCCCAAAGGGGACACACACAACAGCUAAGAAGGACACAUGCCGGUCAACCAAUGUGUACGGAGCAGUAGUGAACUACCAUGGCUCGUUGGAUCACAAAGGGGAAUUUCCCUGUAAGGAAUGCUACUAAAGCCUACGGCUAGGUAAUCGAACCCCAUACAUAUCAAGUACGACACACGUACGCAUGGCAUACUGAUAUGUAUAGAUACAUCGAUGGCAUCACAACAUAACCAUAAACAUACAAGCUUUAUUUAAAAGGCUCAGAAGAGCCUCACACAUAAUAUUACAUAGUAGGGGUCUCACGACCCAUCAUAACAGUCAUUCAAGUUACAAGCCAGCGGAAGUCGAUAAACUGUCUAAGUACAGACAGAUGAAACUAGAAGGCACAUGGCCUGACUUACUACAGACCCAUCCUAGGGCCAGAUAGUAGCUGGGAUACCAGCUACUCGUCGUCGUCGAUGUCUAGGUAGAGCCCUCCAUUAGGGUCAUUAACAACCUCUGCAAAAAAUUAUUAAGCAAACGUGAGUACAGGGGUACUUAGCAAGACUUUAGGAUAACUAUCUACUCAUUCAAGGUAUCAAUAAGGAAUUGUGGGGUUUCAUGCGGAAAGCCAGCAUUUGACUCGUGGCUAGACAACUUGCAUUUUUAAAUAAUUUUGACAACUUCAUUUCUCGCACACGAGUCCACUAACACCACAACAAUACUCCAUCAUGGAAUCAUUCCGUCUCCAUACGGAAAUGCCGUCCACGACACUCACGCUUAUAUUGACAAUUUUAUGAGUAGCCAUUAAAGUUAUCUAUGAACAACAUAUGUCUCCAAGUAGUCCAUAUCCGCGGACGCGACUAUUCGAAUAGAUCAUAACCCUGCAGGGGUGUACUUCGUCACACACGCUCUCGCCACUUAUCGCCAUGUGCACGUCAUGCACCUCGGCAACCUUCAAGCGGAAGCCCAGCGAGGGAGUCGGCCACGACCGUUAACCACGCUAAUACUUAGUCCAGGUCUAUCGCCUAUCUGAGGGUAACCUGCACGGAAGUCCGGCCAUGGUUUCCGCCAUGGCCCCAAACGAUGUGCGCAGGGUUCCCAAGCCCACCAUCCAGGUGCCACUUGGUACACCGUGCCACUGCCUACCGCAUCACAGCCCACCUCUCAGGUCAGCGCUAUGAACGGCCUCUAGCAUGACUAUAAACACCAGAAACUACUUGCAACUCCUGGACCGAGUACUAAGUGAUUAAUAAGUCGAGAGGGUCAAUUAAGUAUCCCAACGUGUGGUAGUAUCUAGUCUUGGAUUACAUAGACGGAACUCAGUUCCUAAGGACGAUUCCAAUGAAACAACCCGCCAUGUACUCCUACAUAGCCUUUCACCGGUACCUUUACCAAAUCAGGUUCAACACACAACCUUUACUUACUGAACACAUUCUCACAAUUCUUUUCAUCUCCCAGAUGACAGACCAUACACAACUCUAAGCACAGCAUGCAUAGCAGGAUAAGGCACAUCAUGGCUCAAGCAUCUACCAGGUAUGCUAGGUUGCAAGGUUCAGCUAUUUACUGUGACAAAGACAGGUUAUGCAAAGGAAGUGGGUUCAACUAAUGUGGCAAAAGCAUUUGAAGCAUUUGAUCCUAAUGCAAUAAGUAAGUGCAGGAGCGAGAACAUGGGAUUUAUCGGGAUGAUCAAAAUGGUUGCUUGCCUUGUUGCUUAGUAGAGGGACAAUAUCCGUUAAUCGGAUAUUCGGUGGAAUCCGGAGGAGCGGAGCCUACAGAUAGAAAUGACAUCAAUUAAUAACAAUCAUAUGCAGCAAAAUGAUGCAUGGGCAUGGCAUGAAUAUGCAUGGUGGUAUGCUAAUUUAGCUACCAUUAUUAGGUUGAAGUGGAUUUGAAUAAGAUUCAAAUAUCACUUCAAGCGAGGUAUUCUCGAAUACCAUUUUAAUUGAUUCAACCUGAUGUUCAGAUCAACUUGUUUUUAACAUGCAUGGGAAUGAUACGUUAAGUUGCUGGUUGUGAUUGAUCAUUGUUUCAUCAUAGCAUUUGAAGUGGAAUUUAAAUGAUUUUCAAAUUCCAACUCCAAAGCAUUUAUUAAAUUUACCCUAUUCAUCAUUUUACAUGUUUUGUCCAGUAACAUUUUCAAACGUGUUUGAAAAUGAUAUAUUCAGAUUCCUUGGAUUUUUCUGAUACUUUUUCAUAUAUAAAUUAUUUCCAUUGGAGUUACAGAUUAAUUUCUAUGAUUUUUAGAAGUUUUGGGCAUUUUCUGGAAUUCUUUUAAAUUAGAAUAGCUACUUAUUGCCUCAGGCCCACGUCAGCAUGGCGUCAGCCGUUGGCUGACCUGGUCAGGUCAAACCCGACAGGGGGGACCCACUGGUCAGCCUCACAGGGCUAAUCCCGCGCUGACCAGCCCCUGAUUGCGUUUGACUUGCGCAUGCGCCCACUGUCAGCGACUACUUAGAGUUUAAACCGGCAGAGUAGUAAAGCGAGGUCAGAUCCUGCCAGAACUGACCGGCGGCGACCAGAUCCGUGUCAGAGAGUCACCGGAGUUAGCUCUGGUGCUCGGGAACGAGGGCUGAGAGCAGUGGGAGGAUCCCCAGCCUCGGCCUCAUCUUGUACUAGCCUCAGGGAGGACUGGGGAGGACCGGAGGUCAUCGGCGACGAGCGGAGGCGACGGCCGGAACUCGGGCUCGUCGGUUUAGCGGCUAGGGUGCACCAAACUGAGGGGAAGAAGAGGGGAAACGAGCGCAAUCUCACGGGGAGUGCAGUGGAGGGCUUAGACGGCUCGGGGAGGUGCUGUGGUCAACGAAUCCAACGAAGAUCGCCGGCGGCCGAAGGUUGAAGACGACGGUGCCGAGGGCGUUGCAGGGCUCGGGGGACCUUCUUCUUGGGCAGGGACGACCAGCUUGUUGAGGCGGAGCGAACGGAGCACUCGGGGGGAAGAACCUGUGGCUAGAGGGCUCGGGCAGGUCAAGCUCCUAUCAAUGGCGGGAGUGGGGAACGAAGCAACCGAGAGGAGAGGGGAGGAAUGUGUCACGAGGAUUGAUAGGGUCGUGCUCGGGGAGGUUAUCCUCGCCUUGCCAGCGCACCGAGAUGUCCAGGCAAGCAGAGAGCUGCGUGGAGGUGUCGGGCGUCGCGGCGGCCACCUUCUGCUCCCACCGGCGAGGAGGAAGACGACACGGGGGGAAGUUGGGCCUGGGCCAGGUGAGCGACAGGUAAGCGUUUUGCUAUUUUUUUUCUUGUUUUGUUUUCUGUUUUGCUAACUAUUUUGAUUUGCUAUUUAUUUCAGCUCCAAAAUAGCUUAUAAGAAUAUUUUGAACACACCAGAAUAAUAGUUGGAAUAUUUCCAACCAUUCUUGAAGUUUGCAACAUUUUUGAAACUUCAAAAUAUUUGAAUUCAAAUUUAAACUUGAAUCCAGUAGCUUUUUGAAUUUAAAUAAAAUGCCAAAUCUGUUUUAGAAAUAGUUUUCUUCCCUGAUUAUUUGUUUCCAUGAAUUAUCAGAAAAGUUGAACUUUUCUUGAGGCCAUUUUGGGUUCAUUGAUUUGAAAAAUUUUAGAAUUUCUUUGAAUUUGAGAAGUGGCUAGGGUUUUUGAGUUUUGCUUCACCACUUACUUUGAUCUUGAUUCAAUUUCUUGGAUGCAAUGCAAUGAAGAUAUGAGCACAAUGCUAAACCUUGGUUAGGGUUCGAGGGAUGUGACACACAUAUAAUAUUAUGAAGGCCACAGAGCUCCCACUCACUUUGUUGUAAAUACAAGAUUCUCCAACCACUUGUAUAAACCCAAAUGCUUUGAUCACCUCAUCAAAGCGCUUAUUCCAACUCCGAGAUGCUUGCACCAGUCCAUAAAUGGAUCGCUGGAGCCUGCAUACUUUGUUAGCAUUCUUUGGAUCGACAAAACCUUCAGGUUGAAUCAUAUGCAACUCUUCAUUAAGAAAACCGUUAUGGAACGCCGUUUUGACAUCCAUCUGCCAGAUUUCAUAAUCGUAAAAGGCAGUUAUUGCUAACAUGAUUCGGACGGACUUAAGCACCGCUACCGGUGAGAAAGUCUCAUCGUAGUCAACUCCUUGAACUUGUGAAAAACCCUUUGCCACAAGUCGAGCUUUAUAAAUGGUCACAUUACUGUCUGCGUCCGUCUUCUAAAUAGCCUUGCGGCCUUCAGGUAGUACUUCCAAAGUCCACACUUUGUUCUCGUACGUGGAUCCUAACUCGGACUCUAUGGCCUCUAGGCAUUUGUUGGAAUCCGGGCCCACCGUUGCCUCUUCAUAAUUCGCACGUUCAUUGUUGUCCAACAACAUAUUCGUUAAGACAGGAUUACCGUACCACUCAGGAGCAGUACGUGAUCUUGUCGACCUGCGAGGUCCGAUGGCAACUUGAUCCGAAGUUUCAUGAUCAUCAUCAUCAACUUGUUCCUCAACCGAGGCCGCAGCAACAGGGGUUUCCCCUUGCCCUGCGCCACCUUCUAGAGGAAUUAGAGGUUCGACAACCUCAUCAAGUUCAAUCUUCCGCCCACUCAAUUCUUUCGAGAGAAACUCUUUCUCAAGAAAAGUUCUGUUUUUACCAACAAACAUUUUGCCCUCGGAUUUGAGAUAGAAGGUAUACCCAACUGUCUCUUUUGGGUAACCUAUGAAGACGCACUUUUCCGCUUUGGGUUCCCACUUUUCAGGCUGAAGCUUUUUGACCUAAGCAUCACAUCCCCAAACUUUAAGAAACGACAAAUUUGGUCGUUUGCCAUACCACAGUUCGUAUGGUGUCGUCUCAACGGAUUUUGAUGGUGCCCUAUUGAAAGUGAAUGCAGCUAUCUCUAAUGCAUAACCCCAAAAUGAUAAUGGAAAAUCGGUAAGAGACAUCAUAGAUUGCACCAUCUCUAAUAAAGUACGAUUACGAUGUUUGGACACACCAUUACGCUGUGGUGUUCCAGGCGGUGUCAAUUGUGAAACAAUUCCACAUUGUCUUAAGUGAGCACCAAACUCGAAACUCAGAUAUUCUCCCCCACGAUCAGACCAUAGAAACUUGAUCUUUUUGUUACGAUGAUUUUCAACUUCACUCUGAAAUUGCUUGAACUUUUCAAACGUUUCAGACUUGUGCUUCAUCAAGUAGACAUAGCCAUAUCUACUCAAUUCGUCAGUGAAGGUGAGAAAAUAAUGAUAUCCAUCGUGCGCCUCCACACUCAUCGGACCGCACACAUCGGUAUGUAUGAUUUCCAACAAAUCACUUGCACGCUCCAUUGUUCCGGAGAACAGAGUCUUAGUCAUCUUGCCCAUGAGGAAUGGUUCACACGUGUCAAGUGAAUCAAAGUCAAGUGACUCCAAAAGUCCAUCGGUAUGGAGUUUCUUCAUCCGCUUUACACGAAUAUGACCUAAGCGACAGUUCCAUAAAAACAUGGUGCUAUCAUUGUUAACUCUAACUCUUUUAGUCUCAAUGUUAUGUAUAUGUGUAUCAUCUCUAUCAAGAUUCAAUGUGAACAAUCCUCUCACAUUGGGUGCAUGACCAUAAAAGAUAUUACUCAUAGAAAUAGAACAACCAUUAUUCUCUGACUUAAACAAGUAACCGUCUCGCAAUAAACAAGAUCCAGAUAUAAUGUUCAUGCUUAACGCAGGCACUAAAUAACAAUUAUUUAAGUUCAUAACUAAUCCUGAUGGUAACUGAAGUGAAACUCUGCCGACGGUGAUUGCAUCAACCUUGGAACCAUUUAAAACGCACAUCGUCAGUUCAUGUUUCACCAGCCUUCGCUUAUUCCGCAGUUCCUGUUUCGAGUUGCAAAUAUGAGCAACAGAACCAGUAUCGAAUACCCAGGCACUACUACGAGAGAUGGUUAAGUACACAUCAAUAACAUGUAUAUCGAAUAUACCUGAUUUUUCCUUGGCCGCCAUCUUAUCAACCAGAUCCUUGGGGCAGUUGCGCUUCCAGCGACCCAUACCCUUGCAAUAAUAACACUCUGUUUCAGGCUUAGGUCCAGCUCUGGUUUUCUUCGUCGGAUUGGCAAUAGGCUUUCCACUCUUCUUGGAGUUACCCUUCUUUCCUUUGUCGUCUCUCUUGAAACUAGUGGUCUUACUCACUAUCAAUAGUUGAUGCUCUUUACGGGGUUAUGACUCUGCGACUUUUAGCAUCGCGAAUAACUCACCGGGUGACUUGUUCAUCCCUUGCAUGUUAUAGUUCAACACAAAGCUCUUGUAGCUUGGUGGCAGUGAUUGAAGAAUUCUGUCAGUGAUAGCCUCUUGCGGGAGUUCAAUCCCGAGCUCAGCUAGACGGUUUGAGUACCCAACCAUUUUGAGCAAAUGUUCAUUGACAGACGAAUUCUCCUCCAUCUUGCAAGCAUAGAAUUUAUCGGAGGUCUCAUACCUCUCGAUCUGGGCAUUAUUACGAAAGAUAAACUUCAACUCCUGGAACAUCUCAAAUGCUCCAUGACGCUCAAAGCGACGUUGAAGUCCCGGGUCUAAGCCAUACAAGACUGCACAUUGAACUACUGAGUAGUCCUCCUUACGGGUUAACCAACCGUUCUUAACAUCUUGGUCAGCCGUAGCGGGUGGUUCAUCUCCUAGCGCAGUAUUAAGGACAUAAUCCUUCUUCCCGUCUUGUAGGAGCAACUUAAGAUUACAAGCCGAGUCUACAAAGUUGCUUCCAUCAUCUUUCAACUUAGGUUUCUCUAGGAACGUAUUAAAAUUUAGGGUGACUAUCGCAUGAGCCAUUGAUCUACAACACAAAUAUUUUCAAAGUGGACUUAGACUAUGUUCAAGAUAAUUAGAGUUUAACUAAUCAAAUUACUUGCUAAACUCCCACUCAAAAAGUACAUCUCUCUAGUCAUUUGAGUGGUACAUGAUCCAAAUUCACUAACUCAAGUCCGAUCAUCACAUGAGUUGAGAGCAGUUUCAGUGAUAAGCAUCUCUAUGCUAAUCAUAUCUACUAUACGAUUCAUGCUCGACCUUUCGGUCUCAUGUGUUCCGAGGCCAUGUCUGCACAUGCUAGGCUCGUCAAGCUUAACCCGAGUGUUCCGCGUGUGCAACUGUUUUGCACCCAUUGUAUGUGAACGUUGAGUCUAUCACACCCGAUCAUCAUGUGGUGUCUCGAAACGACGAACUGUAGCAACGGUGCACAGUCGGGGAGAACACAAUUUCGUCUUGAAAUUUUAGUGAGAGAUCACCAUAUAAUUGUACCGUCGUUCUAAGCAAAAUAAGGUACAUAAAAGGACUAACAUCACAUGCAAUUCAUAAGUGACAUGAUAUGGCCAUCAUCAUGUGGUUCUUGAUCUCCAUCACCAAAGCACCGGCAUGAUCUUCUUGUCACCGGCACCACACCAUGAUCUCCAUCAUCAUGAUCUCCAUCAACGUGUCGCCAUCAGGGUUGUCAUGCUAAUUAUGCUAUUACAACUAAAGCUACGUCCUAGAAAUACAGUAAACACAUCUACAAAGACAAACGUUAGUUUAAAGAUAACCCUAUGGCUCCUGCCAGUUGCCUUACCAUCGACGUGCAAGUCGAUAUUAACUAUUACAACAUGAUCAUCUCAUACAUCCAAUAUAUCUCAUCACGUCAUUGGCCAUAUCAUAUCACAAGCAUACCGUGCAAAAACAAGUUAGACGUCCUCUAAUUUGUUGUUGCAUGUUUUACGUGGCUGCUAUGGGUAUCUAGUAGAUCGCAUCUUAUUUACGCAAAAACCACAACGGAGAUGUGCGAAUUGCUAUUUAACUUCUCCAAGGACCGCCCUGGUCAAAACCAAUUCAACUAAAGUUGAACAAACCGACACCCGCCAGUCAUCUUUAUGCAAAAAAGAUUGCAUGUCAAGCGAUGAAACCAGUCUUUCGUAAGCGUAUGAAUAAUGUCGGUCUGGGCCGCUUCAAUCCAACAAUACCGCCGAAUCGAGAAAAGACUAAGGAGGGCAGCAAAUCGAACAUCACCAUCCACAAAACCCAUUGUGUUCUACUCGAGAUAACAUCUACGCAUGAACCUAGCUCAUGAUGUUGUUGGGGGACGUCGCAUGGGAAACAAAAAAUUUCCUACGCACACGAAGACCUAUCAUGGUGAUGUCCAUCUAUGAGAGGAGAUUUGGAUCUAUGUACGCUUGUAGAUCGCAUAGCAGGAAGCGUUAAGAAAUGUGGUUGAUGUAGUGGAACAUCCUCACGUCCCUCGAUCCACCCCGCGAACCGUCCCACGAACCGUCCCACGAUCCGUCCCACGAACCGUUCCGAUCUAGUGCCGAACGGACGACACUUCCGCAUUCAGCACACGUAUAGCUCGACAAUGAUCUCGGCCUUCCUGAUCCAGCAAGCAAGACGGAGAAGUAGAUGAGUUCUCAGGCAGCGUGACGGCGCUCCGGUGGUGGUGAAGGAUCUACUCCUGCAGGGCUCCGCCCGAGCUCCGCAGAAAUACGAUCUAGAGGUAAAACUAUGGUGUCUAGAUCUGAGUUGCACGUGGCAAAAGUUGUCUCAAAUCAUCCCUAAAUCACCACUAUAUAUAGGAGGGAGGGGGAGGAGGCUUGCCUUGAGGGCAAAGCCCUCAAGGGUGCACCGGCUAGGGAGGAGGAGGAGUCCUACUCCAGUCCUACUCCAACUAGGAUUGGAAAGUGGAGUCCUUCCCUUCCUUCCCACCUUUCUUUUUUUAUUUUCUUUGGUUUUUAUCCUUGGCGCAUAGGCCCUCUUGGGUUGUCCCACCAGCCCACUAAUGGCUGGUGCGCCACCACUAGGGCCUUUGGGCUUCCCCCGGGAGGGUUGCCCUCCUCCCGGUGAACAUCCAGAACCCAUUCGUCACUCCCGGUACAAUCCCGGUAAUGCCCGAAAACCUUCCGGUAACCAAAUGAAGUCAUCCUAUAUAUCAAUCUUCGUCUAUGGACCAUUCCAGAAAUGCUCGUGACGUCUGUGAUCUCAUCUGGGACUCUGAACAACAUUCGGUAACCAUAGAUAUAACUCAACUAUAAUAAAACAUCACCGAACCUUAAGUGUGCACACCCUGCUGGUUCGAGAACUAUGUAGACAUGCCCCAAGGUACUCCUCGGUCAAUAUCCAAUAGCGAGACCUGGAAGCCCAUAUUGGAUCCUACAUAUUCUCCGAAGAUCUUAUCGGUUGAACCUCAGUGUCAAUGAUUCAUAUAAUUUCGUAUGUCAUUGCCUUUUGUCCUCCGGUAUGUUACUUGCCCGAGAUUCGAUCGUCGCUAUUCGCAUACCUAUUUCAAUCUCGUUACCGACAAUUCUCUUUACUCGUUCCCUAAUACAAGUUCCCAUGACUUACACUUAGUCACAUUGCUUGCAAGGCUUGUGUGUGAUGUUGUAUUACCGAGUGGGCCCCGAGAUACCUCUCCGUCAAACGGAGUGACAAAUCCCAAUCUUGAUCCGUACUAACUCAAAGGACACCUUCGGAGAUACCUGUAGAGCACCUUUAUAGUCACCCAGUAACAUUGUGACAUUUGAUGCACACAAGGUAUUCCUCCGGUGCCAAUGAGUUAUAUUAUCUCAUGGUCAUAGGAACAAAUACUUGACACGCAGAAAACUAUAGCAAUAAAACGACACAAUCAAUAUGCUACUUUCAUAGUUUGGGUCUAGUCCAUCACAUGAUUCUCCUAAUGAUGUGAUCCAGUUAUCAAGUAACAACACUUUGCACGUAGUUAGAAAACCAUGACUAUCCUUGAUCAACUAGCUAGACAACUAGAGGCUUGCUAGGGACAUUCUUUUGUCUAUGUAUCCACACAUGUAUCUAUGUUUUCAUUCAAUACAAUUAUAGCAUGGAUAAUAAAUGAUUAUCUUUAAACUAGAAAUAUAAUAAUAACUAUUUAUCAUUGCCUCUAGGGCAUAUUUCUAACAGUGGGCUGGUGCGCCUCCACAAUCAGCCUAAGCCGCAUCAAGGGGUGGAGGAGGCAACACCCUAGGCGUGGGGAGGCCACCUUGGGCCUCAAGGCCCACCCUAGGGUGCCUCCACCACGGUGGCUGCCACCCAAAGCCAUCUAGGGCUGCCGUACCCUUAGGGUGGGAAACCCUAAAGGGUGGGCAUCCUCCUCCCUCUCCUCCUAUAUAUAGUGAGGGUUUUGGGCUGAUUUGAGACAACAAUUUCUCUCUCUCUCUCAGCGCAGCCCUACUCCUCCUCAGUAGUGCUUGGCGAAGCCCUGUCGGAGUGCCACGUAGCUCCACCAUCACCACGCCGUCGUGUUGCCGGAGCUCUCCCUCAAUCUCUCCCUCCUUGCUAGAUCAAGGCGUUGGAGACGUCAUCGGGCUACACGUCUGUUGAACGCGGAGGCACCGUUGUUUGGUGCAUCGAUCAUAAUCCACCGUGAUCUCAAUCGCCGCGAGUACGACUCCAUCAAAAGUGGCUUCUGCUUAGCGAUCUUUAAAGGUAUGAAGAUGCUCUACCCCUUUUCUCGUUGUUGGUUUCUCCAUAGAUAGAUCCUUGCAUGACGUAGGAUUUUUUUUGAAAUUACUACGUUCCCCAACAGUGGCAUCCGAGCGAAGGUUCUUUGCGUAGAUUCUAUGCACGAGUAGAACACAAAAUUUGUGGGUGUUGAUUUUGUGAGUUGAUUGCCGUUACUAGUCUUAUCUUUAUUCGACGACAUUGUGGGAUGAAGCGGCCCGAACCAACUUUACACGUACUCUUACGUGAGACUGGUUCCACCGACCGACAUGCACUUGUUGCAUAAGGUGGCUAGCGGGUGUCUGUCUCUCCCACUUUACUCGGAUCAGAUUCAUUGAAGAGGGUCCUUAUGAAGGGUAAAUAGCAUUGGCACAUCAACGUUGUGGGUGUCACGUAGGUAAGAAGCGUUCUUGCUAGAAACCCUAAUCAGCCACGUAAAACUUGCAACCACAAUUGGAGGACGUCUAACUUGUUUUUGCAGGGUAUGCUAUGUGAUGUGAUAUGGCCAAAAGGAUGUGAUGUCACAUAUGUGAUGUAUGAGAUUGAUCAUGUUCUUGUAAUAGGAUUCACGAUUUGCAUGUCGAUGAGUAUGACAACCGGCAGGAGCCAUAGGAGUUGUCUUAAUUUAUUGUAUCAGAUGCGGAUUGGGCUCAUAACUUAAAGCUCAUCCUCACAGCUUGCAAGAAGGCAUAUGUCCUUAAUGCACCGCUAGGUUAUCCUCCCGUUCCUGCGGCAACCCAGGACAUUAGGAACGCCUGACAGUCGCGGAGUGAUGACUACUCUCUGGUUCAGUGCGACAUGCUUUAUAGUUUAGAAUCGGGGCUCCAAAGGCAUUUUGAGCAACACGGAGCAUAUGAGAUGUUCGAGGAGUUGAAACUUGUCUUUCAAGCUCAUGCCUGGGUCAAGAGAUAUGAAGUCUCCGACAAGUUCUUUAGAUGUAAGAUGGAGGAGAAUAGUUUUGUCAGUGAGCACAUACUCAGAAUGUAUGGGUUGCACAACUGCUUGACUCACUUGGGAGUUGAACUUCCGGAUGAUGCGGUCAUUGAUAGAAUCCUCCAGUCGCUUCCACCUAGCUAUAAAGGCUUUUUGAUGAAAUACAACAUGCAAGGGAUGGAAAAGACUAUUCCUGAGUUGUAUUCAAUGCUGAAAUCUGCGGAGGUAGAAAUCAAGAAAGAACAUCAAGUGUAGAUGGUGAAUAAGACCAGUAGUUUCAAGAAAGGCAAAGGUAAAAAGAACUGCAAGAAAGACGGCAAAGCAGUUGCCGCGCCCAGUAAACCAGUUGUCGGGAAGAAACCAAAGAAAUGACCUAAGCCUGAGACUGAGUGCUAUUACUGCAAGGGAACCGGACACUGGAAGCGGAAUUGCCCUAAGUACUUAGCGGACAAGAAGGCCCGCAACGUCAAAGGUAUAUGUGAUACACUUGUUAUUAAUGUGUACCUUACCAGCGCUCGUAGUAGCUCCUGGGUACUUGAUAACGCUGUUGUUGCUCACAUUUGCAACUCUAAGAAGGAACUGUGGAACAAGCGUAGGCUAUGAUGAUGCGCAUCGGGAAUGGUUCCAAGAUCGAUGUGAUCGCCAUCGGCACGCUACCUCUACAUCUACCCUCGAGAUUAGUUUUGAACCUUAAUAAUUGUUAUUUAGUACUAGCUUUGAGCAUGAACAUUGUAUCGGGAUCUCGCUUGAUGCAAGAUGGCUACUUAUUGAAAUAUGAGAAUAAUGGUUGUUCUAUUUAUAUGAGUGGUAUGUUUUAUUUUCAUGCCACGCUCGUCAAUGGUUUAUUCCUGAUGAAUGUCGAUCGUGAUGUUACACAUAUUCAUAGUGUGAGUACCAAAAGAUGUAAGGUUGAUAAUGAUAGUCCCACAUACUUGUGGCACUACCGCCUUGGUCAUAUCGGUGUCAAGCGCAUGAAUAAACUCCAUACACAUGGACUUUUGGAGUCUCUUGAUUUUGAAUCAUUUGACACAUACGAACCAUGCCUCAUGGGCAACAUGACCAAGACUCCGUUCUCCGGAACAAUGGGCCGAGCAACCAACUUAUUGGAAAUAAUACAUACCGAUGUAUGCGGUCCAAUGAGCGUGGAGACUCGCGGAGGCUAUCUUUAUGUUCUCACCCUCACUGAUGAUUUAAGUAGAUAUGGGUAUGUCUACCUAAUGAAGCACAAGUCUGAAACCUUUGAAAGGUUCAAGGAAUUUCAGAGUGAGGUGGAGAAUCAACGUGACAAGAAAAUAAAGUUUCUACGAUGUGAUUGUGAAGGAGAAUGUUUGAGUCAUGAGUUUGGCACACACCUAAGGAAAUGUGGAAUUGUUUCACAACUCACGCCGCCUAGCACAACACAGCAUAACAUUGUGUCUGAACGGCGUAAUCGCACUCUAUUGGAUAUGGUGCGAUCUAUGAUGUCUCUUACUGAUUUACCGCUAUCAUUUUGGGGAUAUGCAUUGGAAACUGAUGCAUUCAAUUUAGAUAGGGAACCGUCUAAAUCCGUUGAGACGACAACGUAUGAAUUUUGGUUUGGCAAGAAACCUAAGCCAUCGUUUCCGAAAGUUUAGGACUGCGAUACUUAUGUGAAGAAACUUCAACUAGAGAAUCUCGAACCCAAAGCAGAAAAAUGCGUCUUCAUAGGAUACCCUGAGGAAACUAUUGGAUACACCUUCUAUCAUAGAUCCGAAGGCAAAAUCUUUGUUGCCAAGAACGAAUCCUUUCUAGAGAAAGACUUCCUCUCGAAAGAAGUAAGUGGGAGGAAAAUAGAACUUGAUGAGGUAAAUGUACCCCCUCUCGAACCGAAGAGUAGCGCAGCACAAGAAAAUGUUUCUGAGGUGCCAGCACCGGCUAGAGAAGAAGUUAAUGAUGAUGAUCAUGAAACUUCAGAUCAAGUUGCUUUUGAACCUUGAAGGUCCACAAUGACACGUUUUGCACUAGAGUGGUACGGCAACCCCGUCAUGGAAAUCAUGUUGUUAGACAACAAUGAACCUUCGAACUAUGAAGAAGCGACGGCGGGCCUGGAUUCCAACAAAUGGCAUGAGGCCAUGAAAUCCGAGAUAGGAUCCAUGUAUGAGAACAAAGUAUGGACUUUGGUGGACUUGCCCGAUGAUCGGCGAGCGAUAGAAAAUAAAUGGAUCUUUAAGAAGAAGACUAACGCGGAUGGUAAUGUGACAAUCUAUAAGGCUCGACUAGUCGCUAAGGUUUAUCGACAAGUUCAAGGGAUUGACUACGACGAGACUUUCUCACCCGUAGUGAUGUCGAAGUCGGUCUGAAUCAUGUUAGCAAUUGCUGCAUUUUAUGAUUAUAAAAUAUGGCAAAUGGACGUCAAAACAGCAUUCCUGAACGGCUUUCUUAAGGUAGAAUUUUAUAUGAUACAGUCGGAAGGUUUUGUCGNNNNNNNNNNNNNNNNNNNNNNNNNNNNNNNNNNNNNNNNNNNNNNNNNNNNNNNNNNNNNNNNNNNNNNNNNNNNNNNNNNNNNNNNNNNNNNNNNNNNNNNNNNNNNNNNNNNNNNNNNNNNNNNNNNNNNNNNNNNNNNNNNNNNNNNNNNNNNNNNNNNNNNNNNNNNNNNNNNNNNNNNNNNNNNNNNNNNNNNNNNNNNNNNNNNNNNNNNNNNNNNNNNNNNNNNNNNNNNNNNNNNNNNNNNNNNNNNNNNNNNNNNNNNNNNNNNNNNNNNNNNNNNNNNNNNNNNNNNNNNNNNNNNNNNNNNNNNNNNNNNNNNNNNNNNNNNNNNNNNNNNNNNNNNNNNNNNNNNNNNNNNNNNNNNNNNNNNNNNNNNNNNNNNNNNNNNNNNNNNNNNNNNNNNNNNNNNNNNNNNNNNNNNNNNNNNNNNNNNNNNNNNNNNNNNNNNNNNNUGAGUAUCGUCCCCUAUGCUUCAUCCAUAUGCUCUAUUAUGUAUGCCAUGUUGUGUACCAGACCUGAUGUGAACCUUGCCAUAAGUUUGGUAGGGAGGUACCAAAGUGAUCCAGAAGUGGAUCACUGGACAGCNNNNNNNNNNNNNNNNNNNNNNNNNNNNNNNNNNNNNNNNNNNNNNNNNNNNNNNNNNNNNNNNNNNNNNNNNNNNNNNNNNNNNNNNNNNNNNNNNNNNACAACCAUCCGAUCCGUUCCGUCUUUCUUCUUGACGAAGAGGACGGGACAAGCCCAAGGAGAAGAGCUAGGACGAAUGAAACCCUUGCUCAAGGCCUCAUCUAGUUGCUUCUUAAGUUCGGCUAGCUCUAGGGGUGCCAUCUUAUAAGGUCUUCUGGCUAUUGGGACAGUUCCCGGAACAAGGUCUAUCACAAACUCUACAUCUUUGUCAGGUGGAAUUCCUGGCAGUUCCUCUGGAAAAACAUCCGGAAAGUCACGGACUACCGGAAUGUCUUCAAGUUCCGGAAGAGGGUUGGCAUUUAAGGAAUAGAGCUGGCAUUUGGCAACUCGAGUAGAGACAUUUACUAUCUCACCCGAGGGAUGGGGAAGCUGGACAUUUCUAGAGUGAGUAUCAAUCUUGGCAUAGUGAGCUGACAUCCAGUCCAUGCCCAGGAUGAUAUUAAUAUCUGAAGAUUUCAAUGCUAUCAAUGAGGCUAGAAAAACUAGCAUGUCUACUAGAAUUUCAUUGUCAUAGAUUAUCCUAGAGGUUUUCCAUUUACUACCAGGGGUUUGGACAACCAAUGGGAUUGGCAUAUCACAAAAUGACAUGUUAUGCAACUGUGCAUAACUUUCUGAAAUGAAGGAAUGAGAUGACCGAGUGUCAGAGAGAACGGACGAUGGGUGAUGAUUAACAAGAAGCGUACCCAGCAUGACGUCGGGAUCCUCUGCGGCUUCUUCUGCUGACACAUAGUUCACACGGCCACGUGCAGGAGUUGGCUUUACAUAAUAAGCUUUGCCCGACUUGGCUUGCCCGACGGACUUUCCGGGUUGCUUGGCACCUACAUUCUGAGGACACUCACGGGAAUAAUGCCCUGGUUCCCCACACUUGUAGCAUAUCACCUGGUUGGCACGUGGUGCAGCAUUGCUAGCUGGACCACCAUAAGCUUUUGCUGGAGGGUUGGCCUGAUUCGUCUGAGGCGCCACGUAGGAUGGCCUCGGAGUGUAUCUUGGCGGCAGAGAACUGUUUGGAACCCACAGCCUGCGUUUUGGAAACGCGGAACCAGACGAUGAGCCAAAGUCACGGGAGUGCUUCCUUGUGGCUUCGAAGUCAGUAUGACCAGUCUCCGCACUGAUCGCUUUGUUGACCAGGGCUUGAAAACUUGCACACUCAUGGAGGCGCAGGUCUCGACGGAGCUCAGGGCUCAGACCCUUACGGAAUCUUGCUUGCUUCUUGGCGUCAGUAGACACCUCCUCUGUUGCAUAGCGGGCGAGGUUACCGAACUCGCGGCUAUAGGCAUCCACAGACAACUUGCCCUGAGUGAAGGCACAGAACUCCUCUCUCUUUCUGUCCAUCAGGCCCUCUGGAAUAUGGUGCAGACGAAAAGCUGCACUGAAGUCUGCCCACGUGGCCACUGGUUCAGCGGGACGCAUAGCUUCAAAAUUCUCCCACCACAGAUUGGCGGGUCCCUCCAGGAAAUACGCCGCAAAGGUCACCUUGUCAGCCUCAGACACAUUCGCCGAGCGAAUCUUGCGUGAGAUGCUGCACAGCCAGUCAUCAGCGUCGAGGGGAUCGACGGAAUGAUGAAACUUUGGAGGAUUCAGCUUCACAAAGUCAUUGAGGGACACUGCAGCAUUCCUAGGCCGUCGAGCCGUAUUCUGCUCAAUACGCUCUAGCAGUCGGUUGGUCUCCCUUUUGUUUCUUUCUGCCUCAAGCAUCACUUCUACCAGAGAAGGUGGGUGAGGCAGAUCUUCCUGCGACGCUUGACUACCCUCACCUUGCUCAUGAGCAGGGGCACGGUUCAACCUGGUGAACACCAUCCUGACAAACAAACUCAUAGCUUAGACCAAUAUCAUAUCAAUACUAGCUAUGGAUUAAGAAUGUACUGAACACACGGAAUGCGGAAAUGAAUAUCCGAACAACAUGGUAACAAGCAACUGCUAUAUAUACACCAUGGUUCAUACACACCCUUACAUAGUUCAGUACAAACUUACCCGAAGAGCAAACUACUGAAAUUGUGAAACUACUCAUCAGAGGCGUACAAGCUUCCCAUACAUUAUUUCUCUAGGCCUCCGGAAUUCAUUUCACAUUACUACCAUACUUCACAAGUCACGCAGGACUGUGAACGUACGGCUACUAACAUACUAUCUUUCCGCUCACAGCUCACGCAUCCGCAUAGAACAUCUCAUAGAGAUUACCUCCAUGACCUGGAAGCUCAACCUGCGGAUCAGGAAACACUCUAGCCUGAGAUCCCUGGGGUCCAUAAGGACAAGGAUGUGGCCUUGGUCCCCUGACUGGUGGUAAGAGGGGUCCCCGAAGAGGUGUGACUCCUCCUAUAGCUGGCCAGUCAACGUGGGCCGGAAGAUGGGUUCUAACAGGGUUCAGCAUCUCCAUCUCUCCAUACCCUGUCUGGACUACCGGUGCCAGCUGCGUCAAAACUGUCCACAGACGGGCACGGGUAGCAUAAAGCUCCAUGCGGAGAGCACGAGCAUCCCUGUCUCUGUUCUCUAGCAUCUCAACAGUGGACUGCAGAAGUGGAUCCUCCAUAGAAGAAUCAAAAUAGACUCCACUGAGGUAUCCCUCUUCACCAGACUGAGAGGCCGGAACAUAGCAGAACUCUGAAUUCUGCAGCAGUGCAUGUCUCGCUCUCAUAAUAGUCAGCAUUGAAUAGGCAGCACCCUGUACUGCCAUGUCAACGGUGACCCCCAACCCAUAGGUCCAAUGGAUUGGCUUCUCCGCUCCAGGGUAGUCUGGGAAUACCCUAACAGUGCAGAUGUACUGGCUCUGGUUGAAGUCCCGGUACUGUUCCUCCACUGUGUACUCGGGGUACCAGUGGUAACCGCACACCGACAUCACCCUGACCAGCAUGGCCGUAUGACCCGGUACAUCAAUGCACCUGGUCAGACGUACCACCUGACGAGAAGGACGGCCAGGCAUCUAUAAAUAGAGAGUAAUGCAAAAGCAUUAGAGCUCUGAAUGCAAAAUUGGGCAGCAUAACGGCUGUAAAUGCUCAAAACAAAUUUUGAGACAACCCAAAAUGGAAUAGCAUAACCACUCAACUAUCAAGUUCAACUCUCUGAUCAUCAAACUUACUUCCUGCUUCCUGGGAAUAAAAGAAACCCAAUAUCUCUCGACCCGUAGUCCUAUAAGCUACCGAUCGGAAACACGAGCCUAGGAGAAGAUGAGUAACCUAGUCCUUAAUUCCCGCAGAAGAGACGAGGAUGACCAGAAUAGAAUAACUUGGGAAGAGAACAAGAGUCUUACGUUUCCUUCCACAAACAAUUCCCUUAUAUAUAACUAAAGCAAUUCUAGACUCAACUUCGACCAGUUUGGCUUAGUAAUCCUACAGUCAGUCAGGCUCUGAUACCAACGCUGUCGGGACCCCGAUCCUAAGCCAUAGGAAUCCAGCCUGUAACACAUCGCAUCUCUUUGUGGUCUCACGCACGGUUAACUCCACGGCUGCCGCCUUACCUUAGCCGGGACCGUUUGCGUCUUUCGACUCACGUAUGCGAUAGGUGUCGCUAGCAAUCCAAUGUCAAAGAACCCGGAUCGACAUGUCUAGUCAUAAACCAAAGUGGCAGUUCCGUACAAGGACAGGCAUACAUGACCCAACAAAGCAGGUGUCGGUCAUCAGCGAACGUAGACGAGUCAUAGCAAGCUACAAGGACUCCAUUACGUCGCGUGACAUUUCCCCAAAGAGGAUAGACACAGCAGCUAAGAAGGACACAUGCCGGUCAACCAAUGUGUCCGGAGCAGUAGCGGACUACCAAGGCUCGUUGGAUCACAAAGGGGCAUUUCCUUGUAAGAAGUGCUACUAAAGUUCACGACUAGGUAUUCGAACCCCAUACAUAUCAAGUAUGACACACGUACGCAUGGCAUACCGAUAUGUAUAGAUACAUCGAUGGCAUCACAACAUAACCAUAAACAUACAACCUUUAUUCAGGAGGCUCGGAAGAGCCACACACAUAAUAUUACACAUUAAGGUCUCUCGACCCAUAAUAGCAGUCAUACAACUACAAGCCAGCGGAAGAGUUAUAAACUGUCUGGGUACAGACAGUGCAACUAAAGGGCACAUGGCCUGGCUAUACUACAGAGCCGACGUAGGGCCAGAUCGUAGCUGGGACACCAGCUACUCGUCGUCGUCGAUGUCUACGAAGAACCCUCCAUUAGGGUCAUGAGCAACCUCUGCAACAUUUAUUAAGCAAACAUGAGUACGAAGGUACUCAGCAAGACUUUAGGAGAACUAACUACUCAUGCAAGGUAUCAAAGAGUAUUGUGGGGUUUCAUGCGGAAAACCAGCAUUUGACUCGUGGCUAGACAACUUGCAUUUUGAAAUUAGUUUUGACAACUUGAUUUCUCGCACACGAGUCCACUAACACCACAACAAUACACUAUCGUGGAAUCAUCCCGUCUCCAUGCGGAAAUGUCGUCCACGACACUCACGCUUAUCUUGACAAAUUUUAUGAGUAGCCAUUGAAGUUAUCUAUGAACAACAUAUGUCUCCAAGUAGUCCAUAUCCGCGGACGCGGCUAUUCGAAUAGAUCAUAACCCUGCAGGGGUGUACUUCGUCACACACGCUCUCGCCACUUAUCGCCAUAUGCACGUCAUGCACCUCGGCAACCUUCAAGCGGAAGCCCAGCGAGGGAGUCGGCCACGACCGUUAACCACACUAGUACCUAGUCCAGGUUUAUCGCCUAUCUGAGAGUAACCCGUACGGAAGUCCGGCCGGGGUUUCGGCCACGGCCUCAAACGAUGUGCGCAGGGUUCCCAAGCCCACCAUCCGGGUGCCACUUGGUACACCGUGCCACUGCCUACCGCAUCACGGCCCACCUCUCAGGUCAGCACCAUGCACGGCCUCCAGCAUUACUAUAAACACCAGAAACUACUUGCAACUCCUUGACCGAGUACUACGCGAUUAAUAGGCCGAGCGGGGUCAUAUUUCAGGGCCCAGCAUGUGGUAGUAUCUAGUCUUGGAUUACAUACACGGAACUCAGUUCCUAAGGACGGUUCCAAUGAAACAACCCGCCAUGUACUCCUACACAGCCUUUCACCGGUACCUUUACCAAAUCAAGUUCAACACACAACCUUUGCUCACCGAACACAUUCCACAUUUCUGNNNNNNNNNNNNNNNNNNNNNNNNNNNNNNNNNNNNNNNNNNNNNNNNNNNNNNNNNNNNNNNNNNNNNNNNNNNNNNNNNNNNNNNNNNNNNNNNNNNNNNNNNNNNNNNNNNNNNNNNNNNNNNNNNNNNNNNNNNNNNNNNNNNNNNNNNNNNNNNNNNNNNNNNNNNNNNNNNNNNNNNNNNNNNNNNNNNNNNNNNNNNNNNNNNNNNNNNNNNNNNNNNNNNNNNNNNNNNNNNNNNNNNNNNNNNNNNNNNNNNNNNNNNNNNNNNNNNNNNNNNNNNNNNNNNNNNNNNNNNNNNNNNNNNNNNNNNNNNNNNNNNNNNNNNNNNNNNNNNNNNNNNNNNNNNNNNNNNNNNNNNNNNNNNNNNNNNNNNNNNNNNNNNNNNNNNNNNNNNNNNNNNNNNNNNNNNNNNNNNNNNNNNNNNNNNNNNNNNNNNNNNNNNNNNNNNNNNNNNNNNNNNNNNNNNNNNNNNNNNNNNNNNNNNNNNNNNNNNNNNNNNNNNNNNNNNNNNNNNNNNNNNNNNNNNNNNNNNNNNNNNNNNNNNNNNNNNNNNNNNNNNNNNNNNNNNNNNNNNNNNNNNNNNNNNNNNNNNNNNNNNNNNNNNNNNNNNNNNNNNNNNNNNNNNNNNNNNNNNNNNNNNNNNNNNNNNNNNNNNNNNNNNNNNNNNNNNNNNNNNNNNNNNNNNNNNNNNNNNNNNNNNNNNNNNNNNNNNNNNNNNNNNNNNNNNNNNNNNNNNNNNNNNNNNNNNNNNNNNNNNNNNNNNNNNNNNNNNNNNNNNNNNNNNNNNNNNNNNNNNNNNNNNNNNNNNNNNNNNNNNNNNNNNNNNNNNNNNNNNNNNNNNNNNNNNNNNNNNNNNNNNNNNNNNNNNNNNNNNNNNNNNNNNNNNNNNNNNNNNNNNNNNNNNNNNNNNNNNNNNNNNNNNNNNNNNNNNNNNNNNNNNNNNNNNNNNNNNNNNNNNNNNNNNNNNNNNNNNNNNNNNNNNNNNNNNNNNNNNNNNNNNNNNNNNNNNNNNNNNNNNNNNNNNNNNNNNNNNNNNNNNNNNNNNNNNNNNNNNNNNNNNNNNNNNNNNNNNNNNNNNNNNNNNNNNNNNNNNNNNNNNNNNNNNNNNNNNNNNNNNNNNNNNNNNNNNNNNNNNNNNNNNNNNNNNNNNNNNNNNNNNNNNNNNNNNNNNNNNNNNNNNNNNNNNNNNNNNNNNNNNNNNNNNNNNNNNNNNNNNNNNNNNNNNNNNNNNNNNNNNNNNNNNNNNNNNNNNNNNNNNNNNNNNNNNNNNNNNNNNNNNNNNNNNNNNNNNNNNNNNNNNNNNNNNNNNNNNNNNNNNNNNNNNNNNNNNNNNNNNNNNNNNNNNNNNNNNNNNNNNNNNNNNNNNNNNNNNNNNNNNNNNNNNNNNNNNNNNNNNNNNNNNNNNNNNNNNNNNNNNNNNNNNNNNNNNNNNNNNNNNNNNNNNNNNNNNNNNNNNNNNNNNNNNNNNNNNNNNNNNNNNNNNNNNNNNNNNNNNNNNNNNNNNNNNNNNNNNNNNNNNNNNNNNNNNNNNNNNNNNNNNNNNNNNNNNNNNNNNNNNNNNNNNNNNNNNNNNNNNNNNNNNNNNNNNNNNNNNNNNNNNNNNNNNNNNNNNNNNNNNNNNNNNNNNNNNNNNNNNNNNNNNNNNNNNNNNNNNNNNNNNNNNNNNNNNNNNNNNNNNNNNNNNNNNNNNNNNNNNNNNNNNNNNNNNNNNNNNNNNNNNNNNNNNNNNNNNNNNNNNNNNNNNNNNNNNNNNNNNNNNNNNNNNNNNNNNNNNNNNNNNNNNNNNNNNUUUUUUUCUGUUUUGCUAACUAGUGUUUUGCUAAUUAUUUCGGCUCCAAAACAAAAAGUAAAAACUAUUUUAGACCUCCUGAAAUAUUUGUUAUAAUAUCCCCACUCAUUUCCAAGGUUUUCAACAUUUUUGGAAAUUUAUAGAUUCUGAUUUCAAAUUUUAAAGUUUGAAACCAGUGGCUUUUGCAUUUAUUUAAAAUGCUUAAAGUGUCAAGAAAAUAGUUUUCUCCAAUGCUCAUUUACUUUCAUGAUUUAUCAGAAAGUUUGAACAUUUCUUGAGGCCAUUUUGGGUUCAUUGAUUUUGAACUAGUUUGAGAUUUCCUUUAAUUGAAAUGGUGGCUAGGGUUUUGGGUAUUUCCUUUGCCACUUUGUUGUUUUUGUUGAAACUUCUUAGAUGCAAAUGCAAAGAAGACAUGAGCACAAUGCUAUCUUGCUUAAGGGUUAGGGAUGUGACAUAGAGGUAUUUCACUAACACUAGCACCCACGUCACAUAAGCCAUGAUAACAAUGAUGUCCUAUCUUAACCGAAACUACAGGCGUGCCAACAGGAGGCCUAUGUUUGUCUCUAGCAUGUGGUUUAGCAAUUCUAGCAGCAUCUUCACAGAAGUGAAAAUCAUGGCCAUCAACAUUGUCGGACAGGAGAUCUUUGAUAAUAGCAAUGCUAGGCCCAACUAUAAUUUGCUCAGGGGGUGUAGGUGUUCUAAUCUAGCCCCUAUGUAUCACAGUUGAAACUUUAGAAUGAUCCUUUAUCCUAACAGGGAAAGGUGGUUUCUCAAUGGAAGGAGUGGGAGCAAUAGGAUCAUUAUAGGCAAUGACUUUCUCUUCAACUGGAUUGGGUUUAACUACAUUGACUUCUAAGGGAGGAUGAUAUUUAAACCAGUUCUCUUUAGGGAGAUCAAUAUGAGCAGCAAAUGAUUCACACAAUGAAGCUACUAUCUCAGAGUCAAGUCCAUAUUUAGCGCUAAAAUCACAAAAAGUAUAUGUUUCAACAAAGUAUUUAACACAAUCAAUAUUGAAAUUCAUACCUAACUCCUUACCUUUAUCAAACUCCCAAUCUUCAGAGUUGUGUUUAAUUCUUUCCAAUAAUUUCCAUCUGAAGUCAAUAUCUCUCUUCAUAAAAGAACCGGUACAAGAAGUGUCAAGCAUGGUGCGAUCAUCAGGAGAAAGCCGAGCAUAGAAGUUCUGAAUGAUAAUUUCUCUCGAGAGCUCAUAGUUGGGGAAUGAAUAUAACAUUGAUUUAAGCCUCCCCCAAUCUUGGGCGAUGCUUUCUCUGUCACGAGGCCAAAAAUUACAAAUAUAAUUCCGAUCAUGAUGUACUAGAUGCAUAGGAUAAAACUUUUGAUGAAAUUCCAAUUUCAACCGGUUGUAGUUCCAUGAUCCAUUAUCAUCACAUAGACUAUACCAGGUCAAUGCUUUAUCCCUCAAAGAUAAGGGAAAUACCUUCUUCUUGACCUCAUCCUCGGGAAAACCUACAAGCCUAAAUAAACCACAAACUUCAUCUACAUAGAUUAGAUGCAAGUCGGGAUGUGAUGUUCCAUCUCCUAUAAAAUGAUUAGCCAGCAGUUUCUCAAGCAUACCUGAACGAAAUUCAUAGCAAAUAUUUUCAGUAGGUGCAACAGGUUCUGACAAUUGGUUUUCAGCAAGGUAUUCUCUGCAAGCACUGAAAUUAUCGGUAACAGAAAGUUGUGUGGUAAGAUGAUUCGUAGCAAGUAGCAAGAAACAAUAGUAACAACGGUGCAACAAAGUGUCCCAAUCCCUUUUUUAGCAAGGGACAAGCCUGGACAAACUCUUAUAGGANGAGUAAUGCAAAAGCAUUAGAGCUCUGAAUGCAAAAUUGGGCAGCAUAACGGCUGUAAAUGCUCAAAACAAAUUUUGAGACAACCCAAAAUGGAAUAGCAUAACCACUCAACUAUCAAGUUCAACUCUCUGAUCAUCAAACUUACUUCCUGCUUCCUGGGAAUAAAAGAAACCCAAUAUCUCUCGACCCGUAGUCCUAUAAGCUACCGAUCGGAAACACGAGCCUAGGAGAAGAUGAGUAACCUAGUCCUUAAUUCCCGCAGAAGAGACGAGGAUGACCAGAAUAGAAUAACUUGGGAAGAGAACAAGAGUCUUACGUUUCCUUCCACAAACAAUUCCCUUAUAUAUAACUAAAGCAAUUCUAGACUCAACUUCGACCAGUUUGGCUUAGUAAUCCUACAGUCAGUCAGGCUCUGAUACCAACGCUGUCGGGACCCCGAUCCUAAGCCAUAGGAAUCCAGCCUGUAACACAUCGCAUCUCUUUGUGGUCUCACGCACGGUUAACUCCACGGCUGCCGCCUUACCUUAGCCGGGACCGUUUGCGUCUUUCGACUCACGUAUGCGAUAGGUGUCGCUAGCAAUCCAAUGUCAAAGAACCCGGAUCGACAUGUCUAGUCAUAAACCAAAGUGGCAGUUCCGUACAAGGACAGGCAUACAUGACCCAACAAAGCAGGUGUCGGUCAUCAGCGAACGUAGACGAGUCAUAGCAAGCUACAAGGACUCCAUUACGUCGCGUGACAUUUCCCCAAAGAGGAUAGACACAGCAGCUAAGAAGGACACAUGCCGGUCAACCAAUGUGUCCGGAGCAGUAGCGGACUACCAAGGCUCGUUGGAUCACAAAGGGGCAUUUCCUUGUAAGAAGUGCUACUAAAGUUCACGACUAGGUAUUCGAACCCCAUACAUAUCAAGUAUGACACACGUACGCAUGGCAUACCGAUAUGUAUAGAUACAUCGAUGGCAUCACAACAUAACCAUAAACAUACAACCUUUAUUCAGGAGGCUCGGAAGAGCCACACACAUAAUAUUACACAUUAAGGUCUCUCGACCCAUAAUAGCAGUCAUACAACUACAAGCCAGCGGAAGAGUUAUAAACUGUCUGGGUACAGACAGUGCAACUAAAGGGCACAUGGCCUGGCUAUACUACAGAGCCGACGUAGGGCCAGAUCGUAGCUGGGACACCAGCUACUCGUCGUCGUCGAUGUCUACGAAGAACCCUCCAUUAGGGUCAUGAGCAACCUCUGCAACAUUUAUUAAGCAAACAUGAGUACGAAGGUACUCAGCAAGACUUUAGGAGAACUAACUACUCAUGCAAGGUAUCAAAGAGUAUUGUGGGGUUUCAUGCGGAAAACCAGCAUUUGACUCGUGGCUAGACAACUUGCAUUUUGAAAUUAGUUUUGACAACUUGAUUUCUCGCACACGAGUCCACUAACACCACAACAAUACACUAUCGUGGAAUCAUCCCGUCUCCAUGCGGAAAUGUCGUCCACGACACUCACGCUUAUCUUGACAAAUUUUAUGAGUAGCCAUUGAAGUUAUCUAUGAACAACAUAUGUCUCCAAGUAGUCCAUAUCCGCGGACGCGGCUAUUCGAAUAGAUCAUAACCCUGCAGGGGUGUACUUCGUCACACACGCUCUCGCCACUUAUCGCCAUAUGCACGUCAUGCACCUCGGCAACCUUCAAGCGGAAGCCCAGCGAGGGAGUCGGCCACGACCGUUAACCACACUAGUACCUAGUCCAGGUUUAUCGCCUAUCUGAGAGUAACCCGUACGGAAGUCCGGCCGGGGUUUCGGCCACGGCCUCAAACGAUGUGCGCAGGGUUCCCAAGCCCACCAUCCGGGUGCCACUUGGUACACCGUGCCACUGCCUACCGCAUCACGGCCCACCUCUCAGGUCAGCACCAUGCACGGCCUCCAGCAUUACUAUAAACACCAGAAACUACUUGCAACUCCUUGACCGAGUACUACGCGAUUAAUAGGCCGAGCGGGGUCAUAUUUCAGGGCCCAGCAUGUGGUAGUAUCUAGUCUUGGAUUACAUACACGGAACUCAGUUCCUAAGGACGGUUCCAAUGAAACAACCCGCCAUGUACUCCUACACAGCCUUUCACCGGUACCUUUACCAAAUCAAGUUCAACACACAACCUUUGCUCACCGAACACAUUCCACAUUUCUGUUCAUCUCCCAGAUGACAGACCAUACACAACUCUAAGCAUAGCAUGCAUAGCAGGAUAAGGCACAUCAUAGCUCAAGCAACUACGAGGUAUGCUAGGUUGCAAGGUUCGGCUAUUUACUGUGACAAGGUUAAGUCAUGCAAAGGAAGUGGGUCCAACUACGUGGCAAAAGCAGUUGAAGCAUUUGAUCCUAAUGCAAUGAAUAGGUGCAGGAGCAAGAACAUGGCAGUUAUCGGGAUGAUCAAAAGGGUUGCUUGCCUUGUUGCUCAGAGGAGGAACGAUAUCCGUCAGACGGAUAUUCGGUGGAAUCCGGGGGUACGGAGCCUACCGAAAUGAAUGGCAACAUUCAAUAACAAUCAUAUGCACUCAAAAUGAUGCAUGAGCAUGGCAUGAGAAUGUAAGGUGAUAAGUUAUUAUUUUCAACAUGUAAUAGGUUUAGAGUUGAUUUGAAUCACAUUCGAAUAGCAAUUCAAACGGGUAUUCUCGGAUACCGGUUUAAUUGAUUCGACCUGAAGCUCGGUUCAACUUGAUGUUAACAUGCAUGAAAUGUCAUGUUAUGAUACUGAUUUGUAAUUAGGGCAGUGUGUGAUCAUUGCAUAUAUAAUGAAAUUUGAAUAUUUUUGCAAAUUCCAUUUAUAAAGUGAUUAAAAGAAUUGAAUUAUUCCUUAUUUCACAAUUUAGGGUUCUGUAACUUUUCCAAACAUGGUUGAAAAUAGCAUAAUCAGAAUCCUUGAAUUUUUCUGAUACUUUUUCAUAUAUAAAUUAUUUUCAUUGGAGUUACAGAUUAAUUUCUAUGAUUUUUACAAAUUUUAGCAAUUUCCUGAAUUAGUUUUAAACUGGAAAUUCUAUUUAUUGCCUCAGGCUGACGUCAGCAGGUCAGCCGACCUGUUCAGGUCAAACCUGACAGGGGGGCCCCACUAGUCAGCCUCUCUGGGACUAAUCCCGCGCUGACCAGUCCUAACUGAGGUUUGACUUGGCCUUGGGCCCACUUGUCAGCGAGUGAUUAGGUCACUAAUCGGCUGGGUUAGCUUGCCACGUCGACAUCCACCGGCGGCGAGGUCGUCCUCGCCGGCGGGGAGCCUCCGGCGACCACCAGCACGGCGGAGGGGCUCGGAAACGGAGCACAGGGGGCCAAAUGCUGCGCGGAGAGCACCAGAGGAACGGCACGUCUCCCGCAGCUUCAUUUCUGCGCCUAGCGGGGGCUGAUCUGGCCGGAGAUGACGCCGGCGACGAGCUUGGCGGCGGCCAAGGCUCGGGCGUCAUCGGGGUCUUUGAAUCAGGGGGAUCUACGCUCGGUUCUUAGCUGCUACGGCAUCUACGCGUCGUCCUGGAGCUGCUGGUGCCCUCGGAAGGACGAGCUGCUCAUCGGAGGGCUACCGGCGACGAGCGGCAGCGGCGGUCCUCGUCAGGCUCCGGUGAAACUAGAGCUAGAGGAGGGGAUCGACGGGGAAAACUUAGGGGAAAUGACCGCAUGCUCACGGGGAGUGCAGAGCAGAGCUUAGACGGCUCGGGGAAGGCCUGGGGGCGACGAAUCGACGGGAGAGGUCCGGCGGCCGGAGGUGGAAGACGACGGCGUUGCGGGCGUUGCAGGGCUCGAGGAAGCUUCGGCUUCUGCAGAGAUGACCAGGGCGACGAGGCGGAUCUAAAGGCGUGCUCUGGGAGGGAAUCCUAUGGCCAGGGGCACGGGCAGCUCGAGCUCGAGCUCGGCUCUAAUGGCGGCAGCAAGGAGGAGGAGGAGAUCCGGGAGGAGGAAGAGAACCGAGGCGGGGAAUGGAUAGGGGAGGCUCUGGGGAGCUUAUCCCCAUCGUCGCCAGCGCGAGGCGGCGGCCAGGCAGGCAUGCAGGUGCGUGGCCGCGCCGGAGGAGGCGGCGGCCACCUCCUGCUGCCUACUGGCGCGAGGGAGGGGACGAGCGGGGAGAUGGGCCGGGCCAGGCUUAGGCGACAGGCAAGGUUUCCCAUUUUUUUUUCUGUUUUGUUUUUUUUCUGUUUUGCUAACUAGUGUUUUGCUAAUUAUUUCGGCUCCAAAACAAAAAGUAAAAACUAUUUUAGACCUCCUGAAAUAUUUGUUAUAAUAUCCCCACUCAUUUCCAAGGUUUUCAACAUUUUUGGAAAUUUAUAGAUUCUGAUUUCAAAUUUUAAAGUUUGAAACCAGUGGCUUUUGCAUUUAUUUAAAAUGCUUAAAGUGUCAAGAAAAUAGUUUUCUCCAAUGCUCAUUUACUUUCAUGAUUUAUCAGAAAGUUUGAACAUUUCUUGAGGCCAUUUUGGGUUCAUUGAUUUUGAACUAGUUUGAGAUUUCCUUUAAUUGAAAUGGUGGCUAGGGUUUUGGGUAUUUCCUUUGCCACUUUGUUGUUUUUGUUGAAACUUCUUAGAUGCAAAUGCAAAGAAGACAUGAGCACAAUGCUAUCUUGCUUAAGGGUUAGGGAUGUGACAUAGAGGUAUUUCACUAACACUAGCACCCACGUCACAUAAGCCAUGAUAACAAUGAUGUCCUAUCUUAACCGAAACUACAGGCGUGCCAACAGGAGGCCUAUGUUUGUCUCUAGCAUGUGGUUUAGCAAUUCUAGCAGCAUCUUCACAGAAGUGAAAAUCAUGGCCAUCAACAUUGUCGGACAGGAGAUCUUUGAUAAUAGCAAUGCUAGGCCCAACUAUAAUUUGCUCAGGGGGUGUAGGUGUUCUAAUCUAGCCCCUAUGUAUCACAGUUGAAACUUUAGAAUGAUCCUUUAUCCUAACAGGGAAAGGUGGUUUCUCAAUGGAAGGAGUGGGAGCAAUAGGAUCAUUAUAGGCAAUGACUUUCUCUUCAACUGGAUUGGGUUUAACUACAUUGACUUCUAAGGGAGGAUGAUAUUUAAACCAGUUCUCUUUAGGGAGAUCAAUAUGAGCAGCAAAUGAUUCACACAAUGAAGCUACUAUCUCAGAGUCAAGUCCAUAUUUAGCGCUAAAAUCACAAAAAGUAUAUGUUUCAACAAAGUAUUUAACACAAUCAAUAUUGAAAUUCAUACCUAACUCCUUACCUUUAUCAAACUCCCAAUCUUCAGAGUUGUGUUUAAUUCUUUCCAAUAAUUUCCAUCUGAAGUCAAUAUCUCUCUUCAUAAAAGAACCGGUACAAGAAGUGUCAAGCAUGGUGCGAUCAUCAGGAGAAAGCCGAGCAUAGAAGUUCUGAAUGAUAAUUUCUCUCGAGAGCUCAUAGUUGGGGAAUGAAUAUAACAUUGAUUUAAGCCUCCCCCAAUCUUGGGCGAUGCUUUCUCUGUCACGAGGCCAAAAAUUACAAAUAUAAUUCCGAUCAUGAUGUACUAGAUGCAUAGGAUAAAACUUUUGAUGAAAUUCCAAUUUCAACCGGUUGUAGUUCCAUGAUCCAUUAUCAUCACAUAGACUAUACCAGGUCAAUGCUUUAUCCCUCAAAGAUAAGGGAAAUACCUUCUUCUUGACCUCAUCCUCGGGAAAACCUACAAGCCUAAAUAAACCACAAACUUCAUCUACAUAGAUUAGAUGCAAGUCGGGAUGUGAUGUUCCAUCUCCUAUAAAAUGAUUAGCCAGCAGUUUCUCAAGCAUACCUGAACGAAAUUCAUAGCAAAUAUUUUCAGUAGGUGCAACAGGUUCUGACAAUUGGUUUUCAGCAAGGUAUUCUCUGCAAGCACUGAAAUUAUCGGUAACAGAAAGUUGUGUGGUAAGAUGAUUCGUAGCAAGUAGCAAGAAACAAUAGUAACAACGGUGCAACAAAGUGUCCCAAUCCCUUUUUUAGCAAGGGACAAGCCUGGACAAACUCUUAUAGGAGGUAAAGUGCUCACGAUGACACAUGGGAAAUUCUGUCAAGCUAGUUUUUAUCAUGUUCAUAAUAAUACUCAUGACCCGAGAGGUAUUGAAUAGCAUCAAGGGUCUGAAAAUAUAAUCUUCCAUCGAGUAAUCCAACUAGCAUCAACUACAAAGAGUAAUUAACACUACUAAAGGUACCAAUCCAAGUCGCGAGACGGAGAUUGGUUACAAGAGAUGAACUAGGGUUUGGAGAUGAGAUGGUUCUGAUGAUGAUGUUGAUGGUGACGAGUCCCCUCCGAUGAGAGGAGUGUUGGUGAUGACGAUGGCGACGAUUUCCCCCUCCGGGAGGGAAGUUUCCCCGACAUGACGACCCUGCCGGAGCUCUAGAUUGGUUCUGCUCAAGUUUCGCCUCGUGGCGGCGACGAUUCCUCCCGAAAGCCUCCUCUUGAUUUUUUCUGGAACAAAACCCUCCUUAUAGCAAAAGAGGGGGUCUAGGGGGCCAACGGGGAGCCCACAAGCCCCCUAGGCGCGGCCAGGGGGGUAGGCCAUGCCUAGCAGGCUUGUGGCCUCCUGCUGGCUCCCCUGUGGUACUUCUUCUGCCCAAUAUUUUUUAUAAAUUCCAAAGUAAAUCCUCAUUGAUUUUCAUGGCUUUUGGAGUUGCACAGAAUAGGUAUCUCAAACUUGCUCCUUUUUCAGGCCAGAAUUUUAGUUGCAGGCAUUCUCUCUCUUCAUGUAAACCUUGCAAAAUAGGAGAGAAAAGGCAUAAGUAUUGUACCGUGAAGUGUAAUAACAGCCCAUAAAGUGAUAAAUAUCAACAUAAAAGCAUGAUGGAAAAUGGACGUAUCAGUCACGAGGGUCGCCGCCCAGCAAGAUCGCUACGGCCCUGCUUAGGUCCUUUGUGAGGAGGUCCCAGGGCCGGAGCCGAAGCCCAUCGUCACCAACCCGGUACUCCCACGGGGGCCUGGAAUGGGCCUGGAGAGGCGCCAGGAGCUGUGCCAGGUAUUCCUUCACUAUCAUUCCCCCGGUCAUCUACUUGGCACUGACGUCGCAGGAAAAGCGCACCAGCACGGGCGCAGCCCGAGGGUCGGAGAGCUUUUCCGAGCUCCACGCGGAAGUCUUCUCUGGGAACUCAUUCGGCUCCUCCAGCCGAGGGUUGGCGUCCUUGAGGCUCAUGGGGAUCAGCGGUGCCUGAAGUUCUCCACCUUCUUUCCGGCCUUCCAGAGCACAUUGCCGCUCUGGGCCACCAUGAAGGAGACAUACGCCGACAAAUGAGCACCGUCGUGUAGGCGCAGGCUGAAGAAAUGACGGAGGAGGGCAACCGAAGGCUGCACCCCAACGAAAGCCUCGCAGUAGAAAGAAAAUACGGACAGAAGCAAGAGGGAGUUGGGCUGGAUAUGAAGGGAUUGGAUCCCAUAGUUGUCCAAGACGGCGGUGAAAAACUAGGAGAAAGGCGGCACCAGCCCGGCAUAAAUAAUGUGAAGGAAGAAGGGGUAUACCGCCUCCGACGCAGACCGCUCCUCUACGGCGCCAGGCCAGAUCAGGGUUCGCCCGUGCUUGCUAGACUCGGCCGUGGUCCAUGGAAGCACGGGGACGAGAACCGCGUCCUUGGAAAGGGUGCACUCCAAGAGCGGGGAAGCCGGGGCCGGACCUUGUACCUCUGGCUUCUGCUUGCCAGCGGGCGCCAUCGCUGAACUGGCAGGGAACGAUGCGGCGCUCGUUCUGGGGGAUGCCGGUUGGAGUUGGAGACCAAGGAGGAAGAGCGAGUGGGGAAGAAGGAAAGCGAUAAGACACCGACGAAACCAGAAGUGUACCUAAUAAUUUGGGCAGCGACAGAAGAGAAGGAGAACCCAACACCAGCCGCGUCACGCGUGCCGGCCUGGCCCACAUGCACUUGGGGGAUCGCGGCACCAUAGGCUACCCCCCGAGGCUCCGCCCAGAAGACAAUCCGAGCACGUCGCGGACCCGGGGGCUACUGUCAGCGUUCUGGGAAUGGGGGUACCCAGACCUGCCUGCCUGUGGCCCAGGGCAGGCUCACCUCAUCGAAACAAACCGACGGGCCCGGCACCGUUCAAGGCAAGGCCCUCGUGAAGGGACAAGCCUCACGAGGAGGAGGAGCGUCGAGACCCGCAGGGUGCCUCCUCAGGAUCCCUCCGGAGUGGCAGAUAUUCCAUGGCAAGGCCGGGCCUCGGGAGUUAAGGGUGAUGCCAUGGAAGGACAGUCAAGCAGUAGAUGGCAGGACGGAAUAGUUUCCCCUUUAAUGCAAAGGGGGUGGGAGCGUACCAGGGUUCCAAAGGCACCUUCCAAAGGUUUCGCUUCUGGUGCAACGAAGCCGCCGCCGCCCGCCAGUAGGGCAAACGUCAUCCUCGUGCCCGUCCCUGCAGCGUGGGCAGUUACUUUGCACGCGAAGACCACCUUUGGGCAGGGGAGCAUGUUCUCUUGUUCCCCUUCAAUAUUGGCCGUUGUGGGAUCCUGUCACAUCUCUGAAACCCUAAUCAAGUUAACAUUGUGCUCAUAUCUUCUUUGCAUUGCAUCCAAGAAAAUUGCAACAAGGUCAAAGCAAGUGGUGGAGCAAAACUCAAAAACCCUAGCCACUUCUCAAAUUCAAAGAAAUUGUAAACUUGUUCAAAUCAAUGAACCCAAAAUGGCCUCAAGAAAAGUUCAAGUUUUCUGAUAAUUCAUGGAAGCAAAUAAGCAGCGAAGAAAACUAUUUUCAUAACACAUUUGGCAUUUUAUUUAAAUGCAAAAGGCUAGUGGAUUCAAGUUUAAAUUUGAAUUCAAAAACUUUAAGUUUUCAAAAAUGUUGAAAAGUUCUGGAAUGGUUGGAUAUAUUCCAACAAAUAUUCUGGUGUGUUCAAAAUAUUUUUGGUAAACUAUUUUGGAGCUGAAAUAAAAAAGCAAAUUAAAAUAGUUAGCAAAUCAGAAAAACAAAACAGAAAAAAGAAGAAGAAAACCUACUUGUCGCUUACCUGUGAGGCCCAGCCCACCAGGGGCAGGGUCGUCUUCUUCCUCUACCUUCUGGCAGAGGAGAGAUCGACCACGGCGGCCUCCUCCACCUCCUGCUUCGCCGUGCCGACCUCCCGUGCCCCCCAGGACAGCGCGACAACGGGGAUGACUACCCCGAGCGCGUCCCUAUUAGUUCCCGAGCGCCAUUCCCCCUCUCCUCUCGGUUCUCUCCUCCCUCCUCCUGCCGCCAUUGACAGAAGCUCGAACUCGAGCUGCCCGAGCUCUCUGGCCACAGGGAAGCCCCCCGAGUGUUCCAUCCUCUUCGCAACGUCGAGCCAGACACGCACGUCGACGAAACCAUCCUCGCCGAGCCCUGCAACGCCUCCAGUGCCGUCGUCUUCAACCUUCGGCCGCCGGCAAAUCGACGGUGGAUCGCCGGCUACAGCCCCUCCCCGAGCAGUCUGAGCCCAGCUUCGCCUCCACCGUGAGCUUGCGAGCAUUUUCCCUCUGUUUCCCCUCUCUCUCCGACACUCUAGCCCCGAGACCCAUGAACCCGAGCUCCGGCAGCCGCCUCGGCUCGUCGUCGGCAUGCUCCGGCCACCCAUAGCCCCUCCUGAUGCCCGUAGNGCAACAAGGUCAAAGCAAGUGGUGGAGCAAAACUCAAAAACCCUAGCCACUUCUCAAAUUCAAAGAAAUUGUAAACUUGUUCAAAUCAAUGAACCCAAAAUGGCCUCAAGAAAAGUUCAAGUUUUCUGAUAAUUCAUGGAAGCAAAUAAGCAGCGAAGAAAACUAUUUUCAUAACACAUUUGGCAUUUUAUUUAAAUGCAAAAGGCUAGUGGAUUCAAGUUUAAAUUUGAAUUCAAAAACUUUAAGUUUUCAAAAAUGUUGAAAAGUUCUGGAAUGGUUGGAUAUAUUCCAACAAAUAUUCUGGUGUGUUCAAAAUAUUUUUGGUAAACUAUUUUGGAGCUGAAAUAAAAAAGUAAAUUAAAAUAGUUAGCAAAUCAGAAAAACAAAACAGAAAAAAGAAGAAGAAAACCUACNACCUAUCGCUUACCUGCGAGGCCCAGCCCACCAGGGGCAGGGUCGUCUUCUUCCUCUGCCUUCUGGCAGAGGAGAGAUCGACCACGGCGGCUCCUCCACCUCUAGCUUCGAUGUGGCGACCUCCGGUGCCCCCCAGGACAGCGCGACAACGGGGAUGACUACCCCGAGCGCGUCCCUAUCCAUUCCCGAGCGCCAUUCCCCCUCUCCUCUCGGUUCUCUCCUCCCUCCUCCUACCGCCAUUGACAGAAGCUCGAGCUCGAGCUGCCCGAGCUCUCUGGCCACAGGGAAGCCCCCCCAGUGUUCCAUCCUCUUCGCAACGUCGAGCCCGACACGCACGUCGAUGAAACCAUCCUCCCCGAGCCCUGCAACGCCUCCAGUGCCGUCGUCUUCAACCUUCGUCCGCCGGUAAAUCGAUGGUGGAUUGUCGGCUACAGCCCCUCCCCGAGUAGUCUGAGCCCAGCUUCGGCUCCACCGUGAGCUUGCGAGCAUUUCCCAUAUGUUUUCCCUCUCUCUCCGGCACUCUAGCCCCGAGACCCAUGAACCCGAGCUCCGGCAACCGCCUCGGCUCGUCGCCGGUAUGCUCCGGCGAGCCAUAGCCCCUCAUGAUGCCCGUAGAGGAUGAGGCCGAGCCUGGGGAUCAUCCCAGUGCUCUCGGCACUUGAUUCCGAGCACCACGGUGCAUUUUGGUGCGUCUCCGGCGAAGAUCCAUCGCGGAUCUGGUCGCCGCCACUCAGUCUCCGGCGGGGGACGAUGUGGCUGGCCUAAUCCCGGUGGAUUAGCACUAAGCAGCCACUCAUAGUGGGCCCUAGGAGUGGGUCAAACCCACUUAGGGCCUGGUCAGCGCGGGAUUAGCUCCUGAGACGCUGACCAGUGACCCCCACGUGUCAGGUUUGACCUGACCAGGUCAGUUGACCUGCUGACGCAUUCCUGAUGUAGUUAUGACGCAAUAAGUGGAUUUCUGAUUAAAAGAAUUCCGGAAAAAUGCCAAAACUUCUAAAAAUCAUAGAAAUUAAUCUAUAACUCCAAUGAAAAUAAUUUAUAUAUGAAAAAGUAUCAGAAAAAUCGAAGGAAUCUGAAUAUGUCCUUUUCAAACAUGUUUGAGAAUGUUACUGGACCAAACAUGUAGAAUAAUGAAUAAGUUAAAUUUUAUAAAUGCUAUGGAGAUGGAAUUUGAAAAUCAUUUGAAUUCUACUUCAAAUGAUAUGAUCAAACAUUGUUCAAUCACAAACCAGCAACUUAACAUGUCAUUUCCAUGAUGUUAAAAACAAGUUGACCUGUUCAUCAGGUCGAAUCAAUUAAAAUGGUAUUCGAGAAUACCUCGUUUGAAGUGAUAUUUGAAUCUGAUUCAAAUCAACUUCAAACCUAACAAAUGUUAGCUAUAUUAGCAAACCACCUUGCAUCCUCAUGCCAUGAUCAUGCAUCAUCUUGUUGCAUAUGAUUGUCAUUGAUUGUUGUCAUCCCUUUCGGUAGGCUCCGCUACUCCGGAUUCCACUGAAUAUCCGACUGACGGAUAUUGUCCCUCCUCUGAGCAACAAGGCAAGCAACCAUUUUGAUCAUCCCCAUAAAUCCCAUGUUCUCGCUCCUGCACUUACUUAUUGCAUUAAGAUCAAAUGCUUCAAAUGCUUUUGCCACGUUAGUAGAACCCACUUCCUUUGCAUGACCUGUCCUGGUCAUAGUAAAUAGCUGAACCUUGCCACCUAGCAUACCUGGUAGUUGCUUGAGCCAUGAUGUGCCUUAUCCUGCUAUGCAUGCUACGCUUAGAGUUGUGUAUGGUCUGUCAUCUGGGAGAUGAACAUAAUUGUGAGAAUGUGUUCAUUAAGUAAAGGUUGUGAGUUGAACAUGAUUUGGUAAAGGUACCGGUGAAAGGCUAUGUAGGAGUACAUGGCGGGUUGUUUCAUUGGAACCGUCCUUAGGAACUGAGUUCCGUGUAUGUAAUCCAAGACGAGAUACUACCACAUGCUGGGCCAUGAAAUAUGACCCCUCUCGACUUAUUAAUCGCUUAGUACUCGGUCCAGGAGUUGCAAGUAGUUUCUCGUGUUUAUAAUCAUGCUGGAGGCCGUGCAUAGUGCUGACCUGAGAGGUGGGCUGUGAUGCGGUAGGCAGUGGCACGGUGUACCAAGUGGUACCCGGAUGGUGGCUUGGGAACCCUGCGCACAUCGUUUGGGGCCGUGGCGGAAACCUCGGCCGGACUUCCGUGCGGGUAACCCUCAGAUAGGCGAUAAACCUGGACUAAGUAUUAGCUUAGUUAACGGUCGUGGCCGACUCCCUCGCUGGGCUUCCGGUUGAAGGUUGCCGAGGUGCAUGACGCGCACAUGGCGAUAAGUGGCGAGAGCGUGUGUGAAGGAGUACACCCCUGCAGGGUUAUGAUCUAUUCGAAUAGCCGCGUCCGCGGAUAUGGACUACUUGGAGACAUAUGUUGUUCAUAGAUAACUUCAAUGGCUACUCUUAAAAAUGUCAAGAUAAGCGUGAGUGUCGUAGACGGCAUUUCCGUAUGGAGAUGGAAUGAUUCCUCAUGGAGUAUUGUUGUGGUGUUAGUGGACUCGUGUGCGAGAAAUCAAGUUGUCAAAAUUAUUUAAAAAUGCAAGUUGUCUAUCCACGAGUCAAAUGUUGGCUUCCCGCAUGAAACCCCACAAUUCCUUAUUGAUACAUUGCAUGGGUAGAUAGUUAUCCUAAAGUCUUGCUGAGUACUUCUGUACACAUGUUUGCUUAAUAAUUUGUUGUAGAGGUUGCUAAUGACCCUAAUGUAGAGUUCUUUCUAGACAUCGACGACGACGAGUAGGUGGUGUCCCAGCUACGAUCUAGCCCUAGGUUGGGUCUGUAGUAUAGUCAGGCCAUGUGCCUUCUAGUUUCACCUGUCUGUACUCAGACAGUUUAAUCACUUCCGCUGCCUUGUAACUGAAUGACUACUAUGAUGGGUCGUAAGACCCCUACUGUGUAAUAUUAUGUGUGUGGCUCUUCCGAGCCAUUUAAAUAAAGUUUGUAUGUUUAUGCUUCUGUUGUGAUGCCAUCGAUGUAUCUAUACAUAUCGGUAUGUCAUGCGUACGUGUGUCGUACUUGAUAUGUAUGGGGUUCGAUUACCUAGUCGUAGACUUUAGUAGCAUUCUUUACAGGGAAAUGCCCCUUUGUGAUCCAACGAGCCAUGGUAGCUCGCUACUGCUCCGGACACAUUGGUUGACCGGCAUGUGUCCUUCUUAGCUGCUGUGUGUGUCCCCUUUGGGGAAAUGUCACAUGAUGUAAUGGUGUCCUUGUAGCUUGCUACGACUCGUCUACAUUCGCUGGUGACUGACACCUGCUUUGCUGGGUCAUGUAUGCCUGUCCCUGUGCGGAACUGCCACUUUGGUUUAUGACUAGACAUGUCGAUCCGGGUUCUUUGUCAUUGGAUUGCUAGCGACACAAUUGCAUACGCGAGUCAAAAGGCGCAAACGGUCCCGACUAAGGUAAGACUGCAGCCGUGGGGUUAACCGUGCGUGAGACCGCAAAGAGAUGUGAUGUGUUACAGGCUGGAUUCAUAUGGCUUAGGAUCGGGGUCCCGACAGCGUUGGUACCAGAGCCUGACUGACUAUAGGACUACUAAGCCAAACUGUUCGAAGUUGAGUCUAGAAUUGCUUUAGUUAUAUAUAAGGGAAUUGUUUGUGGAUGGGAACGUAAGACUCUUGUUCUCUUCUCAAGUUAUUCUAUUCCGGUUAUCCUCGUCUUUUCUACGGGAAUUAAGGACUAGGUUACUCAUCUUCUUCUAGGCUCGUGUUUCUGAUCGGUAGAUUAUAAGACUACGGGUCGAGAGUUAUAUUGGGUUUAUUUUAUCCCUAGGAAAGAGGAAGUAAGUUUGAUUAUCAGAGAAUUGAACUUGAUAGUUGAGUGGUUACUCUAUUCUAUUUUUGGGUUGUCUCAAAAUUGUUUUUGAGCAUUUACAGUCGUUAUGCUGCCCAAUUUUGCAUUCAGAGCACUAAUGCUUUUGCAUUACUCUCUAUUUUCAGAUGCCUGGCCGUCCUUCUCAUAAGGUGGUAGGUCUGACCAGGUGCAUUGAUGUGCCGGGUCAUACGGCCAUGCUGGUCAGGGUGAUGUCGGUGUGCGGUUACCGCUGGUACCCAGAGUACACAGUGGAGGAACUGUACCGAGAAUUCAACCAGAGCCAGUAUAUCUGCACUAUUAGGGUAUUUCCAGACUACCCUGGAGCUGAGGAGCCAAUCCAUUGGUCCUAUGGGUUGGGAGUCACUGUUGACAUGGCAGUACAAGAUGCUACCUAUUCAAUGUUGACCAUUAUGAGGGCGCGACAUGCACUGCUGCAGAACUCGGAGUUCUGCUAUGUUCCUGCCUCUCAGCCAGGUGAAGAGGGACACCUCAGCGGGGUCUGUUUUGAUUCCUCUAUGGAGGAUCCGCUACUGCAGUCCACUGCUGAGAUGCUAGAGAACAGAGACAUGGAUGCUCGUGCCCUCCGCAUGGAGCUUUAUGCCACACGUGCUCGUCUAUGGAUGGCUUUGACGCAGCAGGCACCGGUAGUCCAGACAGGGUACGGAGAUAUGGAGAUGCUGAACCCUGUUAGGACCCAUCUUCCGGCCCAUGUUGACUGGCCCGCUAUAGGAGGAGUCACCCCUCUUCGGGGACCCCUACUACCACCAGUCAGGGGACCAAGGCCACAUCCGUGUCCUUAUGGAUCCCAGGGAUCUCAGGCUAGAGUAUUUCCUGAUCCGCAGGUUGAGCUUCCAGGCCAUGGAGGCAAUCUCUAUGAGAUGUUCUAUGCGGAUGCCUGAGCUGUGAGUGGAAGGAUAGUAUGGUAGUAGCUGUACGUUCACAGUCCUGUGUAAAUUGUGAAGUAUGCUUGUGAUGUGAAAUGAAUUCGGGAGGCCUAGAUAAAUAAUGUAUAGAAAGCUUGUAAGCCUCUGAUGAGUAGUUUCAUAAUUUCAGUAGUUUGCUCCUCGGUUAAGGUUGUACUGAACUAUGUAAGGGUGUGUAUGAACCAUGGUGUAUAUAUAGAAGUUGCUUGUUACCAUGUUGUUCGGAUAUUCAUUUCCGCAUUCCAUGUGUUCAGUGCAUUCUGAAUCCAUAGCUAGUAUUGAUAAUGAUUUUGAUCUAAGCUGUGAGUUUGUUUGUUAGGAUGGUGUUCACCAGGUUGAACCGUGCCCCUACUCAUGAGCAAGGCGAGGGUAGUCAGGCGUCGCAGGAAGACCUGCCUCACCCGCCCUCUCUGGCGGAAGUGAUGCUUGAGGCAGAGAGAAACAAAAGGGAGACCAACCGACUGUUAGAGCGUAUUGAGCAGAAUACGGCUCGUCAGCCUAGGAAUGCUGCAGUGUCCCUCAAUGACUUCGUGAAGCUGAAUCCUCCAAAGUUCCAUCACUCCGUCGAUCCCCUCGACGCUGAUGACUGGCCGUGCAGUAUCUCACAUAAGAUUCGCUCUGCGAAUGUUUCUGAGGCCGACAAGGUGACCUUUGCGGCGUACUUUCUGGAAGGACCCGCUAAUCUGUGGUGGGAGAACUUUGAAGCUAUGUGUCCUGCUGAACCAGCAGCCACAUGGGCAGACUUUAGUGCAGCCUUCCGUCUGCACCAUAUUCCAGUGGGCCUGAUGGACAGAAAGGGAGAGGAGUUUUGUGCAUUCACCCAGGGAAAGUUGACCGUGGAUGCCUAUAGCCGCGAGUUCGGUAACCUCGCCCGCUAUUCAACAUAGGAGGUGUCUAGUGACGCCAAGAAGCAAGCAAGAUUCCGUAAGGGUCUGAGCCCUGAGCUUCGUCGUGAUCUGCGCCUCCACGAGUGUGCAAGCUUCCAAGCCCUGGUCAACAAGGCGAUCAGUGCCGAGACUGGUCAUACCGACUUUGAAGCCACAAGGAAGCACUCCCGUGACUUUGGCUCGUCAUCUAGCUCCGCGUUUCCAAAACGCAGGCUGUGGGUUCCAAACAGUUCUCUGCCGCCAAGAUACACUCUGAGGCCAUCCUACGUGGCGCCUCAGACGAAUCAGACCAACCCUCCAGCAAAAACCUAUGGUGGUCCAACUAGCAAUGCUGCACCACGUGCCAACCAAGUGAUAUGCUACAAGUGUGGAGGACCAGGGCACUAUUCCCGUGAGUGUCCUCAGAAUGUGGGUGCCAAGCAACCCGGAAAGUCCGUCGGGCAAGGCAAGUCGGGCAAAGCUUACUAUGUGAAGCCAACUCCUGCACGUGGCCGUGUGAACUAUGUCUCAGCAGAAGAAGCUGCAGAGGAUCCCGACGUCAUACUGGGUACGCUUCUUGUUAAUCAUCACCCAACGUCUGUUAUUUUUGACACUGGGUCUUCUCAUUCCUUCAUUUCAGAAAGUUAUGCACAGUUGCAUAACAUGUCUUUUUGUGAUAUGCCAAUUCCAUUGGUUGUCCAAACUCCUGGUAGUAAGUGGCAAACCUCUAGGAUAACCUAUGACAAUGAAAUUCUAGUAGACACGCUAGUUUUACUAGCCUCAUUGAUAGCCCUGAAAUCUUCAGAUAUUAAUAUCAUCUUCGGUAUGGACUCGAUGUCAGUUCACUAUGGCAAGAUUGAUACUCAUACUAGAAAUGCUCAGCUUACCCAUCGGGUUAGAUAGUCAAUGUCUCUCCUCGAGUUGCCAAGUGCCAACUCUAUUCCCUCAAUGCCAACCCUCUUCCGGAACUUGAAGACAUCCCGGUACUCCGUGAUUUUCUAGAUGUUUUUCCAGAGGAACUGCCAGGAAUUCCACCUGACAGAGAUGUAGAGUUCGUGAUAGAUCUUGUUCCGGGAACUGUUCCAAUAGCCAGAAGACCAUAUAAGAUGGCACCCCUGGAUCUAGCCGAACUUAAGAAGAAAUUAGAUGAGGCCUUGAAUAAAGGUUUCAUUCGCCCUAGCUCUUCUCCUUGGGCUUGCCCCGUCCUAUUCGUCAAGAACAAAGACGGAACGGAUCGGAUGGUUGUAGAUUACCGACGAGUUAAUCUGGUCACCAUAAAGAACAAGUAUCCGCUCCCCAGGAUCAACGACCUGUAUGAUCAGCUCGAUGGAUCCUCGAUCUUCUCCAAAAUGGAUUUGAGGUUGGGAUACCAUCAAAUCAAGAUCAAGAACGGGGACAUUCCAAAAACGGCUUUUGUUACUCGCUAUGGCCAAUACGAGUACACCGUCAUGUCCUUCGGUUUAACCAAUGCCCUAGCCACCUUCUCUCGUCUGAUGAAUUCAAUCUUCAUGGAGUAUUUGGAUAAAUUCGUCGUGGUAUACCUCGAUGAUAUUCUCAUCUACUCGAAGAACGAACGGGAACAUGCCGAGCAUCUAAGGCUGGUAUUGAUGAAACUUCGAGAGCAUCGCCUUUAUGCCAAGUUUUCGAAAUGUGAAUUUUGGUUACCAGAAGUGACCUAUCUAGAUCACGUAAUCUCUAGUAAGGGUAUUGCUGUCAAUCCCGAGAGAGUUCAAGCCGUCCUUGAUUGGACUCAACCUGAAUCGGUUAAGCAAGUUAGGAGUUUUUUGGUCUAGCGAGCUAUUGUUGCCGCUUUGUCGAGAAUUUCUCCAAGGUUGCAAAGCCUCUAACUAAACUCCUCAAGAAGGAUAAAAAGUUCGAGUGGACACCAUAGUGUGAGCAUAGUUUUCAGGAACUGAAAAGACGCCUGACUUCCGCACGUGUGUUGCUACCACCAGAUUUUUCUAAGGACUUUGUUAUCUAUUGCGACGCCUCGCGACAAGGAUUAGGUUGCAUUCUCAUGCAAGAUCGUCAUGUAAUUGCAUACGCAUCUCGACAGUUGCAUCCACAUGAGGAUAAUUAUCCCACACAUGAUCUUGAGCUUGCAGCUGUAGUCCAUGCACUAAAAACCUGGCGACAUUACCUUCUGGGUAAUCGUUGCGAAAUAUUCACUGAUCACCAAAGUCUAAAAUAUAUCUUCACCCAGCCGGAUUUGCAUCUCAGGCAAAGACGGUGGGUUGAGUUGAUCUCGGAUUACGACUUAGGGAUUACUUACACCCCGGGGAAGGCCAAUGUUAUGGCUGAUGCACUAAGUCGUAAAUCUUAUUGUAACAACUUGAUGCUACAACAAGGUCCACCACAUCUCUAUGAGGAAUUUCAGAAGUUAAAUCUUCAUAUUGUUCCUCAAGGAUUCCUUUCUACCCUGGUGGCAAAGCCUACCCUUAAGGAUCAAAUUAUAGCUGGCCAGAAGCGUGACAAGGGUAUAUCACGGAUCAAGGAGAAUAUUAUUAGCGGAAACGCUAAUGAAUUCUCCAUGAAUGAUCAAGGUGUUAUGUUCUUCCAGAAUCGUCUAGUGGGUCCUAAGAACCCACAUCUAAGGCAGUUAAUCCUUAAGGAGGCGCAUGAUUCUCCUCUCACCAUUCAUCCCGGUAGUACUAAGAUGUAUCAGGACCUACGCCAGAGGUUCUGGUGGACUAGGAUGAAGAGAGAAAUUGCUGAGUUCGUUGCCAACUGCGACGUUUGUCGUCGAGUUAAGGCAGAACAUCAAAGGCCUGCUGGCACCCUUCAACCUUUAGCUAUUCCUGAAUGGAAAUGGGAUAAAGUUAGUAUGGAUUUCAUCACAGGAUUUCCCAAGACCAAGAAAGGAAAUAAUGCUAUCUUUGUGGUCAUUGACCGUCUCUCCAAAGUAGCUCAUUUUCUUCCAGUUCGUGAGAGUAUAACAGCUAGCCAGUUAGCAGAGUUAUAUGUCUCUUGAAUAGUGUCUCUUCAUGGUGUUCCCGUGGAGAUUAACUCAGAUCGUGGGAGUAUCUUUACUUCUCGCUUCUCGGAAAGUUUUCAAAAUGCUAUGGGGACACGCUUAUCUUUUAGCACUACUUUCCAUCCGCAAUCAAGUGGUCAAGUAGACAGAGUGAAUCAAAUCGUAGAAGAUAUGCUCCGAGCUUGUGUUAUAUCGUUCAGUAUGAAUUAGGAGAAGUGAAUUCCAUUCGCCGAAUUUUCUUAUAACAAUAGUUAUCAAACAAGCCUGGGCAAAGCCCCUUUUGAAGUUCUCUAUGGACGAAGAUGUCGAACACCUCUUAAUUGGUCAGAAACCAAAGAGAGGUAACUCUUUGGCCCGGAUAUGAUCCAGGAUGCAGAAGAGAAGGUUCGCAUUAUUCGUGAAAAGUUGAAAACAGCCCAGUCUCGUCAAAAGAGCCAAUAUGAUCGUCAUCAUAAGGUUGUGACCUUUGAAGUUGACGAGAAGGCUUACCUUCGGGUUACACCUUUGAAGGGUACCCAUCGAUUCGGUAUCAAAGGCAAGUUGGCUCCUCGUUACAUUGGUCCUUUUCGCAUUCUUGCCAAACAAGGAGAAGUUGCCUACCAGUUGGAACUUCCUUCGCAUCUUUCCAAGGUUCAUGAUGUCUUCCACGUCUCGCAACUCAGGCGUUGCUUUUCGGAUCCUAUCCGUGAAGUGGACCACGAAACGCUUGAUCUCCAAGAUAACCUUUCAUACCGAGAAUACCCCAUGCGUAUUCUUGAUCAAGCUGAGCGUACCACUCGACGUCGAAACCUCAAGUUUCUUAAAGUUCAAUGGUCAAAUCAUUCUGAGAAGGAGGCCACUUGGAAAAGAUAGGAUCGUCUCCGACUUGAGUAUCCUGCGUUAUUCCUGACGACCUCUAAAUCUCGGGACGAGAUUCUUUUGAGUGGGGGUGAAUUGUCACAUCUCUGAAACCCUAAUCAAGUUAACAUUGUGCUCAUAUCUUCUUUGCAUUGCAUCCAAGAAAAUCGCAACAAGGUCAAAGCAAGUGGUGAAGCAAAACUCAAAAACCCUAGCCACUUCUCAAAUUCAAAGAAAUUCUAAACUUGUUCAAAUCAAUGAACCCAAAAUGGCCUCAAGAAAAGUUCAACUUUUCUGAUAAUUCAUGGAAGCAAAUAAGCAGUGAAGAAAACUAUUUUCAUAACACAUUUGGCAUUUUAUUUAAAUGCAAAAGGCUACUGGAUUCAAGUUUAAAUUUGAAUUCAAAAACUUUAAGUUUUCAAAAAUGUUGUAAACUUCUCGAAUGGUUGGAUAUAUUCCAACAAAUAUUUUGGUGUGUUCGAAAUAUUUUUGGUAAACUAUUUUGGAGCUGAAAUAAAAAAGCAAAUUAAAAUAGUUAGCAAAUCAGAAAAACAAAACAGAAAAAAGAAGAAGAAAACCUACUUGUCGCUUACCUGUGAGGCCCAGCCCACCAGGGGCAGGGUCGUCUUCUUCCUCUACCUUCUGGCAGAGGAGAGAUCGACCACGGCGGCCUCCUCCACCUCCUGCUUCGCCGUGCCGACCUCCCGUGCCCCCCAGGACAGCGCGACAACGGGGAUGACUACCCCGAGCGCGUCCCUAUUAGUUCCCGAGCGCCAUUCCCCCUCUCCUCUCGGUUCUCUCCUCCCUCCUCCUGCCGCCAUUGACAGAAGCUCGAACUCGAGCUGCCCGAGCUCUCUGGCCACAGGGAAGCCCCCCGAGUGUUCCAUCCUCUUCGCAACGUCGAGCCAGACACGCACGUCGACGAAACCAUCCUCGCCGAGCCCUGCAACGCCUCCAGUGCCGUCGUCUUCAACCUUCGGCCGCCGGCAAAUCGACGGUGGAUCGCCGGCUACAGCCCCUCCCCGAGCAGUCUGAGCCCAGCUUCGCCUCCACCGUGAGCUUGCGAGCAUUUUCCCUCUGUUUCCCCUCUCUCUCCGACACUCUAGCCCCGAGACCCAUGAACCCGAGCUCCGGCAGCCGCCUCGGCUCGUCGUCGGCAUGCUCCGGCCACCCAUAGCCCCUCCUGAUGCCCGUAGAGGAUGAGGCCGAGCCUGGGGAUCAUCCCGGUGCUCUCGGCACUCGAUUCCGAGCAACACAGUGCGUUUUGGUGCGUCUCCGGCGAAGAUCCAUCGCGGAUCUGGUCGCCGCCGGUCAGUCUCUGGCGGGGGACGACGUGGCCGGCCUAAUCCCGGUGGAUUAGCACUAAGAAGCCACUGACAGUGGGCCCUAGCAGUAGGUCAAAUCCACUUAGGGACUGGUCAGCGCGGGAUUAGCUCCUGAGACGCUGACCAGUGGCCCCCACCUGUGAGGUUUGACCUGACCAGGUCAAUUGACCUGCUCACGCAUUGCUGAUGUAGUUAUGACGCAAUAAGUGGAUUUCUGAAUUAAAAGAAUUCCAGAAAAAUGCCAAAACUUCUAAAAAUCAUAGAAAUUAAUCUGUAACUCCAAUGAAAAUAAUUUAUACAUGAAAAAGUAUAAGAAAAAUCGAAGGAAUCUGAAUAUGUCAUUUUCAAACAUGUUUGAAAAAUGCUACUGGACAAAACAUGUAGAAUAAUGAAUAAGUUAAAUUUUAUAAAUGCUAUGGAGAUGGAAUUUGAAAAUCAUUUGAAUUCGACUUCAAAUGAUAUGAUCAAACAUUGUUCAAUCACAAACCAGCAACUUAACAUGUGAUUUCGAUGAUGUUAAAAUCAAGUUGACCUGCACAUCAGGUCGAAUCAAUUAAAAUGGUAUUCGAGAAUACCUGGUUUGAAGUGAUAUUUGAAUCUGAUUCAAAUCAACUUCAAACCUAACAAAUGUUAGCUAUAUUAGCAAACCACCUUGAAUCCUCAUGCCAUGCUCAUGCAUCAUCUUGUUGCAUAUGGUAGUCAUUGAUUGUUAUCAUCUCUUUCGGUAGGCUCCGCUCCUCCGGAUUCCACUGAAUAUCCGACUGACGGAUAUUGUCCCUCCUCUGAGCAACAAGGCAAGGAACCAUUUUGAUCAUCCCGAUAAAUCCCAUGUUCUCGCUCCUGCACUUACUUAUUGCAUUAGGAUCAAAUGCUUCAAAUGCUUUUGCCACGUUAGUUGAACCCACUUCCUUUGCAUGACUUGUCCUUGUCACAGUAAAUAGCUGAACCUUGCAACCUAGCAUACCUGGUAGUUGCUUGAGCCAUGAUGUGUCUUAUCCUACUAUGCAUGCUAUGCUUAGAGUUGUGUAUGGUCUGUCAUCUGGGAGAUGAACAGAAUUGUGAGAAUGUGUUCAGUAAGUAAAGGUUUGUGAGUUGAACAUGAUUUGGUAAAGGUACUGGUGAAAGGCUAUGUAGGAGUACAUGGCGGGUUGUUUCAUUGGAACCGUCCUUAGGAACCGAGUUCCGUGUAUGUAAUCCAAGACGAGAUACUACCACAUGUUGGGCCCUGAAAUAUGACCCCGCUCGACUUAUUAAUCGCUUAGUACUCGGUCCAGGAGUUGCAAGUAGUUUCUGGUGUUUAUAGUCAUGCUGGAGGCCGUGCAUAGUGUUGACCUCGGAGGUGGGCUCUGAUGCGGUAGGCAGUGGCACGGUGUACCAAGUGGCGCCCGGAUGGUGGGCUUGGGAACCCUGCGCACAUCGUUUGGGGCCGUGGCGGAAACCUCGGCCGGACUUCCGUGCGGGUUACCCUCAGAUAGGCGAUAAACCUGGACUAAGUAUUAGCAUGGUUAACGGUCGUGGCCGACUCCCUCGCUGGGCUUCCGCUUGAAGGUUGCCGAGGUGCAUGACGUGCACAUUGCGAUAAGUGGCGAGAGCGUGUUUGAAGGAGUACACCCUUGCAGGGUUAUGAUCUAUUCGAAUAGCCGCGUCCGCGGAUAUGGACUACUUGGAGACAUAUGUUGUUCAUAGAUAACUUCAAUGGCUACUCAUAAAAUUGUCAAGAUAAGCGUGAGUGUCGUAGACGGCAUUUCCGUAUGGAGACGGAAUGAUUCCACGAUGGAGUAUUGUUGUGGUGUUAGUGGACUCGUGUGCGAGAAAUCAAGUUGUCAAAAAUUAUUUAAAAAUGCAAGUUGUCUAGCCACGAGUCAAAUGCUGGCUUCCUGCAUGAAACCCCACAAUUCUUUAUUGAUACAUUGCAUGGGUAGAUAGUUAUCCUAAAGUCUUGCUGAGUACUUCUGUACUCAUGUUUGCUUAAUAAUUUGUUGCAGAGGUUGCUAAUGACCCUAAUGGAGGGUUCUUUCUAGACAUCGACGACGACGAGUAGCUGGUGUCCCAGCUACGAUCUGGCCCUAGGGUGGGUCUGUAGUAUACUCAGGCCAUGUGCCUUCUAGUUUCACCUGUCUGUACUCAGACAGUUUAAUCACUUCCGCUGCCUUGAAACUGAAUGACUGCUAUGAUGGGUCGUGAGACCCCUACUGUGUAAUAUUAUGUGUGUAGCUCUUCCGAGCCUUUUAAAUAAAGUUUGUAUGUUUAUGGUUAUGUUGUGAUGCCAUCGAUGUAUCUAUACAUAUCGGUAUGCCAUGCGUACGUGUGUCGUACUUGAUAUGUAUGGGGUUCGAUUACCUAGCUGUAGAAUUUAGUAGCAUUCUUUACAGGGAAAUGCCCCUUUGUGAUCCAACGACCCAUGGUAGCUCGCUACUGCUCCGGACACAUUGGUUGACCGGCAUGUGUCCUUCUUAGCUGUUGUGUCUGUCCCCUUUGGGGAAAUGUCACAUGAUGUAAUGGAGUCCUUGUAGCUUGCUACGACUCGUCUACAUUCGCUGGUGACCGACACCUGCUUUGCUGGGUCAUGUAUGCAUGUCCCUGUGCGGAACUGCCACUUUGGUUUAUGACUAGACAUGUCGAUCCGGGUUCUUUGUCAUUGGAUUGCUAGCAACACAAUUGCAUACGCGAGUCAAAAGGCGCAAACGGUCCCGGCUAAGGUAAGACUGCAGCCGUGGGGUUAACCGUGCGUGAGACCGCAAAGAGAUGUGAUGUGUUACAGGCUGGAUUCCUAAGGCUUAGGAUCGGGGUCCCGACAGAUCCCUUCCCGCCGAAGCUAUGAGGGAAGAGGACCCGUGCCUCCUCUAUAAAUAGAAAGGGUAGAACACUUGGUAGGGGGAUCGGUUCAUUCUGACCCUAGAGCAACACACCAAGCCACUUAGCCUUCGGAGGCUCGAGAGAACCGUACUAGUUCAUCCACCAACCUCUGCGAGAGGCAAUCCACCAAAAGAAGGAGUAGGGUUUUACGCUUCGCGGCGGCCCGAACCUGGGUAAACUGUUGUGUUCUGUGUUUCCCUCACCAUCGAGUGAGUCCGUCAUCGUUUCCAUCGAGUAGCCAACUAGGCAAAGCUAAGUAGGGAGGAACCAUCGUACACACCGGUGUGUUCGAAUCCUUAGGGUUUUGCGGAACCCGAAAUCUGACAAUGGCCAACAUGUACAAGCCGGUGCCCCAUGAGUUUGUGUUGUUGCACAAGUUUGGUUGUGUCUAUUUCUAGCAAGCAGGAAUACCUACUAUGAACACCAUUGUGAGAUACACCCACAUGCCCAAAUUAGGUGAUGAUAAGAUGAUUACAUGUUAUUCCAUCAACAUGAUGCAUCAUCUAGAUACUCACACCAAGUUUCAAGUGAUGGACUUGAUAGUUGAUACUGUCAAGAGGAAUGAUGUAGGUUAGAAUGGAUCGUGUGGAUAUGCUCCAUAUAUUCAGAUGAUCAUCAAUGUCAAGAUUGGCAAGCAUGCAUAUCUACUUGAUCGUCCCCACCUGCCAUGUCAGCUUGAUUUUGAAGACAAUGAAGUUGUGAUGGACGAAAGCCAUCCCAGCUCAGCUACUGCUCGAGAGGCAGUAGAAGGAGCAACAUCAGAGGCUGCUAGUUAUGCUCCAGCUCCAACCCCACGACUCCGAACCAGAGAUGAGUAGAUGUCAUUCUUGGUCAGCACCAUCCAAGGGAUGGAGAAGAAAGUUUUUGAUAUCUUGAUGAACCAGAAGAACUUCGAGUCGAUCGUGGAGACAAACUUCCAUGACCUGGAUGUUAAGGUAACGGAGUUGACUUCCACUGUUUAGCUGCUCCAACAUGAAGUUGAUUAUGUGAAUAUUCCAUGCUCUAGUAGUGACGAUGAAGAGUCACCUCUUCCUAUUACUAAUCAAUUCAGGACCCAGACUAGGUCAGCAGGUAUGCCAGUUCUGGAAGCAAGACCAUCUUCAUCACCUCAAGCUUCAUCUCCUGCUCCUACACCUCUAGUGUCUACACCUCCACCUCCAAGGACUUCUGUAGAAGCCUUCAUCAACGCUCUCUUGUCCACUCCAUCAUCAGCUACCGGAGGAGAUCGUGCCCAGAGAGACGCUUAGUUCUAGACCUUUGAACUUUUUGGUAACAUGUUGCCAAAGGAGAGAAGUUUAUAGAUCAAAUAGGGCUUCGAGAGGGACACAUUUACAUUUUAUUUCUUCUCAUUUCGUUUUCCAAAACUUUUGGUCUUUUGGAGGACUUCAUCUGUUUAGGAGGAGUGUUUNNNNNNNNNNNNNNNNNNNNNNNNNNNNNNNNNNNNNNNNNNNNNNNNNNNNNNNNNNNNNNNNNNNNNNNNNNNNNNNNNNNNNNNNNNNNNNNNNNNNCUAUAGGGCGAAUUCAACAAAAUCAGCCGCCUUGAGAAUGCAAAGGAAAUUUAUGAUACUUUGAUUGAUAUGCACAAAGCUAUUGUUUCAAUCAGAGAAUAUAAGUUGGAUGUGCUUCAAAGUCAGCUUGACAAGUUGAAGAUGAAGGAUGGUGAAGGAGUCACUGAAAUGUAUUCUAGGGUAGCUCUCAUCACAAAUGAGAUUAUCGGCUUAGGAAGUGAAGAUGACCGACAAAUUAAAAAUCUAGAAGAUACUUAGAGCCUUGGAUGGAAGAUACAACACCGUCUGCACAUUAAACCAAAUGAUGUCAAACUACAAGGAUCUCAAGCCAACUGGAGUCGUUGGAAGGAUUGUUCCUCAUGAAAUGUCUCUCAAGGACAAAGAUGAAUUGCACAACAAGUCAAGCGGUGAUUAGAAAUCUUCAAGUGAUACUCCCGCUAAUGCAAGUGACAACCUUGUUACCAAUUAAGAGAUCAACCUCACGGUAAGAAAAAAUCAACAAAUUAUACAAGAGUAGAGGCAAAGAGAGAUUCUCAAGUUAUGAUGAGUAACAUUCGUCUAGUCAUGACCAAACUCCUACAACUAUGGAAAGCCCGGACACUAUUGCAAUGAGUGCUCGGCUCCCCACAAAUGAAUAGAAGAGUCACCUCGAAGACGAAGCUCAAGAGAUGAGUCACCUCGCAGAGAGAGAAGGAGUAUAGAAGAUCAUUAUGAGCGAAGACACUCUCCAAGAGGCAAGGAAUCGAAGAAGAAGGACAAGUACACCAAGAGGAGUUCAAGAAGAAGACAUCAAGCUCAUGUUGGUGAAUGGGUUUCCAGCUUCGAGUCUAACGACCAAUCCGAGACAAUCUAUCACUCCAACUUCGACUACAGUGAAGAGGAAGGUGUUGCCGGUCUUGCACUCGUUUCCUCCAACUCCUACGACUAAUUUGAUUCCCGAAAUGAAGGGAUUAUCACACCCCGAGUACUUUGACUUUGAUAGUGAUGAGGAUGACUGGUUAGGGGAAGAUGACUUGCUCUUUGAUAAGAGUAGUGAUAUCAUUGAAAAAUGAACUUGAAAAUAAUCAUGCUAGUCAAGAGAAAUCGAAUGAUGACGAUAAGAAAGAGAUGGAUCGACUAACUAAAGAAUUAAACACACUUAAGUUAGGUCAUGAAACUACUCUAGAAGAGAAGCUAUGCUUCGAGAAGCUAAAUUUAGGGGAAGAGCAUGAGUUUCUAAAAGCAAUCAAUGAUGAUGUUAGAAAGAAGAGUUCUUCUUUUCUAGCCAAAUGAUUACUCUUGUCUACUUUUGUUCUACAAGUUAAACUCAAGAACACUAGUAACAAAGGCAAGAAAGUUUCUUCAUCUAGUAACAACAAUGAUAAAGCUAGAUCAAAAGAUGUUGUUGCUAGUAGUUCUCUUGAUUACACUAAUGAUUCUCUUAGCCAAGUUACACUUGAGCUAGAAAAUGAUUUAUUGAAAGGGAUUAUAGAGCGAGGUGUCUUCAAGAGUCUUGCCAGAAGUAAGCAAUUCCAGGAAAUUUUGCGCAAACAAGGAGGACAUCAGAAGAAGCAAGGUGUUGGUUACUUCAAUGUGAACGGAGAUGUUUGGGAAGAAGGUCCAUAUCCCAUUCCCAAGUUUGCUCCUCAAGUGGAGAAGUAUGAUUCUACUCCACUCAGGAGCACAAGCUCUCAAGAUGGCCUUCUACUACAAGACCACAAGGGCAAGGUAAAGCUUCAAGAGGAGAUUGACUCGUCUAAGGAAGAACCCCAAGCCAAGGUCGAGUGGGUUCCCAAGGACACUACUAGCACUACCUCAUCUUGUGAUACCACAACUCCAAGGAUCCCCAUCAAGGUGAUGUGGGUCCCCAAGAGGAAGAAAUAUUAAGUUCUUGAGGGGUGACACCGCCAAUAUAAUUCACUAUUGUUCAUUUUGGCAAUAACUUUAUGCAAUCAACUCCAACCAUAAGCAUUAGUUCAAGGAGUCACACAUUCCCUCAAUGCGGAAAAAGGUACAAGGUAAUUAAUGCAUCAUUGGACAUCAACUCCCAUGUAUUUCAAUCUAUGUCCAUAGAUAUCCUUGCAUUUGUAACUUUUGCUUUGGGACUAACCCAUGUAGGUGAUAAGAGUAAGAGACUAUAAGGAUUGCUCACAACUCAAGAUGAUCUUCAUCAACAAUGAGCACCACCACUACUACACCUACUUGAAGUUUUCUACGACAAAACCCAUGGUUAGUUUAUCCCUCUUAGGGGGGAUGUCACAUCUAGGGGGAGCUUUACUCUAAGACUUGACUAUAAGCGUCUCCUAAACAAUUUGAACAUAUUAAUGCUUUAUGUAAAUGUGGUAAUCCCACUUGUUGCUAAUCGAUGAGUAUGACCUAUGAUCAAGUAUUCUUACUUGGCUCCUAAGUCAAUAUACUCAUAUAUAGUUGACUUCAUCAUCGCCAAAGUGCUUGAUAGAUGCUAGAAUGUGUGUGCAUGUUCACCAUGUUUUAUUUGACAUCUUAUUGUGUCAGCAUCUUGGCAUGCAUAUUUUUCUCAUUCAAGGAUAUCCAUUUGUUGUUAUUUGGCUUUCUAUUUCUUUUGGAUAAUUGGAUAUACAAGAAUGCCUAAGUACCUUCCUCUAGAUAUUUAUGAUUUCUCGUCUCAAAUUCUAUUCAUGCUUGAUCACAAAAUUUGAUCGAGCAAUUUAGGGAAACUCUAUGUGAGGAGCACUCGGAGAUCCUUCUCGGCAAGGGCUGAAUUCCAAAACCUCCCAAAGUGCAUCUAGGUGUGUCCAACCUCAAAAUCUUGGUCCCACCAAAGCCAAGGGUUGAUGAGGUUUUCUCAUCUCAGUACCACCAUACUGUUCUUUUUGGCUUCACCAAUUUUCUCUGUCAGCUAUUAGUUAAGGAACUCGAUGGCACUGAAAAAAUUCAAUAUCGGUGUCACCGACAGCCAGGAGAUAUAUAUAUAUAUCUCCUGGCUGUCGGUGACACCGAUAUUGAAUUUUUUCAGUGCCAUCGAGUUCCUUAACUAAUAGCUGACAGAGAAAAUUGGUGAAGCCAAAAAGAACAGUAUGGUGGUACUGAGAUGAGAAAACCUCAUCAACCCUUGGCUUUGGUGGGACCAAGAUUUUGAGGUUGGACACACCUAGAUGCACUUUGGGAGGUUUUGGAAUUCAGCCCUUGCCGAGAAGGAUCUCCGAGNUAUCGUGCCCUAGUCCCCUGGACUUCUUCUUGAUCCUCCAGUGCGCCCUCGCCACCAUAGUCCUCACCGACAACAGAAUCUUUGCUUCCGUUGCCACCAUAGCGGAUCCUCACCGAGUUAGGGUACGGAUUCGAUUCUUUUUGUGCUCCCUAAAAUCUGAAUCUUGCGCAAAUAAGCACUCACACAUUCUAUCCAAUUGCACUAAUUCUAACCUGAAGAGAAUUCCCAUAGAUUAACGAGUAAAGAAAAUAUUAGGGUUAAGAGUCCGCAAAAUUGAAUCUUGGUGUCACCGAUUCAUAAAAGUUGGUCAUAGCGAUUUUGGUCUUAGGGUUGCUCGGAAGGUUCUCGGUGCAACCGAGUUCUCCUUUUAAGUGAAACCAAAAAGGGUGCCAAGUUUCUGUUAAUGAGUACAUCUGUCUCGGUGGCUUUGAAAUUUCUGACUCGGUGGAACUAAAAUCCCGUUUUGCUGAAUGUUAAAAGUAUUUUUUCAGAGUUCAACUUUCAAAAAACUUCUGCAAUUUUGUUAUGCUCAUCCAUUCUAGCUAUCUUUUCACACGGUCUACUUGUAUGUUGGUCUGCUUGUCCGCUAGUCUGCUUGUCUGCUAGGUCUUGCCAGAAUGUCAGGUUCACAGGAUAGUUAGAACAACUUAAGUGAGUCCAGUGUUGAAAUGCACUCGGGCACUAGUCCUGAGAGGACAUCUUGUAACCCCGGUACUCCUAGCUCCCAUGGCUUGCCCAAGGCAGCUAUCAGGUCCAAAAGGAAGAUCAAUUCUAAUGAAGAUGUUGAUUUCAUCCAUGUGGAAUCUGCUCCUGAGAAGCAGAAGGAGAAUACCAUAGUCAGGAAGACUAUGAGGAAGGAAUAUGCGAGACCUGCUCACAACAGAGGUCCAGAAGCUAGGCUUGCAAAGAAGCCAGGUUAGAAGAGAACCAGAAAAAGGAUUGCCCAUGAUGUUGGGAGGCCAACCUCAAUGUAUGAAGAUCCAGCAGAAGCUGCUGAUUAUGAGGAGGAAUAAAUUCCAGCUCAGGUUCCUCCUCCUAAGAGGAAAAAUCUGAUGGCUAAUGUUAUGCCUAAGAUGACUGCCCCAAGCCUUUUGCACCUAAUGAUAAAAGGUAUGUGGUUCCCAAGAGGACUACAAAUGAUAUUCCUGUAGCUGAAAAUAACAAAGGCUCGGCAUCCAGAGAAUUUGCUGCAGAGGAAGAUGAGGAUGCCAGUGUGCUUAUGAAGCUGGGAGGUCAUCUUCCAACCCAUCAUGCUUCUCACCCUGCUGAUGAGGACAUGAAGAAGAGAAAAGAUCAAGGUCUGAGGAAAUGGAGAUCUGUUGAUCCAUAUGUUGUGAGAAGGAGAACUGUUGUUGAUCCCCGCUUUCACACAAAGGAGGAACAAGAUUUCAAUGAGAUUGUGUUGCUUGAUAAGAAUCCAGUAGCCAGUGACAUGAGAUAUGUAGAUUGAGAGUACAUCAAGGCCAAUGAUGAUUAUUUUCCCCAUGUGAGAUAAAAUUUCAGGAUGGUUGAUAUUGAAGAUUUUGUUGGCAAAGAAAUGACUACUUGGAACGAUGUGAUGAUCAUGCAAUUCUAUUCCACCACUCACUUCUAUUGUGAUGAAAGAAUUCAAUGGGCGGUUGAGGGUGACCGGUAUGAGUCUACAGUUGAUGAAUGGGCCACUCUUAUUGGUGCUCCAAAGGCACAAGAAGGAGACUUCGAUGUGUACUCACAAUGCAAGAUGAAUCACAACACCAUGGCUGUCGGUGUUAUAGGAAUGGGGCUACCCAAACCUGCCUACGUGUGGCCCAGGGCAGGCUCACCUCAUCAAAACAAAACAACGGGCCCGACACUUUUCAAGGAAAGGCCCUCGUGAGGGGCCAAGCCUCAUGAGGAGGAGGAGCGUCAAGACCCGCAGGGGGCCUCCUCCGGACCCCUCUGGAGUGGCGGAUAUUUCGAGGCAAGGCCGGGCCUCAGAAGUCAAGGGUGACACCAGGGGAGGACAGGCGAGCAGCAGAUGGCAGGACGGAACAUUUCCCCUUUAGUGCAAAGGGGGCGGGAGCGUACCGGGGUUCCAAAGGCAUCUUCCAAAGGUUUUCCUUCUGGUGCAACAAAGCCGCCGCCGCACGCGAGUAGGGCAAACGUCAUCCACCGGCCCAUCCCUGCAGCACGGGCAGUUCCUUUGUAAGCGAAGCCCAGCUUUGGGUAGGGGAGCAUGUUCCCUUGUUCCCCUUCAAAAUUCGCCGCUAUGGGAUCCCUUCCCGCUCAAGCUAUGAGGGAAGGGGACCCGGGCCUCCGCUAUAAAUAGAAAGGGUAGAACACUUUGUAGGGGGGUCGGUUCAUUCUCACCCUAGAGCAACGCACCAAGCCACUUAGCCUCCGGAGGCUCGAGAGCACUGUACUAGUUCAUCCACCAACCUUCGCGAGAGGCAAUCCACCAAAACCAGGAGUAGGGAUUUACACUUCACGGCGGCCCGAACAUGGAUAAACUGUUGUGUUCUGUGUUUCCCUCACCAUCGAGUGAGUCGUUCGUCGUUUCCACCGAAUAGCGAGCAAGGCAAAGCUAAGUAGGGAGAGAUCCUCGUACACGCCCGUGUGUUCGAAUCCUUAGGGUUUUGCGGAGCCCGAAAUCCGACAUUUGGUGUGCUAGGUAGGGGCGUGUCGAGGUUUCCUCCAAGCUCCGUCUUCACCAAGCUCCACCGCUCAGAUGGCUGACGCUCGUCGGGCUCGCAUAGAGGGCCACACCACUCGCGUUGCCCAGACAGCGCCCGUCGGUGCCGCCGGCGCGCGCUGGUCGCCGUCACCCGUGGUGAACGCUGCCACCGGUCCCGAAGUUCAAGAGAAACAAGGUUCCUCCCAUCCGGCGACCGAGAAGGCCGAUAGCCGCACCGCCACUCCGUCACUCGUUCGGCCUUCAGGGUUGGUAUCGCUCGCCCGACCAAAGAUCCCCCAUGGUCGGCGCGCGCUUUCCAUGGCCACCGAGCUGCUCCGCUACCGGCCCGCUCCUGACUGCCACGACGACUGGCUCCAGCACAUCGAGGAGCUCAUCGCCGCUAUUGGUGACUCCGUGGCGCUCUCUGCUCGCUCCGACCCCAACCGUCCCUGGCAAACGAUGAGGAGCACGAUACGCCACCCCCACCUCCGCAGCACGGCGCAGACCCCGAGCCCAGACAGGAAGCGCGCCCCCGCGACCAGCCUCGUGAACCCAGGACGGGACCUGGAGAUGAAGCAAGCUGCCAGGUGGUUCCCCAGCCUCGUGUCGAUGUGCGUGCGCCCCAGCGCUGCAAAUUCUGUGUCGUGAGCGCGCCCCGCUCGAAGCAGACCCCGUGGAGCAACAAGACCCAUCGGCUCCCGCGCACAGUACCCGUUGGACCGGUGGGGUGCCUAGCCAUCGCCUCAAGCUUUACCCCGCUGCGUGGCCCUGCAAGUUCAAGCCCGACCUGCCUCCACGCUACGAUGGCACCCAAGACCAGGUUGAGUUUCUGCAACUUUACAUGAUGAGCAUCAGGGUGGCGGGAGGAGGCGACAAGGUCAUGGCGUGUUGGUUCCCCAUCGCGCUCAAUGUCGGCACUCUCUCCUGGCUCCUUAACCUCCCUAAGGCGUCCAUCACCUCCUAGUACGACGUGCGCGAGCGUUUCAUCGCCAACUUCCAGGGCACCCGCGACCGCACUCCUACUAUGAACGACCUGUGGCGCGUCAAGCAACAGGAGGGAGAGACUCUGCACAAGUUCAUACAGCGCGUCAUGGUCAUGCGCCCCAAGAUCCCCAAGCCGUUGGACGAAGUCGUCAUCUCGGCUUUCUCCGACGGAGUGACCGACCUCAAGAUGAAGGAGGAGCUCGCCAUGAACGAUGAAAUGAGCAUUGCACUGGAGAUGUUCAACUUAGCAAGAAAAUGCGCCAAGGCUGAAGAAGGGCGCAUGUCACUCCUCGAGCCCCAGGCAGGGGAUCCAGAAGAGAUGAAGGCCAAGGCCAAGGAGGUGAAACGCAAAGCUCCGGAGGUGGUCGGCACCGAGCUCGAGGUGAAGCAUGUCCGAGGGGGAAAGCGCCCGUCCGGAGGAGGACCAACGUGCAUCUUCCAUGGCACCAGCGGCCAUGAUACCUGCAAGUGUCAAGAACUCCGCCUGGUUCGUGCCAAGCACUUUAGCAGGCACCCCGGACGGUUCAACAGAGACCCCGCACGCGGAGGAGGCUGCGGUGGGGGCCGCUGGGAUGACAGUGAGCCACGUCAGGGGUGGCGUGAAUAGCCUCAGGAGGACCCCUGGCGUGGCCAGCCUUAGGAGGACCGCUGGCGCAAUAACCCUCACGAGGGGCAACGACGCGGUCAGCCUGGUGAGGCUCGCCCUCGUGAGGCCGGGAUGCCCCCGUUGCCUCCACCACCCAGGAGGAGGGAUAAGGACAUGCAGGACGAUGGGGCUGGGGGCUUCCAGGAGGUCAGGGCGGUGGCCUCCAUCCUGGGCGGUGCCCAAACCCCAGCCUCCAACCGAGCCUUCAAGCAGUUUUCCAGGGAGGUGAAUGCCUCCCUCGUGAGGCCUGAAGCAAUGCGCCCCUCAACUGGUCCCAUACCACCAUCGCCUUCCACCCAUGCGACCAGCUCAGGUGCUCGUUCAUGGCCGGCAAACUCCCGAUGAUAUGCACCCCGACCAUCAGCAACGUCCUCAUAACCAAGACCUUCGAGAAACUCCAGUUGCCGUAUGAACAGCUCAUGCUGACCAAGCCCUUCUCAGGAGUCACGGAGGGGUGCAUCAUGCCCAUCGGGAGAGUGCAUCUGCCCGUCACCUUUGGUGAGCGCAAGAACUACCACACUGAGAUCAUCGUCUUCAACAUCGCACACAUUCACCUUCCAUACAACGCAAUCCUCGGAUACUUGGCACUCGCCAAGUUCAUGGCAGUGAUCCACCAUGGUUACAAUGUCCUCAAGAUGCUAGGGAGCGGAGGCAUCAUCACCAUCCCCUGCGACGAGAAUGAUGUCGUCUGUGCACUGGAGCGCGCCUACCGCACGACGGCGGUAGAGCACUCGGACGACAAAGAAGACGAGUUGCCUUGCGAGGACCCACGCAAGAAGAAGAAGGAACUCCUCUGCACGGAGGGCCUCAGAGCUUUGGGCUCCGUGCCUGGGGACGGGGCCAUGCCCCCAUCGCAUAGGAAGGCGCGCACGGCGCUCCCCUUCGGUCAGGACUCGGGGCUCCCACCGGGGAGGUCCCAGGCCUGACCAGUAAGGUGGGGUGAUGUUUGAGCACAUCCCGAGGGCACACUCCAGAGCGUGUGCAGCCUGCUCCCGUGAGUCCGUCAUCAGAGCAAUCCGAGAACUUCGAGAGCCCAAGCCGUGCGACGUGGUGACUGCCCUGCACCACCAAUCGCAGUCGCCGUCGUUGGCACGGUUGACCGGCCGCGCAUCUGCAUCAACGCACACCGAACCAACAUAGUCGCGGCUUACAGCCCCUUUUGGCCUACACUGGCUGACUAUUGGUGGGUGUAUACGAACACCAACACUUGCAUGCCCUUCAGGCAGAGGAAUGGGGCUGCCACCUACCAGAGGCUCCAGCGGGCCAUGCUCGUGCCCCGCCUGCUCGGGCGCCGCAACGACGAGGAGGAGAUACUCGGACCAUGCGAAGGCCCUGAGCCUCGAGAGGCGGCGAACCCGUGAGGUUCGCGACCGUGGAGACGGGAAAUCAAGCGAUGACGGCGCCUUCGAUACUUCAGCAGCACGGCAGCCAAGUGACUUUUUGUUGGCCGAUGCAAGGUAACUUUUUGGCUCACCCAGUCCGAGGGCACCCCUGGAGCCAUGCGGCCUCCCCGAGAUCAGGACACUCCCCCAGCUACUACUUUUAUUUAUGCAUCUUUUGGUUGUCUCAGUAUCACCCAUUUUGAACCCUAAAGUUCCACCUCGCUUAUAUUGUCGGGCGGUCGGGCCCCCGCUUGGGGGCUCCAGUCGAAGUUUGUCCAUGCAUGCCUCCCGAGGCAGCAGAUACACAGCCGCACUCCCAAGGAAGAAGAAGUCAGUUGGGUUUGCCAAUGACCCAAACAAAAUCAACUCAGUCCACCAAUGACUCGGGGGUAGGUACAAUCGCGAGGCCAUAGCGUCCUCGCGACCUCCCAUAUACACCCCCACGGUGACACUCUAAUGUAAUAACGAGCCAAGGAUGUAUACGCCCAGGGCCCCCCGAGAACGCGGAGGGGUCCAUCCCAUGCAUAGUGGAAUUCCUAUGCUCCGCAUUGGGGAGAAGCUCAGUCCACCAAUGACUAGGGGGUAGGGACACUCGCGAGGCCAAAGCGUCCUCGCGAUCUCCCAUAUACACCCCCACCGUGACACUCUCACGUAAUAACAAGCCGAGGCUAUAUACGCCCAGGGGCCCCCGAGGACCCGGAGGGGUCCAUCCCACGCCUAGUGGCAGCCCUAUGAUCUGCGCUGGGGAGAAGAUGGCGGCAAUCAACACAGUCCGCCAAUGAAUGCACGCCAAUGACUAUGCCAGUAGCUGGCACCAACACAGCCCGCCAAUGGUUGAGCCCUCAGCUGGCAAGGAAACCAACACAGCCCGCCUGUGACUACACCCACGGUGUGUGCGGGGGACCCACAACAGGAGGUACGGAGCCACUCGUACGUGAAGGUGGACCCCUCAGCAUCGCGACUCAAGGGCCUAACUGUGCCCAUAACCCCUUCCCCCUUUGGGUCGUCCUUGGUUUCCAGUCGGUUCAAUCGUGGGGAGGUACGCGCAGUGCGGGCCCUGCCGAAUGAGAGCCUAGUGCGCUCGACAAACCACUUCGGAUCCCUUAGGAAGAAUGCUAGAGUCACUCGUACGUCAAGGGGGACUCCUGACCAUUGCGACUCAGGAGCCUGAAAUGCGCCUGUAGCACCUUCCCCUUUUGGGCCGUCCUUGGUUUCCGAUCGGUUCAACUGGUGGGAGGUAUGCGCGGGGCAGGCCCUGCCGAUGUAGAGUGUUGAUGGAGUUCGAGAGUCUCAAAUUAUCGACUUCUUAGGAGGAGUAUCAGAGUCGCUAGCAUGUCAAAGGGGAUCCCUGAGCAUCGCGACUCAGGGGCCUAACUAUGCUCGUAGCCCCUUCCCCCUUUGGGUCGUCCUUGAUUUCCGAACGGUUCAAUCGCGGGGAGGUACAUGCGGGGUGGGCCCUGCCGACGCGGAGUGCUGAAGGUGUUCCUAGUUUCAAAAUAUUUGCCACGUCCUCCUCAUGAGGGCAGCUCACGUGUUAAGGGGGACUCCUGAGCAUCGCGACUCAGUAGCCUAACUGCGCUCGUAGCCCCUUCCCCUUUUUGGCCGUACUUGGUUUCCGGUCGGUUCAAUCACGGGAAGGUACGCGCGGGGUGGGCCCUGCCGACGUAGAGUAACACAACAAACAUGACGGGAACAAGGCAAAGAAAACAUUCACACAUUCAGUUAUUACAAAUCAGGACCAAGUUCAUAAAAAUGCAAAUAAGUCUAACGGCUACAUGAGGCACGAUGUGCAUUGCAGGAAGAAAACAUGGAUAAGAAAUCAGGAGGAGCCACCACCGGACGGCCCCUCCACAGGGGCUGUUCGUCGACAUCAGAAGCAUCGUCUUCCCCAUCGUCGGCUCCAGCGGCACCUGGAGACGAAGGAGCUGCGACAUGGGCGAACCUCCGCACCAACGCCUCCACGGGGCCCUUCACCGCCUCCGCGGUGCGGCCGUGGGCCUCGGCAGGGACCGGCAGGAUCAUGGAGAUGAGAUCGAAUCUCGGCUCACGAAGAUGAAGGUGGUUGAAGAUGCGAGUCGCCGCUGCGAAAAAGAGGUCGCGCCACUCGUUGUCCAAGAUCUUGUCCACCUGCACGCCGGCACCCUGUAGCACCACGACAAGCCUCUUCGCAAGCACGGCAAAGCCGUCAUCCGGGGUGGCCAGAGGCUCGUCGAACCUGUCCCGAUAGAGGGAGCAUAGCACAGUGCGAAGCUCGAACUCAACUUCAGGGAAGCAGGCCAAUUCCGCGGCCUUCUUCCCCUCAGCCGUGGCGAGGGCUUUCUCCUGGGCAUCAAGGAGGGCCUUCCUCGAGGCGAAAUCCUUCUCCUGCUCUUUCAAGAGCGCCUGGUUCGUGCCCAGGCGACUCACCUCCUGGGAUAGCUCUCCCUCCCGGGCGGCAAGCUUGGCCUCGUGGGCCUUAAGUUCCUCCCCCUACAGGCGACGCUGCUCGGCCAGCUUGGCUUGUUCUCCUUGGAGGACGUUAGGCAGGCUUCCACCUCUUCACAGCAUUCGGCAACCGCCUUGGCUUCCUUUAACGCCGUCUCAUGCGUGGCACGGGCGCCCUCGGCCUCCCUCUCGGCUUCCCCAUCUCGACUCGACAUUACUCAGGGCGGUGAAGAUCGUAUUCAAGACACCUUGGGUGAACACCGAGGUCUCCUGGACCUCCUCAUGAAGAGAUUUCAGCGCAGGCGUGGGUGGUGCCGCCAGAGAGGAAGCUCCAUGAAGAACAGGGGGCCCCGAAGACUACUCAACAGUCGCGAGCGAUGCCUCAGGAGCCUGAGGGCCUUCACGGGCGUGCCCCUGGGGCAACGAUGUCUCCACGGUCGCUUCAGGAUGCUUCGGGGGCUAGGGGGCUCGACGACCGAGGCCGGGGAGGCUGCUCCACGAGCCUCCACUUCCCCACCUGCACGCGAGGACGCACCGACGAGGGCAGGCGGGGCAUCGGGAGUCGCCUUCGGCUUGACGACCGUCUUCUUCCUUUUCGCCGCUGGCAAGACAACAUCCCUAGACGUCAAGUAAAAAGGGGGUCAACCAAGCGCGGGCAAUAGACGCGCAAGGCGUUCCCAAGCAAGUAACUUACUCUUCCACAUCACGCCAUCUCUUCCUCCUCUCCGCCCUGGUGACAGCAGAGGUGACAGGGACCCCCACGAAGGGGGUGAGCUCGACACCUUGGACCUCCCGCCGGCAGAAGCGGGAUGCGUUGGGGACGGCUCAGCCCAGAGCUUGUGGGAGGCGAGCACGCACGCACAACGCGUGGCGCGACGAGUCGACGCAGGACCCCUUGAGGCCUUGGCCAGCCACGAGGACGUCCUAGUGGGGGUAACGCCGGUGGCAUCAUCAUCUUCAAGGUCGCGCAGAAGGAGAGAUUGUGACGGGAGAGGCACGCUUGCGAGACGGUCGUCGACCGUCUUCUUCGUGUCCCCUUUACCACAAGUUUCGCCGGAUGACACCACCACGGGACUGGAGCCCUCAGCCGGGAGGAGCCCCAACUCAUUGAAGACAGGCAUCGCAGCGACCAGGUUGGCGCGGUCAUCGCGGCGGUAUAAUGGACCAAGGGCCUCGGGAAGGUCACUGAUGACCCACAAGUGUAGGGGAUCUAUCUUAGUCCAUUCGAUAAGUAAGAGUGUCGAACCCAACGAGGAGCAGAAGGAUCUGACAAGUGGUUUUCAGCAAGGUAUUCUCUGCAAGCACUGAAAUUAUCAGUAACAGAAAGUUGCGUGGUAAGAUGAUUCGUAGCAAGUAGUAAGAAACAAUAGUAACAACGGUGCAGGAAAGUAGCCCAAUCCCUUUUGUAGCAAGGGAUAUGACUGGAAAAAGUCUUAUAGGAGGUAAAGCACUCCUGAGGACACAUGGGAAAUUCUGUCAAGCUAGUUUUCAUCAUGUUCAUAUGAUUCGCGUUCGCUACUUUGAGAGUUUGAUAUGUGGGUGGACCGGUGCUUGGGUGCGGCCCUUACUAUCAGUCAUCAGAUAUCUAGGGACUCCAAAUCUAGGGAAAUUAACUUCUUUAAGCAUCCUGAUAGAAGUGUUGUGAUCAGCACUACUACUUGGGAUAGCUUCUACCCACUUAGUAACGUAAUCAACGGCAACUAGGAUAUGAGUAUACCCGUUAGAUUAUGGAAAAGGUCCCAUAUAAUCAAAACCCCAAACAUCAAAUGGUUCAAUGAAAACUGAAUAAUUCAUAGGCAUUUCCUGACGUUUACUGUAUUACCUAUUCUUUGACAUUCUUCACAACACAAGACAAACUUACGGGCAUCAUUGAAGAGAGUGGGCCAAUAGAAACCUGAUUGCACUACCUUGUGUGCAGUUCUAUCUCCCGCAUGGUGUCCUCCGUAGGCCUCGGAGUGACACUUCUGUAGGAUCUGUCCCUGUUCAUGUUCAGGUACACAAUGUCUAAUAACACCAUCUACUCCUUCUUUAUAAAGGUGAGGAUCAUCCCACAAGUAAUGUCUCAAAUCAAAGAAGAAUUUCUUCUUCUGCUGGUAUGUGAAACUAGGUGGUAUAUAUUUGGCAAUGAUAUAGUUUGCAUAAUCAGCAUACCAUGGUGUACUACAUGAAGUAUUGAUGACAUUCAAUUGCUCAUCAGGAAAGCUAUCAUCAAUAGGUUGUGGGUCAUCAAGAACACUCCAACCUAGACAACUUAUCUGCUACGGGGUUAUCAGCACCCUUCCCGUCAACAACAUGCAAAUCAAAUUCUUGUAGAAAGAGAACCCAUCUGAUAAGUCUAGGUUUAGCGUCUUUCUUUUCCAUGAGGUACUUAAUAGCAGCCUGAUCAGUGUGAAUAGUGACUUUUGAAUCAACUAUAUAAGAUCUGAACUUUUCACAUGCAAACGCGACUGCUAAAAACUCCUUUUCAGUAGUAGCAUAGUUUCUUUGGGCAAUAUCUAGAGUUUUACUAGCAUAGUGAAGAACAUUCAACUUCUUAUCAACUCUUUGUCAUAGGACAGCACCAACAGCAUAAUCACUAGCAUCACACAUGAUUUCAAAAGGUAAGUUCCAAUCAGGUGGUUGAACAAUAGGCGCAGUUAUCAAGGCCUUUUUAAGUAUUUUGAAGGCUCCCUCACAAUCCUCGUCAAAAACAAAAGGAAUAUCCUUAUGCAAGGGAUUGGUAAGAGGCCUAGAAAUCUUAGAGAAGUCUUUAUUGAACCUUCUAUAGAAACCAGCAUGACCAAGGAAACUUCUUAUACCUUUGAUAUCUGUAGGGCAUGGCAUUUACUCGAUUGCAUCAACCUUAGACUUAUCGACUUCAAUACCUCUUUCAGAAAUUUGAUGUACUAAGACGAUGCCUUCAUUAACCAUAAAUUGGCACUUCUCCCAAUUCAAGAUAAGGUUGGUGUAUUUACAUCUCUACAAGACUCCAUCAAGGUUGCUGAGGCAAUCAUCAAAAGAAGACUCGUAAAGGGAGAACUCAUCCAUGAAAACCUCAACAAUAUUUUCACAAAAGUCACAGAAUACAACCAUCAUACAUCUUUGAAAGGUAGCACGGGCAUUACAUAAGCCGAAAGGCAUAUGUCUGUAAGCAAAGGUACCGAAAGGGAAGGUGAAAGUGGUUUUCUCCUAAUCAGAUUGUGCAACUGGUAUUUGGGAAAAACCAGAAUAACCAUCUAGAAAGCAGAAGAGUGUAUGUUUAGACAGUCUUUCUAGCAUUUGGUCGAUAAAAGGCAAAGGGUAAUGAUCUUUCCUAGUGGCCUUAUUCAAUUUCCUAAAAUCAAUCACCAUCCUAUAGCCAGUAAUAAUCCUCUGUGGGAUCAAUUCAUCCUUGUCAUUAGGGACAACUGUAAUACCUCCCUUCUUAGGGACGCAAUGCACCGGACUCACCCAAUCACUAUGAGCAAGAGGAUAGAUAAUACAUGCUUCUAGGAGCUUUAGUAUUAAUUUUCUUACUACCUCUUUCAUCUUAGGAUUUAAUCUCCGUUGAUGAUCGACAACUGGUUUGGAAUCAGGAUCGGUUUUAAUCUUGUGCUGGCAUAGAGUGGGACUAAUGCCCUUAAGAUCAUCAAGAGUAUAUCCAAUAGCAGCACGGUGCUUCCUCAGAGUUUUUAGUAACUUCUUUUCUUCAUGCUCAGAGAGGCUAGCACUAAUAAUAGCAUGAUAUAUCUCUUUUUCAUCUAUAUAAGCAUACUUAAGAGUAUCAGGCAACUAUUUAAGCUCAAACACAGGAUCACCCUUUGGUGGUGGUGGUUCUCCAAGCAGUUCAACAGGCAAAUUAUUCUUAAGGAUAGGAUAAUGUUCAAAUAUAACUCUAUCUAUCUCAUCCCUUUCAUCCAUAUGCAUAUCAUUUUCAUUCUCAAGCAAGUAUUUCUCUAAGGGGUCAGUAGGAGGAACGGAAAUAGAAGCUAGGGAAAUAAUUUCAUACUUACUAGGCAACUCUUUUUCAUGAGGUUGUCUACCAAACUUGGAGAAAUUGAACUCAUGUGACAACCUUCAAAGCCAACAGUGACGGUUUGCUUCUCACAUUCAAUAUGAGCAUUGACAGUAUUGAGAAAAGGUCUGCCAAAUAUGAUGGGACAAAAGCUAUCUUGUGUGGUAUCAAGAAUGAGAAAAUCAGCAGGAUACUUCGUUUUACCACACAAGACUUCAACAUCUCUAGCAAUUCCCAAAGGGUAGAUAGUAUCUGUAUUGGCAAGCUUGAUAGUGACAUCAAUAGGUUCCAUCUCAACAGGUGCAAUCUCGUCUUUAAUUUCAUCAUAUAAGGAUUGAGGUAUUGCACUAACUCUAGCACCCACGUCACAUAAGCCAUGAUAACAAUGAUCUCAUAUCUUAACAGAAACAACAGGCGUGCCAACAACAGACCUAUGUUUGUCUCUAGCAUGUGGUUUAGCAAUUCUAGCAGCAUCUUCACAGAAGUGGAUAUCAUGGCCAUCAAUAUUGUCGGACAGGAGAUCUUUGAUAAUAGCAAUGCUAGGUUCAACUAUAAUUUUCUCACGGGGUGUAGGUGUUCUAAUGUAGCCCCCACGUAUCACAGUUGAAACUUUAGAAUGAUCCUUUAUCCUAACAGGGAAAGGUGGUUUUUCAAUGUAAGCACUGGGAGCAAUAGAAUCAUUAUAGGAAAUGACUUUCUCUACAACUUGAUUGGGUUUAACUACAUUGAAUUGUAAGGAAGGAUGAUAUUUAAACCACCUCUCUUUAGGGAGAUCAAUAUGAGCAGCAAAUGAUUCACACAAUGAAGCUACUAUCUCAGAGUCAAGUCCAUAUUUAGCGCUAAAAUCACAAAAAUUAUCUAUUUCAACAAAGGAUUAACACAAUCAAACUUGAAAUUCAUACCUGACUCCUUACUUUCAUCAAACUCCUAAUCUUCAGAGUUGCGUUUAAUUCAUUCCAAUAAAUUCCAUCUGAAGUCAAUAUCUCUCUUCAUAAAAGAACCGGUACAAGAAGUAUCAAGCGUGGUCCAAUCAUCAUGAGAAAGCUGAGCAUAGAAGUUAUGAAUGAUAAUUUCUCUCGAGAGCUCAUGGUUGGGGCAUGAAUAUAACAUUGAUUUAAUCCUCCCCCAAGCUUGAGCGAUGCUUUCUUUGUCACAAGGCCAAAAAUUAUAAAUAUAAUUCUGAUCACGAUAUAGGAUAAAACUUUUGAUGAAAUUCCAAUUUUAACCGGUUGUAGUUCUAUGAUCCAGUAUCAUCACAUAGCCUAUACCAUGCCAAUGCUUUAUCCCUCAAAGAUAAGGGAAAGACCUUCUUCUUGACCUCAUCCUCGGGCAAACCUGCAAGCUUAAAUAAACCACAAACUUCAUCUACAUAGAUUAGAUGCAAGUCGGGAUGUGAUGUUCCAUCUCCUAUAAAAGGAUUAGCCAGCAGUUUCUCAAGCAUACCCGAAGAAAAUUCAUAGCAAAUAUUUUCAGUAGGUGCAGCAGGUUGAGAAGCAACUCAUUGUUCUUCUGUUCGAGGCGAAGAUACCCCGAACAAGCUCCUCAAAGGAUUAGUUUCCAUAGUGAAAAGUGACAAUAAAUUUCAGCACACUAUAAAAUUGUUUCCUUACCAAAGGCGUUUCACUCCCCGACAACGGCGCCAGAAAAGAGUCUUGAUGACCCACAAGUGAGGGGGAUCUAGCGUAGUCCUUUCUAUAAGUAAGAGUGUCGAACCCAACGAGGAGCAGAAGGAUCUGACAAGUGGUUUUCAGCAAGGUAUUUUGUGCAAGCACUGAAAUUAUCGGUAACAAAAAGUUGCGUGGUAAGAUGAUUCGUAGCAAGUAGCAAGAAACAAUAGUAACAACGGUGCAGGAAAGUAGCCCAAUCCCUUUUGUAGCAAGGGAUAAGACUGGAAAAAGUCUUAUAGGAGGUAAAGCACUCCUGAGGACACAUGGGAAAUUCUGUCAAGCUAGUUUUCAUCAUGUUCAUAUUAUUCGCGUUCGCUCCUUUGAUAGUUUGAUAUGUGGGUGGACCGUUGCUUGGGUGCUGCCCUUACUUGGACAAACCUCCCACUUAUGAUUAACCCCUCUCGCAAGCAUCCUCAACUACGAAAUAAGAAUUAAGACAAAGUCUAACCAUAACAUUAAACUAGUGGAUCCAAAUCAGCCCCUUACGAAGCAACACAUAAAUUAGGGUUUAAGCUUCUGUCACUCAAGAAACCCAUCAUCUACUUACUACUUCACAAUGCCUUCCUCUAGUCCCAAAUAAUGGUGAAGUGUUAUGUAGUCGACGUUCACAUAACACCACUAGAGGAAAAACAACAUACAACGCAUCAAAAUAUUGAACAAAUACCAAAUUCACAUGACUACUUAUAGCAAGACUUAUCCCAUGUCCUCAGGAACAAAAGUGACUACUCACAAAGCAUAAUAAUACUCAUGACCAGAGAGGUAUUGAAUAGAAUCAAGGGUCUGAACAUAUACUCUUCCACCGAUUAAUCCAACUAGCAUCAACUACAAAGAGUAAUUAACACUACUAGCAAUCUUACAGGUACCAAUCGGAGUCCCGAGACGGAGAUUGGUUACAAGAGAUGAACUAGGGUUUGCAGACGAGAUGGUGCUGAUGAAAAUGUUGAUGGUGAUGAGUCCCCUCCGAUAGGAGGAUUGUUGGUGAUGACGAUGGCGAUGAUUUCCCCCUCCGCGACGGAAGUUUCCCCGGUAGGACGACCCUACCGAAGCUCUAGAUUGAUUCUGCUCAAGUUCUGCCUCGUGGAGGCGGCGAUUCCUCCCGUAAGCCUCCUCUUGAUUUUUUCUGGAACGAAACCCUCCUUAUAGAAAAAGAGGGGGGCCAGAGGGCCAACAGGGAGCCCACAAGCCCCCUAGGCGCGGCCAGGGGGGUAGGCCACGCCUAGCAGGCUUGUGGCCUCUUGCUAGCUCCCCUCUGGUACUUCUUUGGCCUAGUAUUUUUUAUAAAUUCAAAAAUAAAUCCUCGUUGAUUUUCACGGCUUUUGGAGUUGCGCAUAAUAGGUAUCUCAAACUUGCUCCUUUUUCAGGCCAGAAUUCCAGCUGCGAGCAUUCUCCCUCUUCAUGUAAACCUUGCAAAAUAAGAGUGAAAAGGCAUAAGUAUUGUACCGUGAAGUGUAAUAACAGCCCAUAAAGCGAUAAAUAUCAACAUAAAAGCAUGAUGCAAAAUGGAAGUAUCAACUCCCCCGAGCUUAGACCUCGCUUGUCCUCAAGCGAAAGCCGAGAUCAAUAAAUAUGCCCACAUGUUUAGAGAGAGAGGUGUCGACAAAACAAGAUAUGGACAUGCACGCAUCAUGAUCAUAGUUAGAACAACAAAAUCAUCAUAUAAUCUCUCAUGCUAAAUUGAUAUCACAAAGUAAAGUAUGGAUCAAGUACCUUACUGAGAAUUAACAACCAAUAGCCUUUAAUCGUUGAAGCAAUUGCAAUUUAUCAUAACAUCGGAAAGAGUCAAGUAAGAGCUUGUAAAGCAAAUCCACAUACUCAAUCAUCCUUUCAUCUUCUAUAAUUGCUACAACUCACGUGGUACUCAUGAGAUCAAAGUUUCAGUCGGACACAGAGAAAGAUAGGGGCUUAUAGUUUCGCCUCCCAACUAUUUACCUCAAGGGUAAUGUCAACAAUAAUAAUUCAUGAAUACUUACUUCCAAGUUGACAUAAGAAUAUAGAUCUUUCCCUAGCAUAUGACGUUAGUCAAGAAAAAAACGAAAUAAGGAAUUGGUGUAGAUCACCAUGACUCGUUCAAGGGCAAAAAGUAAAGGUACAAGAUAGUCCCUUCUCAGAGGGAAGAAGAGGUUGCCAUGCGAUUUUGAGGUUUGGAUGUGCGACCUCUUAGUGUGAAGGAACGUAGCUUUAUAUAGCCUCCUGUGCUAAAGAAAUUUAUUAUGCAGUCCGUCGCUUUUAUGUCUUCCUCAUCACAGGUUCGUACAAAGCUUAUUUUCCACACACUAAUUGAUCAUACAUAAUUAGGGAUCAAUUUUUAUUGCUUGCACCGAUGACAACUUAUUUGAAGGAUCUUAUUCAAUCCAUAGGUAGGUAUGGUGGACUCUCAUGGCAAAACUGGGUUGAAGGUUUAUGGAUGCACAAGUAGUAUCUCUACUUGGUGCGGGAGUUUUGGCUGAUAUGGGGUGGAAGAAAUCGUCACAUGCUAAGGGAUCUCUAGUCAUAUAAUCAUUGUUCGGAACCAAGAAAGCAUAAUUCAUUAUGUUGUCUUCCUUGUCCAACAUCUACUUCUAAGCAUGCAAUAGUUUAGUGAGUGUUCACAAUCAUAGAUGGUGGCAAAGAUGAUAUAUUUAUAUGUGAACCUCUCCUUAUUUAUCACUUCCUAUUAAUUGCAACAAUGACCAAGGUCUACGUUUUUCCACCCUCAACAAGUUUCAAUCAACAUUCUUUUUAUAUGUGAAGUCAUCACUUCCCAUAAUAUCAUUACAUGAUCUCUCAUGCUUUUGUUCUUUUAUCAUUCUUCUGAACAUGGCAUGAGGCAAGGUCCUUAACUAACACUCUCUUUAUUAUAUGACUCACGAAAUCGAAUACAUCGGGGGUGACACAAAGAAAAACUCAAGCCUAAAACACUAAGAACUUUAUUCUACUAGCGAAAGAUAAAACCAAAAAGGAUCGAAAUAAGAAAAGGUAAAGGCAAAAGCUGUGAUGGUGAUACGAUACCGGGGCAACUCCCCCAAGCUUGGCACAAGCCAAGGGGAUUGCCCAUACCCUUUCUUAGUUGUCUUCCUUCGAAGGUGAUGGUGGUGGAGUUGUUGCGGAGGUCUUGAACCUGUUUAAUUUCCUUUUGAGCAUAAAAUUUUGCUCCUUCAGAUCAUUAAUUUCCUCUUUAAGACUCAACACCCUUUGGCAUAAUUCCUUCUUACUCUCCUGCAAAAGACGAGAAGGGAUAAACAAAAUCUUAGGCUUCUUCCUUGAGUCGGGGAGGCUCGACUUCUUGAACUCCACAUGUGUGUCUCCAGGUAGGGAUAGAGAAGCUUCCUCUUCAUCGGAACUUGUUCCUUCCUUCCCCUUGGGAUCAUAAUAUUCUUCCUCAUCAGUGGUCCAACCAUAACGAUCCAAGUCCCCAUAGACCUUGGGGUUAGCAAGGUAAUCGGCCACAUACCUCUCCCCCUCUGAAUCUUGAGAAGACAUCUUGCCCUAAAUCUGCUGCACAAAACAGGCUCGAAACGAAAACAGAGGAAAAUUGCGUGAUACAAGGGUCAGACCUUUCGGGAGAAUAUAUAAUGAUUUUUUCUGACCAGAAUGAGUACUACGCAAGCAAACGGAGUCCGGGAGGCACACGAGGUGGCACAAGCCCCCCACGCGCGGCCAGGGCAUGGCCUGCGCCUGGCAGGCUUGUCGCCUCCUCGUGCGCUUUCCGGACUACUUUAAAUUUUUCUAUUUUUCUAAAAAUUCCUACUGGAAAAGUUUUGGAGUCUGUUUACUUACCGAAUCACAUACCUCUUCAUUUUCGGAGUCUGAAAUAGGCUGAUAAAUAUCCCUUAUGUACUCCUCCGGAGUUAUGGUGUUGAUAAUAUUGCUUUCAACAUUUAUGGGAGUACCUGAGAUAUAAUGCUUGAUUAUUUGCCCAUUUACCACUCUCAGAAAAUUACCUUCCGUGUUGUUACUCUUGAUGGCGCCGGAACGAUACACUUCCUCAACAAUGUAAGGACCUUUCCAUUUAGAGAGAAGCUUGCCUGCAAAAAAUCUUAAACGAGAAUUAUAUAGCACGACAUAAUCACCUACAUUGAACUCACGUUUCUGUAUCCUUUUAUCAUGCCACCUCUUAACCUUUUCUUUGAACAACUUGGCAUUUUCAUAUGCCUGGGCUCUCCAUUCAUCAAGUGAGAUAAUAUCAAAUAACCUCUUCUCACCAGAAAAUUUGAAAUCAAAGUUGAGCUCUUUGAUUGCUCAAUAAGCCUUAUGUUAUAGCUCAAGAGGUCAAUGACAUGCUUUACCGUAAACCAUUUUGUACAGAGACAUGCCCAUGGGAUUCUUAUAAGCUGUUCUAUAAGCCCACAGUGCAUCAUCGAGCUUCUUAGACCAAUUACUUCUAGACCUAUUGACAGUCUUUUGCAGAAUUAGUUUAAUCUCUCUAUUACUUAGCUCUACUUGACCACUGGACUAAGGGUGAUAGGGAGAUGAAAUUCUAUGAUUGACAUCAUACUUAGCAAGCGUUUUACAGAAAUCACCAUCAAUGAAAUGUGAACCACCAUCAUUCAUCAGAUAUCUAGGGACUCCAAAUCUAGGGAAAAUAACUUCUUUAAGCAUCCUGAUAGAAGUGUUGUCAUCAACACUACUAGUUGGGAUAGCUUCUACCCACUUAGUAACGUAAUCAACAACAACUAGGAUAUGAGUAUACCUGUUGGAUUUUGGAAAAGGUCCCAUAUAAUCAAAGCCCCAAACAUCAAAUGGUUCAAAGACAAGUGAAUAAUUCAUAGUCAUUUUCUGACGUUUACUGAUAUUACCUAUUCUUUGACAUUCGUCACAAGACAAGACCAACUUACGGGUAUCCGUGAAGAGAGUGGGCCAAUAGAAACCUGAUUGCAAUACCUUGUGUGCAGUUCUAUCUCCAGCAUGGUGUCCUCCGUAGGCCUUAGAGUGACACUUAUAUAGGAUCUGUCCCUGUUCAUGUUCAGGUACACAACGUCUAAUAACACGAUCUACCCCUUCCUUAUAAAGGUGAGGAUCAUCCCACAAGUAAUGUCUCAAAUCAAAGAAGAAUUUCUUCUUUUGCUGGUAUGUGAAACUAAGAGUUUGUGGGUCAUCAAGAAAAUUCUCCAACCUAGACAAGUUAUCUGCUACAGGGUUAUCAGCACCCUUCCUGUCAACAACAUGCAAAUCAAAUUCUUGUAGCAGGAGAACCCAUCUGAUAAGUCUAGGAUUAGCGUCUUUCUUUGCCAUGAGGUACUUAAUAGCAGCGUGAUCAGCGUGAAUAGCGACUUUGGAAUCAACUAUGUAAGAUAUGAACUUUUCUCAUGCAAACACGACUACUAAACAUUCCUUUUCAGUAGUUUCAUAAUUUCUUUGGCCACUGUCUAGAGUUUUACUAGCAUAGUGAAUAACAUUUAACUUCUUAUCAACUCUUUGUCCUAGGACAGCACAGCAACAUAAUCACUGGCAUCACACAUGAUUUCAAAAGGUAAGUUCCAAUCAGGUGGUUGAACAAUAGACGCAGUUAUCAAGGCCUUUUUAAGUAUUUCGAAGGCUUCGUCACAAUCAUCGUCAAAAACAAAAGGAAUAUCCUUAUGCAAGGGAUUCGUAAGAGGCCUAGAAAUCUUAGAGAAGUCUUUAUUGAACCUUCUAUAGAAACCAGCAUGACCAAGGAAACUUCUUAUACCUUUGAUAUCUGUAGGGCAUGGCAUUUUCUCGAUCGCAUCACCCUUAGCCUUAUCGACUUCAAUACCUCUUUCAGAAAUUUUAUGUCCUAAGACGAUGCCUUCAUUAACCAUAAAGUGGCACUUCUCCCAAUUCAAGACAAGGUUGGUUUCAUUACAUCUCUGCAAGACUCGAUCAAGGUUGCUGAGGCAAUCAUCAAAAGAAUACUCGUAAACGGGGAAGUCAUCCAUGAAAACCUCAACAAUCUUUUCACAGAAGUCAAAGAAUAUAGCCAACAUACAUCUUUCAAAGGUAGUAGGUGCAUUACAUAAGCCAAAAGGCAUAUGUCUGUAAGCAAAGGUACCGAAAGGGUAGGUGAAAGUGGUUUUCUCCUGAUCAGAUUGUGCAACUGGUAUUUGGGAGGAACCAGAAUAACCAUCUAGAAAGCAGAAGUGUGUAUGUUUAGACAAUCUUUCUAGCAUUUGGUCGAUAAAAGGCAAAGGGUAAUGAUCUUUCCUAGUGGCCUUAUUGAAUUUCCUAAAAUCAAUCACCAUCCUAUAGCCAGUAAUAAUCCUCUGUGGGAUCAAUUCAUCCUUGUUAUUAGGGACAAAUGUAAUAUCUCCCCUCUAAGGGACGCAAUGCACUUGACUCACCCAAUCACCAUGAGCAACAUGAUAGAUAAUACCUGCUUCUAGGAGCUUUAGUAUUUCUUUUCUUACUAGCUCUUUCAUCUUAGGAUUUAAUCUUCGUUGAUGAUCGGCAACUGGUUUGGAAUCAAGAUCGGUAUUAAUCUUGUGUUGGCAUAGAGUGGGACUAAUGCCCUUAAGAUCAUCAAGAGUAUAUCCAAUAGCAACAUGGUGCUUCCUCAGAGUUUUUAGUAACUUCUUUUCUUCAUGCUAGGAGAGGCUAGCACUAAUAAUAACAGGAUAUAUCUCUUUUUCAUCGAGAUAAGUAUACUUAAGAGUAUCAGGCUACUGUUUAAGCUCGAACACAUGAUCACCCUUUGGUGGGGGUUGUUCUCCAAGCAGUUCAACAGGCAAAUUAUUCUUAAGGAUAUGAUAUUGUUCAAAGAUAACUGUAUCUAUCUCAUCCCUUUCAUCCAUAUGCAUAUCAUUUUCAUGCUCAAGCAAUUAUUGCUCUAAGGGGUCAGUAGGAGGCACGACAAUAGAAGCUAGGGCAAUAAUUUCAUCCUUAUUAGGCAACUCUUUUUCAUGAGGUUGUCUACCAAACUUGGAGAAAUUGAACUCAUGUGACACACCUUCAAAGCCAACAGUGACAGUUUGCUUCUCACAGUCAAUAUGAGCAUUAACAGUAUUGAGGAAAGGUCUGCCAAAUAUGAUGGGACAAAAGCUAUCUUGUGUGGUAUCAAGAACGAGAAAAUCAUCACGAUACUUCGUUUUACCACACAACACUUCAACAUCUCUAACAAUUCCCAAAGGGCAGAUAGUAUCUCUAUUGGCAAGCUGGAUAGUGACAUCAAUAGGUUCCAUCUCAACAGGUGCAAUCUCGUCUUUAAUUUCAUCAUAUCAAGAUAGAGUGUCGGGACCCCGAUCCUAAGCCAUAGGAAUCCAGCCUGUAACACAUCGCAUCUCUUUGUGGUCUCACGCACGGUUAACUCCACGGCUGCCGCCUUACCUUAGCCGGGACCGUUUGCGUCUUUUGACUCACGUAUGCGAUAGGUGUCGCUAGCAAUCCAAUGUCAAAGAACCCGGAUCGACAUGUCUAGUCAUAAACCAAAGUGGCAGUUCCGCACAAGGACAGGCAUACAUGACCUAACAAAGCAGGUGUCGGUCAUCAGCGAACGUAGACGAGUCGUAGCAAGCUACAAGGACUCCAUUACGUCGCGUGACAUUUGCCCAAAGAGGACAGACACAGCAGCUAAGAAGGACACAUGCCGGUCAACCAAUGUGUCCGGAGCAGCAGCGGACUACCAAGGCUCGUUGGAUCACAAAGGUGCAUUUCCUUGUAAGGAGUGCUACUAAAGUUCACGACUAGGUAUUCGAACCCCAUACAUAUCAAGUAUGACACACGUAUGCAUGGCAUACCGAUAUGUAUAGAUACAUCGAUGGCAUCACAACAUAACCAUAAACAUACAACCUUAAUUCAAGAGGCUCGGAAGAGCCACACACAUAAUAUUACACAUUAAGGUCUCUCGACCCAUAAUAGCAGUCAUACAACUACAAGCCAGCGGAAGAGUUAUAAACUGUCUGGGUACAGACAGUGCAACUAGAGGUCACAUGGCCUGGCUAUACUACAGAGCCGACGUAGGGCCAGAUCGUAGCUGGGACACCAGCUACUCGUCGUCGUCGAUGUCUACGUAGAACCCUCCAUUACGGUCAUUAGCAACCUCUGCAACAUUUAUUAAGCAAACAUGAGUACGAAGGUACUCAGCAAGACUUUAGGAGAACAAACUACUCAUGCAAGGUAUCAAAGAGUAUUGUGGGGUUUCAUGCGGAAAGCCAGCAUUUAACUCGUGGCUAGACAACUUGCAUUUUGAAAUUAGUUUUGACAACUUGAUUUCUCGCACACGAGUCCACUAACACCACAACAAUACACUAUAGUGGAAUCAUUCCGUCUCCAUAUGGAAAUGCCAUCCACGACACUCACGCUUAUCUUGACAAAUUUUAUGAGUAGCCAUUGAAGUUAUCUAUGAACAACAUAUGUCUCCAAGUAGUCCAUAUCCGCGGACGCGGCUAUUCGAAUAGAUCAUAACCCUGCAGGGGUGUACUUCGUCACACACGCUCUCGCCACUUAUCGCCAUGUGCACGUCAUGCACCUCGGCAACCUUCAAGCGGAAGCCCCGCGAGGGAGUCGGCCACGACCGUUAACCACACUAGUACCUAGUCCAGGUUUAUCGCCUAUCUGAGAGUAACCCGUACGGAAGUCCGGCCGGGGUUUCCGCCACGGCCUCAAAUGAUGUGCGCAGGGUUCCCAAGCCCACCAUCCGGGUGCCACUUGGUACACCGUGCCACUACCUACAGCAUCACGGCCCACCUCUCAGGUCAGCACCAUGCACGGCCUCCAGCAUUACUAUAAACACCAGAAACUACUUGCAACUCCUGGACCGAGUACUACGCGAUUAAUAGGCCGAGCGGGGUCAUAUUUAAGGGCCCAGCAUGUGGUAGUAUCUAGUCUUGGAUUACAUACACGGAACUCAGUUCCUAAGGACGGUUCCAAUGAAACAACCCGCCAUGUACUCCUACACAGCCUUUCACCGGUCCCUUUACCAAAUCAAGUUCAACACACAACCUUUGCUCACCGAACACAUUCCACAUUUCUUUUCAUCUCCCAAAUGACAGACCAUACACAACUCUAAGCAUAGCAUGCAUAGCAGGAUAAGGCACAUCAUAGCUCAAGCAACUACNNNNNNNNNNNNNNNNNNNNNNNNNNNNNNNNNNNNNNNNNNNNNNNNNNNNNNNNNNNNNNNNNNNNNNNNNNNNNNNNNNNNNNNNNNNNNNNNNNNNNNNNNNNNNNNNNNNNNNNNNNNNNNNNNNNNNNNNNNNNNNNNNNNNNNNNNNNNNNNNNNNNNNNNNNNNNNNNNNNNNNNNNNNNNNNNNNNNNNNNNNNNNNNNNNNNNNNNNNNNNNNNNNNNNNNNNNNNNNNNNNNNNNNNNNNNNNNNNNNNNNNNNNNNNNNNNNNNNNNNNNNNNNNNNNNNNNNNNNNNNNNNNNNNNNNNNNNNNNNNNNNNNNNNNNNNNNNNNNNNNNNNNNNNNNNNNNNNNNNNNNNNNNNNNNNNNNNNNNNNNNNNNNNNNNNNNNNNNNNNNNNNNNNNNNNNNNNNNNNNNNNNNNNNNNNNNNNNNNNNNNNNNNNNNNNNNNNNNNNNNNNNNNNNNNNNNNNNNNNNNNNNNNNNNNNNNNNNNNNNNNNNNNNNNNNNNNNNNNNNNNNNNNNNNNNNNNNNNNNNNNNNNNNNNNNNNNNNNNNNNNNNNNNNNNNNNNNNNNNNNNNNNNNNNNNNNNNNNNNNNNNNNNNNNNNNNNNNNNNNNNNNNNNNNNNNNNNNNNNNNNNNNNNNNNNNNNNNNNNNNNNNNNNNNNNNNNNNNNNNNNNNNNNNNNNNNNNNNNNNNNNNNNNNNNNNNNNNNNNNNNNNNNNNNNNNNNNNNNNNNNNNNNNNNNNNNNNNNNNNNNNNNNNNNNNNNNNNNNNNNNNNNNNNNNNNNNNNNNNNNNNNNNNNNNNNNNNNNNNNNNNNNNNNNNNNNNNNNNNNNNNNNNNNNNNNNNNNNNNNNNNNNNNNNNNNNNNNNNNNNNNNNNNNNNNNNNNNNNNNNNNNNNNNNNNNNNNNNNNNNNNNNNNNNNNNNNNNNNNNNNNNNNNNNNNNNNNNNNNNNNNNNNNNNNNNNNNNNNNNNNNNNNNNNNNNNNNNNNNNNNNNNNNNNNNNNNNNNNNNNNNNNNNNNNNNNNNNNNNNNNNNNNNNNNNNNNNNNNNNNNNNNNNNNNNNNNNNNNNNNNNNNNNNNNNNNNNNNNNNNNNNNNNNNNNNNNUUUUCUGUUUUGCUAACUAGUGUUUUGCUAAUUAUUUCAGCUCCAAAACAAAAAGUAAAAACUAUUUUAGACCUCAUGAAAUAUUUGUUAUAAUAUCCCCACUCAUUUCCAAGGUUUUCAACAUUAUUGGAAAUUUAUAGAUUCUGAUUUCAAAUUUUAAAGUUUGAAACUAGUGGCUUUUGCAUUCAUUUAAAAUGCUUAAAGUGUCAAGAAAAUAGUUUUCUCCAAUGCUCAUUUACUUUCAUGAUUUAUCAGAAAGUUUGAACAUUUCUUGAGGCCAUUUUGGGUUCAUUGAUUUUGAACUAGUUUGAGAUUUCCUUUAAUUGAAAUGGUGGCUAGGGUUUUGGGUAUUUCCUUUGCCACUUUGUUGUUUUUGUUGAAACUUCUUAGAUGCAAAUGCAAAGAAGACAUGAGCACAAUGCUAUCUUGCUUAAGGGUUAGGGAUGUGACAACUCACCCCCACUCAAAAGAAUCUCGUCCCGAGAUUUAGAAGUCGUCGGGAAUAACGCAGGAUACUCAAGUCGGAGACGAUCCUCUCUUUCCCAAGUUGCCUCCUUUUCAGAAUGAUUUGACCAUUGAACUUUAAGAAACUUGAGGUUUCGACGUCGAGUGGUACGCUCAGCUUGAUCAAGAAUACGCACGGGGUAUUCUCGGUAUGAAAGGUUAUCUUGGAGAUCAAGCGUUUCGUGGUCCACUUCACGGAUAGGAUCCGAAAAGCAACGCCUGAGNGGGGUAUUCUCGGUAAGAAAGGUUAUCUUGUAGAUCAAGCGUUUCGUGGUCCACUUUACGGAUAGGAUCCGAGAAGCAACGCCUGAGUUGCGAGACGUGGAAAACAUCAUGAACCUUGGAAAGAUGCGGAGGAAGUUCCAGCUGGUAGGCAACUUCUCCUCGUUUGGAAAGAAUGCGAAAAGGACCAAUGUAACGAGGAGCCAAUUUGCCCUUGAUACCGAAUCGAUGGGUACCCUUCAAAGGUGUAACCCGAAGGUAAGCCUUCUCGUCAACUUCAAAGGUCACAGCCUUAUGAUGACGAUCAUAUUGGCUCUUUUGACGAGACUGGGCUGUUUUCAACUUUUCACGAAUAAGGCGAACCUGCUCUUCUGCAUCCUGGAUCAUGUCCGGGCCAAAGAGUUGCCUCUCUCCGGUUUCUGACCAAUUAAGAGGGGUUCGGCAUCGUCGUCCAUAGAGAACUUCAAAAGGGGCUUUGCCCAAGCUUGAUUGAUAACUAUUGUUAUAAGCGAAUUCGGCGAAUGGAAGGCACUUCUCCCAAUUCAUACCAAACGAAAUAACACAGGCUCGGAGCAUAUCUUCUAGGAUUUGAUUCACUCUUUCUACUUGACCACUUGAUUGGGGAUGGAGAGCAGUGCUAAAAGAUAGGUGAGUCCCCAUGGCAUUCUGAAAACUUUCCCAGAAGCGAGAAGUAAAGAUACUUCCACGGUCCGAGUUAAUUUCCAUGGGAACACCAUGAAAAGACACUAUUCGGGAGAUAUAUAACUCUGCUAGCUGGCUAGCUGUUAUACUCUCACGAACAGGAAGAAAAUGAGCCACUUUGGAAAGACGGUCAAUGACCACAAAGAUAGCAUUAUUUCCUUUCUUGGUCUUGGGAAAUCCGGUAAUGAAAUCCAUGCUAACUUUAUCCCAUUUCCAUUCAGGAAUAGCUAAAGGUUGAAGCGUGCCAGCAGGCCUUUGAUGUUCUGCCUUAACUCGACGACAAACGUCGCAGUUAGCAACGAACUCAGCAAUUUCUCUCUUCAUCCUAGUCCACCAGAACCUCUGGCGUAGGUCCUGAUACAUCUUAGUACUACCAGGAUGAAUGGUGAGAGGAGAAUCAUGAGCCUCCUUAAGGAUUAACUGCCUUCGAUGGGUUCUUAGGAACCACUAAACGAUUCUGGAAGAACACAACACCUUGAUCAUUCAUGGAAAAUUCUUUAGCGUUUCCGCUAAAAAUAUUCCCCUUGAUCCGUGAUAUUCCCUUGUCACGCUUUUGGCCAGCUAUAAUUUGAUCCUUAAGAGUAGGCUUCGCCACCAGGGUGGAAAGGAAUCCUUGAGGAACAAUAUGAAGAUUCAACUUCCGAAAGUCCUCAUGGAGAUGUGGUUGACCUUGUUGUAGCAUCAAAUUGUUACAAUAAGAUUUACGACUUAGUGCAUCGGCCAUAACAUUGGCCUUCCCCGGGGUAUAAGUUAUCCCUAAGUCGUAAUCCGAGAUCAACUCAACCCACCGUCUUUGCCUGAGAUUCAAAUCCGGCUGGGUGAAGAUAUAUUUUAGACUUUGGUGAUCAGUGAAUAUUUCGCAACGAUUACCCAAAAGGUAAUGUCGCCAGGUUUUUAGUGCAUGGACCACAGCUGCAAGCUCAAGGUCAUGUGUGGGAUAAUUAUCCUCAUGUGGACGCAACUGUCGAGAUGCGUAUGCGAUCACAUGACUAUCUUGCAUGAGAAUACAACCUAAUCCUUGUCGCGAGGUGUCGCAAUAGAUAACAAAGUCCUUNGGAUGAAUGGUGAGAGGAGAAUCAUGAGCCUCCUUAAGGAUUAACUGCCUUCGAUGGGUUCUUAGGAACCACUAAACGAUUCUGGAAGAACACAACACCUUGAUCAUUCAUGGAAAAUUCUUUAGCGUUUCCGCUAAAAAUAUUCCCCUUGAUCCGUGAUAUUCCCUUGUCACGCUUUUGGCCAGCUAUAAUUUGAUCCUUAAGAGUAGGCUUCGCCACCAGGGUGGAAAGGAAUCCUUGAGGAACAAUAUGAAGAUUCAACUUCCGAAAGUCCUCAUGGAGAUGUGGUUGACCUUGUUGUAGCAUCAAAUUGUUACAAUAAGAUUUACGACUUAGUGCAUCGGCCAUAACAUUGGCCUUCCCCGGGGUAUAAGUUAUCCCUAAGUCGUAAUCCGAGAUCAACUCAACCCACCGUCUUUGCCUGAGAUUCAAAUCCGGCUGGGUGAAGAUAUAUUUUAGACUUUGGUGAUCAGUGAAUAUUUCGCAACGAUUACCCAAAAGGUAAUGUCGCCAGGUUUUUAGUGCAUGGACCACAGCUGCAAGCUCAAGGUCAUGUGUGGGAUAAUUAUCCUCAUGUGGACGCAACUGUCGAGAUGCGUAUGCGAUCACAUGACUAUCUUGCAUGAGAAUACAACCUAAUCCUUGUCGCGAGGUGUCGCAAUAGAUAACAAAGUCCUUAGAAAAAUCUGGUGGUAGCAACACAGGUGCGGAAGUCAGGCGUCUUUUCAGUUCCUGAAAACUAUGCUCACACUGUGGUGUCCACUCGAACUUUUUAUCUUUCUUGAGGAGUUCAGUUAGAGGCUUUGCAACCUUGGAGAAAUUCUCGACGAAGCGGCGACAAUAGCUCGCUAGACCAACAAAACUCCUAACUUGCUUAACCGAAUCAGGUUGAGUCCAAUCAAGGACAGCUUGAACUCUCUCGGGAUUGACAGCAAUACCCUUACCAGAGAUUACGUGGCCUAGAUAGGUCAUUUCUGGUAACCAGAAUUCACAUUUUGAAAAUUUGGCAUAAAGGCGAUGCUCUCGAAGUUUCAUCAAUACCAGCCUUAAAUGCUCGGCAUGUUCUUGUUCAUUCUUUGAGUAGAUGAGAAUAUCAUCGAGGUAUACUACGACGAAUUUAUCCAAAUACUCCAUAAAGAUUGAAUUCAUCAGUCGACAGAAGGUGGCUGGGGCAUUGGUUAAACCGCAGGACAUAACGGUGUACUCAUAUUGGCCAUAACGAGUAACAAAGGCCGUUUUUGGAAUGUCCCCGUUCUUGAUCUUGAUUUGAUGGUAUCCCAACCUCAAAUCCAUUUCAGAGAAGACUGAGGAUCCAGCGAGCUGAUCGUACAGGUCGUUGAUCCUGGGGAGCGGAUACUUGUUCUUAAUGGUGACUAGGUUAACUGGUCGGUAAUCUACAACCAUCCGAUCCGUUCCGUCUUUCUUCUUGACGAAGAGGACGGGACAAGNNNNNNNNNNNNNNNNNNNNNNNNNNNNNNNNNNNNNNNNNNNNNNNNNNNNNNNNNNNNNNNNNNNNNNNNNNNNNNNNNNNNNNNNNNNNNNNNNNNNGGAUCCACCAAGCCCUGUUGCCCCAAGGAUAAUGACUAACAGAGAACUACUCCUCAGUAUUCAUCAGAAGGUCGAUCGCAAUCACAAAUGGGUAAAAUGUCAAUUCAGUGCCAUUGUGAAAACCCUCAACGAGACUCAGAAUGCAGUGAACAAAAAUCACUACUAUCUUCAUAAGGUGUUUGAUCGAACCUGGGCCACCCUGGCUCAUCUGAAGACACAAGAAGAACUUGAUGAAUUGGAGUUUACUCAGGACUUCGACUAGUCGUGGCAUCCCAAGAAGAAAUUCAGGCCAAUUCCAGUUCCAGACCUUGAAGACAGAUUGCUUUCUUCAUUCCGCGCUGCAGAAUCUGAUGAAGAACCAGAAGACACUGCUAUUGGCCCAAGGAAGAAGCCCGUCGCCAAGAAUCCUCACGCCUCUUCUUCAUCAGCCAACAAGUGAAAGUCUUCAUUGGGCGUUAGUCCUCAGCUUUGUCCCUUUUUCGUCACUUAAUGAAAAAGGGGAGAAAACAGAGUUAUUCUACAUGCGGGAUAAAUUUUGGGGCUUAUAAACUUUAUUAAGUUACAAACUCAUGGUUCUUCUGAAGUGUUUUAUGUAAUGAGUUGUAACUUAAGAGCGAUGGUACUCUAACGCUUUUGAACGUUUUUCUUCGCAUGCUUAAUCCUCAAAAUAUUAAUGUCCGCAUGCUGAAAUUCAUCAGAUACCAUUUCUCAUCAUGCAUUCUCAAAUUCCUCAUAUUAUAUGUCAUAUAUAUGCAUGAUUUACAAGAUACAUGGGGAGAUCUCCAUGAUAUAAAUCAUCAAUGUGCAUUUGCUGUGAAAAGCAAAUUCCUGAAAGUAUGCACAUCUUCAGGGGGAGUCUCUCAGUAUCCCGUUUUAAAAUUCCUCAAGCUAAGUAUUUACACUUCAUAUUUUUAUCCCCGUUGAAAACUUAACCUAAUUGUCAUCAACCACCAAAAAGGAGGAGAUUGUAAGUGCAUCUAGUGCCCUUAGUGAUUAUGGUGGUUUGAAGACUUAUAGGUUAAGUAUCUAAUGUGUUCAUGAGUGUACACAUGAUCUAUAAGUCACUUAGGAGUUUGAGUUAUACGGUGAAUAUCGACCCCUAAAAACGUAUAUCUUCGCUUGAAGAAAUUGGUCUUAUGCUAAAGAUUUGAAUCGCGAAGAAAUUGCGAUGAAAUUUAUAUUCCUCAUGAAGAUACUCAAGAUGAGGAACUCGGUGUGUCCUGAAGAAAAUCAGUCCGAAGACUUUGAACCGUGAAGAUUUAUUCCUUCUGUUUCAUUUUCUUCAGUCUUGAGUCAUAGGAACACCAUACUAUUAAAGGGGGUCAAGGUAACACUACGGAAUGAAUUUCCUCAUGAUGCUCAACCCAACCCUAAACCUACAAAAGCAUCAAGUGAGGAAUAUGAGAGACAUGAGGACUCUCACAAUUGAGAGUCCCGACCGUUGCCGCGAUUCACGCCACCUCACCUAUCUUAUCCACACCAGCGGUCAUAAUAUUUAAGGGCAUUAAUGUCAAAUCAUGUCAGGAUGCUCCGAGGCUAUAAAUAGCCGCCCCCACAACCAUUAGCUGGUUCGCUGCUCCGCGAGAAACUGACACUUGUCAUUUAGAGCAACGCAAAUUCCUCAGAGUCUUCGAGAGUAAAUCAUCAGUGAGGAAAUACCCCAAACACCAAACUAGAAACCAAAAAGGAAGUGAUUGAGCAUCACUGAAGAAUUUGUUCCUAUGUGGAACUGAAGCCUUUUACCUUUUAGGACUGUGCAUCCUCUAGACAGUUAGGCGUCAUGGUCUAGAGCAAUCCAAUAGUCAAUUGUGGAUCGCCUGGUUACCGAGUUUGUGAGAGUUUGGAAGUCUGCCCUGAAGACUUACCACGAGUGUUGGGCGAGGACUGUGUGUCCUUAGCUCAAGGAGAAUACGGUAGGGACUGUGUGUCUCGAGACUGUGUGUCCUUUGGUUUCAAUACCAAGCCGCUCCAAACCAUACGUACGACUGUCACAUCAGUUGGAACUGGGUCAUCAACAACUGUCUUCACUGUGAUACGAGUUCUAUUUCUUCAACUCUUUCAAUUCCUUAAUAUUGUAUGUUGAAGAUUUUCAUUGUCUCUGUUUGAAGAAUUUGCUGAAGACUUUCUCUGAAUUUCCUCAACCUCAAGUUCUUCAUGCUAGUUAAUCCUCACCUGCUUAUUCUUUGCCUGCGUACUGUGCAAACUGUUUUUCAUAAUCAUCAUCGAGAAAACUGUUGUAGUAAUACUUUGCACUCCUGAUCCUUUGCUGUUUUUGCUGGAAGUUAUUCAUAAGUGAGGAAUUUCCUCAAAAGGAAUUUCCUUAGCGAUGAAAUUCUAAAAAUCUCCUAUUCACCCCCCUUUAGUCGAUAUAACACACUUUCAAUGCACCACUUGGUGUGGAUGCAUUAUUAGGGUAUUAGAACAUGUCCACAAAAUUUGAGCACAAAAGGAGAAACUUGGCAAUGCAAAUUUGCCCAAGUUUGGUUCUGGACACAAAUGGUUUCAGAAUAUUUUCGGGAAUCAAAUCAACUUGGAUUGAGAUGAAACUUGGCAAGAUCAUCACAUAUAUCAUGUGUAACUUGCUAGAAUUUUACUGGAAUUUAUUGUGAAUAUUUGCUUUGAAAAUAUUUGAAAAGGUUGCAAUAGGCAUAAAGGGUUUUGGAGAGUAUUGUCCACUAUUUUGAACAUGACCAUGUGUUGAAACGCUUAUAUAUGAAAAAUAUAUGUCCACUGAGUUUCUCUAAAUUUUCUCAAAUAUUUUGGAAGCAAGAAAAUAAUUUUUGUUCAAAAAAGAUCCUUUCUGGUCCUAGAAAAACGUCUUUUAAUAAAAUAGGAAAAUAACUUUUAAAAUAAUAAUUUUGUGUUUUUGGGAAGUCUUUUUGAUAAUGGGGUUUAAAUAAAAUAUUUGGGGCAAAUCAUCUUCCCUAAUUUGAGGACUUGUAGUACAAAUCUUAAUUCUGGGGGUUUUGAAAAGCUAAAUUAAAAUAAAUGCUUUUUGGUCAAAAAUAAUAUUUGGUAAAAUGGUUUUAGGUUCUAUACACUUGGUAUGGUCAUUAGGCAAAGACUUGGGGCAAGGAGAUGAGUCUAAAGAGUAGGAGGAAGUUUUGUAAUUUAGAACACAAUCAAACAAGCAAGCAAUCACCAUCAUGUCAAGCAUCACAAGAACACACAAAAGUUUAUAAUUGGCCCUAAUUUUUUAGCUUUGUUAACUUAGUCAGGAAAGGCGAAAUACAGGCUGUGACAGGCCUACCCCCUUACAAGAAUCUCAUCCCUCAGAUAGCUAGGCUAGAUGUUGAAGAGAUAGAGAAAUUCAGAUCUGAGGUAGUCUUCACGCUUCCAUGUUUCUCCUUCUUCGAUGUGAUCGCUCAAGUGGAUCCUGAAGUUCUUGAUGAUACGGCAUCAAAUGCUUCUCUUGGUUUCAUCUGAGAGUGAACGGGGUUCUUGCAGUAUGCUAGUCUUGACUAGAGGUCAAGGGCUUAGUAAACAAGGUCCGAGCAAGGGUCUCGUUUGCGUGCGUAUUCCAAAGUUGGAAUACAUGGCAAAGUAGUGUCUAUGUGUGCUAGUCCGGGGUUGCUCGCGUUGGUUAGUGACAUAUAGAUGUCUCAAUAUGGAAUAGAAGUGUCGAGUCUUGGUGUAAUUCCCCGUUGACGGGGAGGUCCUUGACUUCCUUAAACAGGUGAUCUCCAGUAGUAGGUUGUCUGAUUUCUUGGGAGUGUCAACAUAAGCUUGAGAUCUUGAACUUGAGAAGUUGUCCAGGUAUGUUCCUCAUUUAUCUUUAGCCAUUUGUCUUUGUCGUCACGGACGCAUGUUUCUGGUGUGUCUUUGAGUGCCUCUUCGUAGCUACUUGUGAAAAAUUCUGGGUUCAGUUUCAUCUCUAAGACCAAGUUUAGAGACUCAGUGUUUAAAACAGUUUCUACCACCUAGGAAGCUUUUGAGGGCCCUAGAUGAGCUGGCUACCAAAAGUAUAGACCAGCCAUCCAAUCCCCUAGGCCUGAGGCUUGGCUAGCGGGAUGAACCUUCUUUGACGGAGUUUCACCAUGGUCCAGUCAGGACUUCACAUCCUUCAUUGGGCAAAAAGGGGCUCUUUAACUUCUCUAGAUGUCCAAAGGUUUCAUCAUGCUUGAAUGUCAAUGCGUCUUGCCAUAGUUGGUGUAGUCAGAAGAGGAGUGGUGGUUGACUCCUAUCACUUCUUCUUCAUUGUCGUGGUUUCUCAACCGUGGUGGUUCUUCACCUUGCUUGGGUAGGAUUGUUUUCUACUUCUUGUAGGGUGCUUCGAGGAGUCUAUCUUCUUCAAGGUAAAACCUGACACUUGAGAGGCAUGGUGAUCGGUUCUUCUAGGGGCUUAUCCAAAUAGGGCUAAGGUGUUCCUUCUGUUAUUGGGUAAAUGAAUAUGUCAUCCACGUGGGAAACGCAUAUUUCUCCAAGCAUCACAUAAGGUCAUUGCUUAUGGGAUAUGUGAGAGGAGAGGGCAUUUGUCCGAUGGUCACUUGCCCAGGGGUUUAGUGGUGGUCGAGGUGGAGUAUUGUCCAUAGUCUAAGGACUUAGAGCCAAAACUUGCGGUCAUAAUCUGACCAUAUCAUGGUGUUGUGAAGCUUCGGGGUUUUAGGGAACUUAGGAUGUGAGUGAACGCCCAUCAUCUUGUCCUUGAGCACACUUUCUUAGAUGCCAAUAGUCCUACCUAAUCAUCCAACAGAAUCAUCCAGUAUCAUAAAAGAUACAAUGUCCUAUAAGUGAACUCCAACAUUACUUAUGCUACUCAACUCCAAGGUUUGAGAGAAGGACUAAACCAAAAUCUCAUAGUACACUAUAGUUAACUCAUUUCUAUACAUAUGUAAAAAUCCUCGAGAAGCAUACAAGCUACUAGAUAAUCUUCAAUCCAAGUGCUCAACUCAAUUUUCAAGGUCUAAUGUACUGCAUUUCUAUACUAAGGAAACACAUAAUAUACCAAUCCAAGAUCUUGUUUCCUUCCUACGAAUCCAACCAAGUGGUUUAUCAAUCCCAACAUUCAUCACUUGACCCAACACGUACUCUAACAAAUCCAAUAUUUAUGGGGUCCUACAUAAUCACCUAGAGUCCUUUUAAUCCACAUAUCAUUGCAAGGACUACUAUCACACUAUAUCUACGAACUCCCAAUAACAUGAGCAACUAAACUCCAAGGUCAAGCUUUGAUAGAUUCAUAAAUCAUCCCCAACAUCAUCCAAUUACUUCUACUUAUCAUCCACCAAGAAACAUGGUAUCAUGAUCAAGAUCAUUGGACUAAAUCCAAUUUAUUCCGAACCAUUUGGUAUCAUUUAUCAUCGACACUCUAUUAGGAUUACCUAUUUAAAUCCAUAUCUCAUGUCCAACAGAAACUCCUACUUGUUACUCCAAUUCGUUAUUGUAAUAUCAUCGAUUCAUAACUACUAGAAUCAAGUUAUCAUGCCACCAAGAAUUUUAGCUCGUGAUCAUAAUUGUCCUACUGAAUCCAAAUUUACUCCACGGAUAGGUAAGUUAUGUUACUUUAGAAACUUGUUCCACCAAGUUCACCUACCAACAUAAGGGUCUUACGAUCCACAAAGAAAGUCUAGCUACAUCCGCGAGACACUUACUAUAGUCACCUCAAAUAAUUAGCUACAUGUCGUUUAUCCUUGGGACGAUCCUUCCUACACCAUCAAAGUUAUAGUGCUAACUUGCGAAUGAGUGAUGUUUGUCCACAAUGAUUGAUACGUCCAUUUUGCAUCAUGCUUUUAUGUUGAUAUUUAUCGCUUUAUGGGAUGUGAUUACACUUCAUGGUACAAUACUUAUGCCUUUUCUCUCUUAUUUUAUAAGGUUUACAUGAAGAGGGAGAAUGCCGGCAGCUGGAAUUCUGGUCUGAAAAAGGAGCAAGUUUGAGAUACCUAUUCUGCGCAAAUCAAAAAGCCGUGAAAAUCAACGAGGAAUUAUUUUGGAUUUUAUAAAAAAUACUGGGUGGAAGAAGUACCAGAGGGGAGCCACCAGGAGGCCACAAGCCUGCCAGGCGCGGCCUACCCCCCUGGUCGCGGCUAGGUGGCUUGUGGCCCCCCUGUUACCCCUCUGGCUCCUAUAUUUUGCUAUAAGGAGGGUUUCGUUCCAAAAAAAUCAUAUGGAGGCUUUCAGGAGGAGACGCCGCCACCACGAGGCGGAACUUGAGCAGAACCAAUCUAGAGCUUUGGCAGGGCCGUCCUACCAGGGAAACUUCCCUCCCGGAGGGGGAAAUCGUCGCCAUCGUCAUCACCAACACUCCUCUCAUCGGAGGGGGCUCAUCACCAUCAACAUCUUCAUCAUCACCAUCUCAUUUCCAAACCCUAGUUCAUCUCUUGUAACAACUCUCUGGCUCACGACUCCGAUUGGUACUUCUAAGGUUGCUAGUAGUGUUAAUUACUCUUUGUAGUUGAUGCUAGUUGGAUUACUCGGUGGAAGAUCAUAUGUUCAGAUCUCUAAUGCUAUUCAAUUCCUCUCUGGUCAUGAACAUAAUUAUGCUUUGUGAGUAGUCACUUUUGUUCCUGAGGACAUGGGAUAAGUCUUGCUAUAAGUAGUCACGUGAAUUUGGUAUUCGUUCGAUAUUUUGAUGCGUUGUAUGUUGUCUUUCCUCUAGUGAUGUUAUGUGAACGUCGACUACAUAACACUUCACCAUUAUUUGGGCCUAGAGGAAGGCACCGGGAAGUAAUAAGUAGAUGAUAGGUUGCUAGAGUGACAGAAGCUUAAACCCUAGUUUAUGCGUUGCUUCGUAACGGGUUGAUUUGGAUCCACUAGUUUAAUGCUAUGGUUAGACUUUGUCUUCAUUCUUCUUUCGUAGUUGUGGAUGCAUGCGAGAGGGGUUAAUCAUAAGUGGGAUGUUUGUCCAAGUAAGGGCAGCACCGAAGCACCGGUCCACCCGCAUAUCAAACUAUCAAAGUAGCGAACGCGAAUCAUAUGAUCAUGAUGAAAACUAGCUUGACAGAAAUUCACAUGUGUCCUCGGGAGCGCUUUACCUCAUAUAAGAGUUUGUCCAGGCUUGUCCUUUGGUACAAAAGGGAUUGGGCCACUUUGCUGCAACUUUGUUACUUUUGUUACUUGCUACUUACUACAAAUCAUCUUAUCACACAACUAUCUAUUACCGAUAAUUUCAGUGCCUGCAGAGAAUACCUUGCUCAAAACCACUUGUCAGUUCCUUCUCCUCCUCGUUGGGUUCGACACUCUUACUUAUCGAAAGGACUACGAUUGAUCCCCUACACUUGUGGGUCAUCAAGACUCUUUUCUGGCGCUGCAGCCGGUGAGUCAAGCGCCUUUGGUAAGUGGAAUUUGGUAAGGAAACAUUUAUAUAGUGUGCUGAAAUUUAUUGUCACUUAUCACUAUGGAAACUAAUCCUUUGAGGAGCUUGUUCGGGGUAUAUUCACCUCGAACGGAAGCACAAGGAGUUGCCCCUCAACCUGCUGCACCUACUGAACAUAUUUGUUAUGAAAUUCCUUCAGGUAUGCUUGAGAAACUGUUGGCUAAUCCUUUUACAAGAGAUGGAACAUCACAUCCCGACUUGCAUCUAAUCUAUGUAGAUGAAGUUUGUAGUUUAUUUAAGCUUGCAGGUUUGCCCGAGGAUGAGGUCAAGAAGAAGGUCUUUCCCUUAUCUUUGAGGGAUAAAGCAUUGACAUGGUAUAGGCUAUGUGAUGAUACUAGAUCAUGGAACUACAACCGAUUGAAAUUGGAAUUUCAUCAAAAGUUUUAUCCUAUGCAUUUGGUACAUCGUGAUCGGAAUUAUAUCUAUAAUUUUUGGCCUCAUAAUAGAGAAAGUAUCGCUCAACCUUUGGGGAGGCUUAAAUCAAUGUUAUAUUCAUGCCCCAACCAUGAGCUCUCGAGAGAAAUUAUUAUUCAGAACUUCUAUGCUCGACGUUCUCAUGAUAAUCGCACCAUGCUUGACACUUCUUGUACCCGUUCUUUUAUGAAGAGAGAUAUUGACUUCAAAUGGAAUUUAUUAGAAAGAAUUAAACGCAACUCUGAAGAUUGGGAGUUUUAUGAAGGUAAGGAGUCAGGUAUGAAUCUUAAGGUCGAUUAUGUUAAAUCCUUCAUUGAAACAAAUACUUUUUGUGAUUUUAGCGCUAAACAUGGACUUGACUCUGAGUUAGUAGCUUCAUUAUGUGAAUCAUUUGCUGCUCAUAUUAAUCUCCCUAAAGAGAAGUGGUUUAAAUAUCAUCCUCACAUAGAAGUCAAUGUAGUUAAACGAAAUCCAGUUCAAGAGAAAGUCAUUGCUUAUAAUGAUCCUAUUAUUCCUGGUGCUUACAUUGAGAAACCACCCUUCCCUGUUAGAAUAAAGGAUCAUGCUAAAGCUCCAACUGUGAUGCGUAAGGGGUACAUUAGAACACCUACACCCCCUGAGAAAAUUAGAGUUGAACCUAGCGUUGCUAUUAUCAAAGAUCUCUUGUCCGACAAUGUUGAUGGCCAUGAUAUUCACUUCUGUAAAGAUGCUGCUAGAAUUGCCAAACCUCAUGCUAGAGACAAACAUAGGCCUGUUGUUGGCACGCGUGUUGUUUCUGUUAAGAUAGGAGAUCAUUGUUAUCAUGGUUUAUGUGACAUGGGUGCUAGUGUUAGUGCAAUACCUCAAUCUUUAUAUGAUGAAAUUAAAGACGAGAUUGCACCUGUCGAGAUGGAACCUAUUGAUGUCACUAUUCAGCUUGCCAAUAGAGAUACUAUCUGCCCUUUGGGAAUUGUUAGAGAUGUUGAAGUCUUGUGUGGUAAAACUAAGUAUCAUGCCGAUUUUCUCGUUCUUGCUACCACACAAGAUAGCUUUUGUCAAAUCAUAUUUGCCAGACCUUUCCUCAAUACUAUCAAUGCUCAUAUUGACUGUGAGAAGCAAACUGUCACUAUUGGCUUUGAAGGUGUAUCACAUGAGUUCAAUUGCUCCAAGUUUGGUAGACAACCUCAUGAAAAAGAGUUGUCUAGUAAGGAUGAAAUUAUUGCUCUAGCUUCUAUUGUUGUGCUCCCUACUGAUCCUUUAGAGCAAUACAUGCUUGAGCAUGAAAAUGAUAUGCAUACGGAUGAAAGGAAUGAGAUAAAUAGAGUUAUCUUUGAACAACAUCCUAUCCUGAAGAAUAAUUUGCCUGUUGAACUGCUUGGAGAUCUACCCCCACCAAAGGGUGAUCCUGUGUUCGAGCUUAAACAGUUACCUGAUGCUCUUAAGUAUGCUUAUCUUGAUGAAAAAAAUAUAUAUCCUGUUAUUACUAGUGCUAGCCUUUCAGAGCAUGAAGAAAAGAAAUUAUUGAAAACUCUGAGGAAGCACCGUGGUGCUAUUGGAUAUACUCUUGAUGAUCUUAAGGGCAUUAGUCCCACUCUAUGCCAGCACAAAAUUACAACCGAUCCUGAUUCCAAACCAGUUGCCGAUCAUCAACGGAGAUUAAAUCCUAAGAUGAAAGAGGUAGUAAGAAAAGAAAUACUAAAGCUCUUGGAAGCAGGUAUUAUCUAUCUUGUUGCUAAAAGUGAUUGGGUAACUCCGAUGCAUUGCGUCCCUAAGAAGGGAGGUAUUACCGUUGUCCCUAAUAAUAAAGAUGAAUUGAUCCCACAGAGGAUUAUUACUGGCUAUAGGAUGGUGAUUGAUUUUAGGAAAUUGAAUAAAGCCACUAGGAAGUAUCAUUACCCUUUGCCUUUUAUCAACCACAUGCUAGAAAGGCUGUCUAAACACACACACUUCUGCUUUCUAGAUGGUUAUUCUGGUUUCUCCCAAAUACCUGUUGCACAAUCUGAUCAGGAGAAAACCACUUUUACCUACCCUUUCGGUACCUUUGCUUACAGACGUAUGCCUUUUGGCUUAUGCAAUGCACCUGCUACCUUUCAAAGAUGUAUAAUGGCUAUAUUCUCUCACUUUUGUGAAAAGAUUGUUGAGGUUUUCAUGGAUGACUUCUCCGUUUACGGGUCUUCUUUUGAUGAUUGCCUCAGCAACCUUGAUCGAGUUUUGCAGAGAUGUAAGGAUACCAACCUUGUCUUGAAUUGGGAGAAGUGCCACUUUAUGGUUAAUGAAGGCAUCGUCUUAGGACAUAAAAUUUCUAAAAUAGGUAUUGAAGUCGAUAAGGCUAAGGUUGAUGCGAUCGAGAAAAUGUCAUGCCCUACAGACAUUAAAGGUAUAAGAAGUUUCCUUGGUCAUGCUGGUUUCUAUAGAAGGUUCAUUAAGGACUUUUCUAAGAUUUCUAGGCCUCUUACCAAUCUCUUGCAAAAAGGAUAUUCCUUUUUUUUACGAUGAUUGUGGGGAAGCCUUGGAAAUACUUAAGAAGGCCUUGAUAACUGCACCUAUUUUUCAACCACCUGAUUGGAACUUACCUUUUGAAAUUAUGUGUGAUGCUAGUGAUUAUGCUAUUGGUGCUGUUCUAGGAGAAAGAGUUGAUAAGAAGUUGAAUGUUAUUCAUUAUGCUAGUAAAACUCUAGACAGUGCCCAAAGAAACUAUGCUACUACUGAAAAGGAAUUUUUAGCACUUGUGUUUGCAUGGGAAAAGUUCAGAUCUUACAUUGUUGAUUCCAAGGUUACUAUGCACAUUGAUCAUGCUGCUAUUAAGUAUCUCAUGGAAAAGAAAUGCUAAACCUAGACUUAUCAGAUGGGUUCUCUUGCUACAAGAAUUUGAUUUGCAUGUCGUUGAUAGGAAGGCUGCUGACAACCCCGUAGCAGAUAACUUGUCUAGGUUGGAGAAUGUUCUUGAUGACCACAACCUAUUGAUGAUAGCUUUCCUGAUGAGUAAUUGAAUGUCAUCAAUGCUUCACGUAGUACACCGUGGUAUGCUGAUUAUGCAAAUUAAAUUGUUGCUAAAUAUAUACCACCUAGUUUCACAUACCAACAGAAGAAGAAAUUCUUCUUUGAUUUGAUACAUUACUUUUGGGAUGAUCCCCACCUUUAUAAGGAAGGAGUAGAUGGUGUUAUUAGACGUUGUGUACCUGAGCAUGAACAGGGACAGAUCCUACAGAAGUGUCACUCCGAGGCUUACGGAGGACACCAUGCGGGAGAUAGAACUGCACACAAGGUAUUGCAAUCCGGUUUCUAUUGGCCUACCCUCUUCAAGGAUGCCCGUAAGUUUGUCUUGUAUUGUGAUGAAUGUCAAAGCAUAGGUAACAUCAGUAAACGUCAGGAAACGCCUAUGAAUUAUUCACUUGUCAUUGAACCAUUUGAUGUUUGGGGUUUUGAUUAUAUGUGACCUUUUCCAAAGUCUAACGGGUAUACUCAUAUUCUAGUUGCUGUUGAUUACAUUUCUAAGUGGGUAGAAGCUAUCUCAACUAGUAGUGCUGAUCAGAGCACCUCUAUUAGGAUGCUUAAAUAAGUUAUUUUCCCUAGAUUUAGAGUCCCUAGAUAUUUAAUGACUGAUGGUGGUUCACAUUUUAUUCAUGGUGCUUUCCGUAAAACGCUUGCUAAGUAUGAUGUCAACCAUAGAAUUUCAUCUCCCUAUCAUCCUCACUCCAGUGGUCAAGUAGAGCUAAGUAAUAGAGAGAUUAAACUGAUUCUGCAAAAGACUGUUAAUAGGACUAGAUAGAAUUGGUCUAAGAAGCUUGAUGAUGCACUAUGGGCUUAUAGAACUGCUUAUAAGAAUCCCAUGGGCAUGUCUCCGUAGAAAAUUGUAUAUGGUAAAGCAUGUCAUUUACCUCUUGAGUUAGAGCAUAAGGCUUAUUGGGCAAUCAAAGAGCUCAACUUUGAUUUCAAAUUUGCUGGUGAGAAGAGGUUAUUUGAUAUUAGCUCACUUGAUGAAUGGAGAACUCAGGCAUAUGAAAAUGCCAAGUUGUUUAAAGAAAAGUUAAGAGGUGGCAUGAUAAAAGAAUACAAAAACGUGAGUUCAAUGUAGGCGAUUAUGUCUUACUAUACAAUUCUCGUUUAAGAUUUUUUGCAGGCAAGCUUCUCUCUAAAUGGGAAGGUCCUUGCAUUGUUGAGGAACUAUAUCGUUCCGGUGCCAUCAAGAUCAACAACACAGAAGGUAAUUUUCCGAGAGUUGUAAAUGGGCAGAAUCAAGCAUUAUAUGUGAGGUACUCACAUAAAUGUUGAAAUCAAUAUUAUUAAUACCAUAACUCCGGAAGAGUACAUAAGGGAUAUUUAUUAGCCUGUUUCAGACUCCACAAACGAAGAGGUAUGUAAUUCGGUAAGUAAACCGACUCCAAAACUUCUCAAGUAGCAAUUUUUAUCCGUUUUGGAAUUUUGAGAAAAAUAGAAAAUUUUAAAGUGGUCCGGAAAGCGCACGAGGAGGCGACAAGCCUGCCAGGCGUGGCCUACCCCCCUGGCCACGCCUGGGUGGCUUGUGGGCACCUUGUGUGCCUCCGGGACUCUGUUUUAUUGCAUAGUACUCCUUUUGGUCGGAAACAAUUCAUUAUAUAUUUUCCCGGAUGGUCUGACCCUCGUAUCACGCAAAUAUCCUCUGUUUUCGUUUCGAGUCUGUUUCUGUCGCAGAUUUAGGGCAAGGAUGUCGUCUCAUGAAUCUAUCGGGGAGAACGAUUUCCCUCAAGUCUAUGAAGAAGUAGAAGCUGAUCUGAAAAGAAUGGAGGUCAUGGAGGCUAAGGAAGGGCUGCUGGAAGAAACUAAGGGCAAAACUAAGGAGGAUAAUCUGGCAUCGGACGAAGGGCAAUUUAUGCUCAACAAGGAAGAAGCUGAGGAAGAGGAUUUUCUUCAACCCUACCUCCACCUUUUACCUCCAUUCUUGAUCGAACUCUUGAGGUUAUGUGAAAUAACUCGUGUUCGUAAUACUGACCUUACCCGUGAAGUUCUUUUGCUGGAGAAACAUAUCAUAGAGCUUCAAAGUAUAAAUCAAAGAUUUAUGGCCCUCUUAGAAUCAAAAGACAGGACAACUCCACCACGAUCACCUUCGAAGGAAGACAAUUAAGCACGGGUAUGGGAACCCCCCUUGGAAUGUGCCAAGCUUGGGGGAGUUGCCCUGGUAUCGUAUCACCAUCACAUCUUUUGCCUUUACCUUUUUCUUAGUUCGAUUCUUUUUGGUUUUAUGUUUCUCUAGUAGAAUAAAGUUCUUAGUAUGUUCUAGGCUUGAGUUUUGCGUUGUGUUACCCCCAAUGUAUUCCAGCUCGUGAGUCAUAUAAUAAAGAGUAUUUUAGUUAAAGCCCUUGCCUCAUGCCAUGAUCUAAAGAAUAAUAAGAGAACAAAAGCAUGAAGGAUCAUGUAAUGAUCUUAUGGGAAGUGAUGGCUUCACAUAUAAAAAGAAUGUUGAUUGAAACUUGUUGUGGGUGAACAAACGUAGACCUUGGUCAUUGUUUCUAUUAAUAGGAAGUAAUAAAGAAGGAGAGGUUCACAUAUAAAUAUAUCAUCUUUGACACCGUCUAUGAUUGUGAACACUCAUUAAACUAUUACAUGCUUAGAAGUAGAUGUUGGACAAGGAAGACAACACAAUGAAUUAUGUUUGCUUGGUUCCGAGCAAGGUUAUGUGACUAGAGAUCCCUUAGCAUGUGAUGCUUGCUUGCACCUCAUACCAGCCAAAACUUCCGCACUAAGUAGAGAUACUACUUGUGCAUCCAUAAACCUUCAACCCAGUUUUCCCAUGAGAGUCAAACAUACCUACCUAUGGAUUGAAUCCCUGAAGUAAGUUUUCAUCGGUGCAAGCAAUAAAAAUUGCUCCCUAAAUAUGUAUGAUCUAUUAGUGUGUGGAAAAUAAGCUUUGUACGAACCUGUGAUGAGGAAGACAUAAAAGCGACAGACCGCAUAAUGAAGUUCUUUACCACAAGAGGCAAUAUAAAGUGACGUUCCUCCACACUAAGAGAUCACACAUCCAAACUUCAAAAGUGCAUGACAACCUCUGCUUCCCUCUGCGAAGGGCCUAUCUCGUACCUUUACUUUUUAUCCUUAAAAGAGUCAUGGUGAUCGGCACCAAUUCCUUAUUUCGCCUUUAUCUUGUCUAACGUCAUGUGCUAGGGAAAGAUAUAUAUUCAUAUGUCAGCUUGGAAGUAAGUAUCCAGAAUUAUUAUUGUUGACAUUACCCUUGAGGUAAGUAGUUGGGAGGCAAAACUAUAAGCCCCUAUCUUUCUCUGUGUCCAACUGAUACUUUGAUCUCAUGAGUACCACGUGAGUUUUAGCAAUUGUAGAAGAUGAAAGGAUGAUUGAGUAUGUGGAUUUGCUUUACAAGCUCUUAUUUGACUCUUUCCGAUGUUAUGCUAAAUUGGAAUUGCUUCAAUGACUAAAGGCUAUUGGUUGUUAAUCCUCAGUAAGUUUCAUGAUCCACACUUUACUUUGUGAAGGAAUUGUCACUUUAGCAUAAGAGUUUAUAUGACGUUAUUGCUGUUCUAAUUAUGAUCAUGAUGCCUUCAUGUUCGUAUUUUGUUUUAUCGAUACCUCUAUCUCUAAAUAUGUGGGCAUAUUUAUUGAUCUCGGCUUUCGCUUGAGGACAAGCGACGUCUAAGCUUGGGGGAGUUGAUACGUCCAUUUUGCAUCAUGCUUUCAUGUUGAUAUUUAUCGCUUUAUGGGCUGUUAUUACACUUCACGGUACAAUACUUAUGCCUUUUCUCUCUUAUUUUAUAAGGUUUACAUGAAGAGGGAGAAUGCCGACAGCUGGAAUUCUGGUCCGAAAAAGGAGCAAGCUUGAGAUACCUAUUCUGCGCAACUCCAAAAGCCGUGAAAAUCAACGAGGAAUUAUUUUGGAUUUUAUAAAAAAAUACUGGGUGGAAGAAGUACCACAGGGGAGCCACCAGGAGGCCACAAGCCUGCCAGGCACGACCUAACCCCGUGGCCGCGCCUAGGUGGCUUGUGGGCCCCCUGUUGCCCCUCUGGCUCCCAUCUUUUGCUAUAAGGAGGGUUUCGUUCCAGAAAAAAUCAUAAGGAGGCUUUCGGGAGGAGAUGCCGCUGCCACGAGGCGGAACUUGAGCAAAAGCAAUCUAGAGCUCUGGCACGGCCGUCCUGCCGGGGAAACUUCCCUCCCGGAGGGGGAAAUCGCCGCCAUCGUCAUCACCAACAAACCUCCCAUCGGAGGGGACUCAUCACCAUCAACAUCUUCAUCAGCACCAUCUCAUCUCCAAACCUUAGUUCAUCUCUUGUAACCAAUCUCCGUCUCGCGACUCCAAUUGGUACUUCUAAGGAUGCUAGUAGUGUUAAUUACUCUUUGUAGUUGAUGCUAGUUGGAUUACUCGGUGGAAGAUCAUAUGUUCAGAUCUCUAAUGCCAUUCAAUACCUAUCUGGUCAUGAACAUAAUUAUGCUUUGUGACUAGUCACUUUUGUUCAUGAGGACAUGGGAUAAGUCUUGCUAUAAGUAGUCAUGUGAAUUUUGUAUUCAUUCGAUAUUUUGAUGCGUUGUAUGUUGUCUUUCCUCUAGUUGUGUUAUAUGAACGUGGACUACAUAACACUUCGCCAUUAUUUGGGCCUAGAGGAAGGCAUUGGGAAGUAAUAAGUAGAUGAUAGGUUGCUAGAGUGGCAGAAGCUUAAACCCUAGUUUAUGCGUUGCUUCGUAAGGGGCUGAUUUGGAUCCACUAGUUUAAUGCUAUGGUUAGACUUUGUCUUAAUUCUUCUUUCGUAGUUGCGGAUGCUUGUGAGAGAGGUUAAUCAUAAGUGGGAUGUUUGUCCAAGUAAGGGCAGCACCCAAGCACCGGUCCACCCACAUAUCAAACUAUCAAAGUAGCGAACGCGAAUCAUAUGAACAUGAUGAAAACUAGCUUGGCCGAAAUUCCCAUGUGUCCUCGGGAGCGCUUUACCUCAUAUAAGAGUUUGUCCAGGCUUGACCUUUGCUACAAAAGGGAUUGGGCCACUUUGCUGCACCUUUGUUACUUUUGUUACUUGCUACUUGCUACGAAUCAUCUUAUCAUACAACUAUCUGUUACUAAUAAUUUCAGUGCGUGCAGAGAAUACCUUGCUGAAAACCAGUUGUCAGUUCCUUCUGCUCCUCGUUGGGUUUGACACUCUUACUUAUCGAAAGGACUACGAUAGACCCCCUACUCUUGUGGGUCUUCAAUGAUCAGUUGCCCAUAAUGAACCCAGUGCUAAGAAGCGGUUACUGAAGCUCAACUGGUGCUCUCAUAAAUCCAUGUUAAACACAUGAUGAUGGGUUUGAUCUAGGGAAGGUUGUGAGGUUUAGUUUGGUACAGGGAGGGUUUCGAAUCUUGAGGGGGAAGCAUAAAUCUACGGGGUUGUGUCUAGUUUAGCACGUUGUAGUCUGAAUCUUCGAUUUUUGUUGUCUGUCGAGGUGGAUUAUUUGCGCAUCUUGUGUUGCUGGUCUUCAGUUGGUGAGAUAUGGGAGAGGAAAAGUAGCAUAGAGGAGAGUGCCUAAGGAGGUGGUAUAGUGCAAGUGCAAUCAAACAAGUGCCGAAAGGGCCAAACAAAACAUCAAGAUGAGGUAAGUGAUAUAGCCGCGUACUUGUGGACCGGGGCAACACUGCGACUUAUAUCAAAACAUAAACAAGCAAAACAAGCAAAAAUAUGGUUCCAUUCGAACCAUCACAGAGACUUAACUUCGCAUAGGCGAUACACUAAUCAUUCUACCCUAGGGGUUCUCGGACUCAAUAGUCGUGCUCACUUCGUGUAUGGGAGAGGAGUGCGCUCAGUCUUCUGGGUCUUCUUCAGGUGUCGCUAUGUCUCUUGUUGUUGUUCGUCAAAACGAUUCGGGUUGAGCCAGAAAGAGUCCUUGACAACUCCUCAUCUGGUGAGCUGACGAAGAAGGGGGUUCCUCAUGGCUAUCGUCGACAUGCUCUUCCGUUGUCUUCGUAAUCCCGUCAGUGUCUUCUUGUCUUCGAAGGCGUCGCGAAUUCCAAGUGGACAAUCCUUUAUGCAAUGACAUGGAAAAGGCUUGAUAGAGUUCCGAGUUGUGAUUUACAUUAAUGACAAUAUCAACACCAAGAGCGGGGGAUGACGAGAACCAUUAUCCUGCUCACUAUGGUGAGGUGAACCAAAUAGCAAGGUUCCUAUCCACCGGCGGUUGUCGACACAACAACGGUAAGGACAAGGUCGCUCUAUUAGCGAUGCAUAUCAUGAUCUUGCAUAUAUUAUGUCCCGAUCGUCAUAGUCUAAUGUUGCAUCACCCUGGGACAUUGUCGAGGGUGUCAUCAUCUUCUGAGUACGGAUGUCCUCAUCCCACGAGAAGGUAGCUUCUGUUGGUGUCCUCUGGUCAUAGCAUUUCCAACCUUGUCUCCCAAUAUGUGGUUGAUCGUUUGGCAAGGUCGUUUCCUUUCAAGUUACCCACGAGGGUUUCAAGGAAUCCAGUGGUCACGGGCAUAAGGGUGCUAGUGAUCGUUUGCAAGUUUUGAAAAAAGCGGAUGAGGAUUGUCAAGAGAAUAAGGGUGGAAGAGCUAAGUCAAAAACCUUCGUUUCCUUGGAAAAUUUAGAAGAUGUGAGGAAUAUAGAGGUUUUAUAAGUGAUUUUGAAGGGUUUGGAGACAUAGUUUGUCUUAACUAACGCUGCUCACUAAGGGCUUCCUACAGUCAGGAUGACUCUAAUACCACCUCUGUAGAGACCCCAACUCAUAAGUCAUGAUCACCGAAUGUACGUGCAAAGUGAUCCCAAUGAUCAAUGCUCGCUGAACACAAAGAAACUGAAUAACAAGAGUCUUACAUCCAUUACGUACUAUUUUACUCGAUUAUGGCCUUCAUGGCCAAGUCUUCAUAUAUUUUCAUUGGAGAAUCUUCAUCAAUAGUGUGAACCCAUGCCAUCUGCCUUUAACCUACAUGCAUUAUGACUAGGAAGCGUCCUAGCUCCCACGGUUGUCACCAAGGUAUUCUUCAUCAUAUCAUGUUCUCUCAUGCCUGGUCAACAAAAUAACCAGGGGCAAACCAAUGAGUACUUCGAAUCUAGUCGCAAGGAACCCAUGUUUGGAACAAGACAAUAACAAUGCAUGAUAUAGCACCAAGUAGGUAAUUUGGAGAAAGCUAGUUUUGAGUGCAAUGUCAUGAUCAAUCAACUUGUAAAAGCAUGCAUCAACAGGUUGCAGAUAUCCAUACGAACAAGCCGUAGAUAUCAUCAUAAGCAUGGGUUGAAUAUGUGUCACACCCCAAAAAUUUACCCACAUUUUAUUUAUUUAAAAUAAUGUCUCGAAUAAUAUUUUUUUGAAAAGUAGCUUGCUUCAUUUCUCAAUUCAAAGCCUCUUCACAAAUUGUUUUAUCCAAGUAGCACUUUCGAAGAUCACUGUGUGCUUGAGUAAUUGUUUGAGAUUAUUUUGUUCCAUUUUACUAAUUUAUGGGGACAUUUUUUAUAAUAAAAACUUGCCAAAAUUAAUACUUUUAAAGGCAUUUUCAUCAUUUUAAGAGCCCCGUUUGCACUAAAACCAUUUGAUAUAUUCAUUCAAAAAUUUCACAAAAAAUUGUAGGUGUCAUGUGAUGUCCGUGGAUCACUUUUAUGCAUACCAAGUGUUUUGGAGCCUUUGAGUAUACAUCCUCUUUUUCAUUGUGGUCCAGUUUGGUGUUUUGAACUACAAUCCUUUCAUUAAAUUAUUUAAAAAUUAUGAAUUUUUUUGGAGAUGUCAAGGGAUGUUUAUGAUUCACUUUUAUGCAAAAACCCAUGGCUGUCCUUUGUAAAAUUUGAGCAGCACAGCCUCAUUUCCUUACUGGACCAGAUUGGCUAUUUGAACUGCAACCCUCUUUCAAAUUGCCCCAAUGCCCAUGGGAUUUUUACUGCUUGUAGUAGACCCUACAAAACCCUUAAGUCCAGGAGACCAGAACCUUUGGACAUUUUAAGCCCAUGCUAUUAACCCCUGUAAUUGUUGUCCAGAACUGGUUUUCACAAAAAAUUGCAUUAUCAAGUUUUUGUUCUUGCCAAACUAACCUCACCACUCUCUUUCGCAUCAAAAGAGACCUUAGACUUCCAAUUUCCAUUGUUGGAAAACCCCCAUAGGUGGAUAUGGCAUUAUGUCGAGAACGUGUUGUGCUUGGAUAGAAUUGACAUGGUUUUGACUUUGUCAUGUGGAGUUAACCCCCUCGCCCAACCAUCAUGUCUAGGAGCAUUGACUUAACCCCUAGCUUAGUCAUGUUAACUUACUCUUGCUUUGGACCAUUCUAGCGAUUCCAAGAAUUCCGUCAAACACCUAGUGGUCAUACCUGGAGCGCGAGCGGAGCGCAUGUUUUGCACGCGCCCACGCCCGAGCCGCCGCAUCCACCUGCCCCUUACCCCUUGGCCUGCUCGCAAAGUCGCGUCACACCGCGUCCAUCCCCGACCAUUGGUCGCCGGUGCCCUGUGCCGCUCAGGGCCGCAGCCAUGGAAAUCUUGGCGGCAUGCCUUCGACAUAGUUCUCCUGCCAUGUCCGGAGCCGCCCAGCGACUCCCCGCUCGCCAGCACGCCUCUGGAGUAGUACUCCAUUUGUCCACGAGCCCCUGCAGCCUCGCCGGCCUACGCCAUCCACCCCCUAUCCACCGGUCAGAGGUGGUCGCCGCCAUUCCUAUCCACGACCACAUCGGGACCGACGUGGAACACCUAUAAAAGGAGGCCCCUAAGCUCCCUAAGCAACCCUAGCUCCCCUAGACCUGCAUCCAUCUUCCCCUCGCUCCAAUUUGGCUCGAACCGCCCGUCUUGCUCUCCUCCAGCAUUUUCACCGUCAUCAACAUCCGACCGAAUUACGGUGAACCCGAGCCUCAACCAAUCCACCUUAGCCUCGGUAGCUUUUCCCACGACCCUCGAACCCAUCCCCAUGCCCAUUUGCAUCGGUGGCAAGCUGCAUGCGGAGCUAUGAUCGCCGAAGCCAUCCGACAGCCAUGGUUGAAGUGGUGCUCGCUCCCGAGCUCUUUGUCAAUCCCCUUGCGCCCCUAAAGGACGAGGCCCUCCCCCUGAGCACACCGAUGUGCCCAGCUCAGGGAACGAAGACCCCUAGCCCCGGCAAUCCCCUUCGGUGUCGACCCUGCCAUGUGCGCGAGAGGAGGGAGACGAACCCGACACGUCGGUUCCACCUGUCGGUGAGCCAGCCUCAGCCUGCUGGUGUAGAUAGCCCGUGGUGCGCCUUCACCGCGGGUUAGCGUCUGCGCGUGCCUACGAUUACAGUUUGUGGAAACCGUAUUCACCCCGAUCCGUUUUCUCUUUUCAGAUUUUGUUUUAAAUACAAAGUUUGACCAGAACUUGGACUCCCUCUAACUUUUAAAAUAAAAGUCCGAAUCAAUUGAUUAUUUUUUUGUUGUUUUUUAAAUCUCACCAAGAUUACUGUCAUAUUAAUUUGAAAAAAGAUCAAACAACUUUUAUAUGCUGUUUUGGAAUCAUGUGUUAAAUGGCAUAUUUUCAAAAAUAAGAAUUUGAAGGGAAGAACUUUCAAAGUUUUGGAGUGAGCUCAACCUUUCUACAUACUCAAGGCAAGCAUCUUGAACCCGAUUUGUCUUAAGUGCGUGACUGGUUGCUGCGAUGAUUGGAUGCAUGGUUAUGUUACUUAAAUACAAGUCCCCAUAGUAGCAUACUUUGCAUAAAUACAUGUGAUAUGUGUGUGAUUGCUAUUGAUCAUAUAAUUCCGGUGAUGUGUGGGUACUGCCUCCUGCCACGUAUGCCAUGUGGGUCUGGACAACCUCGGAGGAAGGUUUGUCGUGGUGAACAGGUGACCAUGAAACUGAUAUCUCGUGGCAACGAGAGUGAUCAGUGAAGGCAUGCCUAGGUGUGAUGGUGGUAUCCCCAAUGAAUCUUAUUCAGAAAAUUGUGUAGCGCUAACCCUUGCAGGGAAAAAAACUUAAACCUUUUGAGUUGACCAUAGAUCGAGUCUUGCUAGUGUGUCACCUUACUUUUCGUGCUGCCAUAAGUCUUCUCGGAAGGGAAUAUAGUUUAGUAGGUCGUAAUCCUAUUACCAUGUGCACACUAAGUAGAGGGGCGGAUGAAGGUUCCAUGGCCCUGCAAUAAUUCCAGUCAUCUGGUCAAGGGGCAUGGGUGUUUCUGGUGUGGGACCGAGAGGGUCGCCCUCCCCAUUGUAGUGCAUGGUAUAAAUUUGAUCCCUUGCUAUUUGAGGAUGUUGUCCUUCCCGUCUUAUAGUUUUUCCCUAGAAGCAUAGUCCGGGUAAUUUCCGACCUCGCUGGGUAAAAAUGGGUGUGUGCUGGUUUUGAGUGUUUACUUCUAAAAUACCGUACAUGGUAUUAGUCCUAGUGACUAUUGAAACCCGUUGGCUGUGGGUAAAGAGUACACCCUCUCGAGAGUCAAAAACUAUUCGAGUAGCCACGUACAUGGUCGAGGAUGCCAGGUUGACAACUCAAGUGUCGGUCUGAGUGUCGAUCUUCGCAGGAAUAUAUUGAAACAUGAUGAUGAUCAUGAACCAGGAUGACAACCAUAAUUAUUCUGAAUUUUCACGUGGACUAAUUAUUUCUGGUAUAUGAAUUUUUUAGUAUCCUUGGGACGGUUCUACCUCCCGGAUACUCGAUGUUAUUAUUUUCAUAUAAAUCCUUUAUUUGGUGUCGCUUAGAUGUCUGACUCUGGCAACUAUUAUUAUUACCAUAUAAAGCCCUUUUUGUGGUGUUACAUAGAUGCCCGACUAUGGCAACUACUAGUAUUUUCAUAUAAGCCCUUUUUCGGGGUGUCGCUUAGACGCCCGACUAUGGCACACACGUUAUUACGUAUUUCAUCAUUACUAUAAUUCUAUAAGCCCUUUUUGUGGCGUCGCCCCAAACGCCCAACUAUGGCACACCUGUCAUUAUCUCAUUGUAAGCCCUCUAUGUGGUAACACCAAGACACCCAACUCUGGCUUAUAGUGAGUGUCCUUACGAGGUGUCGCCUGAGAUGCCCGAUCGACAACUUUAAUUAAUUAUUUACCCUUUAUUCUGCUUGAUUGUAUAUCAUGAGUAGAAAUGAUUUAACUGCAUAAAUGCACUCAUGAAUUUAAUCUUGUGGCAUAUCAGGUGGUAUUAAAAUGUUUGGGCAUGCAUCUCACCCGCUAUUACUUAUCUGUCUUCUUGAUGUUUGUGAGUACAUUCAAAGUACUCACUGGCUUGUCCCUGGCUAUUGUCUUGGCUAGAUUGCAUAUUUGGAGAGGAGCACGAUGAUUUCAACCCCGGAACCUAAGAGUCAAGGAUUGCAACCUUGUGAGACAGGAAUUAUCCAGGACAACUGUUCCUGUGGGAAUGGAGUCGAAUUGGCAUUGGAGAUUCCACGAGUCGUUUCCAUCGUCAGCCUUCCAACAUUUUUGUUCAACCUCCCCUCAUAGACCUUCAUGGUCUUGUACCCCAAACUUUGUAAUUGCUUGGUAAUUCUGUAUAAAGUGAGUGUUCACCACCUAACAAUAGUCCUGGGUCUGAUGAACACAAGGGCUUGUUUUCUAGAAAUUUUAUUCCGAAGAACCGGUUGCUACAACCUUGGUAUUAGAGCCAGGUUGACCAUUGGCUAAUCUUAUCUUAGCUAGGCCGUUAUCUCUAGCCCGGAUAUUCUAUAUCCAUAUACCAUCCUAGCCUACCCAAUAGCCAACCAUAGUGGCCAUCCGACACCUUUUUGAGCCAGUGCCCAACUUGUCAGCCCGCCCAUCGGCAGUGUGUCUAUGAUCGAGACCAGAUUGUCGGAUUUCCUAGCGUGCGACGGAAGACUCCCUUAGCCUAUAAAGGAGAUCCUUUCCUCAACCCCGAAAUCCGCAACCUUGAGACCCCCACCCCAAUAACUAGAGACCAAAAAGAUGCUUGGCCGCAUUCUUUGCAACAAGACCAGCGCAUGUGAGCGUGGAGACUUCAUAGCCAUCCUCGCUGACCUCAACAACCAAGUUUUUGGCAUAGAAGAUCCCCAUUGUAUAUUUUGCAUGAGGAGCCUGCGAGUGAUGCUAUCCUUCACUUUUGGGCCCCGGUGCACAUCUACGGAGGGAGUUCCUCGCUGGAGUGUACUUACCAUGUCACUUGUAGAGCAGCCACUAGCGAAGCCCAAGCCCGUUAGCUUGCAUCCCGAGAGCAUAUAGUCUAGCUGUGACAUUUGUCACCAUGGAUGAAUAGCCGACCGUUCUACAACUAGCCUUUUCGUGAAGGCUAUGGUAGUCUGACCCAAGUUGCCGGCAAGGACUUUGAGGUAGACCCUGCAUUGGUGCAGGUUGUCCGCUACUUGAGAGCGUAGGAGGUAUGGAUCGAUCACAUCACUUUUGACCUGGUUGCGAUCCUCACGCCAUUUGCUCAGUGGACCCCGGUAAGCAGUGAAGUUGCAACUGCCUCGAGCAACCAGCUUGUAUUAAUUGGAAGACCUAUUGUAUCCCUGAGGCCCGCCCCGGCCUUUCCGUUAGCCAGCCCGAUCAUGACUCUGGUAGAUCUUCAUUGCACUUUUGAUGCUUCGUGCAAUGAAGCCGUGCCUAGGGCACGUCGUCUGGGAUGUCAUCGCCCCUGCAACCCCGCAACCCUAUUCCAUGGCCCGGUCAACUGUGUAACUAUGGAAACCCGAGAAGCCUUAGUGGUUAUUCAGAGUGUUAGCUCAGAGGCGAUUGAAGACGGAGCAAGUCUGAUACGUCUGCAACAUAUCUAUAAUUUUUGAUGGUUUCAUGCUAUUAUAUUGUCAAACUUUGGAUGUUUUGCAUGCCUUUCAUAUAUUUUUUGGGACUAACUUAUUAACUCAGUGCCAAGUGCCAGUUCCUGCUUUUUCCAUGUUUUUGACCCCUUUCAGAGCAGAUUUUCAAACGGAGACCAAACGGAAUAAAAUCCCCUAAAAUAUUUUGUCCGUAACGGAAGAAGAUCAAGAGACUUUAGAGCCAAGGCAGGGGGGCCCAGGGGCCCCAGAAGCACCCACCCUGCGGCCAGGGGGAGGCAGCGACCCACAGGCUUGUGGGCCCCCUAGACGUCCUCUGCCCUAGGGGUUGCGCCUAUAUAUUCCCUAGAAAUCCCAAAGAAAUCAGGAGAUCAUUGAAAGUACUUUUCCGCCGCCGCAAGCUUCUGUCCCCGCAAGAUCCCAUCUGGGGCACGUUCUGGUGCCCUGCCGGAGGGGGGAUUCGGAUACAGAGGGCUUCUUCAUCAACACCAUGACCUCUCCGAUGAUGCAUGAGUAGUUCACCAUAGACCUAUGGGUCCAUAGCUAGUAACUAGAUGGCUUCUUCUCUCUCUUGGAUCUUCAAUACAAAGUUCCCCAUGAUCUUCAUAGAGAUCUAUCCGAUGUAAUCUUCUUUUGCGGUGUGUUUGUCGAGAUCCGAUGAAUUGUGGAUUUAUGAUCAGAUUAUCUAUGAAUCUUCUUUGAGUUUCUUCUGAUCUCUCCUAUGCAUGAUUUCAUAUCCAUGUAAUUCUCUUCGAGUUGUGGGUUUUGUUUGGCCAACUAGAUCUAUGAUUCUUGCAAUGGGAGAAGUCCUUGGUUUUGGGUUCAUACCGUGCGGUGACCUCACCCAGUGACAGAAGGGGUAGCGAGGCACGCAUCGUGUUGUUGGCAUCAAGGCUAAAAAGAUGUGGUUUUCAUUCUUGGUUUGAGAUUAUCCCUCUACAUCAUGUCAUCUUGCUUAAGGCGUUACUCUGUUCGUCAUGAACUCAAUACACUAGAUGCAUGCUGGAUAGCGGUCGAUGUGUGGAGUAAUAGUAGUAGAUGCAGAAAGUAUCGGUCUACUUGUCUCGGACGUGAUGCCUAUAUGUAUGAUCAUUGCCUUAGAUAUCGUCAUGACUUUGCGCGGUUCUAUCAAUUGCUCGACAGUAAUUUGUUUACCCACCGUGAUAUUUGCUAUUUUCAGAGAAGCCUCUAGUGAACACUAUGGCCCCCGGGUCUACUCCACACCAUAUUUUCAGCCUUACACUUUUUACUUCGUUUCACUUUCUGCCUUCUGAUCUCACUUUGCAAUCAAUCUUGAAGGUAUUGACAACCCCUUUGAAGCGUUGGGUGCAAGCUCGUUUGUGUUUGUGCAGGUACUCUGGACUUGACGAGACCCUCCUACUGGAUCGAUACCUUGGUUCUCAAACUGAGGGAAAUACUUACUGCUCCUGUGCUGCAUCACCCUUUCCUCUUCAAAGAAAAACCAACGCAAGCUCAAGAGACGACAGAAGGAUCUCUGGCACCACUGUCGGGGAACGACUUUUGUUGACGUAGCAGAAGGAUUUCUGGCGCCGUUGUCGGGGAACGACUUUUGUUGACGUAGUAGAAGGAUUUCUGGCACCGUUGCCGGGGAGGAUCAAGUCAAGAACUCAUCCAAGUAAGUGUCCCAAACUCAUCUCUUGCAUUUACUUUGUUUGCCAGUUGCCUCUCAUUUUCCUCUCCCCCACUUCACAAAUCUUUGCCUUUUUCGUUCGCCCUUUUCUCUCGCUUGCUUUCUGUUUGCUUGUGUUCUUAUCUGCCUUCAAUAUGCUUGCAUCUUCGCUCGCUGAAAAUCUAGUGAUAUGGAUCCUCAUCAACUUGCUAAUCUCUUUAAGAGAUCCAAUUAUGUUUAUCCAAUUGCUAGUGAGUUGAGUGCACUUGACCAUCUUUAUGGAGUUUUCCUUGAGAUGCGUGAAUCUGAAAAUUGUGAGGAAGAAACUUAUGAAGUGAUUCACGAGGGCUCCUUGGAUGAAAAGCAUGAUUGCAGUGGUUUCACUAUAAAUUCUAUUAGUGACAAUCAUGCUAAAAAUAUGCAAAACCCUAAGCUUGGGGAUGCUAGUUUUGCUAUGUCCACUACUUGUUGCAAUGAUCAUGAGUGGGGCGAUGAUUUUUCUUAUGAUCUUGAAAAUUUGUUUCAGCCUCAUGAUGAAUAUGAUAUUUGCAAUAUUAUUGAAAGUAGGUUUGGAGAAGUCAUGACUUUAGUUGAUGAUAAUCCCACUAUUUUUGAAGAGCGUCAACUUUGCAUGCAUGUGGAUCAUGAAAAGAAUACCCUAUGUGAUAGUUACAUUGUUGAAUUCGAAUAAGAUCCCACAUGUAAUUAUUAUGAAAGAGGAAAAUAUGGUGGUAGAAACUUUCAUAUCACUAAAUCACCUCUCGUUAUGUUGAGAUUGCUAUUGUCUCUUUCUUCUUCCUUGCAUAUGGUAACUAUUGGUUGUCUUGACAAUCUGUUUUCCUAUAAAAUGCCUAUGCGUUGGAAGUAUGUUAGACUUAGAUGUGAUUUUCACAUGCUCUAUGGUGCUCGCGUUGUGCUUCAGUUCUUGUCUUUUGUGUGAGCAUCAUUGAAUUAUGAAUGCCUAGCUAAGGGCGUUAAACAAUAGCGCUUGUUGGGAGGCAACCCAAUGAAUUUAUCUUUUUCUGUUUGUUUUGUUGCGUCCACACCAUCAUAAUUCUGUUGUGAUUGUGUUUUUUGUGUUUCUUUUUGUGUUUGAGCCAAGCAAAACCUUUAUGAAUAGUCAUGGUGAUGGUUGUUUGAUCCUGCUGGAAAAAGACAGAAACUUUUCGCUCACGAGAUGAUUUUUCUUUUUUAUUCAGAAAGAGCUUUUGAGUUGAUUCUUUUUUGCUUCUGGUUGAUAUGCCUUUUUCCCAGGCAGUCGUAAUUGUUCAGAUUUUUUGAGGUACCAGAAGCAUACGAAGUAUACAAAUUUCUACAGUAUGGACUGUUUUUGACAAAUUCUGUUUUUGUUGAGUUGGUUGCUUGUUUUGAUGAAACUAUGGUUAGUAUCGGGGGGUACUAGCCAUGGAAAAGUGAGAAUAGAGUAUCCCAACACCAAUGUAGAUAGAAUUAAAGUUUUCUACAGUACCAAAAGAAGUGGUAGUUUGUUUUCUUGUGCUAAUGUUAUCACGAGUUUCUGUUUAAGUUUUGUGUUGUCAAGUUUUCAAGUUUUGGGUGACGUUCUCAUGGACGAUGAGAUAAGGAGUGGAAAGAGCUUAAGCUUGGGGAUGCCCAAGGCAUCCCAAGCCAAAUUCAAGGAGACCAAAAAGCCUAAGCUUGGGGAUGCCCCAGGAAGGCAUCCCCUGUUUGUCCUCAAUCCAUCGGUAACAUUACUUGGAGCUAUAUUUUUAUUCACCACAUGAUAUGUGUUUUGCUUGGAGCGUCUUGUAUCUUAGGAGUAUUUUAUUUUUGUUGUGUCACAAUCAUCCUUGUUGCACACCUUUUUGAAAGAGAGAUACCUGCACUCAUCGUGAUUUUGCUAGAAUGCUCAUAGUGCUUCACUUAUAUCUUUUGAGCUAUAUACUUUUGCUCUAUGUGCCUCACUUAUAUAUUUUAGAGCACGGCGGUGCGUGACUUGGUAGUUGGCUUAUGCUAUGAAAGUAGUCCCAAAUAUGAUAGGUACCCAAAGAGGAUGCAAAAACCUUCAUCUUCAUGUGCAUUGAGUAGAAAGAGAAGUCUUGAUUCCUCUCAAUUAGUUUUGAGACGUUGAUUUGGUAAUAUUAAGAGCUAUGUUAGUAGGGUGUUGUGAAUCUAGAAAUACUUGUGUUGAAGUUAGUGAUUCCCGUAGGAUGCACGUAUGGUGAACCGCUAUGUUAGGAAGUCGGAGCAUAAUUGAUCUAUUGAUUGUCAUCCUUUGUGUUGAGGUCGGGAUCGCGCGAUGGUUAACACCUGCCAACCCUUCCCCUCGGAGUAUGCGUAUAGCACUUUGUUUCGAUUACUAAUAAAAACUUUUGCAACAAGUUUGUGAGUUCUUCAUGACUAAUGUGAGUCCAUGGUAUAGAUUCACUUUCACCUUCCACCAUUGCUAGCCUCUUUUGUGUCGCGCGAUUCUCGCCGGUGCACAAACCCACCAUAUGCCUUCCUCAAAACAGCCACCAUACCUACCUACUAUGGCAUUUUCAUAGCCAUUCCGAGAUAUAUUGCCAUGCAACUCCUACCGUUCUGUAUCAUGACUUGUGCCGUCACUCUCAUAUUGGCAUUGCUUGAUCGUAAGAUAGCUAGCGAGAUAUUUCCAACGUCAUACGCCAUGCUAGAUCCUUGCACAUCCCGGUACACUGCUGGAGGCAUUUCCUAUAGAGUCAUCAUCAUUGUGAGCUUUGAGCUGUGAGUAAAUAAAAGUGUGAUGAUCAUCAUUAUUAGAGCAUUGUCCCAUGUGAGGACAUAAAAAAAGAGGCCAAAGAGCCCAAAAAUAAAAAAUAAAAAAGAGAGGCCUAAGAGCCCAAAUAAAAAAAGAGAAAAAGAGAGAAGGGACAAUGCUACUAUCUUUUUCCACACUUGUGCUUCAUAAUAGCACCAUGCUCUUCAUGAUUGAGAGCUUCUUGCUUUGUCACUGCCAUAUGCUAGUGGGAAUCUUCAUUAUAUAACAUGGCUUGUAUAUUCCAAUGAUGGGCUUCCUCAAAAUUGCCCUAGGUCUUCAUGAGCAAGCAAGUUGGAUGCACACCCACUAGUUCUCCUUUUUUGAGCUUUCACAUACUUAUAUCUCUAGUGCAUCUCUUGUAUGGCAAUCCAUACUCAUUCACAAUGAUAUCUAUUAAUGGGCAUCUCCAUAGCCUUUUGAUAUGCCGAGUCAAUGUGACCAUCUCCUCCUUUUUGUCUCACAACCACCACCACACUCUAUUCCACUUAUAGUGCUAUAUCCAUGGCUCACGCUCAUCUAUUGCGUGAUAGUUAUAAAUAGUUGGAGAAAGUAAGAGUGCGAAAACAAUUAGUUGGCCAAUACCGGGGUUGUGCAUGAUUUACAUUAGUUGUGUGAGGAUGAUGGAGCAUAGCCAGACUAUAUGAUUUUGUAGGGAUAACUUUCAUUGGCCUUGUUAUUUUGAAAGUUCAUGAUUACCUUGCUAGUUUGCUUGAAGUAUUAUUGUUUUCAUGUCAAUAGCAAACUAUUGUUUCGAAUCUUACGGAUCUGAACAUUCAUCUCACGUGAAAGAAGUUGCAAAGGAAAACUAUGCUAGGUAGCAUUCCACAUCAAAAAUUCAUUCUUUAUCAGUUCCCUACUCGGGGAUGAGCUGGAGUUAAGCUUGGGGAUGCUUUAUACGUCUCCAACGUAUCUAUAAUUUUUGAUGGUUUCAUGCUAUUAUCUUGUCAAACUUUGGAUGUUUUGCAUGCCUUUUAUAUAUUUUUUGGCACUAACUUAUUAACUCAGUGCCAAGUGCCAGUUCCUGUUUUUUCCAUGUUUUUUACCCCUUUCAGAGGAGAUUUUGAAACCGAGUCCAAACGGAAUAAAAUCCCCGAAAAGAUUUUUUCCGUAAAGGAAGAAGAUCAGGAGACUUGAGAGCCAAGGCAGGGGGCCCCAGGGGCCCCACAAGCCCCCACCCCGUGGCCAGGGCGGAGGCCACGGCCCACAGGCUUGUGGGCCCCCUGGACGUCCUCUGUCCUAGGGGUUGCGCCUAUAUAUUCCCUAAAAAUCCCAAAAAAAUCAGGAGAACAUCGAAAGUAUUUUUCCGCCGCCGCAAGCUUCUGUCUCUGCAAGAUCCCAUCUGCGGCACGUUCUGGUGCCCUGCCAGAGGGGGGAUUCGUAUACAGAGGGCUUCUUCAUCAACACCAUGACCUCUCCGAUGAUGCGUGAGUAGUUCACCAUAGACCUACGGGUCCAUAGCUAGUAAAUAGAUGGCUUCUUCUCUCUCUUGGAUCUUCAAUACAAAGUUCUCCAUGAUCUUCAUGGAGAUCUAUCCGAUGUAAUCUUCUUUUGCAGUGUGUUUGUCGAGAUCCGAUGAAUUGUGGAUUUAUGAUCAGAUUAUCUAUGAAUCUUAUUUGAGUUUCUUCUGAUCUCUCUUAUGCAUGAUUUCAUAUCCUUGUAAUUCUCUUCGAGUUGUGGGUUUUGUUUGACCAACUAGAUCUAUGAUUCUUGUAAUGGGAGAAGUGCUUGGUUUUGGGUUCAUACCGUGAUGUGACCUCACCCAGUGACAGGAGGGGUACCGAGGCAUGCAUCGUGUUGUUGGCAUCAAGGGUAAAAAGAUGGGGUUUUCAUUAUUGGUUUGAGAUUAUCCCUAUACAUCAUGUCAUCUUGCUUAAGGUGUUACUCUGUUUGUCAUGAACUCAAUACACUAGAUGCAUGCUGGAUAGCGGUCGAUGUGUGGAGUAAUAGUAGUAGAUGCAGAAAGUAUCGGACUACUUGUCUCGGACGUGAUGCCUAUAUGUAUGAUCAUUGCCUUAGAUAUCGUCAUGACUUUGUGCGGUUCUAUCAAUUGCUCGACAAUAAUUUGUUUACCCGCCGUGAUAUUUGCUAUUUUGAGAGAAGCCUCUAGUGAACACUAUGGCCCCCGGGUCUACUCCACACCAUAUUUUCAGCCUUACAGUUUUUACUUCGUUGCACUUUCCACCUUCAGAUGUCACUUUGCAAACAAUCUUGAAGGGAUUGACAACCUCUUUGAAGCGUUGGGUGCAAGCUCGUUUGUGUUUGCGCAGAUACUCUGGACUUGACGAGACCCUCCUACUGGAUCGAUACCUUGGUUCUCAAACUGAGGGAAAUACUUACUGCUCCUAUGCUGCAUCAUCCUUUCCUCUUCAAGGGAAAAACCAACGCAAGCUCAAGAGACGACAGAAGGAUCUCUAGCACCACUGCUGGGGAACGACUUUUGUUGAUGAAGCAAAGUCCAGCAGAAUAGCUGUCACACCCUAGUAGCCAUGUUCUCGUGUAACACUGUAUUCACAUAUUUCUUUUUUUUAAGUUGUAACUAGCCCGUUUUAUAUAAAAUUGCAGGAUGCAUGCACGUCUUAUUUUAAGGUUAGAUUUGCGUAACCAGCGCAGACUAGUCAACAUGGCCUUAGAAUAAAUUUUCGAGCAUGACCACCUAAGCCACCUCACCACCUACCCAAGUGAUGUGCCACUUGUGAAUUGAUGUCUGAGACCCCGCCCCAAUAACCAGGUCACACCAGUGUUAUACAGUGUGUCCCUAACGAGGCACUCUAUUUGAGACCUCACACAUGACCAUUUCUAGCAUUCCUCACCAUGUGCACUGCCCCGCAGCUGCUCUUCCCAUGAUUGCCCAUUAGGAUUCGUUUGGUAUUCCUGGAUGCAACCACGCGAUGGAGACCGUGUUUCCUCACAGCCCAAUGUGGAGCUGCCCGCUUGUGACCACCCUUGUCAUAAAUGUUAUCGACAGGAGCAUUGACCUAGCAACUGGUGGAUUAAUUUCACACCCCAUGUUGUUGGAAAAAUUCUAUGAUUUUCCCUAGUACUCCCUCCGUUCCUAAAUAUAAGACCUUUUAGAUAUUGUACUAUAAACUACAUACGGAUGUAUAUAGACAUAUUUUAGAGUGUACAUUCACUUAUUUUGUUCCGUAUGUAGUCUCCUAGUGAAAUCUCUAGAAGGUCUUAUAUUUUGGAAUGGAGGGAGUACAUCCUUGUUGCCAAGCGAGAGGAGACACGUUCUCCUACCCCCUCCGAGGAGGGGUAGAGUGGGUUCCCAUGAGUAGGGAUAUAUUUCCUGAGAGCCCCAUCGCCCGUGCCUUGUUGACACCCAUCGGAGUGUACGUUAGUAUAGCAUUAUGUUGUGAUGGUGCUAUAUGAGUGACCCUGUGACAUCUGAUUGUCUUGAUUACCCGUGCAUAUGAGUGACCUUGUUCCUAGUUUUCACAAGUAAAUGAUUUUAUUUACCUAAAAAAAUCUCAAGGACGAGAUUUAUUUUUAAGGGGGGGUAGUGUGGUCACACUCCAAAAAUUUAAUCACAUUUUAUUUCCCUAAACAAAUCUCGAGGACAAUAUUUUUUUGAAAAGUAACUUGCUUCAUUUCUCAAUUCGAAGCCUCUUCACAAAAUAUUUUCUCUCCAAGUAGCCCUUUUGAAGAUCAUUGUGUGCUUGAGUAAUUGUUUGGAUUGUUUCCUUCCAUUUUAAUAAUUUAAGGGGACAUUUUUUUAUAAUAAAAACUUGCCACAAUUAAUUCCUUUUAAAGGUAUUUUCGUCAUUUUAAGAGCCCCUUUUGCACUACAACCAUUUGAUAUAUUCAUUCAAAAAUUUCACAAAAAUUUGUACAUGUCAUGUGAUGUCCCUCGAUCACUUUUAUGCAAAAACCCAACCAAGUGCUUUGGAAAAUUUGAGCAUACGUCCUCUUUUCAUUCUCAUCUAGUUUGAUGUUUUGAAGUACAAACCUUUCAUAAAACUAUUUAAAAACUCCACAAAAAUUUGGAGAUGUCAAGGAAUGUUUAUGAUUCAUUUUUAUGUAAAACCCAUGGCUAUCCUUUGUAAAAUUUGAGCAGCACAACCAGAUUGGCAAUUUGAACUGCAACCCUAUUUUAAAUUGCCCCAAUGCCCAUGGGAUUUUUACUACUUGUAGUAGACCCUACCAAAUCCUUAAGUCCAGGAGAUCUGCCCCUUUUAGACAUUUUAAGCCCAUGCUAUAAAUCCCUGUAGUUGCUAUCCAGAACUGGUUUUCUCAAAAAAUUGCAUUAGCAAGUUUUUGUUCUUGCCAAACUAACCCCUUACCCAUUGGCCUGCUCGCAGAGCGACACCACGCCGCGUCCAUUCCUGACCGUUGGUUGCCGGUGCCCUGUGCCGCUCCGGACCGCAGCCAUGCCAACCUUGGCGGGAUGACUUCGGCCCCAGUUCUUCUGCCAUGGCCGAUGCCGCCCAACCACUCCCCGCUCACCAAUGUGCCCCUCGAGCAGUGCUUCGUUUGUUCACGAGCCCCUGCAGCCUCACAAGCCUUCCCCUGCCGCCCUCUAUCCACCGUUAGAGGUGGUCGCCGUCGUUCCUAUCCACGACCAUUUCGGUACUGGCGUGGAACGCCUAUAAAAGGAGGCCCUAAGAUCCUCGAGCAACUGAGCGCCCCUAGACCCGCAUCCAUCUCCCCCUAGCUCCAAUUUGGCUGGAGCCGCCCACGCUGCUCGCCCCCUGGAAUUUCACCGCCACCAUCAUCCGGCCAAAUUUCGGUGAACCCAAGCCUCAACCAACCCACCGUAGCACUGGUAUCUUUGCACGGAACCCUAGAACCCAUCCCCAUGCCCAUUUCCAUCGGUGGUAAGCCGCAGGGGGAGCUAUGAUCGUCGAAGCCAUCCGGCCGCCAUGGUUGAAGUGGUGAUCGCUACCGAGGUCUCCGGCAACCUGUGCACCCUCUAGAGGAGGAGGCCCUCCCCCAUGAGCAUGCCAGUGUGUUAAAAUUCCGGGAUCGAAGCCCCCUAGCACUGGCAAUCGCCGUCGGCGUCGACCCUAUCAUGCGCGCGAGAGGAGGGACACAAACCCGAGAGGUGGGUUCCACCUAUCGGUGAGCCAACCUGAGCCCACUAGCGCAGAAGCGGUGGGCAUUUUAACCAAAGACCGAACCGAAAGAACUGGGACCGAGAUCGAAUAAACCGAAACCAAGUAUUUUAAUUCCUAAUUCGGGCAGGAGUUCACAAAAACCAAAUUUACGUUGAAAUUUUCGGUUUUGACUCUCAGUCACCCGAAUUGACCGAAAAAUGAAUAAAUACAAGUAGAUGGGCUGAAACCAAUUUAUAGCCUAGAAACCCGGCUCAAUAUCCUACUACUUCAACCCACCUAACUACAAACCCUUAUCCUUUCCACGUAUGACUAAUUUCACCACACCUCAUUUUCCUUCUUCGGGACUACAUCCGUAGCUCUCUUCCCCUACAUAUUUCCCAUGGAGGAAAUGAGAGCAACCCCAACGCAGCGAUCCAUUUUUUCCGUUUGGGUCAUCCGGACACAAAAGCUAGCCCAACGAGAUGACCCAAACGGACGCGCGCGUCCGUCUGCUGUCCGUUUGUUGUCCAUCCCACCCAAACUUGCGCAAAACUGGGUCACAAAUGGGUCCGAGGCGGACAAAACUGCACACUUCCCUCAUCCGCUCCUCCCCCCUCUUGUCCACCCUGGUCCCACCUAUCAACGACCUGCCGCGGCUGCUGAUGUUUGGGUGCUGCCCUCGUCCACUCCUCCCGGUGCUGCGGGCGAUGCGCGGCGCCACGCGGACCGUGGAGGAUAGUCAAGACGGGCCGACCUGCUCGCCGGCGACCCCGAUCUGCUCGCCGGUGACCCCGAGGUGCACACGCUCUGCCGCCUGAUCGCCACUGCAGGGCCCUCUCUUGGUGCGCUUACGAGGAGGUGGAGGGAGGCGGAGGUGGGGUGGUUGGAGGACUGCGGGCCCGGUGCCAGCGGUGCAAGGCGAGGCGGGGGAUCACGCGCACGGUAGGUGGCGUCACGGCGGAGAUCCAGUCCUGGGCGGACCGUGAGCUCGCCGCGCGCCUUGUGGCUGUGCUGAGGGGCGCGAACUACGCUCGGGCGCGCGUGCUAUUGGCGGGUGCUGCUAUCAGGGGAGGUGGGGUGCUGCUGAAUCCGGCCAGGGAGGGGAGGUGUGGAUAAGGGAGAAGGUGGGGAGGGGAGGUGGUGUGCUGGUGGAUUCACGCUGACAACCUCGUGCGUUGGGUUCGUCCACCCAUCGCGCGUGUCCGCCUCAUGUCCGUUAGGCGGACGGGUGAUCCAAACGAACAAAAUCCAGAUAAAAUUUGUCUCCGUUUGGGUCGCCCCGUUGGAGUUGACUUGACCAUUGCUAAUGUGGAUCCAAUCUCGGUCCUUCUCCACCAGGCCAUAGCUCUAGCCCUAGCAACCGCCAGCCUUCAGCUGCCUCUCCUUCUCUCCACCUCAGUAGCCAAUCCAUUCUGCUGGUUCCACCACCUCUCGUCCUUAACUCGCGAUGGUGCGCCUCCAUCUGCUCCAGGUGAGCAAGACCAGUAGUCGGGCGAGUUUGAGCUAUCAAACGUCAGCGUCGCAACCCAGCUGAAUUUCUGUCGCGUUUCCUCUACUGUCGGUUAAUUCGACAAGAAUAAGGACCGAACCGACCACCGAACCCUCGGUUAGUUCCUAUGAAUAUGACCGAUCGGUCAUCCUUUUUCCGAGACCGAUAUUUGUAGUAAGCCAAAGAACUGAACCGAUCAGUUCGGUUUAACUGAACGCCCACGCCUACCGCAGAUAGCCCCAGGUGCACCUUCAAAACGAGUAAGCGUCUUCGUGUGUAUACACUUUCAGUUUCUGGAAAGCGGAUUCACCCCGAACCAUUUUCUUUUUAGAUCUUUUUUAAAACUAUUGUUUGACUAAAACUUUGACUUGCUCUAACUUUUGGAAUAAAACUCCAAAUGAGUUGAUUCUUUUUCAGUUGUUUUUCAAAUCUCAGCUUGUUUAUUGUUAUAUUGAUUUCAAAUAAUUUUGAACAUAUAUGAUGUUUUGUAAUUAUGUGUUAAAAGGAAUAUUUUCAAAAAUAGGAAUUUGAAGGGAAGAACUUUCAAAGUUUUGGAGUGAGCUCAACCAUUCUGCAUACUCAAGGCAAACAUCUUGAAUCCUAUUUGGCUUAAGUGCGUGACUGAUUGCUGCGAUGAUCGGAUGCAUGGUUUUGUUACUUAAAUACAACUCCCCAUAGUAGCAUACAUUGCAUGAAUACAUGUCAUAUUUGUGUGAUUGCUGUUGAGCAUAUAAUGUCGGUGAUGUGUGGGUACUACCUCCUGCCACGUAUGCCAUGUGGGUGUGGACAACCUGGAGGAAGGUUUGUCAUGGUGAAGAUGUGACCAUGAAACUGAUAUCUCAUGGCGACGAGAGUGAUCAGUGUGGGUAUAUUGAGGUGUGAUGGUGGUAUCCCCAAUGAAUUUUAUUCACAAAAUUGUGUGGUGCUAACCCUUGCAGAUAAAACACUUAAACCUCCUGAGUCGACCAUAGAUCGAGUCUUGUGAGUGCGUCACCUUACUUUUCAUGAUGCCACAGGUCUUCCCAAAAGGGAAUACAAUUUAGAAGGUCGUAAUCCUAUUACCAUGUGCACAUGAAGUGGAGGGGCCGGAUGAAGGUUCCAUGGCCCUGGAACAAUUCCAGGCAUCCGGUCAGGGGGCAUGGGUGUUUUCCGUAUGGGACCGAGAGGGGGACCCUCGCCUUGUAGCACAUGGUGUAAAUUUGAUCCCAUGCUAUUCGAGGAUGUUGGCCUCCCCAUCUUAUAGUUUUUCCCUGGAAGCGUGUCCGGGUGAUUCCAGACCUCGUUGGGUAAAAAUGGGUGUGUGCUGGUUUUGAGUGUUCACUUCUAAAAUACCAUACACGGGAUUAGUCCUAGUGACUAUUGAACCCCAUUGGCUGUGGGUAAAGAGUACACCUGCUGCAGAGUGGAAAACUAUUCAAGUGGUCGUGUCCGCAGUCAAGGACGAUAGGUUGAUAGGCCAAGUGUCGGUCUGAGUGUCAUUCUUCGGAGGAAUAAAUAUAAAGAUGAUGAUGAUCAUGAACCGGGAUGACAACCAUAAUUAUUAUGAAUUUUGCGGUGGACUAAUUAUUUUUGGUAUCCUUGGGACGGUUCUACCUCCCGGAUACUCGAUGUUAUUAUUUUUUUAUAAGCCCUUUAUGUGGUGUCGCAUAGAUGCCUCACUUUGGCAAAUUUUAUUAUUACCAUAUAAAGCCCUUUUUGUUGAGUUACGUAGACGGCCGACAAUGGCAACUACUAGUACUUUCAUAUAAGCCCUUUUUGUGGUGUCGCUUAUACGCCCGACUGUGACACGCAUGUUAUUACUUAUUUUAUUAUUGUUAUAUUUUUAUAAGCCCUUUUUGUGGCGUCGCUGAGACGCCCAACUACGAAACACCCGUCAUUAUCUCAUUGUGAGCCCUCUAUGCGGUGUCGCCCAGACGCCCGACUGUAGCUUAUAGUGGGUGUCCUUACGAGGUGUCGCCUAAGAUGCCCGAUCAACACCUUUAAAUUAAUUAUUUCCCCUUUAUUCUGCUUGCUUGUACAUCAUGACUAGAAAUGACUUAACUGCAUAACUGCACCCAUGAAUUUAAUCUUGUGGCAUAUGAGGUGGUAUUAAAAUGUUUGGGAAUGCAUCUCACCUGCAUUUACUUAUGUGUCUUCUUCAUGAUUGCGAGUUCAUCCAAAGUACUCAUUGGCUUGUCCCUGGCUAUUGCCUUGGCUAGAUCGCAUAUUUGGAGAGGAGCAUGAUGAUUGCAACCCCGGAACCUGAGAGUUGAGGAUAGAAGCCUUGUGAGAUAGGAAUUAUCCAGGUCAGCUGUUCUUGUGGGAAUGGAGCCCCAUGGGCACUUGAGAUUCCACGAGUUGCUUCCGUCGUCAACCUUUCGACAUUUUUGUCCAACCUCCCUCAUGGACCUUCAUGGUAUUGUACCCCAAACUUUGUAAUUGCUUGGGAAUUUUGUAUCAAGUGAGUGUUAACCAUCUAAUAGUAGUCCUAGGGCUGAUGAUCACAAGGGCCUGUUUUCUGGAAAUUUUAUUCCGAAAAAACGGAUGCUACAUCACCCCAUGUUUAUUUAUCAUGUCAAGUCAUCUGACUUCAUGGUACUUACAUGUCAUCCAUGACUCGUGGUAUAUUACAUACUCGAGGUAAGCACCUGAACAAUUCCUUUCUCCAGGAAAUACUAAAAAAAGAGUUCACUCGACUGGUACCCAGCCCUCAUCAUGUACAUCGUGCGAGCCUCGCUCUAGAUUGUACCAUCCACGAAGGGACCAACGGUGUGCCCGGUGUAUGUGAAAACAGUCCAUGGUCGCCCUACGAGACAUGAUCCCGUCUCGAUAGAGUGACUCGGCUCUCCCGGCACAAGUAAUGUGGGCUCUGUGCUAGCAUCGACCAAGGUAAUCAACAAAGCGCAACCCCAUAAAGGGAUAUCAUGGUCGCACAUGUAAGGUUGGUAAGGCUAGCAAAUAUUAAAUCUAAGCCUUUUUGAAACCAGUCACACAACUUGCCUUAGUACGACACUUCUUUCUCAAGUGGUCACCUAACUCAAUGCCAUCUCCCUCCGGCAUUAGUGGCACGUGACAGGGUUUUCAAAAAGUCUUUGAAAUAUUUUCCUCAUCGUCAUCAUGCAUAUUCCCAUCCAAUUUGCGUAGAAACUACUAGCAUCGUAACCACUUCCCACCUGCACAACCCUCAUAGGAAGGUAGGGCCGUGCUCAGUGCAUGUAUCAACGAGGGGUUAUCGGAGAUAACCCAUGGAGGUGGUCAUCGAUUCAACAUGAUUCAAAUUCAAUGAAGUGAAGUGCCACAUGACAUGCAUAAAUGGUUUCAAUUCAUGGUCAAGGGGCUACUUCCCUCGCUCAGCAAAGUCUUCGAGGUCUUCUCACGCUUCUCGUCCAAAUCCGAGCGCUUCAUCUACUUCGUCAACUAUCGUAGGAAACAACUACAAUAAGCCACUCAACAAGCAGAUAAACAAAGUGCUCUAUAAAUAGGAGUUUUAUAUUUAUUGUACAUCUUUGGUCAUAAGAAAAAUACGUACGGUUUGUGCUAAUUUAUUUGGGUCGCCGGAGAUUUUUGAACGGUGGAAAUGGAGGAAUUUAUGAUCCUAUAAGAAGUCUACAAAAACAUUUUUAUAAAAAUGAGUGGAUAUGCCUAUCAAUUAGGGAAUGAUUUUAGAAGAAUUUUGGAAGUAGUUUAACUCGAUUUGGAGUUCUUAUAAAUUCCCUAGUGAUUCACUAAGAUGGAAUAAAUGGAAAAGGGGCCAUUUAUUUGGUCCAACAGAAAUAAUGCACGACAAAAAUGUUCACCUAGGCUAGAAAAAUAGAGCAGGGUUUUAUAGACAACUAGGAACUUGAAUCACUCCAUUUGGAGUUGUUUUGGAUGCUUUAGAAAAUUUGUAAAGUGGGGGUUUGAAAUAUUCAAAUUUGAAUUUGAAUAUUAAUACUACAGAAAAUAUGUGUGAAAAAAUGUGCAAUGUACAUAUUUAGAUAGCACAUGAUUUUCGGAAACUGCAGGAAUUUGAAUUACCUAUUUUUGGAGUUCAUAUGAUUUUAAUAUGAAUUUAUUUGCCUCUGAGUUAAAUACUAAAAGUAAGGAAUUAUAAUUACCAAAAUGGGCCAACUAGCGCACGGGGCGCCAGAUAACAACUGGGCCGAACCAGUGGCUCGGUCGGGAAGCCGAGGGCAAAGACGAAGGUGCAUUCGAGCGAAUGCAGUUUUUUUGCGGGAAUUUGGGAUCGGCUAGAGCCAUUCCACUUAAGGCACCAGGGCCCACUCGUUAGCGGCCCGACCCCGAUGGUUGGCCGACAGGCUAGGCCCCGACGACAGGUUCGACUCCCUUCACCUGUUCAUGCAGACGAGGUCCAAAGGAGAUCGGGCGCAUGUCGGAGCUUGCUCCACCGGAUACCUCCAGCGAGGCCUCGCACAGUGGUGAGAUCACGAGGUCGCGUCGCCUCCGUUCCUGCGCCGACCGUGUGCGGGGGAGGUCCGCAUCGAUGCCAGUUUGGACGGCUAUGGGAGAGGCCGUCGGCCAUCGCUAGCCUCGAGCUCUAGGCGCCCUGGGGAGGAAAGAUGAUGAUGGGAGGGCCUCACAUCAGCUAGGAGGGAACAAUGGGGUGCCAGGGGCGAGGGAGAACUCAGAAUGGGCGUGAAUUUGAGUCGUGGCCACCGGAAAUGAUUCGGCCAUGAAUGGGGAUGAAGUGCGGCGGAGGAGGAGUGGCUUGUCGAGGAGGUUUUCUGGGAGCAGGAAGAGUGCUCUACGGGGUCCAAGGCGUUCAGGGGAAGGAUAAAUGGAGGGUGCGCCGAAGUGGAGGCCCGGAUGCGCGUCGGAUGCUCUAGGCGCGGCGAGCACGCAUGCUAGAGAUGUCUUGGAGACUUGCUGGCGUCAUGGAGGGGAGUGGGAGACUUAGAGGAGUAGCCUAUUGCGUGUGGACACCCUGGUGCAACCGAACGCAAGCUACAAGAAAAUUUCCCUUAGGAGAGCGUCGUUGCUACAGGUCCACAACAAGGUCACCAUGCCACCUUGUGUUCAGGACAUUAUUUUGGUUGGCCAAGGAUGUCUGGCGUGCAAGUCAUGCAUGGAAGAGGGUGAUGGUGGAGUUUGGAUCCAUAUGGAGAUGGGUGGAGGUGGUUUUCACUAAGGUUAAGUUUGUUGCAGCAAUCUUGGGGGUUAGCAAAAUGGAUUUUACUAGUGGGCACAUGGGAUAAAACCUUGUCUAGUGGCCCUAGCUAUGCAAGGACUACUUGACCACCAAGUUUCAUCUCAGGAAGAGGAGUGUAGCCAUCACUUGUAAUUUAGGGCCAAAUUUGCUGUCAAAUCUUUGGUUUUGAUGGUUUGCUCAUAUUUUCCACAUGAGCAUGCCAUCUUUGGGCUUGGAUUGAUGCAUCAGCAUGCAAGAGAGACCGUGGGAGAAUUUGGAGGUAUUUGCAUGCAUACAAUAAUGGGAGAGGGGGGGAAAGGGGUGCUGCCAUGGUGAAAAGGAGAGAGAAAAUGAGGGAGUUACCCUCCAAUAAUUUAUUAGGGGCCAUAGAAAAGUUACUGAAGGUAGAAGAGGGUGAGAAAAUAAUGUGUUAGAAAAUUGGAGGCAAGGGCAAUCUUUUUGGGUCAACAUUGUUUGUCCUCUCAUUUAUGGCACAAGGUGUUUGUUCUAUGUUUGGGCUAGGCAGAAGAAUCCUAUGGCCUUGAUAUUUACCACGAGUGAAUGGUAAGACCAUUUGGCCUCGAUCACCAAUUUUGAGAUUAUAUGGUUAAAGUUGACAAUGUAAACUUGAUAAACCCUAGAAAUGGGUCGAAAUGGUUUUCUAUAUAUAAAUUCAUAUAAAUUAAUUCCCCUAAUGCACCACUUUGCGUGGUGGUAUUAUUUGAGGAUUAGAGCAUGCCCAAAAAGUUUGGGGUCAUUUGGACAAACUUGCCAAUGCAAAUAUUCCCAUUUCUAGAAAUUAUAGAAGUGGUUUUGAGGGGCUUUGGACAAGUGGAUCGGUUCUCCUUGAUGCACCACUUGGUAUGGAUGCAUUGUUAGGGUAUUAGAACAUGACCACAAAAUUUGAGCAUAAAAGGAUAAACUUGGCAAUGCAAAUUUGCUCAAGUUUGGUUCUAGACACAAAGGGUUUUGGAAUAUUUUGGUGAAUCAAAUCAACUUGGAUUGAGAAGAAAUUUGGCAAGAUCAUCACAUAUAUCUUGUGUGACUUUCUAUAAUUUUACUGGAACUUAUUGAGAAUAUUUCCUAUGGAAAUACUUCAAAAGCUUGAAAUAGGUAGAAUGGGUUUUGGAGAGUAUUGUCCACUAUUUUGAACAUGACCAUAUGUUGAAACCCUUAGAUAUGGAAAAUAUAUGUCCACUGAGUUUCCCUAAAUUUGCUCAAAUAUUUUGGAAGCAAGAAAAAAAAAAUCUUCAUAAAAGACCCUUUUUGAUCCUAAAAAGGUAUUUAAAUAAAAUAGGAAAAUAAUUUCUAAAAUAAUAAUUUUUUGGUUUUGGGAAGAGUUUUUGAUAAUGGGAUUUAAAUAAAAUAUUUUGGGCAAAUCAUCUUCCCUAAUUUGAAGACUUGUAGUACAAAUCUCAAUUCAAGGGAUUUUGAAAAGCUAUUGAAAUAAAUGCUUUUUGGUCAAAAAUAAUAUUUGGUAAAAUGGUUUUCUGUUCUAUACACAUGGUAUGGUCAUUGGGCAAAGACUUGGGGCAAUGAGCUGAGUCCAAAGAGUAGGAGGUAGUUUUGUGAUUUAAAACACAAUAAAACAAGCAAGCAAUCACCAUCAAGUCAAGCAUCACAAGCACAUACAAAACUUUAUAAGUGGCCCUAAUUUUGAGCUAUGUUAACUUAGUCAGGAAAGGCAAAGCACAUGGUUUUAUAGACCUACCCCCUUACAAGAAUCUCGUCCUUGAGAUUCGUAGGCUAGGUGUUGAAGAGGGAGAAAUUCAGAUCUGAGAUUGUCUUCACGCUUCCAUGUUGCUCCUUCUUGGAUGUGAUCACUCUAGUGGAUCUUGAAGUGCUUGAUGAUAUGGCUUCGAAUGCUUCUAUUGGUUUCAUAUGAGAGUGAACGGGGUUCUUGCAAUAUGCUAGGCUUUACUAGAGGUCAAGGGCUUGGUGAAUGAGGUCCGCGCAAGGGUCUGGUUUGCGUGUGUAUUCCAAAGUCAGAAUACAUGGCAAAGUAGUGUGUGAGUUUGUGUUGGUCCGGGGUUGCUCAUGUUGGUUAGUGACAUAUAGAUGUCUCGAUUUAGAAUAAAAGGGUCAAGUCUUGGUGUACCUCCCCGUUGACAGGGAGGUCCUUGACUUCCUUAAAGCAGGUGAUCUCUAGUCGCAAGUGUUCUUCUUUCUUGAGAGUGUCAACAUAACCUUGAUAUCUUCAACAUGAGAAGUUGUCAAAGUAUGUUUCUUAUUUGACUCCAGCCAUUUGUCUUUGCCAUCAUGGACGCACGUUUCUGGUGUGUCUUCGAGUGCCUCUUCGUAGCUACUUGUGAAAAAGUUUGGGUUAGGUUUAGUCCCUAAGACCAAGUUUAGAGACUCCAUGUUUAAAACGGUUUCUACCACCUAGGAAGGUUUUGAGUCCCUAGAUGAGCUGGCUACCCAAAAGUAUAGACCAGCCAUCCAAUCCCCAUGGCCUCAGGCUUGGCAAGCGGGAUGAACCUCCUUUGACAGGGUUUCACGAUGGUCCAGUCAGGACUUCACAUCUUUGAUUGGGCCAAAAAGGGGAUUUUUAACUUCUCUUCAUGUCCAAGGGCUUCAUCAUGCUUGAACAUCAAUGCUUCUUGCCAUAGUUCGUGGAUCGAGCAGAGGAGUGGAGGUUGACCCCUAUCGCUUCUUCUUCAUUGUCAUGGUUUCUCAACCAUGGUGGUUCUUGACCUUGCUUCAGUAGGAUUGUUUUCUGCGGCUUGGAGGGUGCUUCGAGGAGUCCACGUUCUUUAAGGUAAAACCAUACACUUGAGAGGCAUGGAGAACGGUGCUUUUAGGGGCAUAUCCAAAUAGGGCUAAGGUAUCCCUUCUCUUAUUGGGGAAAUGAGUAUGUCAUCCACGAGGGCAACACAUAUUUCUCCAAGCAUCACAUAGUCAAAUUGCUUAUGGGACAUUUUCGGGAAUCGAAUCAACUUGGAUUGAGAUGAAACUUGGCAAGAUCAUCACAUAUAUUAUGUGUGACUUGUUAGAAUUUUGCUGGAAUUUAUUGAGAAUAUUUCCUAUGGAAAUAUUUCGAAAGCUUGAAAUAGGCAGAAAGGGUUUUCGAAGGUUUUGUCCACUAUUUUGAACAUGACCAUGAAUUGAAAUUAUUAUAUAUGGAAAAUAUAUGUCCAAUGAGUUUCCCUAAAUUUUCUCAAAUAUUUUGAAAGCAAGAGAAUAUUUUUUCUUCAUAAAAGACCCUUUCUAAUCUUAGAAAAAGUAUUUAAAUAAAAUAGGAAAAUAACUUUUAAAAUAACAAUUUUGUGGUUUUGGGAAGUCUUUUUGAUAAUGGUAUUUAAAUAAAAUAUUUGGGGCAAAUCAUCUUCCCUAAUUUGAGGACUUGUAGUACAAACCUUAAUUCUGAGGUUUUUGAAAAGCUAAAUUUAAAUAAAUGCUUUUUGUUCAAAAAUAAUAUUUGGUCAAACGGUUUUAGGUUCUAUACACAUGGUAUGGUCACCGGAGUUGGGGCAAGGAGGUGAAUAUAAAGAGUGGGAGGAAGUUUUGUGAUUAAAAAUACAAUCAAACAAGGACACAAUCACAAUCAAGUCAAGCAUUAGAAGCACACACAAAAGUUUUUAACUCGCCCUAAUUUUUGAGCUAUGUUAACUUAGUAAGGGAAGGCAAAGCAUAGGGUGUGACAGCUACGCGCCCCUCAUGCUGCUCGGUUUGGCCCGGACCUGGCUCAAUGGCCUCCCGACCGGAAGGGUCAAUGGCUGGGUGGACUUCCAAGAGGAAUUUGUGCGCAACUUCACCGACAUGUAUAGGUGUCCUGGCCGGCCCCGCCAGAUGGCCCUCUGAUUACAAGGGCUGACCGAGCUUCUUCGUGACUACCUCACGCGAUGGACCGAGCUCCACAAUUCUUACGAGGGCAUCCAUGAGGUACAUGAGAUCUAGUACUUCAUCGACGGCUAUCGAGACGACACCCUCCUCAAGCACAAGCUCAUGCGCCGGGAGCCGCCAACCCUGGCGCAACUCAUGACCGUGGUUGACGAGCAUGCAAUGGUCGAGUUCUCCAUGAACCUCCUAGUACUGGUCGACGUAGCCGGCAAGACUACCCUGGCCAAGCUGGCUGUCGCUCUGGAAGCCGGCAGAUCCUAGUCGGAUCAGUGUAAGCGCAAGACCAACGAGCCGGAUGCCUGCUACGGCAGUCGGCAGGUCGCCACCGUAAAAGACAGCAUGAUGGCAGAUGACCCAAGAUCCAGCCAACAUCAGCACACCAAUGAGGGAAAGCAGCACUGAUAGCCCGAGUACACUUUCGAGGCAAUGCUCGAUGGGCCCUACAAGUUUCACAGUACGGCCAAGCUCGCCACGCAUAUGGCUUGCCAGUGCAACUGCUUCACCCAAGAUUGCGCUGGGCGACGUGCUGCCUCUUGUGUCAGCGGCACUGCCGCCACCACUUAGGCCCGCUCUGGGGACCAGCGGUCCUUGGGAUUAUUAUACCCCCAGGACGCGACCUACAUCGUCUUCACCACGGAAGGUGACGACAAGCACAACUAGCGCACGCGUGCGCAGGAGGUGAAUGCCAUCAUCCCUUCGGUCCCCCAGUACAUGCACUGGUUGAACAAACCUAUCACCUAGGGACGCUAGAACCACCCGACCGUGAUCUCCAUGCGAGGCGGCUACAUGCUGGUCCUCGACCUCGCCUUCGUCUCCAGGAGGAGCACAGCGUUCUCGUGGACAGCGGUAGCAGCAUCAACAUCCUCUACUACAACACCAUGGAAAAGUUUGGCACAAUGUAGUCUGAGGUCCAGCCGAUCCGGAUGGUGUUCGACGACAUCAUUCUCGGCCACUCCUGCUCCCCACUCGGCAUGGUCUGGCUAUACGUGUUGUUCGGCAUGCCAAAGAAUUUACGCCACGAACCUAUCUGAUUCAAGGUCGUAGACCUCUCGAUCCCUUACCAGACACUCGUGGGCGGGCCCGCCUUGGCCAAGUUCAUGGCGGUCCCCCACUGUGCCUACUUGAAUAUGCAGCUACCGGGUCCCACGACAUCAUCACCAUUACCGACAACUACAAGAAGUCGACUGAGUGCGCGCUGGCCGACUCUAAGUUGGCCAAAUUACUUAUCAUAGCCGAGGAGCGGCGCCAGAUUGAUUGACACGUGGCUCUCUCCCACGAGGAGAUGGCCAUGCCCGAGCCCAAGGUAAAGCAGUCGGCUAGAGAGUCCCAGUUCCAGCCGGCCACCCGCAAGGACACCAAGAGGGUCCCUCUCAACCCGGGUGACCCCACCGGCAAGUCUCCCCGGCAUAAAAACCAAAUACCGAAAACUCAACCCGAGACCGAGACCGAACCCGAAAAAACCGAGGCUGAAAAGACCAAAAAAAAACAGUUUGCACAAUUAUAAGACCGAAUAACUACGGUCUGUUCGGUCCUAAUGUAUUUAGAACCCAAUAGCCCAUAUAGACCGAAUUAACAAAAGCCCAACCAUUUACAUAAAGCCCAUCUACCCAGCCCAAGGUCCCGACCGGCGAGCAGAUACGUCCUCAGUCCUCAACCAGUCAAUCCUCAUCUCGUCUCACUUCUCUCCCGCAAGAAACCUUACCGCUGACCGCUUCUCCUCUUUUAUCUCCCAUAACCCAUGACUCCACGAGGAACCCUAGCCACCACCCGCCGUUGGCCCCCGAUGCUCUGCUCCCGUAAGCCAUGACAAGUGAGCUGCAAUGAACGCCACACAAAGUGCGUUGUGCUCCAUACCUCAACUGAGAGAUGAAGAUCGGCACCCUAAGCGGCGGCCCGGACAGGGACAGGUGACGACCAGGGCAUCCAACCACUGUCGGUGUAGUUGUUGGCUGCUGUAGUUCUUCACCACCACGACAACACUCGUCGUCUUCCAUGCCGUUAGACGUCUCGUUGCCUACUGUCCAAUUUAGUCGCUCAUCCUCAUACCUGAAGGUGAGCAAGUUAUUUCUUCUCUUUAUGUGCAUAUGUGAUGUCCAUAUUGAUGUUCAUUUAUGUGCACCGAUUGUGUUGUUCAUGUUAUGUGGUGUCUAUAAUUUUUGAUGUUCAAAUUCAAGUAGAUGUAGUGGCUUGCUUGUUGUAGAUGCUCCUCUUGGAAUUAUCAUGGCAGAGUGUCCAACUUUUAGUUAGUUUGUAUGUUUAAUGAAGAGUGUACCAUGCUAUUUUUGUGUUGAUUUGGAAUCAGUAAUCUGUACUCUCUAGAGAGGAUACCAAAUACACUAAUGUCAUUUCUUAGCUACGAAGAAGAAGACUUUCUAUAAUGUUUGUCAUAUUUGGGGGAUUUGUUUAUCUAGACUCUAUGUUGUGAUUUAAUCAUGUCAAUGUUUCUUGAUGAAUCAAUGCCAUCUAUUUUUUGCAUGUGCUUUCUAUACUGGAAUCUUGUGAUGAGGGGUUGAAUGAAAAAGAUGAUGCAUUUAUGAGUGUAGAGGCAGAGACAGAUGCAGAACCAGGAGACAAAUUCAUCUUACGUAGCAUCAUUGAAGAUGAAGAUGUCGAACCAAAAUUUGUGGAAGAUGCUCAAGAUGACAAGCCAAAAGGACAGAGGCAAAUGGCACCAAGAUCACCAAUCUGGGAGCAUUUCACCGAAGUUUGUUAUGAUAAGGGGUUUGUGAAGGAAGGAAAGCGCAAAUAUUGUGAUCGACCAAUUCACGCUACUACAUCAUGCAAUGGGACAACAACAAUUCAUAGGCACUUCGAUAUAUGCAAGCUCAAUCCAAAUAGGAAAACAGAUCCAAGUCGAACCACUGUGCAAGCAACUCCGGGAGAUAGCAUCAACACUUGGAGAUAUGAUGUAGCGGCAACUAGGAAGGCAUUUCCUAUAAUGGUCACAGAGGAUGAGCUGCCUUUUGCAUUUCGUGAGAAAUCUGGAUUGAAAAAGUUCAUUUCAGUUGCUUGCCCCCGCUUUAGUCCAUCAUCAAGAAGAACUUGUACCAGGGACACUGUCAAAAUCUAUCUGGAUGAGAAGUCCUUGUUGAAAAAGUUUUUCAAAGAGAACUGUGAAAGUGUGUAUGUGUAACCACUAAUAGUUGGACUUCUGAGCAGCAUGAUUGCUAUAUGGUAGUGACUGCACACUUCCUUGACGAAGAGUGGAAAUACCAAAAUAAGAUUAUUAAUUUCAUUAUAGUGAAGGGCCACAAGGGGAGGGAUCUUGGGAAGAACUUGCAUAUAUGUGUGAUGGAAUGGGGGUUAGAGAGUGUUAUGACAAUCACCAUGGACAAUGCAAGCCCUAAUGAUGGUUGCAUUGUUCACUCGAGGAAGUGCUUGGUUGUGGCUAAAACUAGCAUAGCUGCUGGAAAGUUUGUGCAUAUGAGUUGUGUGGCACAUAUUGUCAACCUUAUUGUACAAGAUGGCCUAUAGGACGUUUAACUUUCAAUCAAACGUGUCCAAGCCGAUGUGCCAUACAUCAAAAAUGGGACUUCUCAUUUGUAAAAUUCAAGGAGCUAGCAUUGGAAGAGAAGGUUUGGAGCAAGGCAUUCUUGAACCUAGAUGUAUGCAUCAGUGGAACGCAACCUACAAAUGUUGAAAGCUGCCAUCAUCUAUGCAAAGGUAUUUACAAGGUAUUGUGAAGAUGGCCCAUUGCAUGCAUUGGACUUGUCUGAAGAAAAAGGAGGAUUUGGGUAUCCAGUUGAGAUGGAUUGGGAAAAUGCUAAGAAGAUGGCUGCCUUUCUUUGUCGUUUUUAUAAUCUCACCGUUCAUGUGUCAUCCUCACUUCAUGUCACUUCCUACAAUUUUGUUUUUGAGGUUGGCAAUGUACGCAUCUUGAUUCAAAAGUGGAUGAGCAGUACAUAUCCUUAGCAGAAAGCUAUGGCGGAGAGGAUGAAAGAAAAGUUUAACAAGUACUGGGGGUAUGGCAUGAAAAUGAAAAGGUGAAGGAGAAGGGUCCUAUUGUGAGUGAAAUAGGGAAAUGGAAGAAGGAGGAGAAGGAGAAGGGAAAUCUCAACUUGCUAUUUUUCGUUGUUGCAAUCUUGGUCCAAGGUAUAAGCUAUCUGAUUUCACUAGGUUGACUACUUUCGAAAUAUUUUGUGCUUGAGUGUGGAGAGAAGGUGUGGUACAUGGUUAACAUAUGUGUUCAUGAGUUGUUUGAAGAAUACCGAGUAAGAUUAACUACACCGAAAACAAGAACACCAGCCAAUAGCCAAGUACCAUUAGAAGGAGUUGGAGAAAGCAUGAUGAAGCAACUAAUUGCAACCCACAUUGAGGCAAAAUAAUAGUGAAGGAAAUGCAAGUAGUAAAUCCGAGCUUGAAAAAUACCUUGCCAAAGACUCUGAAGACCCUGACAAAAAUUUGACAUCCUAGGAUGGUGGAAAGAGAAUUCAUCUAGGUUCCCAAUCUUGACAAAUAUGGCUCGUGAUAUUCUUGCUAUCCAUAUUACAAUGGUGGCUCCCGAGUCAUCCUUUAGCACAAGUGAACGCAUACUUGAUGACUUUGUGACCUCUCUAACUCCAUUUGUGGUACAAGCUUUGGUUUGUAGAAAAGACUGGCUAAGAAGGACAUUAGGUCUAGUCGACAUCAAGGAGGACUUGGAAGAAUUAGAAGAGAUAGAAGAAGUUAAAAACCUAGCCAACUUCUCCACACAUUUGCUAUUAUUGUGGAUGUUACUAAUACACAUUUGUCAACUUUAGCAGAAAAAGGUAAAGCAAUCGGUAGUAGGUUUUGUAUGCUUCACUUGUCAACUUUAGUAUAUUACAAAUGAACUAGCUAUGAUGUUACCAACACUAAGAUUAUGAAUUUGGUUAAAUACUUGACUUGUUUCAGAGUUGAUUGAAGAAUUUGGUGACAAGGUGAAGAGAAAGUGCAAGGUCGAUGGUGGUGGCAUUGCUUCUUACAUGGCCAAGUCAAACAAGUUUCCAAGUCAACCAACAAAGUGACAUACACGUCUACUCAUGGCUAAAUUAAAAUCAUGUGGAAUGUAUGCUAUUUUAGUUAUCAUCUUGUGCUUCUCAUUUAUGUCUUGAGACUUAAGAAUUGAGAACUCAGAGUGAGAGUUUGAGACCUUAAUGUUUGUUGUUUGCUGCUCAAUUGGAAUCAUGUAUCGAACUUGAUUUGUUCCAUGUGAAGUACUAUGUUGUCAAGUACUAAGCGGUGAUGGUGUUUGCUACUUGUUGAUUAUAUGGGCUUAUGUUACUUGAUCUUCUCUCCCUAAUAAUAAAGCGCCGACUCCUUCUGUCGUUCGUCGUGCCACUUUUACAAAAAAAACGGUUGUUUCCUGAAAUCAACCCGCAGUCCAGAAUUAAGUCAGAAAACGAAUCGUUUUUUUACAUUUUACACAAAACCCCAUAUAUUUAAUCCAAACUAACCCGCAGUCCCUGUGCAGGAAAAACUAAUUGCGGGUUUGCUAACUCGAACUCGCGACCUCACACCUUAAAACUAAGGUUCUGGCCAACCGAGGUGCAGCGCGUUGUGUUAUAAUAAGGCUAAGCUGGCUGUGUUAUGGAUGAGAUGCUUUCUCUAGCACAGAAACAUUUUAUACUAAUAGGCCUCUUGGAGGCUCUAGCAGCAGCGUAAGGGAUGGUUGCUGGAGGUGAUUUUGUUUCUUGUCAAAAGCAAAUACAUCAUGUUCCUCAUAUAUCUUCGCUUGUAAAAUGUACUUGAUAUGUGACAUAAGGAACUCACACUCACAGUAUUAUAUGCUUACUUUUGCUGGGGCAGCUAUUCUUUCUGGGGCUUUAAUACCAAUAUUAUCACAGGUUGGUGGGUCAUCAGUAUAAUCAUAUGACAGUUUUCACUUUGUCACCUCACCUGCAAUCACAUUUAUAUAAUUAUCUUACUACCUUGCCGCAGACCUGUCCCAUAUUGCUUGCUUACAUCCAAUUCUCACAACUUAUGUAUGUCUUUAAUAUUAUGGGUAUCAAGGAGCUGUCUCAUGAAUCAAUAUAAGGAAGAAACUAAGUUGUUGGGUGCAUAAUUUAAGUGGGGAUGUGCAACCAUCGAUAAACUUGGUCUACCCUUUGCCUUUUUGCAUUUUGUUGGUGGCACUACGGGCAAUUCAUGUGUACAACAUCCACUUGUUCUAUUUUUUUGAGGUAUUUAUUUGUCAUCCAAAAGAUGCUAGCUUUGAUUGAUUUAGGUAUGAUCUACCUAGAGGAGGAUUCUACCCUGCAUGAGGUAAAUGAACGACACAAAUGAAAAAUAGGAGGAUGCUGGAGCUGCAUUGUUAGUGCUCGGCAUGCUUGAGUAUAAAGGCAUCCCGAUCAGGCGAAUAGACGUGACCAUAUAUCAAGUGAAGGUAAUCAAUUGUAAAUCUUGCAUCUUAUAUCUUUGAGUAUUCAGUUUUUAUAAACGCAUGUUAAUAAUGUACAUGUGUGGACAAUUCAGCAUGUGCACAAAAAUCUUCGUUAUAAUGACUAUCCACUCAACGUCUCCUUUUCUCCUUUGUACUAUUUCUCAUCAAAGAUUCAAAGUAUCGAACGGCCCACCCAGAUGCUGCGCGAGUGUAAUCGUAAGUGCACGUCAUCAAUAUGACGAGUCAAAAUUAAAAACGUAUCAAAAUAAAAAUAAUAACUUCAAUAAAAUAAAAAAAUUACCCCAUUGGAACGCACGAGCAUUUUUGCUAUAAUGGUCAGAGAGGAUGAGCUGCCUUUUGCAUUUCGUCAGAAAUCUGGAUUGAAAAAGUUCAUUUCAAUUGCUUGCCCACGCUUUGGUCCACCAUCAAGAAUAACUUGUACCAUGGAAACUGUCAAAAUCUAUCUGGAUGAGAAGUCCUUGUUGAAAAAGUUUUUGAAAGAGAAUUGUGGAAGUGUGUGUGUAACCACUAAUAGUUGGACUUCUGAGAAGCAAGAUUGCUAUAUGGUAGUGACUGCACACUUCCUUGACUAAGAGAGGAAAUACAAAAAGAAGAUUAUUAAUUUCAUUAUAGUGAAGGGCCACAAGGGGAGGGAUCUUGGGAAGAACUUGCAUAUAUGUGUGAUGGAAUGGGGGUUAGAGAGAGUUAUGACAAUCACCAUGGAUAAUGCAAGCCCUAAUGAUGGUUGCAUUGUUCACUUGAGGAAGUGCUUGGUUGAGGCUAAAACUAGCAUAACUGCUGGAAAGUUUGUGCAUGUGAGUUGUGUGGCACAUAUUGUCAACCUUAUUGUACAAGAUGGCCUAUAGGAAGUUUAACUUUCAAUCAAAUGUGUCCAAGCUGUUAUGCGAUACAUAAAAAAUGGGACUUCUCGGUUGUGAAAUUCAAGGAGCUAGCAUUGGAAGAGAAGGUUCGGAGCAAGGCAUUCUUGAACCUAGAUGUAUGCAUCGGUGGAAGUCAACCUACAAAUGUUGAAGGCUUCCAUCAUCUAUGCAAAUGUGUUUAUAAGGUAUUGUGAAGAUGGCCCAUUGCAUGCAUUGGACUUGGAUGAAGAAAAAAGAGGAUUUGGGUAUCCAGUUGAGAUGGAUUGGGAAAAUGCUAAGAAGAUGGCUGCCCUUCUUUGUCAUUUUUAUAAUCUCACCGUUCAUGUGUCAUCCUCACUUCAUGUCACUUCCAACAAUUUUCUUUUUGAGGUUGGCAAUGUACACAUCUUGAUUCAAAAGUGGAUGAGAAGUACGUAUCCUUUGCAGAAAGCUAUGGCAGAGAGGAUGAAAGAAAAGUUUGACAAGUAUUGGGGGUAUUGGCAUGAGAAUGAAAAGGUGAAGGAGAAGGGUCCUAUUGUGAGUGAAAGAGGGAAAUGGAAGAAGAAGGAGGAGAAGGAGAAGGGAAAUCUCAACUUGCUAUUUUUCGUUGCUGCAAUCUUGGUCCAAGGUAUAAGCUAUCUGAUUUCACUAGGUUGACUACUUUCGAAAUAUUUUGUGUUGAUUGUGGAGAGAAGGUGUGGUACAUGGUUAACAUAUGUGUUCAUGAGUUGUUUUAAGAAUACCGAGUAAGAUUAACUACACCGAAACCAAGAACACUAGCCAAUAGCCAAGUACCAUUAGAAGGAGUUGGAGGAAGCAUGAUGAAGCAUCUAAUUUCAAGCCACGUUGAGGCAAAAUAAUAGUGAAGGAAGUGCAAGUAGUAAAUCCGAGCUUGAAAAAUACCUUGCCAAAGACUCUGAAGACCCUGACAAAAAAUUUGACAUCCUAGGAUGGUGGAAAGAGAAUUCAUCUAGGUUCCCAAUCUUGGCAAAUAUGGCUCGUGAUAUUAUUGCUAUCCACAUUACAAUGGUGGCUCCCGAGUCAUCCUUUAGCACAAGUGAACGCAUACUUGAUGACUUUGUGACCUCUCUAACUCCAUUUAUGGUACAAUCUUUGGUUUGUAGAAAAGACUGGCUAAAAAUAACAUCAGGUCUAGUCGACAUCAAGGAGGACUUGGAAAAAUUAGAAGAGAUUGAAGAAGUUAAAAACCCAGCCAACUUAUGCAGACAUUUGCUUUUAUUGUGGAUGUUACUAAUACACAUUUGUCAACUUUAGCACAAAAAGGUAAAGCAAUCAGUAGUAGCUUUUGUAUGCUUCACUUGUCAACUUUAGUAGAUUACAAAUGAACUAGCUAAGAUGUUACCAACACUAAGAUUACGAAUUUGGUUAAAUACUUGACUUGUUUCAAAGUUGAUUGAAGAAUUUGGUGACAAGGUGAAGCGAAAGUUCAAGGUCGAUGGUGGUGGCAUGCCUUCUUACAUGGCCAAGUCAAACAAGUGUCCAAGUCAACCAACAAAGUGACAUAUAUGGCUACUCAUGGCUAAAUUAAAAUCAUGUGGAAUGUAUGCUCUUUUAGUUAUCAUCUUGUGCUUCUGAUUUGUGUCUUGAAACUUAAGAAUUGAGAACUCAGAGUGAGAGUUUGAGACCUUAAUGUUUGUUGUUUGCUGCUGAAUUGGAAUCAUGUAUCGAACUUGAUUUAUUCAAUGUCAAGUACUAUGUUAUCAAGUACUAAGGGGUGAUGGCGUUUGCUACUUGUUGAUUAUAUGGACUUAUGUUACUUGAUCUUGUUACUUACUCCUGGUGAACUAGUGAUUAUAUAUUGUGUUGAUGUUCUUUUUUUUAAUUUUCGUCCGGAUCUUGUUGCUGGUGAAGUGGUGAUUAUAUAUAGUGCCAAUUUUAUUUAUAAUUUUUUCAUGUAGUAUAAUGUAAUCCAUGCAGAUUGCAUAAAACUUACUGGAAGUAACAUAAAUGUAGCUCUGUUCUAUACACACACAUAACCCUGACACAUACACCUUUGUACAUACAUGUAGGUUUGUUCUUUGUAGCUUGCAUAUAAUUUACUGGGAGUUACAUAAAUCUAUGUUUUAGGAAUUAAUUUGGUCUGUUUGGUCGGGACCGAAGACUAAAUUGUAAAAAUCAAAGACCAAAUAGUGAAAAAACAAAAAUACUGAAAUUAUUUAGGUUUUCAAUUAUGGAAGGCCGGAUUUUUGAAAGUCCAAAAAGGACGAACCGAACAAACUGAAAAGACCAAACGCCCGGGGAGACCGGCAAGUACGCCGUGGUCGGGGCCGGCCUCACCGAGAAAUAGGAAAGCGAGCUCGUUGACUUCCUCCGUGAGAAUUGGUAUAUCUUCGAGUGGACCGCAAAGUACAUGCAUGGAGUCCCGAGGAAGUUCGCCGAGCACUUCUUACACGACUUCCUGGAUGCAAGGCCGGUCAAGCAACCGUUGUGCCGCUUCUCCGAGGAGAAGGGGAAAAUCGUUGGUGAAGAAAUCGCCUGGCUGCUAGCAGCCGGCUUCAUCAUGCAAGUCUUGCACCCGGACUGGUUGGCGAACCCAAUCCUUGUGUUGAAGAAAAAAAAACUUGGCGCAUGUGUAUAGACUACACAAUCCUAAAUGAGGCAUGCUCCAAGGACCCAUUUUCUCUACCCGUAUCGACCAAGUGACCGACUCUAUGGCCGACUGCAAGCUAUUGUACUUCUUGGAUGCCUACUCAGGCUACCACCACAUCAAGCUCAAUCCAGCUGACCGGAUCAAAACAUCUUUCAUGAGCCCCUUUGAGGUGUUCUGUUACAUCAGCAUGGCGUUCAGGAUGAAAAACAUGGUGCUACUUGCCAGCGCUACAUGCAACAAUGUCACCACAUGCAGCUUGGCCGCAAUGUUCAUGUAUACAUAGACGAGUUGUGGUCAAGACCAAAAAGAGCCGCUCCCUCCUGGACGAUCUUAGAGAGACAUUCACUAGCCUGUGCGAGUUCGAGAUCCGAUUGAACCCAGAUAAAUGUGUGUUCGGCGUCCCAGCCGGCCAACUCCUCGGUUUCCUUGGCUCCGAGCGAGGCAGCGAGGCCAAUCUGGAGAAGAUCCGGGCCAACGAGCGCAAGGUACGACCGACCAAUCUGGCCGACAUCUAGAAGAUCACAGACUGUCUGGCCUCGCUCAGUCGCUUCAUCAGCCGGCUGGGGGAGAAGGCGCUCCCCCUCUACCGUCUACUCAAGUAGGCGGACAACUUCAUCUAGAGUGACUAGGCACAUGAGGCGCUUGGUGACCUCAAGCAUGCGCUGUCCACCGCACCCGUCCUGGCCGUGCCGGCGGACGAAGCAGAUAUUGUUCUACAUCAUGGCAACGAGCCGGGUGGUCAGCAUUGUCAUGUCCAUCAAACGGUCAGAGAUGGACCAAGCCUAGCCGUUCCAACGACACGCCUAAUAUUUGAGAAAGAUGCUAUCCGCCUCCAAGCAGAAUUACCCUCACUACCAAAAGAUGUUCUAUAGCGUGUUCCUGAUUGCUCGAAAGCUCAAGCCUUACUUCUAGGAGCACCCUAUCACGGUGAUGAGCACCGAUCCCCUCGGGAAGAUCAUGGGCAACCGGUACGCGGCCAACUGGAUUGCCAAGUGGGCCAUCCAACUAGCCGACCACCACAUCACCUACAAGUCAUUCACGACCGUCAAGUCUCAAUCCUUGACGGAUUUCCUCGUCGACUAGGCAGAAACGAAGCACUUGCCACCACCUCCCGAGUCCACCCAUUGGCGCAUGCACUUCAAUGGAUCAAAGAUGCACACCGGCCUGGGAGCUGACAUCACCUCACCUUUCCAAAGGGGCACCGAUUGUAUUACGUCUUGAAGAUUCACUUCACUGCCUCGAACAACAAGGCGGAGUAUGAAGUGCUCAACGAUAGCCUAUGGCUGGCUAGGGAGAUCGGUGUCCGACGCAUCUUGUGCUUCGGCGACUCCGACCUGGUGGUGCAACAAGUCACUAGCGAGUGUGACGCCACGGACGCAAACAUGGCCAACUACCGCUUCUUGGUCCACACCUGACUAGCAAUUUACAAAGGCUGCGAAUUCCAUCACAUCCUUCGAGCCGGCAACGAGGCCGCCAAUAUGCUCGCCAAGAUUAGCUCCACCUGACAGCCCAUCCCGACCGACGUGUCCCUCAAGCACCUGCAAAAACCCUCCAUCAUUCCGGCUGACCCAGGGGUGCCCUGCCUACCCGAGGGCUGUCGGCGCCAACUCGGGGACUGCUCCGCCUGACCCGAGGGUUGCCGACUCCAUCUUGCCGUCUAUGCCAUCUGACCUGGUAACUACUGUGCCCGACCUGCGUGUUGCCUCCAUCGACUCGCUGCAUGCGCCAGCUGGGUCGAGGACCUCUCCACCCGGCCCUAUGGCUGCGGCGCCUGCUCGGGGAUUGCCUCGUCCGACUCGGGGGCUGUGAGAGCCGGCCCAUCGGCUGCUGACCCCACCCAGCCGGCCUAGUGGUGGUGUCUGUUCUGACAGUGGUAAUGAUCCUGCCCUGGGCGCAACCUUUCCUCAACUACCUCGAGAACCACAACUUGCCCACCGACGAGGUCGAGACCCGACAAUCGAAUGGCGCUCUGCCUCCUACACUAUCAUCAACAAUGAGCUCUCUUAUACGUCCAUUUUGCAUCAUGUUUUCAUGUUGUUAUUUAUCACUUUUUGGGCUGUUACUUCACUUCAUGGUACAAUUCUUAUGCCAUUUCUCUCUUAUUUUGCAAGGUUUACAUGAAGAGGGAGAAUGCCGGCAACUGGAAUUCUGGCCUGAAAGUGGAGCAAUGUUGAGAUACCUAUUCUGCGCAACUCCAAACGCCGUAAAAAUCAACGAGGAUUUUUUCCGGAUUUAUAAAAAAUAUUGGGCCGAAGAAGCGCCACAGGGGCACCAGCAGGUGGCUACAAGCCUGCACGGUGCGGACACCCCCCUAGGCCGCGCCAUGAGGGCUUGUGGGCAGCCUGCUGGCCCACUGCCCCCCCUCUUCUGCUAUAUGAAGGGCUUCGUCCAGAAAAAAAUUAGGGAGGAGCUUUUUCAUGGAUUCACCGCCGCCACGAGGCGGAACUUGAGCAGAACCAAUCUAGAGCUCCGGCAGGACGAUCCUGCCGGGGAAACUUCCCUCCCGGAGGGGAAAUCAUCACCAUCGUCAUCACCGACAAUCCUCUCAUCGGAGGGGAUUCGUCACCAUCAACAUCUUUAUCAGCACCAUCUCAUCUCCAAACCAUAGUUCAUCACUUGUACCCAGUCUCCAUCUCACAACUCCGAUUGGUACUUGUAAGGUUGCUAGUAGUGUUGAUUACUCUUUGUAGUUGAUGCUAGUUGGAUUAUUUGGUGGAAGAGUUUAUGUUCAGAUCCUUGAUGCUACUCAUUACCUCUCUGGUCAUGAAUAUGAUUAUGCUUUCUGACUAGUUACUUUUAUUCCUGAGGACAUGGGAUAAGUCAUGCUAAUAGGAGUCAUGUGAAUUUUGUAUUCGUUUGGUAAUUUGAUAUGUUGUAUGUUGUUUUUCCUCUUGUAACAUCCCAAUUUUCCUAAUUGGGAAUGUUUUCCAUUGUAGCUAAGCAUCUAUGCAUAGUGAUUGAAAUAAAGUUGGCACUUGAAUUCUUUCGCCUUUUGAUUUUGCAUUUCCAUUUUUCCUCACACAAGAAAUGCCGGGAAAAUACUCUCUUGCACGCAAGAGAGAGAGAGCGGAGGAAAAUGACCCUUCAAAGUGCGGGCAUUUCUGAAAUAUUUGGAGCAAAGAAAUUCAAAGUUUUAUCGUGAGAAUAUUUGCAAAAAUAAAACAAAGCAUUUAGGGAAAUUCUGAAAAAAACAUUUUUUUAAAGUUUUUAUUUUUGCUUUGGAAAAAUGUUAUCGAGUAGAGGAUAUUUUUAUGAUUUUUUUGGUAUAUAAUACCCCAUAUUAAAUAUCUUAUUUGUUUCCUUUUUAUUCACUUUUAUUUUUCUGUUUCUGAAAAAGAUUUAAACUAGGAAAGUUUUUUUUAAAAGGAAACCGUCUGGGCGCUUAAUAACAGUGGGCCGAAUCCCCGUGAGCCCGGGAUCCCGAAUCCCUUAAGCACCGCCUGGCCGACCCAAGCGCCACCGCGCCCCUCUCCCUGCCAGGUAGGCCCCGCGCCCGACCUUCCCCUUCCCCUCGGUUAGAUAUCUAACCGCUAGUCUUCGUUAGAUAUCUCAUGAGAUGGCCUUCAGCCACUUUAUUGUAAUCCUUUAUUGUAAUAAAGUACUCUUUAUGAGAUUUCGAUUAAUAAAGCUGUGUGAUUGAACUCUUGAACAUAUACAUUAUGUACUGAGUGUGUACCAGCAUGAUCAUGGAAUGGUACGAAUACACCAGAGGCUUGACUCGUCUUGAUUCGGGUCGCUACACCUCUAGUGGUUUUAUGUGAACGUCGACUACAUAACACUUCACGAUUAUUUGGGCCAAGAGGAAGGCAUUGGGAAGUAGUAAGUAGAUGAUGGGUUCCUAGAGUGACAGAAGCUUAAACCCUAGUUUAUGUGUUGCUUCCUAUAGGGCUGAUUUGGAUCCACUAGUUUAAUGCUAUGGUUAGACUUUGUCUUAAUUCUUCUUUCAUAGUUGCGGAUGCUUGCGAGAGGGGUUAAUCAUAAGUGGGAUGCUUGUCCAAGUAAGGGUAGUACCCAAGCGCCGGUCCACCCACAUAUCAAACUAGCAAAGUAACGAACACGAAUCAUAUGAACAUGAUGAAAACUAGCAUGACAGAAAUUCCCGUGUGUCCUCGAGAGCGUUUUUCCUCCUAUAAGACUUUGUCCAGGCUUGUCCCUUGCUAUAAAAGGGAUUGGGCCACUUUUCUGCACCGUUUCUACUUUUGUUACUUGUUGCUUGCUACGAAUCAUCUCACCACACAAUCACUUGUUACCGAGUAUUUUAGUGCCUGCAGAUUUUACCUUGCUGAAAACCACUUGUCAGAUCCUUCUGCUCCUCGUUGGGUUCGACACUCUUACUUAUCGAAAGGACUACGAUUGAUCGCCUAUACUUGUGGGUCAUCAAGACUCUUUUCUGGCGCCGUUGCCGGGGAGUGAAGCGCCUUUGGUAAGUGGAACUUGGUAAGGAAACAUUUAUAUAGUGUGCUGAAAUUUAUUGUCACUUGUCACUAUGGAUACUAAUCCUUUGAGGGGCUUGUUCGGGGUAUCUUCACCUCGAACGGAAGCACAACGAGUUGCUCCUCAACCUGCUGCACCUACUGAAAAUAUUUGCUUUGAAUUUCCUUCGGGUAUGCUUGAGAAACUGUUGGCUAAUCCUUUUACACGAGAUGGAACAUCACAUCCAGACUUGCAUCUAAUCUAUGUAGAUGAAGUUUGUGGUUUAUUUAAGCUUGCAGGUUUGCCCGAGGGUGAGGUCAAGAAGAAGGUAUUUCCUUUAUAUUUGAAGGAUAAGGCGUUGACAUGGUAUAGGCUAUGUGAUGAUACUGGAUCAUGGGACUACAAUCGGUUGAAAUUAGAAUUUCAUCAAAAGUUUUAUCCUAUGCAUUUAGUACAUCGUGAUCCGAAUUAUAUUUAUAAUUUUUGGCCUCGUGGCAGAGAAAGCAUCACUCAAGCUUGGGGGAGGCUUAAAUCAAUGCUAUAUUCAUGCCCCAAUCAUGAGCUCUCGAGAGAAAUUAUCAUUCAGAACUUCUAUGCUCGGCUUUCUCAUGAUGAUCGCACCAUGCUUGACACUUCUUGUACCGGUUCUUUUAUGAAGAGAGAUAUUGACUUCAAAUGGAAUUUAUUGGAGAGAAUUAAACACAACUCUGAAGAUUGGGAGCUUGAAGAAGGUAAGGAGUCAGGUAUGAAUUUCACGUUUGAUUGCGUUAAAUCCUUUGUUGAGACAAAUACUUUUUGUGACUUUAGCGCUAAGUAUGGACUUGACUCUGAGAUAUUAGCUUCAUUGUGUGAAUCCUUUGCUGCUCAUAUUGAUCUCCCCAAAGAGAAGUGGUUUAAAUAUCAUCCUCCUUUAGAAGUCAAUGUAGUUAAACCCACUCCAUUUGAAGAGAAAGUCAUUGCCUAUAAUGAUCCAGUGGUUCCCAGUGCUUCCAUUGAGAAACCACAUUUCCCUGUUAAGAUAAAGGAUCAUUCUAAAGCUUCAACUCCGAUACGUAGAGGCUAUAUUAGAACACCUACACCCCCUGAGAAAAUUAGAGUUUAACCUAGCAUUGCUAUUAUCAAAGAUCUUCUGUGCGACGAUGUUGAGGGACAUAAUAUUCAGUUCUGUGAAGAUGCUCCUAGAAUUGCUAAACCUCACGCUAGAGACAAACAUAGGCCUGUUGUUGGCAUGCUUGUGGUUUCUGUUAAGAUAGGAGAUCAUUGUUAUCAUGGUUUAUGUGACAUGGGUGCUAGUGUUAGUGCAAUACCUCAAUCCUUAUACGAUGAAAUCAAAGAUGAGAUUGCACCUGUUGAGAUAGAACCUAUUGAUGUCACUAUUCAACUUGCCAAUAGAGAUACUAUCUUCCAUGUGGGAAUUGUUAGGGAUGUUGACGUCUUGUGUGGUAAAACGAAGUAUCCUGCUGAUUUCCUCGUUCUUGCUACCGCACAAGAUAGCUUUUGUCCCAUCAUAUUUGGCAGGCCCUUUCUCAAUACUGUCAAUGCUCAUAUUGAUUGUGAGAAGCAAACUGUCAUUGUUGGCUUCGAAGGUGUGUCACACGAGUUCAAUUUCUCUAAGUUUGGUAGACAACCUCAUGAAAAGGAGUUGCCUAGUAAGGAUGAAACUAUUUCCUUAGCUUCUAUUGCCGUGCCUCCUACUGAUCCCUUAGAGCAAUACUUGCUUGAGCAUGAAAAUGAUAUGCAUAUGUAUGAAAGGGAUGAAAUAGAUAGAGUUGUCUUAGAACAAUAUCCUAUCCUUAAGAAUAACUUGCGUGUUGAACAUCUUGGGGAUCCACCCCCACCAAAGCGUGAUCCUGUGUUCGAGCUUAAACAAUUGCCUGAUACUCUUAAGUAUGCCUAUCUUGAUGAAAAAGUGAUAUAUCUUGUCAUUAUUAGUGCUAGUCUCUCAGAGCAUGACGAAAAGAAGUUACUAAAAACUCUGAGGAAGCACCGUGCUGCUAUUGGAUAUACUCUUGAUGAUCUUAAGGGCAUUAGUCCCACUCUAUGCCAGCACAAGAUUAAAACCGAUCCUGAUUUCAAACCAGUUGCUGAUCAUCAAAGGAGAUUGAAUCCUAAGAUGAAAGAAGUAGUAAGAAAAGAAAUACUAAAGCUCCUGGAAGCGGGUAUUAUCUAUCAUGUUGCUCAUAGUGAUUGGGUGAGUCCGGUGCACUGCGUUCCUAUGAAGAGAGGCAUUACCGUUGUCCCUAAUGAUAAGGAUGAAUUGAUCCCACAGAGGAUUAUUACUGGCUAUAGGAUGGUGAUCGAUUUCAGGAAACUGAAUAAAGCAACUAGGAAAGAUCAUUACCCUUUACCUUUUAUCGACCACAUGCUAGAAAGGCUGUCUAAACACACACACUUCUGCUUUCUGGACGGUUAUUCUGGUUUCUCCCAAAUACCAGUUGCACAAUCUGAUCAGGAGAAAACCACUUUCACCUGCCCUUUCGGUACCUUUGCUUAUAGACGUAUGCCUUUUGGCUUACGUAAUGCACCUACCACUUUUCAAAGAUGUAUGAUGGCUAUAUUCUCUGACUUUUGUGAAAAUAUUGUUGAGGUUUUCAUGGAUGACUUCUCCGUUUACAGGUCUUCCUUUGAUGAUUGCCUCAACAACCUUGAUCGAGUCUUGCAGAGAUGUAAAGACACCAAUCUUGUCUUGAAUUUGGAGAAGUGCCACUUUAUGGUUAAUGAAGGCAUCGUCUUAGGACAUAAAAUUUCUGAAAGAGGUAUUGAAGUCGAUAAGGCUAAGGUUGAUGCAAUCGAGAAAAUGCCAUACCCCACAGAUAUCAAAGGUAUAAGAAGUUUCCUUGGUCAUGCUGGUUUCUAUAGAAGGUUCAUUAAAGACUUCUCUAAGAUUUCUAGGCCUCUUACCAAUCUCUUGCAAAAGGAUAUUCCUUUUGUCUUUGACGAUGAUUGUGAGGAAGCCUUCGAAAUACUUAAGAAGGCUUUGAUAAGUGCACCUAUUGUUCAACCACCUGAUUGGAACCUGCCUUUUGAGAUCAUGUGUGACGCUAUUGAUUAUGCUAUUGGUGCUGUUCUAGGGCAAAGAGUCGAUAAGAAGUUGAAUGUUAUUCACUACGCUAGUAAAACUCUAGACAGUGCCCAGAGAAACUAUGCUACUACGGAGAAGGAAUUUUUAGCAGUCGUGUUUGCAUGUGAAAAGUUCAGGUCUUACAUAGUUGAUUCCAAAGUCACUAUUCACACUGAUCAUGCUGCUAUUAAGUACCUCAUGGAGAAGAAGGACGCUAAACCUAGACUUAUCAGAUUGGUUCUCUUGCUACAAGAAUUUGAUAUGCACGUUGUUGACAGAAACGGUGCUGAUAACCCCGUAGCAGAUAACUUGUCUAGGUUGGAGAACGUUCUUGAUGACCCACAACCUAUUGAUGAUAACUUUCCCGAUGAGCAAUUGAAUGUCAUCAAUGCUUCACGUAGUGCACUGUGGUAUGCUAAUUAUGCAAACUAUAUCGUUGCUAAAUAUAUACCACCUAGUUUCAAAUACCAGCAAAAGAAGAAAUUCUUCUUUGAUUUGAGACAUUACUUUUGGGAUGAUCCUCACCUUUAUAAGGAAGGAGUAGAUGGUGUUAUUAGACGUUGUGUACUUGAACAUGAACAGGGACAGAUCCUACAGAAGUGUCAUUCCGAGGCCUACGGAGGACACCAUGCGGGAGAUAGAACUGCACACAAGGUAUUGCAAUCAGGUUUCUAUUGGCCCACUCUCUUCAAGGAUGCUCGUAAGUUUAUCUUGUCUUUUGACGAAUGUCAAAGAAUAGGUAAUAUUAGCAAACGUCAGGAAAUGCCUAUGAACUAUUCACUUGACAUUGAACCAUUUGAUGUCUGGGCUUUGAUUAUAUGGGACCUUUUCCAAAAUCCAACGGGUAUACUCAUAUCCUAGUUGUUGUUGAUUACGUCACUAAGUGGGUAGAAGCUAUCCCCACUAGUAGUGCUCAUCACAACACCUCUAUCAGGAUGCUGAAAGAAGCUAUCUUCCGUAGAUUUGGAGUCCCUAGAUAUCUAAUGACCGAUGGUGGUUCGCACUUCAUUCAUGGUGCUUUCCUAAAACGCUUGCUAAGUACAAUGUCAACCACAGAAUUGCGUCUCCCUACCACCCUCACUCCAGUGGAAAAGUAGAGCUAAGCAAUAGAGAGAUUAAACUAAUUCUACAAAAGACUGUCAACAGGUCUAGAAAGAAUUUGUCUAAGAAGCUCGAUGAUGCAAUGUGGGCUUAUAGAACUGCCUAUAAGAAUCCCAUGGGCAUGUCUCCGUACAAAAUGGUGUAUGGUAAAGCAUGUAAUUUACCUCUUGAGGUAGAGCAUAAAGCUUAUUGGGCAAUCAAAGAGCUCAACUUUGAUUUCAAACUUGCCGGUGAGAAGAGGUUAUUUGACAAUAGCUCGCUUGAUGAGUGAAGAACUCGGGCGUAUGAGAAUGGCAAGUUGUUCAAAGAGAAGGUUAAGAUGUAUCAUGAUAAGAGGAUACAAAAGCGUGAGUUCAAUGUAGGUGAUUAUGUCUUGCUAUAUAACCCUCGUUUAAGAUUCUUUGCACGCAAGCUUCUCUCUAAAUGGGAAGGUCCCUAUGUUGUUGAGGAAGUAUAUCAUUCAUGUGCUAUCAAGAUCAACAACAGGGAAGGUAAUUGUCCGAGAGUUCUGAAUGGGCAGAGAAUCAAGCAUUAUAUCUCAGGUACUCCCAUAAAUGUUGAAAGCAAUAUCGUCAAUACCAUAACUCCGAAAGAAUACCGAAGGGACAUUUAUCAGCCUGUUUCAGACUCCGAAAACGAAGAGGUAUGUGAUUAGGUAAGAAAACAGAGUCCAAAACUUUUCGAGUAGAAAAUUUUCUCUGUUUUGGAAUAUCUGAAAAAAAUACAAAAAUUGGAAGUAGUCCGGAAGUGCGCAAGGAGGCGACAAGCCUGCACGGCGCUGGCCCUGGGACAGAGCCGUGCAGGCUUGUUGCCACCUCGUGCGCCUCCCAGACUCCGUUUUCGUGCGGGGUACUCCUUCUGGUUUGAAAAAAUCAUUAUAUAUACUCCCGUUUGGUCUGACCCCUGCAUCACGCAGAUUUCCUCUGUUUUUCGUUUCGAGCCUGUUUUCUACCGCAGAUCUAGGUCAACAUGUCUUCUCAGGAUUCAGAGGGGGAGAGCUAUGUGGCUGAUUACCUUGCUAACCCCAAGGUCUAUGGGGACUUUGAUCUUUAUGGCUGGACCUCUGAUGAGGAAGAAGAUUAAAGAUCCCAAGGGGAAGGAACAAAUGAGUUCCGAUGAAGAGGAGGCUCCUCUACCUCAACCUGGACACACACAUGUGGAGUUCAAGAAGUCGAGCCUCCAUGACUCAAGGAAGAAGCCUAAGACCUUGUUUAUCCCUUCUCGUUUCUUGCAGGAGAGUAAGCAGGAAUUAUGCAAAAGGGUGUUGACGCUUGAAGAGGAAAAUGAUGAUCUGAGGGAGCAGAAUUUUAAGGUCAAGUGGAAAUUAAACAAGCUCAAGACCUCUUCAACAACUCCUCCGCCAUCACCACCAAAGGAAGACAACUGUGCAUUGGUAUGGGCAAUCCUCUUGGCUUGUGCCAAGCUCGUGGGAGUUGCCCCGGUAUCGUAUCACCAUCACAUCUUUUGCCUUUACCUUUGUUUUAGUUUUGCUUUUCAGUUUUCUCUUUCUCUAGUAGAUUAAAAGUCUUAGUUUUUUAGUCUUGAGUUUCGGUUUGUGUCACCCCCGAUGUAUUCGAGCUCAUGAGCCAUAUAAUAAAGAGUGUCUUAGUUUAAGGGCUUUGCCUCUUUCCAUGAUCAAAAGAGUGAGAACAGAACGAAAGCAUGAAAGAUCAUGUAAUGAUCUUAUGUGAAGUGAUGGCUUCACAUAUAAAAAGAAUGAUGAUUGAAACUUGUUGAGGGUAGACAAACGUAGACCUUGGUCAUGGUUGCAAUUAAUAGGAAGUGAUAAAGAAGGAGAGGUUCACAUAUAAAUAUAUCAUCUCUGACACCAUCUAUGAUUGUGAACACUCACUAAACUAUUGCAUGCCUAGAAGUAGAUGUUGGACAAGGAAGACAACAUAAUGAAUUGUGUUUGCUUGGCUCCGAACAAUGAUAUAUGAGUAGAUAUCCCUUAGCAUGUGACGAUUGCUUCCACCUCACAUUAGCCAAACCUCCCGCACCAAGUAGAGAUACUACUUGUGCAUCCAUAAACCAUCAACCCAGUUUUGCCAUGAGUGUCCACCAUACCUACCUAUGGAUUGAAUAAGAUCCCUCAAGUAAGUUGUCAUUGGUGCAAGCAAUAAAAAUUGCUCUCUAAUAUGUAUGAUCUAUUAGUGUGUGGAAAAUAAGCUUUGUAAGAACCUGUCAUGAGGAAGACAUAAAAGCGACAGACUGCAUAAUAAAGUUCUUUAUCACAGGAGGCAAUAUAAAAUGACGUUCCUCCGCACUAAGAGGACACGCAUCCAAACCUCAAAAGCGCAUCACAACCUCUGCUUCCCUCUGCGAAGGGCCUAUCUUGUACCUUUACUUUUUGCCCUUGAAAGACUCAUGUUGAUCUUCACAAAUUCCAUGUUUCGCCUUUAUCUUGGCUAACGUCAUAUGCUUGGGAAAGAUCUAUAUUCAUAUGUCAACUUGGAAGUAAGUAUUCAUGAAUUAUUUUUGUUGACAUUACCCUUGAGGUAAGCAGUUGGGAGGAAAAACUGUAAGCCCCUAUCUUUCUCUGUGUUCAGCUGAAACUUUGAUCUCAUGAGUACCACAUGAGUUGUAGCAAUUGUAGAGAACUAAAGAAUGAUUGAGUAUGUGGAUUUGCUUUACAAGCUCUUAUUUGACUCUUCCUGAUGUUGUGAUAAAUUGCAAUUGCUUCAAUGACUAAAGGCUAUCGGUUGUUACUUCUCGGUAAGGUUCUUGAUCAACGCUUUACUUUCUGAAGGAAUUAUCACUUUGGCAUGAUAGAUUAUAUGUUGGUAUUGCUGUUCUGAUCAUGAUCAUGAUGCAUGCAUGUUCGUAUCUUGUUUUGUCGACACCUCUCUCCCUAAACGUGUGGACAUAUUUAUUGAGCUAGGCUUUCGCUUGAGGACAAGCAAGGUCUAAGCUUGGGGGAGUUGAUACGUCCAUUUUGCAUCAUGUUUUCAUGUUGUUAUUUAUCGCUUUUUGGGCUGUUAUUUCACUUCAUGGUACAAUUCUUAUGCCUUUUCUCUCUUAUUUUGCAUGGUUUACAUGAAGAGGGAGAAUGCCGACAACUGGAAUUCUGGCCUGAAAGUGGAGCAAAGUUGAGAUACCUAUUAUGCGCCACUUCAAACGCCGUAAAAAUCAACGAGGAUUUUUUUCCGGAUUUAUAUAAAAUACUGGGCCGAAGAAGCGCUAGAGGGGCGCCAGCAGGUGGCCACAACCCUGCACGGCGCGGCCACCCCCCCCAGGCCGCGCCAUGAGGGCUUGUGGGCAGCCUGCUGGCCCACUGGCCCCCUCUUCUUCUAUAUGAAGGGUUUCGUCCAGAAAAAAAAAUCAGGGAGGAGCUUUUUCAUGGAUUCGCCGCCGCCACGAGGCGGAAGUUGAGCAGAACCAAUCUAGAGGUCCGACAGGACGAUCCUAUCGAGGAAACUUCACUCCCGGAGGGGGAAAUCGUCGCCAUUGUCAUCACCAACACUCCUCUCAUCGGAGGGGACUCGUCACCAUCAACAUCUUCAUGAGCACCAUCUCAUCUCCAAACCCUAGUUCAUCACUUGUAACCAAUCUCCGUCUCGCGACUCCGAUUGGUACUUGUAAGGUUGCUAGUAGUGCUGAUUACUCUUUGUAGUUGAUGCUAGUUGGAUUAUUUGGUGGAAGAGUUUAUGUUCAGAUCCUUGAUGCUACUCAUUACCUCUCUGGUCAUGAAUAUGAUUAUGCUUUAUGAGUAGUUACUUUUGUUCCUGAGGACAUAGGAUAAGUCAUGCUAAUAGUAGUCAUGUGAAUUUGGUAUUCGUUCGGUAAUUUGAUAUGUUGUAUGUUGUUUUUCCUCUAGUGGUGUUAUGUGAACGUCGACUACAUAACACUUCACCAUUACUUGGGCCUAGAGGAAGGCAUUGGGAAGUAGUAAGUAGAUGAUGGGUUGCUAGAGUGACACAAGCUUAAACCCUAGUUUAUGCGUUGCUUCGUAAGGGGCUGAUUUGGAUCCACUAGUUUAAUGCUAUGGUUAGACUUUGUAUUAAUUCUUCUUUCGUAGUUGCGGAUGCUUGCGAGAGGGGUUAAUCAUAAGUGGGAUGCUUUUACAAGUAAGGGCACCACCCAAGCGCCGGUCCACCCACAUAUCAAACUAUCAAAGUAACGAAUGUGAAUCAUAUGAAUAUGAUGAAAACGAGCAUGACAAAAAUUCCCGUGUGUCCUCGGGAGCAUUUUUCCUCCUAUAAGACUUUGUCCACGCUUGUCCCUUGCUACAAAAUGGAUUGGGACACUUUGCUAAACCGUUGCUACUUUUGUUACUUGUUGCUUGCUACGAAUCAUCUCACCACACAAUCACUUGUUACCGACAAUUUCAGUGCCUGCAGAUUUUACCUUGCUGAAAACCACUUAUCAGAUCCUUCUGCUCCUCGUUGGGUUCGACACUCUUACUUAUCGAAAGGACUACGAUUGAUCCCCUAUACUUGUGGGUAAUCACUCGCCUAGUGCAGUGUGUCUUGGAUGUUUCAGUGUUUGUCAUGCUAGAGAAGGGCUGCGAGAUUCUCCGAGACAUCCACCAGGGCGAGGGAGGUCACCACGGCGUAGCGCUCUCCCUUGUUGACAAAGCCUUCUGCCACGUGUUCUAUAGGUUGGACGCCCUCGUGGAUGCCACUGAGCUGGCCGACAAGUGCAACCGUUGCCAUCAUUUCAAGGGGCGAAGACACCAUCCAGCCACCGCCCUACAAACCAUCCAACUCACAUGGCCCUUUGUCGGCUGGGUCCUGGAAAUGGUGGGCCCAUUGAAAACCACCUGAGGCGGCGUGACACAUCUUCUGGUGGCCGUUGACAAAUUCACGAAGUGGAUAGAGACCAGGCCGAUCGAGAAGCUCGACGUCCCAACGACCAUCAUAUUCAUUAAGGACAUCACCAUCCUCUAUAGCCUGCCAAACAACUCAGCACCGAGAACGACAACAACUUUUCCAAAGGCGUGUUGGCUUGCUACUUCAAGGUGUAGGGAAUCCGUCUCGACCUCGCAUCAGUGGUCCACCCACACUCGAACAACCAAGCGGAUCGGGGACAAUGACCCAAUCCUGGACCACCAGAAACCAUAGCUGGUCGAGCCUCUAGAGCGCUCGGCCGGUGCUUGGGUCAAGGAGCUGCCAUGUAAUAGCCCGGAACUGACGCUCAGAAAGAUUCCCCUUUUUAUUCCAUUGUUGUCCUAUGAUUUUUUUGUUUGUUGCAUUCAUAAUCGCAUCAUGUCCAUCAUCCGCAUUGCAUCGGCACUCCAUUGUCGUCUGUUUUCAAAACUUGCAUCCGUUGUUAGUUGCCAGAUCUCUCUAUUUUCGUUGUUGACCAUUUUAAGACCAACCACACACGCGCGCGCCCACAACAUCGGUAAAUUUUGUUUUUAAAAGUGUGUACAAAAUUUUCUCGGAAUGGGUUUAAAGUUGGCAUGCGGUCUUAAUAUAGUGUAGGUAGAGCGCCUACCAAAUAUUGUCGCAUUUGGAGUUCGUUUGAUAUCCGAACCAUUGAAGCUAUUGCGGUAAUAUAGUCGGUCGAAUGUGAGACGUUUUCGGAGUUUAAAAUCUGAUGCUGGGCUACCCGUUUUCCCUCUCUUCUAUUACUAGCAUCCUCUACACAUUGCACAAACCCUACACGCAACCUAGCCCGAAGACCUCUCGGAACCCGAAAUAUAUGCUUGUGACCAUUGGGUUCAGAUGAACCCCGUAAUAACCCAAACCGUCAUUGAUUUUUCAAUUGGACUCCCUAGCCUAUUUUUCUGGACCAUCCGAUAAAGAUAGAAGGGUCCAAAUAGACCCUAACCAACCUACCUACUAUAUAUAACAAUCAUCCAAUUCCAUUUAUAGACCAAACCCAAGGAAUUAGGGACAAGUUCACACGUUUUCCUGGGCGCCACCGCCACCCCAGCCAUCUCGCUCGGGAUCCAUCCCCAUCCAACCAGCGCCCGAUUGCUCCUCUACCGUUGGAUGCGUCCACCCAUCCACAGCUGCCCUCACACCCAUGCUCCAGAUGAGGCGUCCGAUCUCCCUGUGCUCUAGCAGGAGCUCGACUAUGCUGCCUCUCCGCUCUUGGAUGUGCCCGACCACCCGAAGCUGCCCUCGUCCUGGCAACCACAAGGCACCAGGUCCUGGCCGUGCCUCCCCCUUGCCCUCUCUUCUCCUCCCUCCGUUUUCGUCUACUCCCUCUAAUGUAUGUAGCUCUCCCUCUUUUCUGUAAUAGAGCAGGAACAAGCAAGAGCUUCAGUUCUGGUCAUGGCAUCGAGGGAGCACCCUCCCGUGGGACCUCCAUCCCAACUCCGUCUGGAUCUGGUGCCCCGCGGAUCGAUCCGCGACCCCGUGCCUCAUCCCCGAUCUUGCUGCUUCAUCUCCUCGUCGGGACCCGCCUUGCCAUGGUCCAUGGCCACGAGGAGGUGCUGCAUGCUGCCCCUGUUGUCCUGUGCGUUUAGCCAGUGCGCGAGCCUACUUCGAUGGUCGCGUCUCGGGCCAUGCCAAGGUCGAGCUCCGCCCGAGCCGCUCGUCUGUGCUGCCGUCGUGCCAUGACCGCGCAUGUUGGAAAUAUGCCCUAGAGGCAUUAAUAAAGUCGGAAGGUUUUGUCGNNNNNNNNNNNNNNNNNNNNNNNNNNNNNNNNNNNNNNNNNNNNNNNNNNNNNNNUGUUGGAAAUAUGCCACAGAGGCAAUAAUAAAGUGGUUAUUAUUAUAUUUCCCAGUUCACGAUAAUUGUCUAUUAUUCAUGUUAUAAUUGUAUUAACCGGAAACCGUAAUACAUGUGUGAAUAUAUAGAUCACAAUGUGUCCCUAGUAAGACUCUAGUUGGCUAGCUCGUUGAUCAAUAGAUGAUCAUGGUUUCCUGAUCAUGGACAUUCGAUGUCAUUGAUAGCAGGAUCACAUCAUUGGGGAAUGAUGUGAUGGAAAAGACCCAAUCCUAAGUGUUGGGGAUAUUAUCUGUUGGGUAACCCGCCCUAGUUGGGCUGGGUCACCCAAGUUGGCGACUCAUCUCCAAGUGGUUCCGGCCUUGGCCCAGCGAGGCCGGGAGUCGUAUGACGGUUCAGGACCUUCGGGAGAAGUCCAUUGUAGGGAAGAUCUCCAAGUCUUGGAAAGAUGGCGACUUAGAGAUCGAAAGAAUCACGAUUUAUGUGAAUGAAAGGACUCUUGUAAACCCUAAGGACUUGCCCUGUAUAUAAAGGCGAGUCCCAGGGAAGGAGAGGACGGGUUAGAAAUCAUCGAGUGCUAGGUCAGGCGAGUUACGCCCCCUUGUAACCGAAACACCAUCAAUACAAACACCAAGCAUGACGUAGGCCUUUACCUCCUCACGAGGGGCCGAACCUAGGUAAAUCUCUGUCUCGCUCCCGCAUAACCCCUUUGAGUCGCCACCAAGGUGCGAUGGCUCCAACACUAAGUACUUUCACGAGGACAUCUGCCGUGACAAAACCACGACAGUUGGCGCCCACCGUGGGGACUACGCACGGUGGAGUUGAGUUCUCAAAGGGAGCCCUACCAGGGUCCAGAGCUACGCAGCGGGGCUCAUGACUCGGAGCCGCCGCAGGAAGUACUACAUCAAUAACUUGCUAUGGGGGCCCGAGGCCGAUUCGAUCGAAUCCGGCUAUAGAAUCCCCUUCGGCAAGAACAACGUCUUCGUCGGCGUGGUUGGAUCGCCUAUGCCUGAGCCGGACAUCUCCUCCGACAUCGUCGAGCCGGCCAGGUACGUCCGCCCUGUCGCAACGCCAAACCUAACCCGUCCGGUCUUUGUUGGGUUCAUGCAGGGAUCUGAGGAACCAGAACAAUCGGCGAACCAGGAGACCACGCCGGCGAACACUGAUGACGAAUCAUCCAUGGGCGAUUCAGAUUCAAUUCAGUCUCUACAUGGGGGCUGUUUUGGGGGCUUGUCAUUAGCCAUGGACCCCGAGGUUCUUGAACGGACCCGCCGUCAGAUCACCAUUUACAUGGCAGGGCGACUCAGCCCUCGCCAAACCCGGCAGGCGGAUAUGGGGCUGGCAAAAUGUCUAGAAGCCCGGCCGUGAUCUUGGUGGAGUUAGCGGCGGAGAUAACAAGGCUCAUGGCGACCCCCAUAACGUCAGAAAACCAGGACGCGAUAAACACGGAGCUAACAAAACUAAGAGAUUGGGUGGCAAAGGCUCAACGGGACGCUGAGGUGGAAGCCGCCAGGAUCGAGACCCGGCAGGCUCAAAUUACCGCUGAGGUAGCUCGCUUGAAUACCGAAAACUGGCGGCUCGAAAGGGAUCAGUGCGCAUCUGACGCCGUCCAUCAGUGGAGGCAUCAGGGUUGUUUACCCCCUGAUCUCAACCCGACCUGCCUGUUUGACACUCCACAAACUCCCGGGGUAGGAGACGCCCCGAGGGGAGGGCCGGGCCAGCCACCAAACCCGCCGUUUCAGCCAGCUGUGGAUCGCGUUCCCUGAUUCCAUACACCUCAAGGUCACUUUUCCAACCUGGUGCACAACGUCCUUGCCGCAACUCGCCAAUUGGAAUCCCUUCCAAUUCAUGGCAACACUCCAGCUGAGAUAGAAGCAGGGAACGCCAUUGAGAUGUUGAAGACGGCGGUGGUUCAAAACGCCCAGUUCUCACACAGCCUAGAUCGGCUGCACUCCACUCCCCAGACAAGCCGCGCCAGGAGUCGACCAGAGGACCAGCCCGCCAUAACUAGCGGACCGUGACCUUUUCCCCAGGUUAACUCACCUGAUCACCGAGACCCGCCAGGUCGGGAUCACCCGGACACCCAAGUCGCCCCAGCGCCUCUUGUUGGAAGCGGCAGACAAGUGGGGGUGCCAUGCUUGGCCCCCGCCCUUCGCAACGAGCGAAUGCCCAAGGAUUUUAAAGGACCAAGAAAGGUGCCUAACUACACUCCGGACCUUGAGCCGGCGUCAUGGUUGAGAGUUAUGAAAUCGCCAUGGACAUGCUCGAUGUAAGCGAAGUAGUCUCCGCCAGAUACUUCACAAUGAUGCUCGAAGGGACGGCGCGUACUUGGUUAAAAAACUUGCCCCCCCAACUCCAUCCAGUCUUGGGCCGAACUAAAAGAGCGUUUCGUCAAAAAUUUCCGAGGGACCUGCAAGCGCCCAAUCACGAUAGUCGAUUUACAGCACUGUGUUCAACGCCCGGAUGAGUCGGCCCACCGCUGGACGCGGAGGGUCACGGAAAUCAUUCAUUCGUCAGAUGGUAUCACGGCGGCUCAGGCUGUGCUAAUCCUGGAGCAGAACUGCCACUAUGAGCCCUUGGUGCAGAAGUUGGGACGACUCAAGCGAAAGGUGCAAGAUAUGGGGGAGCUAAUGGACACCCUCACUAGGUACGCUGAGGUGGACGACACCAAAGAUCCAGGAGAAGAUGGUGGUAAGGCCAACUCGCCAAGGAAAGGCGAGUCAUCCAAAAAUUAUACCCGGUUCCAGGGACGCGCCCGCUAUAAUCAUGGAGCGAAUGGCAAAAGAAGGCAGCAGGAAGAGUCUUCGGACUUAGUCGCCAACACCAACGUCAACAAUGGAAACCAGCGCCAGAAGAAGAAUAGGGGUUACAACGGCAAAAAGCCACGCAAAUAUAAUGAGUUACUGAAGGGCCCCUGCCCGCACCACGCCAUGGCAGACGGACCGGCGACCCAUUCCUGGGAGGACUGUUACGUGAUGCGGGAGUUCCGGGCGGAGGCGAUCAAAAAAUGGCAAGGCGGCGACCCGGACCAACGGCAGGAACAGUUUGGCGCACCUAAUCAACGCCAGAGCCAAUUCGGCGGCUUCCCCGAACCCGGGGCUCAGGGCGGCUCGCAGCCAAACAGUGGCCAGUAUCCGGUGCAUCACCAACAACGGUAUAACCCGCCGGGAGUCUUUCAACAACCACCCCCAUAGGGGGCUCCGCACGGGCAGGAUGACAAUGGCGGUUUCCGCAACAACCCCAAUCAGUUAAGUAAUGGGCAGUACCACGUUUUCACCACCAAGCGUACAGUGUAUCUGAGCCGGCGCUCCCUAGAUAUCUCCACUGGUCCGAGCAGACUAUAUCAUGGAGUAGGGAGGAUCACCCGCCAAGUGUUGACAAUCCCAGCGACUUAGCGUUGGUCGUGGCUCCUCAAGUUGGAGGAUAUACCUUAUCGAAGGUACUGAUGGAUGGUGGUAGCAGCAUCAACAUAUUAUACUUCGACACCUUUCGAAGGAUGAACCUGUUGGAGAAAGAUUUGAUGCCCUCAACCACGGUAUUCCAUGGGAUUGUCCCAGGUAAAUCGGCGUACCCCAUAGGCCGAGUUAGGCUCACAGUUGCGUUUGGAACAACCCAAAUAGAGGAGUCAGUCGCUUAUAUUUGAGGUGGUUAAGUUAAAAAGCCCCUAUCAUGCGCUGUUUGGGUGACCGGCUUACGCCCGGUUCAUGGCUCGCCCCUGCUAUGUCUACCUUAAACUCAAGAUGCCUGGUCCUAAAGGACCCAUCAUAGUUGAUGGUGAUAGAAGGAUUGCAAGAGAGUGUGAAGAAGGGGAUGCGGCUUACGCAGAAGUCGCCUGCGCCGCGGAAGAGCUUAAAUAUCACCAGGCCAAUGUUGAUCCGGCUGACAUGUCACCUUUAAAGAAGCCAACGACAGACGUUGAGCCGCCCCUCAAUUUCAAACCCACAGACGACAGUAAGACAGUGGAUUUCGUCCCUGGCGACUCAACCAAGCAGUUCACUAUCGGGGCGGGUCUAGACCCCAAAUAGGAAAGCGCGCUCAUCGAAUUCAUCCGUGAGAAUCGGGACAUCUUCGCAUGGAAACCUUCUGACAUGCCUGGUGUGCCGAGAGAAUUCGCUGAGCACCAUCUUAAUGUUGACCCAAAAGAAAAACCAAUUCAGCAAUAUCUUCGAAGGUUCAAUGAGGAACGACGCAUGGCAAUCGGGGAAGAAGUUGCCCGUCUCUUGGCCGCCGGAUUCAUCGUAGAGGUCUUCCACCCCAAAUGGUUGGCUAACCCGGUUCUGGUGCUCAAGAAGAACGGUACCUUCCGCAUGUGCAUUGAUUACACAGAUCUUAAUAGAGCUUGUCCAAAGGAUCCUUUCGCCCUUCCCUGUAUCAAUCAAAUUAUUGAUUCAGUGGCGGGAUGCGAGCGUUUGUGUUUCUUGGACGCUCAUUCCGGGUAUCACCAAAUCAAGAUGGCUGUGGAAGAUCAGGAGAAAACAACUUCUAUAAUCCCCUUCGGGGAUUUUUGCUAUGUGUCCAUGCCAUUUGGGCUCAAGAGUGCAGGGGCGACUUACCAGCGCUGCAUCCAAAAUUGCCUCCGUGGCCAAAUCAGACGCAACGUUCAUGCUUACGUUGACGACAUUGUGGUUAAGACUCACAGGAAGGAAACAUUACUGCAAGACCUAAGGGAAACUUUUGAUAAUCUGCGGGUAUACCAGAUGAAGCUUAAUCCCACCAAGUGUGUCUUCCGCGUUCCUGCAGGAAAAUUGUUGGGUUUCCUGGUAUCUGAGCGCGGCAUUGAAGCUAACCCAGACAAAAUCGAGGCUGUUACUUCCCUUGGGAAACCAGCGAGUAUCAAUCAAGUUCAACAUAUGGCGGGUCGUAUUGCGGACUUAAGUCGCUUCAUAAGCCGUCUGGGAGAAAAGGCUAUUCCCCUUUAUCAGUUUCUUAAGAAAUUUGACCAUUUUGUUUGGACAGACGAAGCCAAUGAAGCUUUCGAAGCCUUAAAACGGCACCUGGUCAACCCGCCGGUUUUGGCCGCCCCGACUGAGAAAGAGCCUAUGCUUCUGUAUAUUGCGGGAAACUCCAAAGCGAUGAGUGUGGCAGUGGUCGUCGAAAGGAAGGAAGAAGGGAAGGAAUAUCCAGUGCAACGCCCGGUGUAUUUCAUUAGCGAGGUGCUAACUCUCUCCAAGCAGCGAUACCCACACUGGCAGAAGUUAGUUUAUGGGGUCUUUAUGUCAAGUCGAAAGCUCAAACAUUAUUUCCAAGAGCAUCCCAUCAUGGUGGUUAGCUCCGCUCCCCUCGGGGACAUCAUCCAGAAUCGGGAAGCGACAGGGCAAAUCGCCAAGUGGGCAAUCGAACUCGGGCCGCACCACGUGCGAUACACCCCUCACAUGGCUAUCAAGUCUCAGGCCUUGGUUGAUUUCGUCAAUGAUUGGACCGAGUUACAGAUCCCAGAGGACAGGCCUGACCUUACAUACUGGACUAUUUAUUUUGACGGGUCUAGACAGUUGGAAGGCUCGGGGGCUGGUGUGGUGCUCAUAUCGGCUCAAGGAGACAAAUUCUGCUAUGUCCUCCGACUCAUGUUUCCAUGUACCAACAAUGCUGCGGAAUACGAAGCUUUACUUCAUGGCUUGCGAGUCGCCAAGGAGAUGAACCUUACGCGGGUCAGAUGUUUUGGCGAUUCUGAUUUGGUGGCUCAGCAAGUUUCAGGUACUUGGGAUUCUCGGGACCCCCUGAUGGCGGCUUACAGGAGGGCUAUGUCUGAUGUGGCGGGUCACUUCCAUGGUUAUCAGGUCGAUCAUAUCGACCGGUGCCUUAACGAAGCAGCUGAUGCCCUUUCACGUCUCGGUUCGCAGCGUAAGCCGGUUCCCCCCAAUGUCUUUGUGGAUACUCUGCAUAAUCCCUCCGUAAGGUUACCCUCGGAGGAGGAAUUGGCAAUACCAGACCCUGAGUCUCAGUUCGUGGCGGCUCUCCAUGUUACGUCGGAUUGGGUUCUUCCGUAUCUGGCAUAUCUCGCCCGAGGUGAGUUACCUUCGGAUGAAGUAUUGGCUCGCCAAAUCGUUCGGCGAAGCAAAUCCAUGGUGAUCAUCAAUGGCAAAUUAUAUAAACGAAGCACUUCUGGGGUUUUUCAAAGAUGUGUUUCCUCUGAAGAAGGAUGCGUAAUUCUAAACGACGUUCAUUCCGGAGAUUGUGGGCAUCACGCCGGGUCACGUUCCUUGGUUUCAAAGGCGUUCCGUCAUGGUUUCUUUUGGUUGACGGCCCAUGCAGAUGCAGAGGAGAUAGUUCAUCGAUGUGACGGAUACCAGCGUUAUGGACAACAGGCCCAUGUGCCGGCUCAAGAAAUAAGGAUGAUACCUAUCACUUGGCCUUUCGCGGUCUGGGGGUUAGACAUGGUUGGCCCCUUUAAGAUAUCGUCCAAAAAAAACUCAUCUGCUGGUGGCGGUUGAUAAGUUUACCAAGUGGGUCGAGGCAGAAGCUGUUGGAGCCUGCGACGCGGAAACAGCGGUCAAAUUUUUGAAAAAGUUGAUCUUCCGGUUUGGAUAUCCACACAACAUUAUUACUGACAAUGGCACUAAUCUGUCUCCAGGAGCGAUGCAUGAGUUUUGCCAUCGUGAGCACAUCCGGCUUGAUGUUUCUGCAAUAGCUCAUCCACAAUCUAAUGGGCAGACCGAGCGGACGAAUCAGGAAGUGUUGCGAGGAAUGAAACCCCGACUCAUGAUUCCCCUAGAAUGCACCCCAGGGUGUUGGGUUGAGGAGUUGUCUUCAGUACUAUGGAGCAUCCGGACCACCCCGAACCGUUCUAUGGGUUUUACUCCUUUCUUUCUGGUAUAUGGAGCAGAAGCCGUUCUUCCCACUGACAUUAGGCAUGACUCGCCCAGAGUUGCCGCUUAUGUGGAACAGGACAACGAGUUGGCACGUCAAGAUUCUUUGGACGCUUUGGAGGAAGCACGUGAUUUGGCUGCAGCCCGUUCGGCGGUUUAUCAGCAGGACUUGCGGCGUUAUCAUAGCCGCCAGGUCAAGAGCCAAGCCUUUCAGGAGGGCGACUUAGUACUUCGAUUGAUACAAGAUCGUACUGGCAUGCAUAAGUUAUCACCACCGUGGGAAGGACCGUUCGUCGUCAGCAAAAGCCUUCGCAACGGGUCCUAUUAUCUGCUGGAUCUACGGCCUGAUCGGCCAACCACGGAGGCUGAGUCAACUCGCCCCUGGAACAUAGGCCACUUGUGGCCUUAUUAAACUUGAGCUAACUAGCUCUGCCUUUUUGCAAGUUUUUUCAUUUUCUUAUGAAGCAAUAAAGUUGAUGCCUCCAGGCUUGGGGGAUUUCCUGCUAAUUCAUCUUAUUGAAAGUAUGGAUCUUUAUUUUACUCUUCAAAAAGUCGCCCAAGCAUGGACGCAAUCUAUACCAAAGAGCUUAAGUCGCCAUGAUGCGCUUAUUACAAAACUGGGUAUCGAUAAGCCAAAGAGGAUCGAAGUCGCUACGAGCGCGCGAUUCAAACUUAGGCGCCUUAUAUGAUUCUGUGGAUUAGGCCGGCUUACUUGAGGGCAGUUUGUUCUGAAGUCGUUUUGUGGUAAUAGCGUAUACGCUUCUACAAUCCUAUGACGGUCUUUCCCUUAAUCAUAGGUCACUUGGGGGCUUCCUCUCACUGAGAUCAGCCUUACUACCCAUUUGGCCUGUGAAAAAUUACCACAUUACAAAUGGUUAUACUGGACUGUGUGUUGGCCGAAUCGCCAUAUGGACCCAUGAACUCUUGGCGAGUUACUCCGCUUAUGGACCCUGAACUCGCCUUGGUUAAAACAUGUCUAGUACCGGCUAGCGCCUCACAUGGAAAAUAGAGAAACCAUUGGUUCACUGAACCCGCUUCACUGAAGCUUGACUCACGCCUGAUCAGCCGGUCUAAAUACUUGAGCUUUUUAUACAAAAGUCUCCCUCGGGUAGCACUUGAGUUUAUUUAACUCGUCCUAUCUUGUCGCGACCUGAUGAGCCGACGAAAUUGCUAUUUUUUACCUUCCUGGCACUGCCACAAGGUCUUUCAGACUCUUUUGUGACUCGCCUCAAAUAUCUUGCGUCGGUUAUUAUUUAUUAUCAUCGAUUACUCAUUGAGAUGAUUUGAUAUAUGUUUUUAAGCCUAACAGGUUGAUGAUCAAAAUCAUUCUAGCCAUGGCGGGUCAAGCAUCAUAAAAACGCCUUGAGGGCGGGUCAAGCAUUCUAAGGCGCCUUAAGGGCGACAUAAGGGUUUUCAAGACAUCACAGAAGCAGUUUUGAUCUCUAAAAAGACUUAUUACAUGGCUCUUAUGGCCAAAUCCAUAAAGUAUUAUUCUACUGAUGUCCUCGGGUCAGCCUCCUGCGAGCUCUGGCCGACUUCAAUUUGCAGGUCGCCCAGUACCCAGUUACACUUGGAUAACGCGGCAAACUCAUCUUCAUCGUUCAGCACUGAUGAGAGAUCCACCUCCAAGUCAAAAGGAUUCUUGGGUCGACGCGGAGUUAAGCUGGUUGUCACAAAGGUUGGCGGGUUGACUUUCUUGUUCUUGUUGUCAUAGGCGUCUUGAUAUUUUGCUAAAUCCAAGCUUGCUGCAAGCUGAGUCGCUACCAAACGGGAUUCUUUGACAACACGCUGGUAAUCUUCUUCAGCGAAUUCUGACUCGUCAUCCUUGAGCUGGGGAAAGCCUGCCGCUACCUCUUCCGGGUUUAUUUCUGGAGCAUACGCCAGACACCGACUCAGAGUAGUCAGUGCUCCUUUUUGGGCGGCAGACCGAUUUAACUCACCAAUUUGAGGAGGAAGAGUAGAUAAGCAGCCAAGCAUCUUCUUUAUGGAUGUUAUGGGUUCCUUGGCACCCAUCACUGCUUUCACGGUCAGCACACUUCCGGUCUAUAGCUGCUCCGUUAACGUGUAAAUCGGCGUCAGCAUCAGGACACAAUCAUUCUGAAGAUUGGCGGCUCUUGGACCUGCAUAAGGAGUAACGAUGGUCAGCAAUUUCUACAAACAAAGUUAUUUAUUUACAAAAUACAAGGUCAGGGUUUGGUUUUUUUACCAAAGACGGCUUGUGCCAUGUUGGAGAUAUGUCUCUUUAAGCCGGCCAGCUCUUGUUGCACAGUAUCCAACUUAGCUUCAGCUUUUUCUGCUCGCUUUAUCAAGGCAUCUUGAUCAGCUUGAGCCUUUUUUAAGUCGGCUUUUAGCUUCUCCAUGUGAGAUAAGAUUAGUUGACACUUCUCUUCUGAUUUUGCCCGGGCAUCCUGCUGAUCGGUUAAAUUUUUCUUCAAAUCGCCAAAUGUUGAUUCAGCUUGGGUAAGUGAUUCCUGUCAAAAUAUAUGGUCAAGGGGCAAGCCUCAGAAUUAUUGCAAGCAACAUCCCUGACACUUGGGGGCUAAUGUAUAAUUUUUUAGAUAAAUUAUACAAUAUCAAGACCCGACUCAUCUUUUUACAGAUGACCCGACCCUUGGGGGUUACAGGUCAAAAGUUUUCUUCAAUUAUCAAGACCCGGCUCAACUUUUUACAGAUGACUCGACCCUUGGGGGUUACAGGUCGAAAGUUUCUUCAAUUAUCAAGACCCGACUCAUCUUUUUACAGAUGACCCGGCCCUUGGGGGUUACAGAUCGAAAGUUUUCUUCAAUUAUCAAGACCUGACUCGUCUUUUUACAGAUUACCCGGCCCUUGGGGGUUACAGGUCGAAAGUUUUCUUCAAUUAUCAAGACCCGGCUUAUCUUUUUACAAGAUGACCCGGCUCUUGGGGGUUACAGGCCGACAGACUCAUUUUACUAUUAAUACCCGACUCAUCUUGGAGUCAUACUGGAGAGCUUAGCCUUGGAAAGUUCAUACUCCAUAGCAAGUUGAGCUGAUGAUGAUACAUGUUUCGACAAAACUGUUGUGACCGGCUUAGAAAAGCGAGUGCCGGUGAUGACCACACCGUCUGGGUCUUCUGCUGUUUUCAAUGGACUUGGCGGAUUAGGCGUGUCCAUAGUUUCCUUGGGCGAGCUUGGGAGAUCGAUUUGAUCCUCAGGUUUAUCUUGGGCCGGGUUAUCCUGGAUCGGCGCCGAUUUUUCAACAAGCUCCAAAGCUGUAAUGGGAGUUGACCCGCCAGUUUUCCUUUUCUUUGCUUGUGCCCUAAAUGCAAAAGGGGGUGCGUUUAAAUGAACAGACAUUACCACCAUCAGAACAAAGGUAAGUGUUAUAAAAGACUUACCCUGGGACACGGAUCAUCGGUGGAAGUGCUGACAUCACUGAGUCGCCGGAUGAAGGAGGAGAACUCUACAAAAAUAAUACUUCAAAGAUGUGAGCGAGUUAUAACCGCGAUCCAAAAGAAAAUGAAGAGGUGCUAUUAAAAGAUACCUCAUUUUGCCUUUUCUUGGUUUUUGUUGGUAACCCGGACACCAAGUCUCCAGUAUGACUCCGAGUUUUCCGAUUUGAAGCAUUUGGGUGUGAGAAGGGAACUUUCCCACAAAUUGGCCUGGCUGGCUUAAGUGGAGGAGAAGAUGAGUCGGAGGAAACAGAAAUUACCUCUACAGAGUCUUCCUGGCUUUCAUUGUCCUCAUUCUACACAAGAGAUACAAAGGCGUAAACACAAAACUAUCAACAAUGAAUGGUGAGUUAAAGAGGAUGGAUUUUUACCUCUGAAAGUACGUCGCCGACUUGGGAUUCAUCGGCGUCAGACGGCUCAGUGACGGCGGCUUUGCCCUUGCCCUUGGACUUCUUCUUUGGAGGCGGCUUGGCUUGCUUCAAGGCCAUCUUUUUUGGCCUCCUGGACCAGAAUUUGUCACGUUUCUGAAAUGACAUUUUUUAUUAUAAGAGGUCAUAUCUCAAGUAAGACGGAACGAAUAAAGCAAAAGCGGGUUAAGUUAUUUUACCUUUGGUGCCGGAUUGAUCUUGCAGGACGGCUUAAGACCUAUUUGGCCGCACUUGGCCGUGGGUUCGCCGGUCAAUUUCUUGAUGAUGGUUACAAUAUCAUUUUCUGUCAGUGUUGUGUGGAAGUAGCAUUGGGGGUGAUCCAGGGUGCCGUCAAAAUCACACAUUAAUCCGUACCGACGACUUAAGGGGAGGAUACACCAUUCGACCCAGCAGCGGAUUAAGUCUACCCCGGUAAGGCCAUUGUUUGUCAGAGAUCUUAACUUGGACAGUACUGGGAUAAAAUCUGACUCCUCUUCUUCGGUGAGCUUGUCUGGGAGUUUGAAAUUUGUUGGAAGGCGAUCCUCCCAAUAGCCAAGAAGCUUGUUCUCACCCUCAGGCGAAGUCUCCUGGCAGUAAAACCAAGACUCGCCCCAGCCUUUGGGAUAGCUUGGCAUGGCGAGUGACAGGAAUGAACUACCCCUACGGCGUUGAACAUUGACACCUCCAAGCUCCAAGCUAGGGCAAUUGGAAAAUUCUGUCUGGCAAUUCAAAUGGAAGAAGUACCAGAAUAAAGGAACUGAGGGUUCCAUCCGCAAGUAGGCCUCACAGAACACCUGGAACUGGCAUAAAUUGCUUAUCGAGUUGGGCCCUAAGUCCUGGAGGCAGACAUUCAUAAAGGUCAUGGCAUCUCGGAGGAAUUUUUAUCCGUACGGCUUAAAACCCCGUUCAAGGUGUUCAACAAAAACAACUAUCUCCCCUUCCUUCGGGUUGGGGAUCUCCUCUCCUAACCCGGAACGCCAACCGAUAACCUCUUGAGGGUCCAGAUUCCCCGUUUUCACACAGUUGUUAAGGAGAGUAUCAUCAACCUUGGUCGGGAGCCAAUCACUUUUGAAAACGAUGCCCAUGCUACAAAGGGACAAAAUUACGCGUAAAUUAACACGCCAAGCAUCUACUAAAUGGUGAAACAGAUUCAUUUGACUCGCCAAACAGUUUGCCUGAUAGCUGAGGUUGUUUUUUGACUCGCCGAUAAAGGUCCGGGUUAGGAUACCAGGGCGAGAUGGUUCACAGCUUCAGUAGUGUCCACCAAAAUGGUGAAGUAUGAAUCCAUAAACAGGUUUCACGCGACAGGCAGUAAUAUAUGGAUCUAUAGAACAUGUAGAAAUGAAUGCAAAAAGGUCUUGGUAAAACGGCCUAUGACCAAGAUGAAAAUAGUAGAGUUGAUCUGGUGAAAUCCUUUCUAAGUCUGCAAAUCAAGGCUAAGCAACUAAGGGUAUGGAAAAUGUUGUUGUACUCGCUAUCAUCACCACUAACUAGCCGGGAAUUACAAAGCUAUUCGAGAUGUUCUAAAGAAACAGUGGACAUGAACUCGAGAAGCGUAGAUCUGCCUUCAAUGGCGGGAGGCUGACCUGGUAAAUGCAGCUGGAGGCGUCUGAAGAAAGAUUCGCGGCGAGCAUCGCACGUUCAGCAGCUCCCAGACGGCGGUGAAGAUCUCGGACAGUGACGAAGAUCUCGGACGGCGACGAAGUGCUCGGACGACAGCGAAGCUUCGGGCGGCGACGAAGUUCUCGGGCGGCGGCGGAGCUGUUGGGCGGCGAUGAAGUGCUCGGGCGGCAACGAAGCUCUCGGGUGGCGACGAGGCUCUCGGUGAGACGGCGAGGAAGAAGAGGGCGACAAGAUGGGUAGGUGGAAAUAUGCCCUGUCCCCUCCUCCCGCCUAUUUAUCAGGUCAGGCGCUGGGAUCGAGGCGCCACGAGCGGGAACUGCCAAAAAAGAUAAAGAUUCGCCAUGAUGGCGCCCCAAAAUUUUCGGGAUAGCGAUACCGAAGGAUCCGUUGGACAUUACAUCAUCAUCUCUUCCGAGAUUAAAGGGAUAAGAAGGCGCGAAUAAGAAGUGGUUCAGCGACUUGAGUUUUUCCGCAACAGAUGGCAGUUUAAGUGUAUGGUGCAUGAAAGGAGUGAGAUGAAUCGCCCCUAACUGGGUGAGGAUAUUGGCGUGAAAAAAUUCAAGUCAAUCUGGGGCCUAAUGUUGGGGAUAUUAUCUUUUGGGUAACCCGCCCUAGUUGGGCCGGGUCACCCAAGUUGGUGACUCAUCUCCAAGUGGUUCCGGCCUUGGCCCAGCGAGGCUGGGAGUCGUAUGACGGUUCAGGACCUUCGGGAGAAGUCCAUUGUAGGGAAGAUCUCCAAGUCUUGGAAAGAUGGCGACUUAGAGAUCGAAAGAAUCACGAUUUAUGUGAAGGAAAGGACUCUUGUAAACCCUUAGGACUUGACCUGUAUAUAAAGGCGAGUCCCAGGGAAGGAGAGGAUGGGUUAGAAAUCAUCGAGUGCUAGGUCAGGCGAGUUACGCCCCCUUGUUACCGAAACACCAUCAAUACAAACACCAAGGAGGACGUAGGCCUUUACCUCCUCAUGAGGGGCCGAACCUGGGUAAAUCUCUGUCUCGCUCCCGCAUAACCCCUUUGAGUCGCCACCAAGGUGCGAUGGUUCCAACACGAAGUCCUUUCACGAGGACAUCUGCCGUGACAAAACCACGACACUAAGUAUAGCACUAGAUCGUGUUGUUCGUCUGCUAAAGGUUUUUCUAAUGUCAAGUAUCGUUUCCUCAAAUCAUGAGAUUGUGCAACUCCCGGAUACCGUAGGAGUGCUUUGGGUGUAUCAAACGUCACAACAUAACUGGGUGAUUAUAAAGGUGCACUACAGGUUGUACGAAUCGAGACUGGGAUUUGUCACUCCAUGUGACAGAGAGGUAUCUGUGGGCCCACUCGGUAAUACAUCAGCAUAUUGAGCUCAGUGUGACUAAGGAGUUAGCCGCAGGAUGAUGUGUUACAGAAUGAGUAAAGUAACUUGCCAGUAACAAGAUUGAAAAAGGUACAGGGAUACCGACGAUCGAAUCUCGGGCAAGUAUCAUACCCGUAGACAAAGGGAAUUGCAUACAUGAUUGAUUGAAUCCCCGACAUCAUGGUUCAUCCGAUGAGAUCAUCGUGGAACAUGUAGGAACCAACAUGGAUAUCCACACCCCCUGUUGGUUGUUGACCAGAGAGGUGUCUCGGUCAUGUCUGCAUGCUUGUCGAACCCGUAGGGUCUACACAUUUAAGGUUCGAUGAUGCUAGGGUUAUAGGGAAAUAGUGUACAUGGUGACCGAAGGUUGUUCGGAGUCCCGGAUGAGAUCCUGGAUGUCACGAGGUGUUCCGGAAUGGUCCAGAGGUAAUAUUCAUAUGUAGGAAUUGAGGAUUUGGUCACCGGAAGUGUUUUAGGCGACACCGGUAAUGUACCGGGACCACCGGAUGGGUUCCGGGGGUCCACCGGCAUGGGCCACCAGCCCCAACCUGCUACAUGGGCUAAAAGUGGAAGGGAACCGGCCCCUAAGUGGGUGUUGGGGAACAUCGCAAGGGAAACAAAAAAUUUCCUACGCACAAGAAGACCUAUCAUGGUGAUGUCCAGCUACGAGAGGAGAUCUGGAUCUACGUAGCCUUGUAGAUCGCACAGCAGGAAGCGUUAAGAAACGUGGUUGAUGUAGUGGAACGACCUCACGUCCCUCGAUCCGCCCCGCGAACCGUCCCACGAACAGUCCCGUGAUCCGUCCCACGACCCAUUCCGAUCUAGUGCCGAACAGACGACACCUCCGCGUUCAGCACACGUACAGCACGACGAUGAUCUCGGCCUUCUUGAUCCAGCAAGCAAGACGGAGAAGUAGAUGAGUUCUCCGACAGCGUGACGACGCUCCGGUGGUGGUGAAGGAUCUACUCCUGUAGGGCUCUGCAGAAAUACGAUCUGGAGGUAAAACUAUGGUUUCUAGAUCUGAGUUGCACCUCGCAAAAGUUGUCUCAAGUCAGCCCAAAAUCACCACUAUAUAUAGGAGGGAGGGGAGGAUCCUUGCCUUGAGGGCCAAGCCCUCAAGGGUGCGCUGGCUAGGGAGGAGAACGAGUCCUACUCCAAUCCUACUCCAACUAGGAUUGGAAAGUGGAGUCCUUCCCUUCCUUCCCACCUUUCUUAUUCUGCUUUUCUUUGGUUUUUUAUCCUUGGCGCAUAGGCCCUCUUGGGCUGUCCCACCAGCCCACUAAUGGCUGGUGCGCCACCCCUAGGGCCUUUGGGCUUCCCCUGGGAGGGUUGCCCCCCUCCUGCUGAACAUUCAGAACCCAUUCGUCACUCCCGGUACAAUCCCGGUAAUGCCCGAAAACUUCCCAGUAACCAAAUGAAGUCAUCCUAUAUAUCAAUAUUCGUCUCUCCGGACCAUUCCGGAAACCCUCGUGACGUCCGUGAUGUCAUCCCGGAUUCCGAACAACAUUCGGUAACCACACAUAUAACUCAACUAUACUAAAACAUCGCCGAACCUUAAGUGUGCAAACUCUACGGGUUCGAGAACUAUGUAGACAUGCCCCGAGUUACUCGGUCAAUAUCCAAUAGCGGGACCUGGAUGCCCAUAUUGGAUCCUACAUAAUCUUUGAAGAUCUUAUCGGUUGAACCUCAGUGUCAAGGAUUCAUAUAAUCCCGUAUGUCAUUCCCUUUGUCCUUCGGUAUGUUACUUGUCCUAGAUUCGAUCGUCGGUAUCCGCAUACCUAUUUCAAUCUUGUUACCGGCAAGUCUCUUUACUCAUUCUGUAAUACAAGAUCCCAUGACUUACACUUAGUCACAUUGCUUGCAAGGCUUGUGUGUGAUGUUGUAUUACCGAGUGGGCCCCGAGAUACCUCUCCGUCACACGGAGAGACAAAUCCCAGUCUUGAUCCAUACUAACUCAACUGACACCUUUGGAGAUACCUUUAGAGCACCUUUAUAGUCACCCAGUUACGUUGUCACGUUUGAUGCAUACAAGGUAUUCCUCCGGUGCCAGUGAGUUAUAUGAUCUCAUGGUCAUAGGAACAAAUACUCGACACGCAAAAAACUAUAGCAAUAAAAUGACACGAUGAAUAUGCUACGUUCAUAGUUUGGGUCCAGUCCAUCACAUGAUUCUCCUAAUGAUGUGAUCCAGUUAUCAAGUAACAACACUUUGCACAUAGUCAGAAAACCUUGACUAUCCUUGAUCAACUGGCUAGGCAACUAGAGGUUUGCUAGGGACAUUGUUUUGUCUAUGUAUCGACACAUGUAUCUAUGUUUUCAUUCAAUAAAAUUAUAGCAUGGAUAAUAAACAAUUAUCUUUAAACAGGAAAUAUAAUAAUAACUAUUUAUCAUUGCCUCUUGGGCAUAUUUCCAACAGUCUCCCACUUGCACUAGAGUCAAUAAUCUAGUCCUCACAUCGCCAUGCGAUUUACAUUGUAAUAAAUCAAACACCCGUACAGUUCUAGUGUUGAUCAUGUUUUGCCCGUGGAAGAAAUAUUCACGUCCUCUCGUUCGACGUAGUCGUGGAUGAGGUUGAAGCGUCGUUUGAUGUGUGUGGUCUUCUUGUGAAACCUUGGUUUGUUUGCUAAGGCAAUGACACCACUGUUGUCACAUAAAAGAUUUAAUGGAUCUAGUGCGCUCGGCACAACACCAAGAUCUGUCAUGAACUGCUUACGAGGCAGCCAUGUACUCCGCUUCACAUGUAGAAUCAGCUACGACGCUCUGCUUGGAACUGCACUAGCUUACCGCACCCUCAUUAAGAAUAAAUACUUAUCCGGUUUGUGACUCAGGGUCAUCCGGAUCGGUGUCAAAACUUGCAUCGACGUAACCUUUUACGACGAGCUCUUUGUAACCUCCAUAAAUGAGAAACAUUUCCUUAGUCCUCUUCAGGUACUUUAGAAUAUUCUUGAACGCCGUCGAGUGAUCCACUCCUAGAUUACUCUGAAACCUGCCUGCCAUACUUAUAGAACCUACGGCUCAAGAGUAGGGGCCAUAACUCAUUUGUUUUCUAUCUUUCGCAGUUGCUGGGCACUGAGUCUUACUCAAUUUUAUACCUUGUAAUACUCGCAAGAACCCUUUCUUGUACUGGUCCAUUUUGAACUUCUUCAAAACUUUAUCAAGGUAUGUGCUUUGUGAAUGUCCUAUCAGGCGUCUCGAUCCAUCCCUAUAGAUCUUAAUGCCUAGAAUGUAAGCAACUUCUCCAAGGUCCUUCAUAGAGAAACUUUUAUUCAAGUAAUCCUUUAUGCUCUCCAAAAGCUCCAUGUUGUUUCCAAUCAGCAAUAUGUCAUCCACAUUGUCGGGACCCCUAUCCUAAGUCAAUGGAAUCCAGCCUAUAACACAUCGCAUCUCUUUGCGGUCUCACACAUGGUUAUCCCCACGGCUGCAGCCUUACCUUACCCGGGACCGUUUGCACCUUUUGACUCGCGUAUGCAAUUGUGUCUCCAGCAAUCCAGUGACAGAGAACCCGGAUCGACAUGUCUAGUCAUAAACCAAAGCGGCAGUUCCGCACAGGGACAGGCAUACAUGACCCAGCAAAGCAGGUGUCGGUCACCAGUGAAUGUAGACGAGUCGUAGCAAGCUACAAGGACUCCAUUACAUCGCGUGACAUUUUCCCAAAGGGGACAUACACAACAGCUAAGAAGGACACAUGCCGGUCAACCAAUGUGUCCGGAGCAGUAGCGAACUACCAUGGCUCGUUGGAUCACAAAGGGGCAUUUCCCUGGAAGGAAUGCUACUAAAGCACACGGCUAGAUAAUCGAACCCCAUACAUAUCAAGUACGACACGUACGCAUGGCAUACUGAUAUGUAUAGAUACAUCGAUGGCAUCACAACAUAACCCUAAACAUACAAGCUUUGUUUAAAAGGCUCGGAAGAGCCUCACACAUAAUAUUACAAAGUAGGGGUCUCACGACCCAUCAUAACAGUCAUUCAAGUUACAAGCUAGUGGAAGUAGAUAAACUGUGUGAGUACAGACAGUUGAAACUAGAAGGCACAUGGCCUGACUAUACUACAGACCCAUCGUAGGGCCAGAUCGUAGGUGGGAUACCAGCUACUCGUCGUCGUCGAUGUCUAGGUAGAACCCUCAUUAGGGUCAUUAACAACCUCUACAACAAAUUAUUAAGAAAACGUGAGUACAGGGGUACUCAGCAAGACUUUAGGAUAACUAUCUACUCAUGCAAGGUAUCAGUAAUGAAUUGUGGGGUUUCAUGCGGAAAGCAAACAUUUGACUCGUGGCUAGACAACUUGCAUUUUUAAAUAAUUUUGAAAACUUGAUUUCUCGCACACGAGUCCACUAGCACCACAACAAUACUCCAUCGUGGAAUCAUUCCGUCUCCAUACGGAAAUGCCGUCCACGACACUCACGCUUAUCUUGACAAUUUUAUGAGUAGCCAUUAAAAUUUUAUGAAAUGGCGGCCGAAGGUUGAAGACAACGGUGUCGAGGGCGUUGCAGGGCUCGGGGGACCUUCUUCUUGGGCAGGGACGAUCAGCUUGUCGAGGCGGAGCGAACGGAGCACUCGGGGGGAAGAACCUGUGGCUAGAGGGCUCAGGCAGCUCGAGCUCGAGCUCCUGUCAAUGGCGGCAGUGGGGAACGAAGCAACCGAGAGGAGAGGGGAGGAAUGGGUCACGGGGAUGGAUAGGGUCGUGCUCGGGGAUGUUAUCCUCGCCUUGCCAGCGCACCGAGAUGUCUAGGCAAGCAGAGAGCUGCGUGGAGGCGGCGGGCAUCGCGGCGGCCACCUCCUGCUCCCACUGGCGAGGAGGAAGACGACACGGGGGGAAGCUGGGCCUGGGCCAAGUGAGCGACAGGUAAGCGUUUUGCUAUUUUUUUCUUGUUUUGUUUUCUGUUUUGCUAACUAUUUUGAUUUGCUAUUUAUUUCAGCUCCAAAAUAGCUUAUAAGAAUAUUUUGAACACACCAGAAUAAUAGUUGGAAUAUUUCCAACCAUUCCUGAAGUUUGCAACAUUUUUGAAACUUGAAAAUAUUUGAAUUCAAAUUUAAACUUGAAUCGAGUAGCUUUUUGAAUUUAAAUAAAAUGACAAAUCUGUUUUAGAAAUAGUUUUCUUCCCCGAUUAUUUGUUUCCAUGAAUUAUCAGAAAAGUUGAACUUUUCUUGAGGCCAUUUUGGGUUCAUUGAUUUGAACAAGUUUAGAAUUUCUUUGAAUUUGAGAAGUGCCUAGGGUUUUUGAGUUUUGCUUCACCACUUACUUUGAUCUUGAUGCAAUUUCUUGGAUGCAAUGCAAUGAAGGUAUGAGCACAAUGCUAAACCUUGGUUAGGGUUCGAGGGAUGUGACAACUCACCCUCACUCAAAAGAAUCUCGUCCCGAGAUUUAGAAGUCGUCGGGAAUAACGUGGGAUACUCAAGUCGGAGACGAUCCUCUCUUUCCCGUGUUGCCUCCUUUUCAGAAUGAUUUGACCAUUGAACUUUAAGAAACUUGAGGUUUCGACGUCGAGUGGUACGCUCAGCUUGAUCAAGAAUACGAACAAGGUAUUCUCGGUAUGAAAAGGUUAUCUUGGAGAUCAAGCGUUUCGUGGUCCACUUCACGGAUAGGAUCCGAAAAGCAACGCCUGAGUUGCGAGACGUGGAAAACAUCAUGAACCUUGGAAAGAUGCGAAGGAAGUUCCAACUGGUAGGCAACUUCUCCUCGUUUGGCAAGAAUGCGAAAAGGACCAAUGUAACGAGGAGCCAACUUGCUCUUGAUACCGAAUCGAUGGGUACCCUUCAAAGGUGUAACCCGAAGGUAAACCUUAUCGUCAACUUCAAAGGUCACAACCUUAUGAUGACGAUCAUAUUGGCUGUUUUGACGAGACUGGAUUGUUUUCAACUUUUCACGAAUAAUGCAAACCUGCUCUUCUGCAUCCUGGAUCAUAUCUGGGCCAAAGAGUUUCCUCUCUCCGGUUUCUCACCAAUUAAGAGGUGUUCGACAUCUUUGUCCAUAGAGAACUUCAAAAGGGGCUUUGGCCAAGCUUGAUUGAUAACUAUUGUUAUAAGCAAAUUCGGCGAAUGGAAGGCACUUCUCCCAAUUCAUACCGAAUGAUAUAACACAAGCUCGGAGCAUAUCUUCUAGGAUUUGAUUCACCCUUUCUACUUGACCACUGGAUUGAGGAUGGAAAGCAGUGUUAAAAGAUAAGUGAGUCCCCAUAGCAUUCUGAAAGCUUUCCCAGAAGCGAGAAGUAAAGAUACUCCCACGGUCUGAGUUAAUCUCCAAGGGAACACCAUGAAGAGACACUAUUCGAGAGAUAUAUAACUCUGCUAGCUGGCUAGCUGUUAUACUCUCACGAACUGGAAGAAAAUGAGCUACUUUGGAGAGACGGUCAAUGACCACAAAGAUAGCAUUAUUUCCUUUCUUGGUCUUGGGAAAUCGAGUAAUGAAAUCCAUACUGACUUUAUCCCAUUUCCAUUCAGGAAUAGCUAAAGGUUGAAAGGUGCCAGUAGGCCUUUGAUGUUCUACCUUAACUCGACGACAAACGUCGCAGUUAGAAACGAACUCAGCAAUUUCUCUCUUCAUCCUAGUCCACCAAAACCGCUGGCGUAGGUCCUCAUACAUCUUAGUACUACCAGGAUGAAUGGUGAGAGGAGAAUCAUGAUCCUCCUUAAGGAUCAAUUGCCGCAGACGUUUGCUCUUAGGAACCGCUAAACGGUUCUGAAAGAACACAACACCUUUCUCAUUGAUGGAGAAAUCCCUAGCAUUUCCGCUAGCAAUAUUCGACUUGAUCCGGGAUAUACCCUUAUCAUAAGCCUGCACGGCUAUGAUUUGAUCUCUAAGAGUAGGCUUCGCCACCAGGGUAGAAAGAAAUCCUUGAGGAACAAUAUGAAGAUUUAACUUCCGAAAUUCCUUAUAGAGAUGUGGUUGACCUCGUUGUAGCAUCAAAUUGUUACAAUAAGACUUACGACUUAGUGCAUCGGCCAUAACAUUGGCCUUCCCCGGGGGUAAGUUAUACCUAAGUCGUAAUCCGUGAUCAACUCAACCCACCGUCUUUGCCUGAGAUUCAAAUCCGGCUGGGUGAAGAUAUAUUUCAUACUUUGGUGAUCAGUGAAUAUUUCGCAACGAUUACCAAGAAGGUAAUGUCGCCAGGUUUUAAGUGCAUGGACUACAGCUGCAAGCUCAAGAUCAUGUGUGGGAUAAUUAUCCUCAUGUGGACGCAACUGUCGAGAUGCGUAUGCAAUCACAUGACGAUCUUGCAUGAGAAUGCAACCUAAUCCUUGUCGCGAGGCAUCGCAAUAAAUAACAAAGUCCUUAGAAAAAUCUGGUGGUAGCAACACAGGUGCGGAAGUCAGGCGUCUUUUGAGUUCCUGAAAACUAUGCUCACACUGUGGUGUCCACUCGAACUUUUUAUAUUUCUUGAGAAGUUCAGUUAGAGGCUUUGUAACCUUGGAGAAAUUCUUGACAAAGCGGCGACAAUAGCUCGCUAGACCAAGAAAACUCCUAACUUGCUUAACCGAUUCAGGUUGAGUCCAAUCAAGGACAGCUUGAACUCUCUCGGGAUUGAUAGCAAUACCCUUUCUAGAGAUUACGUGACCUAGAUAGGUCACUUCUGGUAACCAAAAUUCACAUUUUGAAAACUUGGCAUAAAGGUGAUGCUCUCGAAGUUUCAUCAAUACCAGCUUUAGAGGCUCGGCAUGUUCUUGUUCGUUCUUCGAGUAGAUGAGAAUAUCAUCGAGGUAUACCACGACGAAUUUAUCCAAAUACUCCAUGAAGAUUGAAUUCAUCAAGCGAGAGAAGGUGGCUGGGGCAUUGGUUAAACCGAAGGGCAUGACGGUGUACUCGUAUUGGCCAUAACGAGUAACAAAAGCCGUUUUUGUAAUGUCCCCGUUUUUUAUCUUGAUUUGAUGGUAUCCCAACCUCAAAUCCAUUUCGGAGAAGAUUGAGGAUCCAGCGAGCUGAUCAUAGAGGUCGUUGAUCCUGGGGAGCGGAUACUUGUUCUUUAUGUUGACCAGAUUAACUGGUCGGUAAUCUACAACCAUCCGAUCCGUUCCGUCUUUCUUCUUGACGAAGAGGACGGGACAAGCCCAAGGAGAAGAGCUAGUACGAAUGAAACCUUUAUUCAAGGCCUCAUCUAGUUGAUUCUUAAGUUCGGCUAGCUCCAGGGGUGCCAUCUUAUAUGGUCUUCUGGCUAUUGGAACAGUCUUGGAACAAGAUCUAUUACGAACUCUACAUCUCUGCCAGGUGGAAUUCCUGGCAUUUCCUCUGGAAAAACAUCCAGAAAGUCACGGACUACCGCAAUGUCUUCAAGUUCCGGAAGAGGGUUGGCAUUGAGGGAAUAGAGUUGGCAUUUGGCAACUCGAGUAGAGACAUUGACUAUAUCACCCGAGGGAUGGGUAAGCUGAACAUUUCUGGUAUGAGUAUAAAUCUUGGCAUAGUGAGCUGACAUCCAGUCCAUACCCAAGAUGAUAUUAAUAUCCGAGGAUUUCAGGGCUAUCAAUGAUGCUUGAAAAACUAGCCUGUCUACUAGAAUUUCAUUGUCAUAAGAUAUCCUAGAGGUUUGCCACUUACUACCAAGGGUUUGGACAACCAAUGGGAUUAGCAUAUCACAGAAAGACAUGUUAUGCAACUGUGCAUAACUUUAUGAAAUGAAGGAAUGAGAACACCCAGUGUCAAAAAGAACAAACGCUGGGUGAUGAUUAACAAGAAGCGUACCAAGUAUGACGUCGGGAUCCUCUGCAACUUCUUCUGCUGAGACAUAGUUCACACGGCCACGUGCAGGAGUUGGCUUCACAUAGUAAGCUUUGCCCGACUUGCCUUGCCCAACGGACUUUCCGGGUUGCUUGGCACCCACAUUCUGAGGACACUCACGGGAAUAGUGCCCUGGUUCUCCACACUUGUAACAGAUCACUUGAUUGGCACGCGGUGCAGCAUUGCUAGCUGGACCACCAUAGGUUUUUGCUGGGGGGGUUGGUCUGAUUCGACUGAGGCGCCACAUAGGAUGGCCUCGGAGUGUAUCUUGGGGGCAGAGAACUGUUUGGAACCCACAGCCUGCGUUUUGGAAACGCGGAACCAGAUGACGAGCCAAAGUCACGGGAGUGCUUCUUUGUGGCUUCAUAGUCGGUAUGACCAGUCUCGGCACUGAUCGCCUUGUUGACCAGGGCUUGGAAGCUUGUACACUCAGGGAGGCGCAAAUCACGACCAAGCUCAGGGCUCAGACCCUUACGGAAUCUUACUUGCUUCUUGGCAUCAGUAGACACCUCCUCUGUUGCAUAGCGGGCGAGGUUACCGAACUCGCGGCUAUAGGCAUCCACGGUCAACUUUCCUUGGGUGAAUGCACAGAACUCCUCUCUCUUUCUGUCCAUCAGGCCCUCUGGAAUAUGGUGCAGACGGAAUGCUGCACUAAAGUCUGCCAUGUGGCUGCUGGUUCAGCAGGACGCAUAGCUUCAAAGUUCUCCCACCACAGAUUGGCGGGUCCUUCGAGAAAAUACGCCGCAAAGGUCGCCUUGUCGUCCUCAGAAACGUUCGUAGAGCGAAUCUUUCGUGAAAUACUGCACAGCCAAUCAUCAGCGUCGAGGGGAUCGACGGAGUGAUGGAACUUUGGAGAAUUCAGCUUCACAAAGUCAUUGAGGGACACUACAGCAUUCCUAGGUUGACGAUCCGUAUUUUUCUCAAUACGCUAUAACAGUCAGUUUGUCUCCCUUUUGUUUCUCUCUGCCUCAAGCAUAACUUCCCCGAGAUAGGGCGGGUGAGGCAGCUCUUCCUGUGACGCUUGACUACCCUUUCCUUGCUCAUGAGCAGGGGCACGGUUCAACCUAGUGAACACCAUCCUGACAAACAAACUCACAGCUUAGACAAAUAUCAACAUCAAUGCUAGUUAUGGAUUAAGAAUGCACUGAACACAUGGAAUGCGGAAUUGAAUAUCCGAACAGCAUGGUAACAAGAAACUGCUAUAUAUACACCAUGGUUCAUACACACCAUUACAAAGUUCAGUACAACCUUAACCGAAGAGCAAACUACUGAAAUUAUGAAACUACUCAUGAGAGGCUUACAAGCUUCCUAUACAUUAUUUGUCUAUGCCUCCGGAAUUCAUUUCACAUCACAAGCAUACUUCACAAGUCACACAGGACUGUGAACGUACAGCUACUACCAUACUAUCCUUCCACUCACGGUUCAGGCAUCCGCAUAGAACAUCUCAUAAAGAUUGCCUCCAUGUCCUGGAAGCUCAACCUGCGGAUCAGGAAAUACUCAGGCCUAAGAUCCCUGGGAUCCAUAAGGACACGGAUGUGGCCUUGGUCCCCUGACUGGUGGUAGUAGGGGUCCUCGAAGAGGGGUGACUCCUCCUAUAGCGGGCCAGUCAACAUGAGUCGGAAGAUGGGUUCUAACAGGGUUCAGCAUCUCCAUAUCUCCAUACCUUGUCUGGACUACCGGUGCUAGCUGCAUCAAAGCCGUCCACAUACGGACAGGUGUAGCAUAAAGCUCCAUGCGGAGGGCACGAGCAUCCCUGUCUCUAUUCUCUAGCAUCUCAGCAGUGGACUGCAGUAGCGGAUCCUCCAUAGAGGAAUCAAAGUAGACCCCGCUGAGGUAUCCUUGUUCACCUGGCUGAGAAGCAGGAGCAUAGCAGAACUCUGAAUUCUGCGGGAGUGCAUGUCUAGCCCUCAUGAUGGUCAACAUUGAAUAGGCAGCAUCUUGUACUGCCAUGUCAACAGUGACUCCCAAUCCAUAAGACCAAUGGAUUGGCUCCUCAGCUCCAGUGUAAUCUGGGAAUACCCUAACAGUGCAGAUAUACUAGCUCUGGUUGAAGUCUCGGUACUGUUCCUCCACUGUGUACUCUGGGUACCAGCGGUAACCGCACACCGACAUCACCCUCAGUAGCAUGGCCGUAUGACCCGCACAUCAAUGCACCUAGUCAGAUGAACCACCUGACGAGAAGGACGGCUAGGCAUCUGUAAAUAGAGAGUAAUGCAAAAGCAUUAGAGCUCUGAAUGCAAAAUUGGGCAGCAUAACGGCUAUAAAUGCUCAAAAACAAUUUUGAGACAACCCAUAAAAUAGAAUAGAUUAACCACUCAACUACCAAGUUCAAUUCUCUGAUCAUCAAACUUACUUCCUUUUCCUAGGAAUAAAAGAAACCCGAAAUAAGUCUCGACCCGUAGUCCUAUAAUCUACCGAUCCGAAACACGAGCCUAGAAGAAGAUGAGUAACCUAGUCCUUAAUUCCCGCAGAAAAGACGAGGAUGACCAGAAUAGAAUAACUUGAGAAGAGAACAAGAGUCUUACAUUCCCUUCCACAAACAAUUCCCUUAUAUAUAACUAAAGCAAUUCCAGACUCAAUUUCGACCAGUUUGGCUUAGUAAUCCUACAGUCAGUCAGGCUCUGAUACCAACGCUGUCGGGACCCCAAUCCUCAGUCAAAGGAAUCCAUCCUGUAACACAUCGCAUCUCUUUGCGGUCUCACGCACGGUUAUCCCCACGGCUGCAGCCUUACCUUAGCCGGGACCGUUUGCGCCUUUUGACUUGCGUAUGCAAUUGUGUCGCUAGCAAUCUAGUGACAGAGAACCUGGAUCGACAUGUCUAGUCAUAAACCAAAGCGACAGUUCCUCACAGGGACAAGGAUACAUGACCCAGCAAAGCAGGUGUCGGUCACCAGCGAAUGUAGACAAGUCAUAGCAAGCUACAGGGACUCAAUUACAUCGCGUGACAUUUUCCCAAAGGGGACACACACAACAGCUAAGAAGGACACAUGCCGGUCAACCAAUGUGUACGGAGCAGUAGUGAACUACCAUGGCUCGUUGGAUCACAAAGGGGAAUUUCCCUGUAAGGAAUGCUACUAAAGCCUACGGCUAGGUAAUCGAACCCCAUACAUAUCAAGUACGACACACGUACGCAUGGCAUACUGAUAUGUAUAGAUACAUCGAUGGCAUCACAACAUAACCAUAAACAUACAAGCUUUAUUUAAAAGGCUCAGAAGAGCCUCACACAUAAUAUUACAUAGUAGGGGUCUCACGACCCAUCAUAACAGUCAUUCAAGUUACAAGCCAGCGGAAGUCGAUAAACUGUCUAAGUACAGACAGAUGAAACUAGAAGGCACAUGGCCUGACUUACUACAGACCCAUCCUAGGGCCAGAUAGUAGCUGGGAUACCAGCUACUCGUCGUCGUCGAUGUCUAGGUAGAGCCCUCCAUUAGGGUCAUUAACAACCUCUGCAAAAAAUUAUUAAGCAAACGUGAGUACAGGGGUACUUAGCAAGACUUUAGGAUAACUAUCUACUCAUUCAAGGUAUCAAUAAGGAAUUGUGGGGUUUCAUGCGGAAAGCCAGCAUUUGACUCGUGGCUAGACAACUUGCAUUUUUAAAUAAUUUUGACAACUUCAUUUCUCGCACACGAGUCCACUAACACCACAACAAUACUCCAUCAUGGAAUCAUUCCGUCUCCAUACGGAAAUGCCGUCCACGACACUCACGCUUAUAUUGACAAUUUUAUGAGUAGCCAUUAAAGUUAUCUAUGAACAACAUAUGUCUCCAAGUAGUCCAUAUCCGCGGACGCGACUAUUCGAAUAGAUCAUAACCCUGCAGGGGUGUACUUCGUCACACACGCUCUCGCCACUUAUCGCCAUGUGCACGUCAUGCACCUCGGCAACCUUCAAGCGGAAGCCCAGCGAGGGAGUCGGCCACGACCGUUAACCACGCUAAUACUUAGUCCAGGUCUAUCGCCUAUCUGAGGGUAACCUGCACGGAAGUCCGGCCAUGGUUUCCGCCAUGGCCCCAAACGAUGUGCGCAGGGUUCCCAAGCCCACCAUCCAGGUGCCACUUGGUACACCGUGCCACUGCCUACCGCAUCACAGCCCACCUCUCAGGUCAGCGCUAUGAACGGCCUCUAGCAUGACUAUAAACACCAGAAACUACUUGCAACUCCUGGACCGAGUACUAAGUGAUUAAUAAGUCGAGAGGGUCAAUUAAGUAUCCCAACGUGUGGUAGUAUCUAGUCUUGGAUUACAUAGACGGAACUCAGUUCCUAAGGACGAUUCCAAUGAAACAACCCGCCAUGUACUCCUACAUAGCCUUUCACCGGUACCUUUACCAAAUCAGGUUCAACACACAACCUUUACUUACUGAACACAUUCUCACAAUUCUUUUCAUCUCCCAGAUGACAGACCAUACACAACUCUAAGCACAGCAUGCAUAGCAGGAUAAGGCACAUCAUGGCUCAAGCAUCUACCAGGUAUGCUAGGUUGCAAGGUUCAGCUAUUUACUGUGACAAAGACAGGUUAUGCAAAGGAAGUGGGUUCAACUAAUGUGGCAAAAGCAUUUGAAGCAUUUGAUCCUAAUGCAAUAAGUAAGUGCAGGAGCGAGAACAUGGGAUUUAUCGGGAUGAUCAAAAUGGUUGCUUGCCUUGUUGCUUAGUAGAGGGACAAUAUCCGUUAAUCGGAUAUUCGGUGGAAUCCGGAGGAGCGGAGCCUACAGAUAGAAAUGACAUCAAUUAAUAACAAUCAUAUGCAGCAAAAUGAUGCAUGGGCAUGGCAUGAAUAUGCAUGGUGGUAUGCUAAUUUAGCUACCAUUAUUAGGUUGAAGUGGAUUUGAAUAAGAUUCAAAUAUCACUUCAAGCGAGGUAUUCUCGAAUACCAUUUUAAUUGAUUCAACCUGAUGUUCAGAUCAACUUGUUUUUAACAUGCAUGGGAAUGAUACGUUAAGUUGCUGGUUGUGAUUGAUCAUUGUUUCAUCAUAGCAUUUGAAGUGGAAUUUAAAUGAUUUUCAAAUUCCAACUCCAAAGCAUUUAUUAAAUUUACCCUAUUCAUCAUUUUACAUGUUUUGUCCAGUAACAUUUUCAAACGUGUUUGAAAAUGAUAUAUUCAGAUUCCUUGGAUUUUUCUGAUACUUUUUCAUAUAUAAAUUAUUUCCAUUGGAGUUACAGAUUAAUUUCUAUGAUUUUUAGAAGUUUUGGGCAUUUUCUGGAAUUCUUUUAAAUUAGAAUAGCUACUUAUUGCCUCAGGCCCACGUCAGCAUGGCGUCAGCCGUUGGCUGACCUGGUCAGGUCAAACCCGACAGGGGGGACCCACUGGUCAGCCUCACAGGGCUAAUCCCGCGCUGACCAGCCCCUGAUUGCGUUUGACUUGCGCAUGCGCCCACUGUCAGCGACUACUUAGAGUUUAAACCGGCAGAGUAGUAAAGCGAGGUCAGAUCCUGCCAGAACUGACCGGCGGCGACCAGAUCCGUGUCAGAGAGUCACCGGAGUUAGCUCUGGUGCUCGGGAACGAGGGCUGAGAGCAGUGGGAGGAUCCCCAGCCUCGGCCUCAUCUUGUACUAGCCUCAGGGAGGACUGGGGAGGACCGGAGGUCAUCGGCGACGAGCGGAGGCGACGGCCGGAACUCGGGCUCGUCGGUUUAGCGGCUAGGGUGCACCAAACUGAGGGGAAGAAGAGGGGAAACGAGCGCAAUCUCACGGGGAGUGCAGUGGAGGGCUUAGACGGCUCGGGGAGGUGCUGUGGUCAACGAAUCCAACGAAGAUCGCCGGCGGCCGAAGGUUGAAGACGACGGUGCCGAGGGCGUUGCAGGGCUCGGGGGACCUUCUUCUUGGGCAGGGACGACCAGCUUGUUGAGGCGGAGCGAACGGAGCACUCGGGGGGAAGAACCUGUGGCUAGAGGGCUCGGGCAGGUCAAGCUCCUAUCAAUGGCGGGAGUGGGGAACGAAGCAACCGAGAGGAGAGGGGAGGAAUGUGUCACGAGGAUUGAUAGGGUCGUGCUCGGGGAGGUUAUCCUCGCCUUGCCAGCGCACCGAGAUGUCCAGGCAAGCAGAGAGCUGCGUGGAGGUGUCGGGCGUCGCGGCGGCCACCUUCUGCUCCCACCGGCGAGGAGGAAGACGACACGGGGGGAAGUUGGGCCUGGGCCAGGUGAGCGACAGGUAAGCGUUUUGCUAUUUUUUUUCUUGUUUUGUUUUCUGUUUUGCUAACUAUUUUGAUUUGCUAUUUAUUUCAGCUCCAAAAUAGCUUAUAAGAAUAUUUUGAACACACCAGAAUAAUAGUUGGAAUAUUUCCAACCAUUCUUGAAGUUUGCAACAUUUUUGAAACUUCAAAAUAUUUGAAUUCAAAUUUAAACUUGAAUCCAGUAGCUUUUUGAAUUUAAAUAAAAUGCCAAAUCUGUUUUAGAAAUAGUUUUCUUCCCUGAUUAUUUGUUUCCAUGAAUUAUCUGAAAAGUUGAACUUUUCUUGAGGCCAUUUUGGGUUCAUUGAUUUGAAAAAUUUUAGAAUUUCUUUGAAUUUGAGAAGUGGCUAGGGUUUUUGAGUUUUGCUUCACCACUUACUUUGAUCUUGAUUCAAUUUCUUGGAUGCAAUGCAAUGAAGAUAUGAGCACAAUGCUAAACCUUGGUUAGGGUUCGAGGGAUGUGACACACAUAUAAUAUUAUGAAGGCCACAGAGCUCCCACUCACUUUGUUGUAAAUACAAGAUUCUCCAACCACUUGUAUAAACCCAAAUGCUUUGAUCACCUCAUCAAAGCGCUUAUUCCAACUCCGAGAUGCUUGCACCAGUCCAUAAAUGGAUCGCUGGAGCCUGCAUACUUUGUUAGCAUUCUUUGGAUCGACAAAACCUUCAGGUUGAAUCAUAUGCAACUCUUCAUUAAGAAAACCGUUAUGGAACGCCGUUUUGACAUCCAUCUGCCAGAUUUCAUAAUCGUAAAAGGCAGUUAUUGCUAACAUGAUUCGGACGGACUUAAGCACCGCUACCGGUGAGAAAGUCUCAUCGUAGUCAACUCCUUGAACUUGUGAAAAACCCUUUGCCACAAGUCGAGCUUUAUAAAUGGUCACAUUACUGUCUGCGUCCGUCUUCUAAAUAGCCUUGCGGCCUUCAGGUAGUACUUCCAAAGUCCACACUUUGUUCUCGUACGUGGAUCCUAACUCGGACUCUAUGGCCUCUAGGCAUUUGUUGGAAUCCGGGCCCACCGUUGCCUCUUCAUAAUUCGCACGUUCAUUGUUGUCCAACAACAUAUUCGUUAAGACAGGAUUACCGUACCACUCAGGAGCAGUACGUGAUCUUGUCGACCUGCGAGGUCCGAUGGCAACUUGAUCCGAAGUUUCAUGAUCAUCAUCAUCAACUUGUUCCUCAACCGAGGCCGCAGCAACAGGGGUUUCCCCUUGCCCUGCGCCACCUUCUAGAGGAAUUAGAGGUUCGACAACCUCAUCAAGUUCAAUCUUCCGCCCACUCAAUUCUUUCGAGAGAAACUCUUUCUCAAGAAAAGUUCUGUUUUUACCAACAAACAUUUUGCCCUCGGAUUUGAGAUAGAAGGUAUACCCAACUGUCUCUUUUGGGUAACCUAUGAAGACGCACUUUUCCGCUUUGGGUUCCCACUUUUCAGGCUGAAGCUUUUUGACCUAAGCAUCACAUCCCCAAACUUUAAGAAACGACAAAUUUGGUCGUUUGCCAUACCACAGUUCGUAUGGUGUCGUCUCAACGGAUUUUGAUGGUGCCCUAUUGAAAGUGAAUGCAGCUAUCUCUAAUGCAUAACCCCAAAAUGAUAAUGGAAAAUCGGUAAGAGACAUCAUAGAUUGCACCAUCUCUAAUAAAGUACGAUUACGAUGUUUGGACACACCAUUACGCUGUGGUGUUCCAGGCGGUGUCAAUUGUGAAACAAUUCCACAUUGUCUUAAGUGAGCACCAAACUCGAAACUCAGAUAUUCUCCCCCACGAUCAGACCAUAGAAACUUGAUCUUUUUGUUACGAUGAUUUUCAACUUCACUCUGAAAUUGCUUGAACUUUUCAAACGUUUCAGACUUGUGCUUCAUCAAGUAGACAUAGCCAUAUCUACUCAAUUCGUCAGUGAAGGUGAGAAAAUAAUGAUAUCCAUCGUGCGCCUCCACACUCAUCGGACCGCACACAUCGGUAUGUAUGAUUUCCAACAAAUCACUUGCACGCUCCAUUGUUCCGGAGAACAGAGUCUUAGUCAUCUUGCCCAUGAGGAAUGGUUCACACGUGUCAAGUGAAUCAAAGUCAAGUGACUCCAAAAGUCCAUCGGUAUGGAGUUUCUUCAUCCGCUUUACACGAAUAUGACCUAAGCGACAGUUCCAUAAAAACAUGGUGCUAUCAUUGUUAACUCUAACUCUUUUAGUCUCAAUGUUAUGUAUAUGUGUAUCAUCUCUAUCAAGAUUCAAUGUGAACAAUCCUCUCACAUUGGGUGCAUGACCAUAAAAGAUAUUACUCAUAGAAAUAGAACAACCAUUAUUCUCUGACUUAAACAAGUAACCGUCUCGCAAUAAACAAGAUCCAGAUAUAAUGUUCAUGCUUAACGCAGGCACUAAAUAACAAUUAUUUAAGUUCAUAACUAAUCCUGAUGGUAACUGAAGUGAAACUCUGCCGACGGUGAUUGCAUCAACCUUGGAACCAUUUAAAACGCACAUCGUCAGUUCAUGUUUCACCAGCCUUCGCUUAUUCCGCAGUUCCUGUUUCGAGUUGCAAAUAUGAGCAACAGAACCAGUAUCGAAUACCCAGGCACUACUACGAGAGAUGGUUAAGUACACAUCAAUAACAUGUAUAUCGAAUAUACCUGAUUUUUCCUUGGCCGCCAUCUUAUCAACCAGAUCCUUGGGGCAGUUGCGCUUCCAGCGACCCAUACCCUUGCAAUAAUAACACUCUGUUUCAGGCUUAGGUCCAGCUCUGGUUUUCUUCGUCGGAUUGGCAAUAGGCUUUCCACUCUUCUUGGAGUUACCCUUCUUUCCUUUGUCGUCUCUCUUGAAACUAGUGGUCUUACUCACUAUCAAUAGUUGAUGCUCUUUACGGGGUUAUGACUCUGCGACUUUUAGCAUCGCGAAUAACUCACCGGGUGACUUGUUCAUCCCUUGCAUGUUAUAGUUCAACACAAAGCUCUUGUAGCUUGGUGGCAGUGAUUGAAGAAUUCUGUCAGUGAUAGCCUCUUGCGGGAGUUCAAUCCCGAGCUCAGCUAGACGGUUUGAGUACCCAACCAUUUUGAGCAAAUGUUCAUUGACAGACGAAUUCUCCUCCAUCUUGCAAGCAUAGAAUUUAUCGGAGGUCUCAUACCUCUCGAUCUGGGCAUUAUUACGAAAGAUAAACUUCAACUCCUGGAACAUCUCAAAUGCUCCAUGACGCUCAAAGCGACGUUGAAGUCCCGGGUCUAAGCCAUACAAGACUGCACAUUGAACUACUGAGUAGUCCUCCUUACGGGUUAACCAACCGUUCUUAACAUCUUGGUCAGCCGUAGCGGGUGGUUCAUCUCCUAGCGCAGUAUUAAGGACAUAAUCCUUCUUCCCGUCUUGUAGGAGCAACUUAAGAUUACAAGCCGAGUCUACAAAGUUGCUUCCAUCAUCUUUCAACUUAGGUUUCUCUAGGAACGUAUUAAAAUUUAGGGUGACUAUCGCAUGAGCCAUUGAUCUACAACACAAAUAUUUUCAAAGUGGACUUAGACUAUGUUCAAGAUAAUUAGAGUUUAACUAAUCAAAUUACUUGCUAAACUCCCACUCAAAAAGUACAUCUCUCUAGUCAUUUGAGUGGUACAUGAUCCAAAUUCACUAACUCAAGUCCGAUCAUCACAUGAGUUGAGAGCAGUUUCAGUGAUAAGCAUCUCUAUGCUAAUCAUAUCUACUAUACGAUUCAUGCUCGACCUUUCGGUCUCAUGUGUUCCGAGGCCAUGUCUGCACAUGCUAGGCUCGUCAAGCUUAACCCGAGUGUUCCGCGUGUGCAACUGUUUUGCACCCAUUGUAUGUGAACGUUGAGUCUAUCACACCCGAUCAUCAUGUGGUGUCUCGAAACGACGAACUGUAGCAACGGUGCACAGUCGGGGAGAACACAAUUUCGUCUUGAAAUUUUAGUGAGAGAUCACCAUAUAAUUGUACCGUCGUUCUAAGCAAAAUAAGGUACAUAAAAGGACUAACAUCACAUGCAAUUCAUAAGUGACAUGAUAUGGCCAUCAUCAUGUGGUUCUUGAUCUCCAUCACCAAAGCACCGGCAUGAUCUUCUUGUCACCGGCACCACACCAUGAUCUCCAUCAUCAUGAUCUCCAUCAACGUGUCGCCAUCAGGGUUGUCAUGCUAAUUAUGCUAUUACAACUAAAGCUACGUCCUAGAAAUACAGUAAACACAUCUACAAAGACAAACGUUAGUUUAAAGAUAACCCUAUGGCUCCUGCCAGUUGCCUUACCAUCGACGUGCAAGUCGAUAUUAACUAUUACAACAUGAUCAUCUCAUACAUCCAAUAUAUCUCAUCACGUCAUUGGCCAUAUCAUAUCACAAGCAUACCGUGCAAAAACAAGUUAGACGUCCUCUAAUUUGUUGUUGCAUGUUUUACGUGGCUGCUAUGGGUAUCUAGUAGAUCGCAUCUUAUUUACGCAAAAACCACAACGGAGAUGUGCGAAUUGCUAUUUAACUUCUCCAAGGACCGCCCUGGUCAAAACCAAUUCAACUAAAGUUGAACAAACCGACACCCGCCAGUCAUCUUUAUGCAAAAAAGAUUGCAUGUCAAGCGAUGAAACCAGUCUUUCGUAAGCGUAUGAAUAAUGUCGGUCUGGGCCGCUUCAAUCCAACAAUACCGCCGAAUCGAGAAAAGACUAAGGAGGGCAGCAAAUCGAACAUCACCAUCCACAAAACCCAUUGUGUUCUACUCGAGAUAACAUCUACGCAUGAACCUAGCUCAUGAUGUUGUUGGGGGACGUCGCAUGGGAAACAAAAAAUUUCCUACGCACACGAAGACCUAUCAUGGUGAUGUCCAUCUAUGAGAGGAGAUUUGGAUCUAUGUACGCUUGUAGAUCGCAUAGCAGGAAGCGUUAAGAAAUGUGGUUGAUGUAGUGGAACAUCCUCACGUCCCUCGAUCCACCCCGCGAACCGUCCCACGAACCGUCCCACGAUCCGUCCCACGAACCGUUCCGAUCUAGUGCCGAACGGACGACACUUCCGCAUUCAGCACACGUAUAGCUCGACAAUGAUCUCGGCCUUCCUGAUCCAGCAAGCAAGACGGAGAAGUAGAUGAGUUCUCAGGCAGCGUGACGGCGCUCCGGUGGUGGUGAAGGAUCUACUCCUGCAGGGCUCCGCCCGAGCUCCGCAGAAAUACGAUCUAGAGGUAAAACUAUGGUGUCUAGAUCUGAGUUGCACGUGGCAAAAGUUGUCUCAAAUCAUCCCUAAAUCACCACUAUAUAUAGGAGGGAGGGGGAGGAGGCUUGCCUUGAGGGCAAAGCCCUCAAGGGUGCACCGGCUAGGGAGGAGGAGGAGUCCUACUCCAGUCCUACUCCAACUAGGAUUGGAAAGUGGAGUCCUUCCCUUCCUUCCCACCUUUCUUUUUUUAUUUUCUUUGGUUUUUAUCCUUGGCGCAUAGGCCCUCUUGGGUUGUCCCACCAGCCCACUAAUGGCUGGUGCGCCACCACUAGGGCCUUUGGGCUUCCCCCGGGAGGGUUGCCCUCCUCCCGGUGAACAUCCAGAACCCAUUCGUCACUCCCGGUACAAUCCCGGUAAUGCCCGAAAACCUUCCGGUAACCAAAUGAAGUCAUCCUAUAUAUCAAUCUUCGUCUAUGGACCAUUCCAGAAAUGCUCGUGACGUCUGUGAUCUCAUCUGGGACUCUGAACAACAUUCGGUAACCAUAGAUAUAACUCAACUAUAAUAAAACAUCACCGAACCUUAAGUGUGCACACCCUGCUGGUUCGAGAACUAUGUAGACAUGCCCCAAGGUACUCCUCGGUCAAUAUCCAAUAGCGAGACCUGGAAGCCCAUAUUGGAUCCUACAUAUUCUCCGAAGAUCUUAUCGGUUGAACCUCAGUGUCAAUGAUUCAUAUAAUUUCGUAUGUCAUUGCCUUUUGUCCUCCGGUAUGUUACUUGCCCGAGAUUCGAUCGUCGCUAUUCGCAUACCUAUUUCAAUCUCGUUACCGACAAUUCUCUUUACUCGUUCCCUAAUACAAGUUCCCAUGACUUACACUUAGUCACAUUGCUUGCAAGGCUUGUGUGUGAUGUUGUAUUACCGAGUGGGCCCCGAGAUACCUCUCCGUCAAACGGAGUGACAAAUCCCAAUCUUGAUCCGUACUAACUCAAAGGACACCUUCGGAGAUACCUGUAGAGCACCUUUAUAGUCACCCAGUAACAUUGUGACAUUUGAUGCACACAAGGUAUUCCUCCGGUGCCAAUGAGUUAUAUUAUCUCAUGGUCAUAGGAACAAAUACUUGACACGCAGAAAACUAUAGCAAUAAAACGACACAAUCAAUAUGCUACUUUCAUAGUUUGGGUCUAGUCCAUCACAUGAUUCUCCUAAUGAUGUGAUCCAGUUAUCAAGUAACAACACUUUGCACGUAGUUAGAAAACCAUGACUAUCCUUGAUCAACUAGCUAGACAACUAGAGGCUUGCUAGGGACAUUCUUUUGUCUAUGUAUCCACACAUGUAUCUAUGUUUUCAUUCAAUACAAUUAUAGCAUGGAUAAUAAAUGAUUAUCUUUAAACUAGAAAUAUAAUAAUAACUAUUUAUCAUUGCCUCUAGGGCAUAUUUCUAACAGUGGGCUGGUGCGCCUCCACAAUCAGCCUAAGCCGCAUCAAGGGGUGGAGGAGGCAACACCCUAGGCGUGGGGAGGCCACCUUGGGCCUCAAGGCCCACCCUAGGGUGCCUCCACCACGGUGGCUGCCACCCAAAGCCAUCUAGGGCUGCCGUACCCUUAGGGUGGGAAACCCUAAAGGGUGGGCAUCCUCCUCCCUCUCCUCCUAUAUAUAGUGAGGGUUUUGGGCUGAUUUGAGACAACAAUUUCUCUCUCUCUCUCAGCGCAGCCCUACUCCUCCUCAGUAGUGCUUGGCGAAGCCCUGUCGGAGUGCCACGUAGCUCCACCAUCACCACGCCGUCGUGUUGCCGGAGCUCUCCCUCAAUCUCUCCCUCCUUGCUAGAUCAAGGCGUUGGAGACGUCAUCGGGCUACACGUCUGUUGAACGCGGAGGCACCGUUGUUUGGUGCAUCGAUCAUAAUCCACCGUGAUCUCAAUCGCCGCGAGUACGACUCCAUCAAAAGUGGCUUCUGCUUAGCGAUCUUUAAAGGUAUGAAGAUGCUCUACCCCUUUUCUCGUUGUUGGUUUCUCCAUAGAUAGAUCCUUGCAUGACGUAGGAUUUUUUUUGAAAUUACUACGUUCCCCAACAGUGGCAUCCGAGCGAAGGUUCUUUGCGUAGAUUCUAUGCACGAGUAGAACACAAAAUUUGUGGGUGUUGAUUUUGUGAGUUGAUUGCCGUUACUAGUCUUAUCUUUAUUCGACGACAUUGUGGGAUGAAGCGGCCCGAACCAACUUUACACGUACUCUUACGUGAGACUGGUUCCACCGACCGACAUGCACUUGUUGCAUAAGGUGGCUAGCGGGUGUCUGUCUCUCCCACUUUACUCGGAUCAGAUUCAUUGAAGAGGGUCCUUAUGAAGGGUAAAUAGCAUUGGCACAUCAACGUUGUGGGUGUCACGUAGGUAAGAAGCGUUCUUGCUAGAAACCCUAAUCAGCCACGUAAAACUUGCAACCACAAUUGGAGGACGUCUAACUUGUUUUUGCAGGGUAUGCUAUGUGAUGUGAUAUGGCCAAAAGGAUGUGAUGUCACAUAUGUGAUGUAUGAGAUUGAUCAUGUUCUUGUAAUAGGAUUCACGAUUUGCAUGUCGAUGAGUAUGACAACCGGCAGGAGCCAUAGGAGUUGUCUUAAUUUAUUGUAUCAGAUGCGGAUUGGGCUCAUAACUUAAAGCUCAUCCUCACAGCUUGCAAGAAGGCAUAUGUCCUUAAUGCACCGCUAGGUUAUCCUCCCGUUCCUGCGGCAACCCAGGACAUUAGGAACGCCUGACAGUCGCGGAGUGAUGACUACUCUCUGGUUCAGUGCGACAUGCUUUAUAGUUUAGAAUCGGGGCUCCAAAGGCAUUUUGAGCAACACGGAGCAUAUGAGAUGUUCGAGGAGUUGAAACUUGUCUUUCAAGCUCAUGCCUGGGUCAAGAGAUAUGAAGUCUCCGACAAGUUCUUUAGAUGUAAGAUGGAGGAGAAUAGUUUUGUCAGUGAGCACAUACUCAGAAUGUAUGGGUUGCACAACUGCUUGACUCACUUGGGAGUUGAACUUCCGGAUGAUGCGGUCAUUGAUAGAAUCCUCCAGUCGCUUCCACCUAGCUAUAAAGGCUUUUUGAUGAAAUACAACAUGCAAGGGAUGGAAAAGACUAUUCCUGAGUUGUAUUCAAUGCUGAAAUCUGCGGAGGUAGAAAUCAAGAAAGAACAUCAAGUGUAGAUGGUGAAUAAGACCAGUAGUUUCAAGAAAGGCAAAGGUAAAAAGAACUGCAAGAAAGACGGCAAAGCAGUUGCCGCGCCCAGUAAACCAGUUGUCGGGAAGAAACCAAAGAAAUGACCUAAGCCUGAGACUGAGUGCUAUUACUGCAAGGGAACCGGACACUGGAAGCGGAAUUGCCCUAAGUACUUAGCGGACAAGAAGGCCCGCAACGUCAAAGGUAUAUGUGAUACACUUGUUAUUAAUGUGUACCUUACCAGCGCUCGUAGUAGCUCCUGGGUACUUGAUAACGCUGUUGUUGCUCACAUUUGCAACUCUAAGAAGGAACUGUGGAACAAGCGUAGGCUAUGAUGAUGCGCAUCGGGAAUGGUUCCAAGAUCGAUGUGAUCGCCAUCGGCACGCUACCUCUACAUCUACCCUCGAGAUUAGUUUUGAACCUUAAUAAUUGUUAUUUAGUACUAGCUUUGAGCAUGAACAUUGUAUCGGGAUCUCGCUUGAUGCAAGAUGGCUACUUAUUGAAAUAUGAGAAUAAUGGUUGUUCUAUUUAUAUGAGUGGUAUGUUUUAUUUUCAUGCCACGCUCGUCAAUGGUUUAUUCCUGAUGAAUGUCGAUCGUGAUGUUACACAUAUUCAUAGUGUGAGUACCAAAAGAUGUAAGGUUGAUAAUGAUAGUCCCACAUACUUGUGGCACUACCGCCUUGGUCAUAUCGGUGUCAAGCGCAUGAAUAAACUCCAUACACAUGGACUUUUGGAGUCUCUUGAUUUUGAAUCAUUUGACACAUACGAACCAUGCCUCAUGGGCAACAUGACCAAGACUCCGUUCUCCGGAACAAUGGGCCGAGCAACCAACUUAUUGGAAAUAAUACAUACCGAUGUAUGCGGUCCAAUGAGCGUGGAGACUCGCGGAGGCUAUCUUUAUGUUCUCACCCUCACUGAUGAUUUAAGUAGAUAUGGGUAUGUCUACCUAAUGAAGCACAAGUCUGAAACCUUUGAAAGGUUCAAGGAAUUUCAGAGUGAGGUGGAGAAUCAACGUGACAAGAAAAUAAAGUUUCUACGAUGUGAUUGUGAAGGAGAAUGUUUGAGUCAUGAGUUUGGCACACACCUAAGGAAAUGUGGAAUUGUUUCACAACUCACGCCGCCUAGCACAACACAGCAUAACAUUGUGUCUGAACGGCGUAAUCGCACUCUAUUGGAUAUGGUGCGAUCUAUGAUGUCUCUUACUGAUUUACCGCUAUCAUUUUGGGGAUAUGCAUUGGAAACUGAUGCAUUCAAUUUAGAUAGGGAACCGUCUAAAUCCGUUGAGACGACAACGUAUGAAUUUUGGUUUGGCAAGAAACCUAAGCCAUCGUUUCCGAAAGUUUAGGACUGCGAUACUUAUGUGAAGAAACUUCAACUAGAGAAUCUCGAACCCAAAGCAGAAAAAUGCGUCUUCAUAGGAUACCCUGAGGAAACUAUUGGAUACACCUUCUAUCAUAGAUCCGAAGGCAAAAUCUUUGUUGCCAAGAACGAAUCCUUUCUAGAGAAAGACUUCCUCUCGAAAGAAGUAAGUGGGAGGAAAAUAGAACUUGAUGAGGUAAAUGUACCCCCUCUCGAACCGAAGAGUAGCGCAGCACAAGAAAAUGUUUCUGAGGUGCCAGCACCGGCUAGAGAAGAAGUUAAUGAUGAUGAUCAUGAAACUUCAGAUCAAGUUGCUUUUGAACCUUGAAGGUCCACAAUGACACGUUUUGCACUAGAGUGGUACGGCAACCCCGUCAUGGAAAUCAUGUUGUUAGACAACAAUGAACCUUCGAACUAUGAAGAAGCGACGGCGGGCCUGGAUUCCAACAAAUGGCAUGAGGCCAUGAAAUCCGAGAUAGGAUCCAUGUAUGAGAACAAAGUAUGGACUUUGGUGGACUUGCCCGAUGAUCGGCGAGCGAUAGAAAAUAAAUGGAUCUUUAAGAAGAAGACUAACGCGGAUGGUAAUGUGACAAUCUAUAAGGCUCGACUAGUCGCUAAGGUUUAUCGACAAGUUCAAGGGAUUGACUACGACGAGACUUUCUCACCCGUAGUGAUGUCGAAGUCGGUCUGAAUCAUGUUAGCAAUUGCUGCAUUUUAUGAUUAUAAAAUAUGGCAAAUGGACGUCAAAACAGCAUUCCUGAACGGCUUUCUUAAGGUAGAAUUUUAUAUGAUACAGUCGGAAGGUUUUGUCGAUCCUAGCAAUGCUAACAAGGUAUGCAAGCUCCAGCGCUACAUCUAUGGGCUGGUGCAAGCAUCUCGGAGUUGGAACAUUCGCUUCGAUGAGGUGAUCAAAGCGUUUGGGUUUGUACAGACUUAUGGAGAAGCCUGUAUUUACAAGAAAGUGAGUGGGAGCUCUGUAGCAUUUCUCAUAUUAUAUGUGGAUGACAUAUAAAGGCAUAUUUGGAUAGGAGUUUUUCAAUGAAGGAUCUUGGAGAAGCUGCUUACAUAUUAGGCAUCAAGAUCUAUAGAGAUAGAUCGAGGUGUCGCAUAGGUCUUUCACAAAGCAGAUACCUUGAUAAGAUAUUGAAUAAGUUCAAUAUGGAUAAGGUUAAGAAGGGGUUCUUGCCUAUAUUACAAGGUGUGAGGUUGAGUACGACUCAACGCCCGACCACGGCAAAAGAUAGAGAAAAGAUGAGUAUCGUCCCCUAUGUUUCAUCCAUAUGCUCUAUUAUGUAUGCCAUGUUGUGUACCAGACCUGAUGUGAACCUUGCCAUAAGUUUGGUAGGGAGGUACCAAAGUGAUCCAGAAGUGGAUCACUGGACAGCGGUCAAGAACAUCCUUAAGUACCUGAAAAGGACUAAAGAUAUGUUUCUCGUUUAUGAGGUGCCGAAGAGCUCGUCGUAAAGGGUUACGUCGAUGCUAGAUUUGACACAAAUCCGGAUGACGCCAAGUCACAAACCGGAUACGUGUAUAUUUUGAAUAAUGGGACAGUUAGCUGGUGCAGUUGCAAGCAAAGUGUUGUGGCAGCAUCUACAUGUGAAGCCGAGUACAUAGCUGCUUCGGAAGUAGCACAUGAAGGAGUCUCGAUGAAGGAGUUCAUCACCGACCUAGGGGUGAUUCCCGGUGCGUCGGGCCCGAUGACUCUGUUCUGCGACAACACUGGAGCUAUUGCCAUUGCAAAGGAGCCCCGGUUUCACAAGAACACCAAGCACAUCAAGCGCCGCUUCAACUCCAUUCGUGGAUACAUCCAGGAUGGAGAUAUAGAUAUUUGUAAAGUACAUGCGGAUCUGAAUGUCAUAGAUCCAUUGACUAGACCUCUUCCACGAGUGAAACAUGAUCAUCACCAGAAAUCUAUGGGUGUUCGAUUCAUCACAAUGUAGCUGGAUUAUUGACUCUAGUGCAAGUGGGAGACUGUUGGAAAUAUGCCACACAGGCAAUAAUAAAGUGGUUAUUAUUAUAUUUCCUGGUUCAUGAUAAUUUUCUAUUAUUCAUGUUAUAAUUUUAUUUACCGGAAACCGUAAUAUAUGUGUGAAUAUAUAGAUCACAAUGUGUCCCUAGUAAGACUCUAGUUGGCUAGCUCGAUGAUCAAUAAAUAAUCAAGGUUUCGUGAUCAUGGACAUUUGAUGUCAUUGAUAACGUGAUGGACAAGACCCAAUCCUAAGCAUAGCACUAGAUCAUGUUGUUCGUGUGCUAAAUCUUUCCUAUUGUCAAGUACCGUUUCCUUAGACCAUGAGAUUGUGCAACUCCUGGAUACUGUAGGAGUGCAUUGGGUGUAUCAAACGUCACAACGUAACUGUGUGAUUAUAAAGGUGCACUACGGGUAUCUCCGAAAGUGUGUGUUGGGUUUUACGAAUCGAGACUAGGAUUUUUCACUCCGUGUGAUGGAGAGGUAUCUCUGGGCCCACUCGGUAAUACAUCAUCAUACUGAGCUCAAUGUGACUAAGGAGUUGGCCAUGAGAUGAUGUGUUACGGAAUGAGUAAAGAGACUUGCCAUACCGAUGAUUGAAUCUCGAGCAAGUAUCAUACUGGUACGCAGAGGGAAUGGCAUACGGGAUUGAUUGAAUCCCCGACAUCGUGGUUCAUCCAAUGAGAUAAUCGUGGAACAUGUGGGAACCAACAUGGAUAUCCAGACCCCGCUAUUGGUUGUUGACAGGAGAGGUGUCUCGGUCAUGUCUGCAUGCUUCACGAAGCCGUAGGGUCUACAUACUUAAGGUUCGAUGGUGCUAGGGUUAUAGGGGAAUAGUGUACGUGGUUACCGAAGGCUUUUCGGAGUCCAAGAUGAGAUGCCAGAUGUCACGAGGAGUUCACGAGUGGUUCGGAGGUAAAGAUUCAUAUAUAGGAAGUGAGGAUUUGGUCACCGGAAGUGUUUCGGGCGACACCCGUAAUGUACCGGGACCACCGAAUGAGUUCUGGGGGUCCACUGGCAAGGGCCACCAGCCCCAAGCUGCUACAUGGGCUAAAAGUGGGAGAUGCACCUCCACAACUAGUCCAAGGUGCGGCAAGGGGUGGAGGAGGCAAAACCCUAGGCGUGGGGAGGCCACCUUGGGCCUCAAGGCCCACCCUAGGGCGCCUCCACCACCUUGGCCGCCGCCCAAAGCCAUCUAGGGUUGUCGCACCCUUAGGGUGGGAAACCCUAAAGGGUGGGCACCCUCCUCCCUCUCCUCCUAUAUAUAGUGAGGGUUUUGGGCUGAUUUGAGACAACAAUUUCUCUCUCUCACGGCGCAGCCCUACUCCUCCUCCGUAGUGCUUGGCGAAGCCCUAUCGGAGUGCCACGUAGCUCCACUGUAACCACGUUGUGGUUCUGCUGGAUAUCUCCCUCAAUCUCUCCUCCCUCCUUUCUGGAUCAAGGAGUUGGAGACAUCACCGGGCUGCACAUGUGUUGAACGCGGAGGCACCGUCGUUCGGUGCAUAGAUUGGAAUCCACCGUGAUCUGAAUCGCCGCGAGUAUGACUCCAUCAACCGCGUUCUAGCAAUGCUUCCGCUUAGUGAUCUUCAAAGGUAUGAAGAUGAUCUACCCCUUUGCUCGUUGUUGGUUUCUCCAUAGAUAGAUCCUUGCAUGACGUAGGAUUUUUUUUGAAAUUACUAGGUUCCCCAACAGCGACACUGCCAGAGCUCGAAGCUACUGCCGCGUCUGCCUGCUGCUCGCUGGUGAGAUUCCCGUUGUUCUUUGGAAAACAAGGCUCCGUAUUUGUGCCUAUUCAAAAGAUGUCGCGCUCAUAACUUGACACAAGCACUGAGUUAUCCUAGUGGUCAUGCGUGCAUGAUAACCCACAAGUGUAGGGGAUCGCAACAGUUUUCGAGGAUAGAGUAUUCAACCCAAAUUUAUUGAUUCGACACAAAGGGAAGCGAAAGAAUAUUCUCAAGUAUUAGCAGCUGAGUUUGUCAAUUUCAACCACACCUGAAAUAUUAUUGUCUGCAAGCAAAGUACCAGUAGCAAAGUGGUAUGAUAGCAAUGGUGUCAGAAAAAGAUUUGUUGACAGCAGACUAUUCCUAACUGUUGUAUCAAUGGCGCCAGUAAAUAGCACGUGGAUGGGGAACUAUUCUUCCCCGGGAACGGCAACAGAAAAGUCUUGCAACAAGUAGCAGCAAAGUAACACCAGUAGUGACAGUAGUAGCAAGGAAGAGCAGUAGUGACAGCAGCAGCAAGUAACAGCAGAGUAACAACAGUAGCAAGUAACAGUACUAAAAGACGCGUAGGCAGUGGAUCGAUUAUGGAUGAGUAUGCCGGAUGUGAUUCAUCAUGUAACAUCUAUAACACGGAGAGAUAUGUAACUAGCUCCCGUUCGUCAAUCUAAUGUAGGCAUGUAUUUCGUAUGUAGUCAUACAUGCUUAGGGAAAAGAACUUGCAUGACAUCUAUUGUCCAUCCCUCCCGUGGAAGCAGGGUCCUAAUGGAAACUACGGGAUAUUAAGGUUCUCCUUUUAAUAAAGAAUCGGACCAACGCAUUAACACUUGGUGAAUACAUGAACUCCUCAUACUAUGGUCAUCUCGGGGAGUGGUUCCGGCUAUUGUCACUCCGGGGUUGCCGGGUCAUAACACAUAGUAGGUGACUACAACUUGCAAGAUAGGAUUUAAAACACACAUAUAUUGGCGACAACAUAAUAGGUUCAGAUCUGAAAUCAUGGCACUCGGGCCCUAGUGGCAUGCAUUAAGCAUGGCAAAGUAGUAGCAACAUCAAUCUCAGAACAUAGUGGAUACUAGGGAUCAAUCCCCGUCAAAACUAACUCGAUUACAUGAUAGACCUCAUCCAAUUCAUCACCGUCCAGGAAGCCUACGAUGAGAUUACUCAUGAACGGUGAAGAGCAUCAUGGAAUUGUUGAUGGAGGAAGGUUGAUGAUGACGAUGGUGAUGAUUUCCCCUCUCCGGAGCCCAAAACGGACUCCACAUCUGUCCUCAGAUGAAGAACAGGAGGUGGCGGCGCCUCCAUAUCGUAAAACGCGAUGAAUCAUUCUCCCUGAUUUUUUUUCGGGCGAGACGGAAUAAAUAGAGCUGAGUUUGGGGGUGGUGGUGCCACGUGGGCCCCACAAGCCCUCACGGCGCAGCCUAGGGGGGUGGCCGCGGCCUAGGGGCUUGUGGCCCACUGGCACACCCCCUCUGGUGGAUCUUUGCGCAGGUAUUUUUCAUUAAUUCCACAAAAAUUCUCCAUAAAUUUUGAGGACAUUCCGAGAACUUUUAUUUUUGCACAAAAACAACACCAUGGCAAUUUUGCGGAAAACAGCGUUAGUCCGGGUUAGUUCCAUUCAAAUCAUGCAAGUUAGAGUGCAAAACAAGGGCAAAAGAGUUCGGAAAAGUAGAUACGACGGAGACGUAUCAACUCCCCCAAGCUUAAAGCCUUGCUUGUCCUCAAGCAAUUCAGUUGACAAACUGAAAGAGACAAAAGAAAAACUUUGACGAACUUUGUUUGGUCUUGUUGUUGCAACUAUGUCUAACUCAUAACUAGAAUUUCAGCAAGAUCACAAGCAAACCACAUAAGCAAAUGACAUCUAGGUCUCACGGUAAAUUCAUAUCAAUGGCAUAAUCAACUAGCGAGAAAAUAAUAAUAAGCCUCAAAUGUCAACACUUCAAUCAAAACAACAUGAAGUAGUACGAACAGAUGGUAUCUCGCUAGCUCUUUCUGAGACCGCAAAACAUAAAUGCAGAGCACCUUCAAAGACCAAGGGCUGACUAAACAUUGUAAUUCAAGGCAAUGAAGAUCCAGUCACAGUCAUACUCAACACAGUUAAAAGAAAAGCAUAAAAAUGACAGAGUGCUCUCUAAUUGGUGCUUUUUGUAAGAGGAGGAUGACUCAACAGGAACAUAAAUAGACAGGCCCUUCGCAGAGGGAAGCAUUGAUUUGUAGAGGUGCCAGAGCUCAAGCUUUUAAAACAGAGAUAAUAAUUUUGGGUGGCAUGCUUUCAUUGUCAACACAAUGACUAAGAGUUCCCAACAUCUUCCAUGCUACACAUGCUAUAGGCGGUUCCCAAACAGAAAAGUAAUGUUUUGACUCCCCCACCACCAAUCAAUCACACUCCACGGCUAGCCGAAUCCUCGGGUACUAUCCAUACCGAUAUCAAUCCUGGGGGAGUUUUGUUUGCAAUUAUCUUUUCGAUUUGAGCAUGGAACUAGGAAUUCCAAUUACCGGCCCCUUUCUCGUGAAUGAUAGUGAAUAAACACAUAUCGAGGAUAACACGCCUAGCAUGGAAGAUACCAAUAGCCCUCUGUCACCACAUGAGCGGUUCGGGCAUGCAAAACAGAUUAUUUCUUGAAGGUUUAGAGAGUGGCACAUGCAAAUUUACUUGAAACGGCAGGUAGAUACCGCACAUAGGUAGGUAUGGUGGACUUGUAUGGAAAAACUUUGGGUUUAUGGAAGUGGAUGCACAAGCAGUAUUCCCGCUUAGUACAAGUGAAGGCUACCAAAAGACUGGGAAACGACCAAAUAGAGAGCGACAACAGUCAUCAAAAUGCAUUGAGAUUAACUAACAUUGAGUGCAAGCGUGAGUAGGACAUAAAUCACCAUGAACAUGAAUAUCAUAGAGGCUAUAUAUGUUGAUUUUGUUUCAACUACAUGCGUAAACAUGCGCCAAGUCAAGCCACUUGAAUCAUUCAAAGGAGGAUACCAUCAUGUCAUACUACAACACAGUCAUCUCCACAUUCAUGUGGGCAUCCAAGACAAACCAUUAUAAGCUCCUAGCUAAGUAAGCAUGGCAUAAGCAACUAUGAUCUCUAAGUUGUCAUUGCAAACAUGUUUCUCUCACAACAAAGCUGAAUCAGGCAUGAUGAGCUAGUCAUAUUUACAAAAACAAAAUAGAUUGAGUUUAUACCAGCUUUUCCAGGCUCAGUCACUUCAUCAUAUAUCGUCAUUAUUGCCUUUCACUUGCACGACCGAACGAUGUGAAUAAUACUAAGAUUGCUCGUGCAUUGGACUAAAGCUAGAAUAUGUAGGCAAACCCAAAGGAGAAGACAAAGUAAUAUGGCUCUUUGAAAGCUAAACAGGUAUGCAUGCAAGAGCCACUAAACAUUGUAACCAAUAUCUUCUACCUUGACCCAAAGAAAAAGAAAACUAAUUACACGGGAAAGCUCCCAACAAGCAAAAGAAGAAAAAGAAAAUCUUUUUGGUGUUUCUCAAACUAGACAGACACACGAAAAGAAAACGAGAAAAAGAAAAUAAACUAGCAUGGAUGAUACAGUGGCAAAGUGUGAACACCGGCUAACAAAGUGAAAGCAUAAGCAAGAAUGUAAAGUCGGUGAGAACGCGUACUCCGCAAAGCUUAGGCUUCUGGCCUAAGUUGGUCUACUCCCAAGGAGGGAAAUAAGGAGCUCCGGGGUACUUUUCCACCGGACGCUAAGACAGAAAACUGGGAAAACUGAACUAAAUCUAUCAUUUUCCUUCUAAGCAACCUAAAGUGAAAGCUUGGAACGGAGGUUUGUGACUCCUCAAUUCAUCCAUCUCAUGGUUAUCGAAAGAAAAUCCGUCAGUGAGGUUGAUCAAGUCUCUUUGACAAACCUUUUCGAAUCGCAAAAGAAGACGGAGAAUUUCCGAAUAGUAAGUAGGUCACCUCAAUGGGGAUAUGUAUCUCCCCAACAAGCAAAUCAUACUUCAUCUAGACACGAGGAAUAGGGCAUUCAAAGCUCCCAAUAAGAAUCGAUGAAGUUUUUUCGAUAGCAUUGAUGCAAUGUACUCGAUAUUGUUUCUUCAGAAAGUGCAUCGUAUGCUCAUUACUGUUGACAUGGAAAGUGACAUUGCCUUUGUUGCAAUCUAUAACAGCCCCUACAAUGUUUAAAAAGGGUCUUCCGAGGAUGACCACCAUAGCAUCGUCCUCGGGAAUAUCCAAGAUAACAAAGUCUGUUAAGAUAGUGACAUUAGCAACCACAACAGGCACAUCCUUGCAAAUGCCAAUAGGGAAAGCAGUUGAUUUGUCGGCCAUUUGCAAAGAGAUUUCAGUGGGUGUCAACUUAUCUAGUUCAAGUCUAUGAUAAAGAGAGAGAGAGGCAUAACACUAACACCGGCUCCAAGGUCGCAUAACGCGGUUCUAACGUAGUUGCCUUUAAUGGAGCAAGGUAUAGUGGGCACACCGGGAUCACCUAGUUUCUUACGAGUUCCACACUUGAAGGAAUAAUUUGCAAGCAUGGUGGAAAUCUCAACCUCAGGUAUCCUCCUCUUAUUAGUCACAAUAUCUUUCAUGUACUUAGCAUACGGAGACAUUUUGAGCAUAUUUGUCAAAUGCAUUUGCAGAAAAACGGGUCUGAUCAUUUCAACAAAUCGCUCGAAAUCCUCAUCAUCCUUUUUCUUGGAUGGUUUGGGAGGAAAGGGCAUGGGUUUCUGAACACAUGGUUCCCUUUCUUUACCAUGCUUCCUAGCAGCGAACUCAUUCUUAUCGUAUCUCUUAUUCUUAGGAUGUGGGUUAUCAAGAUCAACAGGUUCAAUCUCCACAUCCUUAUCAUUUCUAGGUUGAGCAUCAACAUGAACAUCACUAUUGAUAUUAUCAUUAGGCUCAUGUUCAUCACCAGAUUGUGUUUCAGCAUCAGAGACAGAGACAUCGUUUGGACUCUCAGGUGUAGCAGCAACAGGGUUGCUAGCGUGCAAGUUACUAUCAUCUUUCUUCUUCUUUCUAGGAUGACUAGGUGCAUCAGUGCUAACUCCUUGAAAAAAUCUUGUUCAAUCCUCUUCGGAUAACCCUCAGGAUACAAAGGUUCCUGGGUCAUUCUACCGCCUCUAGUGACGACUUUAACAGAAUUGUCAUUCAUCUCAUUGAGCAAGUCAUUCUGAGUUUGAAGUACUUGUUCUACCUGAGUAGUAACCAUAGAGGCAUGUUUUCUCAGAAGCUUUAGAUCGUUGACGUUUCUGUCCACACAAGCACUUAAAUGACUAAGCAUACGAGCAUUCUGUUCCAAUUGUCUGCUAACAUAAUCAUUGAAGCUUUGCUGUUUGGCAACAAAGUUAUCAAGUCCAUCCAGGCAUGGGCUAGCAGGUUUAUCAAAAGGAAUAGUGAUAACCCACAAGUAUAGGGGAUCAAUUGUAGCCUUUCUCGAUAAGUAAGAGUGUCGAACCCAACCAGGAGCUAAAGGUAGGACAAAUAUUCCCUCAAGUUCUAUCAACCACUCAUACAACUCUACGCACACUUUAUGUCCGCUUUACCUUGAACAACUAUGAAACUAGAAGUACUUUGUAGGAGUGAUAGGAUAGGCUUGCAAGAAAGUAAAGAACACGUAAAUAAAACUAGGGGCUGGUUAGAUAAAGAAACAACUACGAGUGUCUAACGAGUGUGGAAAAGUGGUGGUAGGAGUUGCGGAAUUGUCCCUAAGCAAUUGACUACGUUACUAGAUCGAUAGCAAAUAUCAUGUGGGAGAGGCCUCUACUAGCAUGUCAUCCCUUACUUGGAAUUCUAUGCACUUAUGAUUGGAACUAUUAACAAGCGUCCGGAACUACUAACGUUCAUUAAGGUGAAACCCAACCAUAGCAAUAAGAUAUAUUGGUCCCCCUUCAAUCCCAUAUGCAUCAAUUUCUAUGCUAGGUUUGAAGCUUCUUUCACUCUAACCUGCCAAUACAUAGUCCUAUCAACAUACAACUAACCCUAUGGUGUGAUCCACGUGCGCAAUCAUAUGAUGGGCACCAAUGGACAACAACAUAACCACAAGCAAAUUAAACAAUCAUAGCAAUUCAUCAAUCACCGAUAGGACAACGAUAAUCUACUCAGACAUCAUAGGAUAGCAACACAUCAUUGGAUAAUAAUAUGUAGCAUAAAGCACCAUGUUCAAGUAGAGGGUACACUGGGUUGCGGGAGAGUGAACCGCUGAAUAUAGAUGGGGAAGAUGAUGGAGAUGUUGGUGAAGAUGACGGAGGUGUUGGUCUAGAUCGUCGUCACACGAUGAUGUCCCGAGCGGCGUUCCGGCGCCGCCGGGAGAGAGGGGGAGAGAGCCCCCCUCCUUCUUCUUCUUCCUUGACCUCCUCCCUAGAUGGGAGAAGGGUUUCCCUAUGGUCCAUGGUCUCCAUGGCGGCGGUGGGGCGAGAGCCCCUCCGAGAUUGGAUCUCUCUCUCUGUGUCCUUCUAUUUCUGCGCUCCCAGAUUCUGAGUUUCACCGUUUCUUAAAUUCCCGGAGACCUCAAACUCUGAUUGGGCUGAAAUUUUAACAUGAUUUUCUUCCGGAUAUUAUCUUUCUUGCGGCGCAAUAAGGGCUCCAACCGCCUUAAGGACUGGCCACAAGCCUGCCUGCCGCGGGCCCACCCCCUGGCCACGGCGACAUGGUUUGUGGGCACUCCGUGCAUCGCCUUGCGUUGAUUCUUCUUCCCAAAAAUCAUAAAUAUUCCAAAAAAAUCCCCGUAAGUUUUUAUUACGUUUAGACUUCGUUUGGUAUGUAUAUUCUGCGAAACGAAAAACAUGCAAAAAACAGGAACUGGCACUGGGCACUGGAUCAAUAUGUUAGUCCCAAAAAUAGUAUAAAAAGUUGCCAAAAGUAUAUGAAAGUUGUAGAAUAUUGGCAUGAAACAAUCAAAAAUUAUAGAUACAACGGAUACGUAUCAGCAUCCCCAAGCUUAAUUCCUGCUCGUCCUCGAGUAGGUAAAUGAUAAAAAAGAUAUUUUUUUAUGUGGAAUGCUACCUAUCAUAAUCUUGAUCAUAUAAUCUAAUCAUGGCAUGAAUACUAAAACACGAGUGAUUCGAAGCAAUAGUCUAUCAUUUGACAUAAAGACUAUAAUAUUCCAAGCAUACUAACAAAGCAAUCAUGUCUUCUCAAAAUAUCAUGGCCAAAGAAAGUUAUCCCUACAAAAUCAUAUAGUCUGACUAUGCUCCAUCUUCCCCACACAACGUAUUUAAAUCAUGCACAACCCCGGUUUUAGCCAAGCAAUUGUUUCAUACUUUAGUGCUCUCAAACCUUUUCAACUUUCACGCAAUACAUGAGUGUGAGUCAUGGAGAUAGCACUAUAGGUGUAAUAGAAUAUGGUGGUCGUGGAGAAGACAAAAAAAGGAGGACAUAGUCUCACAUCAACUAGGCGUAUCAACGGGCUAUGGAGAUGCCCAUCAAUAGAUAUCAAUGUGAGUGAGUAGGGAUUGCCACACAACGGAUGCAGUAGAGCUUAUAAGUGUAUGAAAGCUCACAAAAGAAACUGGUGGGUGUGCACCCAACUUGCUUGCUCACGAAGACCUAGGUCAAUUUUGAGGAAGCCCAUCAUUGGAAUAUACAAGCCAAGUUAUAUAAUGAAAAUUUCCCACUAGUAUAUGGAAGUGACAACAUAGGAGACUCUCUGUCAUGAAGAUCAUAGUGCUAUUUUAAGCACAAGUGUGGAAAGAGGAUAGUAGCAAUUGCCCCUUCUCUCUUUUCUCUCAUUUUUUUGUGGGCUCUUUGGCCUCUUUUUUUAUAUUUUUUCUAUUUUUAUUUUGGUGGGCAUAUUUGGCCUCUUUUUUGUAAAUGGGCUUCGUUGGCCUCUUUUAUUUCCUCACAUGGGACAAUGCUCUAUUAAUAAUGAUCAUCACACUUACAACUCAAUACUUAGAGCAAUGACGACUCUAUAUGAAAUGCCUUCGGUAGUGUACCGUGACAAUGAUCUAGCAUAGCAAUGACAUCAAAAAACGGACAAGCCAUGGAAACAUCAUGCUAGCUAUCUUACGAUCAUGCAAUGGCAAUAUGGAAGUGGUGGCACAUGUCAUGAGACGGAACGGUGGUAGUUGCAUGGCAAUAUAUCUUGGAAUGGCUAUGAAAAUGCCAUAAUAGGUAGGUAUGGUGGCUGUUUUGAGGGAGGCUAUAUGGUGGGUGUAAUGCACCGGCGAAAGUUGCGCUGUACUAGAGAGGCUAGCAAUGGUGGAAGGGUGGGAAUGGCUAUGAAAAUGCCAUAAUAGGUAGGUAUGGUGGCUGUUUUGAGGGAGGCUAUAUGGUGGGUGUAAUGCACCGGCGAAAGUUGCGCGGUACUAGAGAGGCUAGCAAUGGUGGAAGGGUGAGAGUGCGUAUAAUCCAUGGACUCAACAUUAGUCAUAAAGAACUCACAUACUUAUUGCAAAAGUCUAUUAGUCAUCUAAACAAGGUACUACACGCAUGCUCCUAGGGGAAAGUUUGAUAGGAGGUAAACAUCGCGCGAUCCCGACCUCCACACAAAGGAAGACAAUCAAUAAAUAAAUCAUGCUCCAACUUCAUCACAUAACGGUUCACCAUACGUGCAUGCUACAGGAAUCACAAACCUUAACACAAGUAUUUCUAAAAAUACACAAUUACUCACUAGCAUGACUCUAAUAUCACAUAUUCAUGUCACAAAACUGUUGCAAGGAAUCAAACAUAUCAUAUUCAGUGAUCUGCAAGUCUUAUGUAGGAUUUUGUGAAUAACCAUGUGAAUGACCAACUCCUGUUAACUCUCAAAAUAGGUAUAAGUGAAGCAUGAGAGUUUAAUUCUUUCUACAAAAGAUAUGCCCCGCUCUAACAAAUAUAACUGAAGCAAAAGAGCAUUCUACAAAUGGCGCUUUUCUAUGUGUAGGGAAACAGGCAAUCCAAACUUCAAAAGAUAUAAGUGAAGCACAAGAAGCAUUCUAUAAAGCCAACCAAGGACUAUCUCAUACCAGCAUGGUGCAUAAAAUAAAAAGGAAAAAUAAACACAAAAGACGCUCCAAGCAUUUGCACAUAUCAUGUGACGAAUUAAAAUAUAGCUCCGAGUAAAAUUACCGAUAGAUUGUAGACGAAAGAGCGGAUGCCUUCCGGGGCAUCCCCAAGCUUAGACGUUUGAGUCUUCCUUGAAGAUUACCUUGGGUUGCCUCGGGCAUCCCCAAGCUUAGGCUCUUGCCUCUCCUUAUUCCUUCAUCCAUCGUGCUCUCAUCCAAACCUUGAAAACUUCAAUCACACAAAACUCAACAAAACUUUGUGAGAUCUGUUAGUAUAAUAAAAUAAAUCACCACUUCAAGUAAUGUUGUGAACUCAUUCUAAAUUCAUAUUAGCAUUAUAUCUAAUGUAAUCCAACUUCACCAUGGUUCAUACCCCCCGAUACUACCCAUAGAUUCAUCAAAAUAAGAGAACAAUGCAUAGAAAACAGAAUCUGUCAAAACAGAACAGUCUGUAGCAAUCUGUAUAUUCCUUAUAUUCUGAUAUCUCACAAAAUCUGAAAAAUUACGAACGUCUGGAAAAUUUGCAUAUCAAUCUGCAGCAACAAGAAUCAACUCAAAAUCUCUUCCAGAAUAAAAAUGAAAAUUAAGUUCGUGAGCAAAAAGUUUCUGUCUUUUCUCAGCGUGAUCAAACAACUAUCACCCAAACUAAUCAUAAAGGCUUUACUUGGCACAUUAUUUUUAAAAACACAAAGGAAUUGUACAAGGGGAUAAAUAUUUUUGUGAGAAACUUCCAUGAAAAAUUCUACAUUGUUUCCAUGAGCAUGAGCACAAGUGUUCAAGGUCGAUUCUCACUUCCGCAAUGCAUCACCUUUCAAUCGCUUCUCCUUUUUAAAAAGUUUUAAGUUCCCCUCUAUAAUUUUUUUUUUGUUUUUAAACUAAAUAAAAGCACUCAACAGAAAUAAAUGACUCUCUAAAACUUCCGGGUUGUAUCCCAGGCAGCGCUUUCUUUAAAGCCAUUAAGCUAGGCAUAAAGUGCUCAAGUAAUGGAUCCACCCUCCCAAGGUAUAUCAAAGCCAAUUUUAAUUAGCAAUGAUUUGAAAUUUAUUAGUGAGCACAAGGUAACAUAUAUCAUGCAAUUACGAAGUCUAACUCUCUUCCUAUGCAUUGGCAUGUCAUAAAAGAACAAUUCAUGCACACCAAGUAAUGGCCAAUACAUAGCAUAAGCAGUUUCUUGCAAUUUUAUCGUACUGGAAACAUAGAGGGUGGAGAUGUAGUUCCUCUCUCAUAAUAAUUGCAAGUAGGAGCAGCAAUCACAUGCAUAUUAUAUUCAUAAAAAUCAUCAUGUGUAACAUAAGGAACUAUAGCUAGCUCAUCUUCAUAAGCAUCAUUCAUAAUGGCAUCAUGGCCACAAGCAUAGCAAGCAUCAAGUUCAUCAAAAAGGGAUAUUUCAAACGAAACAAGGGUUCAUAGCAUUCAUCCUUCGGUAAGAACGAAGGGAAAUUAAAUAAUGUAUGAGUAGAAGAGUUACUCUCAUUAGAAGGUGGACACGGGUAGCUAGUCCGCUCUUCCUCCUUUUGUUCUUCGCUCUCCUCUUCAUCUUUUUCAUCUAAUGAGCUCACAAUUUCAGCAUUUUCUUUUUCCAUAGUUUCCUGCAAAAUAAUAGUCUCUUCUUGGGCAACAUAGGAUUUCUCCUUAAAUCGUUCAAUAUGGGCAUUAUAUUCAUAAUGAGUAUAACAAUAACGAAGCAUAGCCAAAUUUUCAGAUCAGUAAGGAGCAUCAUCAUUAUCAUCACACCUUUUAAACAAAGCCUCAAUUUCAUAAGCACCCAUAAAAGCAACAAACUCUUCUAUUUGAUCCACAUCAUAGUAAUCAUAUAUACCAUUAGCAUAAGAAGCCAAGGUUCUAUGAUCAUUAAACUCACAGGAAAAGGGAAGGUGUGGAGCCUUCAUCCUCGAGCAACAAGUAACACCAUGUCUCUUGCAUAGUUCCCAAGCAUACCAUUUCAACAAAUGGAUUUGAUCCCAUAAAAGUUUCCCUUUUUGAGUCAAGCGAUAAUCCCUAAAGUGUUCACGUUGAUCCAACGUGUAUCCCAUUAUAUAGUCGAAUGGGGCUUUCUCAGGAUUGUUAAAGAAGUACAUAAUAUUUUCCACAUAACGAGCCUCGAGGGUUUUAGAAGGUUCCCCAUCUCCAUGAGUAGCAAGUACACCUAAUUUUUUUGGUAUUUCGUGUUCCAUAUCCAUAACUAAAGAUAGAGAACUGCUUAGAACAACAAAUAAUUCUACUUAGUGAUAAAGCAAGCAAGCACACACGAGGAUAUUCACCCCACACUAUCUCUCCCCAGCAACGGCGCCAGAAAAAGGUCUUGAUAACCCAAAAGUAUAGGGGAUCAAUUGUAGCCUUUCUCGAUAAGUAAGAGUGUCGAACCCAACGAGGAGCUAAAGGUAGGACAAAUAUUCCCUCAAGUUCUAUCAACCACCGAUACAACUCUACGCACACAUUACGUUCGCUUUACCUAAAACAAGUAUGAACUAGAAGUACUUUGUAGGAGUGAUAGGAUAGGCUUGCAAGAAAGUAAAAAACACGUACAUAAAACUAGGGGCUGGUUAGAUAAAGAAACAACUAUGAGUGUCUAACGAGUGUGGAAAAGUGGUGGUAGGAGUUGCGGAAUUGUCCCUAAGCAAUUGACUACGCUACUAGAUCGAUAGCAAGUAUCAUGUGGGAGAGGCCUCUGCUAGCAUGUCAUCCCUUACUUGGAAUUCUAUGCACUUAUGAUUGGAAAUAUUAGCAAGCAUUCGCAACUACUAACGUUCAUUAAGGUAAAACCCAACCAUAGCAAUAAGAUAUAUUGGUCCCCCUUCAAUCCCAUAUGCAUCAAUUUCUAUGCUAGGUUUGAAGCUUCUGUCACUCUAGCCUGCCAAUACAUAGUCCUAUCAACAUACAACUAACCCUAUGGUGUGAUCCACGUGCACGAUCAUAUGAUGGGCACCAAAGGACACCAACAUAACCACAAGCAAAUUAAACCAAUCAUAGCAAUUCAUCAAUCACCGAUAGGACACCGAUAAUCUACUCAGACAUCAUAGGAUAGCAACACAUCAUUGGAUAAUAAUAUGUAUCAUAAAGCACCAUGUUCAAGUAGAGGGUACAACGGGUUGCGGGAGAGUGAACCGCUGAAUAUAGAUGGGGGAAGAUGAUGGAGAUGUUGGUGAAGAUGAUGGAGGUGUUGGUGUAGAUCGCCGUCACACGAUGAUGUACCGGGCGGCGUUCCGGCGCCGCCGGGAGAGAGGGGGAGAGAGGACCCCUCCUUCUUAUUCUUCCUUGACCUCCUCCCUAGAUGGGAGAAGGGUUUCCCCUCUGGUCCAUGGUCUCCAUGGCGGCGGAGGGGCGAGAGCCCCUCCGAAAUUGGAUCUCUCUCUCUGUGUCCUUCUGUUUCUGCGCUCCCAGAUUCUGCAAUUUACCGUUUCUUAAAUUCCCAGAGAUACUAACUCCGAUUGGGCUGAAAUUUUAACACGAUUUUCUUCCGGAUAUUAUCUUUCUUGCGGUGAAAGAAGGGCUCCAACCGCUUUAAGAAGUGGCCACAAGCCUGCCUGCCGCGGGCCCACCCCCUGGAGGCGGCGACAGGGCUUGUGGGCACUCCGUGCAUGGCCUCGCGUUGAUUCUUCUUCCCAAAAAUCAUAAAUAUUCCAAAAAAAUCCCCGUAAGUUUUUAUUAUGUUUGGACUUCGUUUGGUAUGGAUAUUCUGCGAGACAAAAAACAUGCAACAAACAGGAACUGGCACUGGCACUGGAUCAAUAUGUUAGUCCCAAAAAUACUAUAAAAACUUGCCAAAAGUAUAUGAAAGUUGUAGAAUAUUGGCAUGAAACAAUCAAAAAUUAUAGAUACGAUGGAGACGUAUCAAAUAUCACUCUCAUCAAACCUACGCAGAGAAUUUACUUCUACUACCUGUAUCGGGUUAUCGACACCAUGGAUCUCUUCGAUAGGUGGUAGAUUUUUGACAUCUUCAGAUUUAAUGCCUUUCUCUCGCAUAGAUUUCUUAGCUUCUUGCAUAUCUUCAGGACUGAGGAAUAGAAUACCUCUUUUCUUCGGAGUUGGCUUAGGAGGUGGUUCGGCAAUAGUCCAAGCAUUCUCAUUGCACAAGAUGUUAUUCAGUAAAAUCUCAGCUUGUUCUACAGUUCGUUCCCUAAAAACACAACCGACACAACUAUCUUGGUGGUCUUUGGAAGCAUCAGCAAGUCCAUUAUAGAAGAUAUCAAGUAUUUCAUUCUUCUCAAGAGGGUGAUCAGGCAAAACAUUCAGUAGCUGGACGAGCCUCCCCCAAGCUUGUGGGAGACUCUCUUCUUCAGCUUGAGCAAAGUUGUAUAUUUCCUACAAGGCAGCUUGCUUCUUAUGGGCAGGGAAAUAUUUUUCACAGAAGUAGUAGAGCAUGUCCUGGGGGCUACGCACACAACCAGGAGCAAGAGAAGUGAACCAAGUCUUAGCAUCAUCCUUUAGUGAGAAAGAAACAGCUUGAGGAUAUAGUAGUGGCGGAUCUUUUCCUCACUAGUUAAUAGGGUGGCUAUAUCGUGCAGUUUGGUAAGAUGGGCUACAACCGCUUCAGACUCAUAACCGUGAAAAGGAUCAGAUUUGACUAGAGUGAUUAACUCACGGUCGAUAGAGAAUUCAUAAUCCUUAUCGGUCACAAAGAUAGGCGAAGUGGCAAACUUCGGGUCGUAUUUCAUCACAGCGUUCAGAGAUUUUUCUUUCCACUUGAGCAGUAGUUUCUCAACAUCAUAGCUAUCCUUACACGCAAGAAAAUCCUCAGCUAUCUCUCCCUCCAUAAUAUAGCGCUCAGGCAUAACAAGCAAUUCAGGCUUAGUAGCAGGUUCUACUUCAAUAGUAUCAGCAGUUUCAGAAGUAUCAUCACAUCUAGCAGCAACUCUAGCAAUUUGUGCAUCAAGGAAUGCACCUAGUGGCAAAGCAGUAUCAGGCAUAGCAUCAUCAGGCAUAGUAUCAAGCAUAGCAUCAUCAGGCAUAGUAUCAAGCAUAGCAUCAUCAGGCAUAGUAUCAAGCAUAGCAUCAUCAUAAGCAUCAUAGGCAGCAGAAGUAGCAUCAUCAAGCAGAUGCGACAUAUCAAGAUUUCUAGCAGGAGGCGAUGUCACAAACUUACUCAAAACUGAAGGUGAAUCAAGUGCAGAGCCAAAUGGCAGUUCCUUACCUCUCCUCGUAGUGGAAGGCAAGAUUUUAGUUCUUGGAUCUUUUCGAUUCCUCAUAGUGACCAGCAGACGUCAAUCCAAGUGACUCAGAGAAUAUAGCUAUGCUUCCCCGGCAACGGCGCCACAAAAUAGUCUUGAUAACCCACAAGUGUAGGGGAUCGCAACAGUUUUCGAGGGUAGAGUAUUCAACCCAAAUUUAUUGAUUCGACACAAAGGGAAGCGAAAGAAUAUUCUCAAGUAUUAGCAGCUGAGUUUGUCAAUUUCAACCACACGUGAAAGAUUAGUGUCUGCAAGCAAAGUAUCAGUAGCAAAGUGGUAUGAUAGCAAUGGUGUUAGAAAAAGAUCUGUUGACAAUAGACUAUUCCUAACGGUUGUAUCAAUGGUGCCAAUAAAUAGCACGUGGACGGGGAACUAUUCUUCCCCGGCAACGGCUAUAGAAAAGUCUUGCAACAAGUAGCAGCAAAGUAACAGCAGUAGUGACAGCAGUAGCAAGGAACGGCAGUAGUGACAGCAGCAGCAAGUAACAGCAGAGUAACAACAGUAGCAAGUAAUAGCAGUAAAAGACUCGUAGGCAGUGGAUCGGUGAUGGAUGAGUAUGUCGGAUGUGAUUCAUCAUGUAACAGCUAUAACACGGAGAGAUAUGUAACUAGCUCCCGUUCGUCAAUCUAAUGUAGGCAUGUAUUCCGUAUGUAGUCAUGCGUGCUUAGGGAAAAGAACUUGCAUGACAUCGAUUGUCCAUCCCUCCCGUGGCAGGGGGGUCCUAAUGGAAACUAUGGGAUAUUAAGGUUCUCAUUUUAAUAAAGAACCAGACCAACGCAUUAACACUCGGUGAAUACAUGAACUCCUCAUAUUAUGGUCAUCUCUAGGAGUGGUUCCGGCUAUUGUCACUCCGGGGUUGCCGGGUCUUAACACAUAUUAGGUGACUACAACUUGCAAGAUAGGAUAUAAAACACACAUAUAUUGGUGACAACAUAAUAGGUUCAGAUCUGAAAUCAUGGCACUCGGGCCCUAGUGACAAGCAUUAAGCAUGGCAAAGUAGUAGCAACUUCAAUCUCAGAACAUAGUGGAUACUAGGGACCAAUCCCCAUCAAAACUAACUCGAUUACAUGCUAGAUCUCAUCCAAAUCAUCACCGUCCAGCAAGCCUACGAUGAGAUUACUCACGAACGGUGAAGAUCAUCAUGGAAUUUUCGAUGGAGGAAGGUUGAUGAUGACGAUGACGACGAUUUCCCCUCUUCGGAGCCCAAAUCGGACUCCAGAACUGUCCUCUAGAUGAAGAACAAGAGGUGGCGGCGCCUCCGUAUCGUAAAACGCGAUGAAUCCUUCUCCCUAAUUUUUUUCCAGGGGAGACGGAAUAAAUAGAGCUGAGUUUGGUGGCGGUGGUGCCACGUGGGCCCCACAAGCCCUCACGGCACGGCCUAGGGGGGUGGUCGCGGCCUAGGGACUUGUGGCCCACUAGCACACCCCCUCCGAUGGAUCUUUGCACAUGUAUUUUUCAUUAAUUCCAGAAAAAUUCUCCAUAAAUUUUCAGGACAGUCCGAGAACUUUUAUUUUUGCACAAAGACAACACCAUGGCAAUUCUAGUGAAAACAACGUUAGUCCGGGUUAGUUCCAUUCAAAUCAUGCAAGUUAGAGUCCAAAACAAGGGCAAAAGAGUUCGGAAAAGUAGAUACGACGGAGAUGUAUCAGUGCAUAUGUUAGUUAGUUAGUUUUUUUUCCAAUCGUGCACACACUCAGACACUUGGGCUUGAUCCAACUCUGGGCCGAUGCACUAUGUUGCAGUUCGGCCCAUGCAUAUAUAUUUUCACUGUUGCGGUUUUGUUAAUAUCUAGACAUGCAUUAUUGCAGAUUUUGUCACUCUUUUAGAAUGACUAUAGCGCAAUAACCGUGCAUCGAAUUAAAAUGAUUUCAACAUGUAAAAUGUUCAGAAUUUUGUGUAGAUUUAAAAUUUCUAACUUUCAUCCAUGUUAAAAAUGUUUCAAUUGUUGUUUCGUUUGAUUUGCAUAAUGUCAUGUGAAACACGUUUUAUUUCAUGGCUAAAUAACCCUAACUCCAUUUAAAAUGAUCCACAUAUGUAACUUUGACUAGAAAAAUGUGUAGAACAAUAUGGUAACAUUUAUUUUGGUGUUUAACAACUCUAAAAUUGUGCUAUAGGCAGAAUAGUACUGAACUUUAAUUUGCAUUUGGGGGAUUUCCACAAUUGUUAUUAGUUGUUCCGGCCUCAUUUAAACUUGCCUAGAAUUUCUUGUAGCUUCAUAAUAUCUUGUGCAUCCAUGAUUAACAUGUUGUGGUUGUCAAUUGUAUGCAUUUUGCUUUCCUGACAUAUUAUGUGUGUUGCUCAUAUCUUUUAAACCAUAGCUCCGUUUUAAUUGUUCUAUAUAUGUAAAUCAACUAGAAUGACGUGUAAAUUCACAUGUUCCAUUUUAUUUUUCUGUUUAAUAAAUAUAAAAUGUGUUUGUUAAGAUCUGGAAAUAUUCAAAAUUAACAUAUGGGGUAAUUUCUGAAAUGCUAUAGGUUGUUUCCGACCUCAUUUAAAAUGCCUAGAUAGUGUAGUUUAUUUAUGCUUCACCUCUUGCCAUGAUUAACAACAUUUAACAUUGUGGUGUACCUACAUGGAAGUGAACUAAAUAAUUCAAAUAUGGAGUUUCGUCGAUAUGCAACUCGCUGCAUAUUGAGCUUCACUUAAUGUGUAGUAUUAAUUUUUUGUGCUUUGCCAUGCCUUGCAUAAUUGAAAUGGACAUGCAUCGUAUGUGUGUGUGCAUCAUGUCUUGCUUAUGUUGUGGUGUUUAUUAUUUGUUGAUUGUUUUUUCGGAUUACUUCUUCUUGAUAGAAUUCCACAAGCAUGUUAGAGUGUGAGGAUUCGUUCAACUACGAUGGUUCAUCUGCUUCACGGAUCCGUUCUCCUUCCAAGCGGCGUCACAGGCAAGAUGAUCAUUUCCCUAGAUACCACUACUAUCAUUGGCAUGCUAGUUGUCUCGUUUCUUUCGCUAUGUAUCGCUGCCUACCACCUGUUACGUCAGCCUCCAAACAUUGCCAUGAAAAGCCUCUAACCCCUCCACCACCCAGCAAAUCCUUGUUUGGCUAUGUUACUGCUUGCUCAACCUUAUUAUAGCGCUGCUAGUUGCAAGUGCGGAUGCUUCCAUGUGAAACAAGGAUUCCUUGUUAUAUCACCAUAUAAUUGCUAAUUAAAUUAAUGCACCUAUAUACUUGGUAAAAGGUGUAAGGUUCCAUCUUUUCCGGCCUAGUUACAUGUGUACCCAUGUUAUGUGCCAUAAAUGAGCGCUCCUAACAUGCUUGGGGUUGUUACGAGGACCCCCUUGAUUUUUGUUUUGGGAUAAAACUCUUCUGGAAAGGCCCAACAUUGGUACAAUAUUUGUUCAACAUAAUAAUAUUGAACACUAUUAGUAAUUCAUAGGGAGUUAGCAUUACCCGAGGAUUAAUUCAACAUAAUACAAGGGGCAGUGCUGAUGGUGUUGGUCCCAAACGGGCAGACUGCGGGGCCACCACGGGGAAGCUCGAGGUUUGGUUUUACUCGUAGGGUUUCCCAUCCGGGUGAUAACGAGAUACGUGCCCCAUAUAGGGAUUGUUGGCACGUCGGGCGGCCUUGCUGGUUUUGUUUUACUCUUAUCGAAGGUCUAGUGCACUCGGAUAUCGGUGAUACUUCGGGCUAUGUCGAGGUUGAGAUUUUCUCUCCAAAGUAGCUUGUGGUAGUUUGUGAUGGACUAGUUGGAGCACCCCUACAGGGUUAAUUCUUUCUGAGAGCCGUGCCCACGGUUAUGUGGCAACUUGGAAACUUUGUUUAACACUCGGUCAUAGCAAACUUGAAGUAAACUUAAUUUAAACUUGCCAACUGUGUGAGUAACCGUGACAGUCUCUUCUCAUGAGUUCUGCAUCCGAGAGAGGACACGGUGGGGUUAUGUCUGUCGUAAGUAGGUGUUCAGUAUCACCUCAUGAUCAUCGUUAGUUCAUGUCCAUUUAUGCGCAGAUCAACCCCCCUAUUGAUCUUGUACUCGUAAGUUAGCCACACAAAUGAAUGCUUAGUUGCUUGCCACAACCUCACCACUUAACCAUACCUCACACAUUAAGCUUUGCUAGUCUUGAUACCUUUGGAAAUGAUAUUGCUGAUUCCGAUGUGGCUCGCAGAAUACUACAACAACAGUUGCAGGUACAGGUAAAGCGAUACUUUGGUGCGAGCGCGAUGAUUGUGUUAUUUGGAGUUUGUUCUUCUUCUUCUUCAUCGAUCUAGGAUGGGUUCCAGGCUGGCAGCCGAGGAUAACAAGGAUGGAUGUCGUUCUUUUAUCAUUUGAUUUCGUCCGUAGUCGGACCCUGAUCUUCAACAUGGUGAUUGCAUACAUUGUUGUAUUGUGUUGGUCAUGUUGUAGCUUGUGGCGAGUGUAAGCCAAUUUCAUAUACUCAUCUCUUCUGUACAUGAUCUUGAAAUGAUAUCCAUUCUUGAAAAACGACGAGAUGCGCUUCUAUCCCUAUCGAGGCCCUCAUGCCAAAAUAAGGAUAUGAUCGCAUCUUGGGCGUUACAUGCCAGUUGUGCUAUGGAGCCUGUGGACCAUGCCCAUUUGGUGGACCGGCUUCACCCCCUUCUUACUAGUGUACCGGGCGGAGGUAAUCAUCCCCACAGACAUAUAGUUCCACGCACCGAUAGUCACCCUCCACACACAGGCCGACAGAAAAGAAGCACGAGAACAUUGUGUAGACCUCCUCGAGAUGGAAAGCGAGCUGGUCCUGUCCAGAUCAGAAAUCUACUAGGACAGUCUACACUGCUAUCAUAGUCGGCAGGUCAAGUCCCUCUCAUUUUGAGAGGGCGAACUGGUGCUCCGGCUGACCCCUGCACUCCUGCAUCCCACUCAUCACCGACCUCGUGCUCCAACCUGGUGCUCUGUUGCUCCGGCUUGGUGCAACGGAUAGCUGGCCAACAUAAGUUAUUCGCCCCAUGGGAGGGCCCGUUCAUCGCCAGCAAGGCGCUAAGAAACAACGCGUACUACCUAAUCGACGCACGCAAGGCCAGACAGAACGAGAGGGACGCUUCCGACUCUGAGAUGGAGCGCAAGUGGAAUGCAGAGCUCCUCCGCCCGUUUUACAGUUGAAGUAAGUGUAUGUAUGUGUCGCCUUGUUUUGUGCAAAUUAAUGAACGACCAACACCCCCGAGCAAGUCUCGUGGACUGCCCUUUCGAUCCAAUCUUUGGCAAUGUAUUUUCUUCCUACUAGCCGCCCCGGACUGGCUCAACCGGCUCGGGGACUGGCCGGCCCACCCAAACCCUCCCUAGACCGCCUCGGUACUAUACCCCUCCCUCGCUGCCUAACCCUUGCCCGGCUACAGACCACAACAUUGUUGUCGGGAUGGCAGGAGCACAAGCAAAGGGAAAGGGCGGAUAGGAAAAACGAUAAGGGGUGGGCCGGCUCCAUCCAUGUUAAGUGGUCCAUUCCAAUCCAAACUUGCAAUAAUCCAAAGUACCAUACCCCUGCACUCCCGCAGCCCACUCCUCGCCCGGCCACAGACCGCAACCCGGCAAUCCCGCCGACAGGAACAAGUGCAAAGGGAGCAGGACGAAUGGGAAAAAUGACUAAGGCAAGUGAAAGUGUCGAACGGGCCGCUAGACGACAAUCAACAAAUUUGAUAACUACAAAUGCUUAACUGAAGAUAGCGGCACAAGGCCAAGAGUGCAUUACAAUAAGCCUACACCCCCAGCGGGUGGACUUAUUCAUUACAUUUUCCAAAGCAGAAAAAAGUAGAAAAUAAAAAUCCCUAGACGGCUGGCGGCGGCUGCUGAUCCACGUCCGUGCCGCAAGCCGGCGGGGGCGUGUGGCUCAUGGCUGCGUCGUCUGCUGGUGGAGUCUUCUGGCUUGCUCCCGCAUCGCCAACCGAUGGAGUCUUCUAGCUCACGUCCGUGUCACCAGCCGGCGGCACCACCGUUCCCACAGAGGAUGCGCCUGUCCCUUCGACGUCCGCCUCACGCACCACCUUGUCAGCAACAGGCUCCCCCGAGAUGGACCUGACCUCCUCCUCGUUGUAACCGAGCGGGACACCAAACUCGUCCUCCAGGACGGGCACGCCUUCCUCCCCCAGCUUUGGGAAGUACACAUCCAACAACGCGCAGCUCACAAGCUCAUUGACACGGAGGGCGAUGGCUUCGUUGCGUCGCGCCAAGUUGCUCUGCGCCUCCGCCUGCAUGGUGGCCAGCUGGCCCAAACUGAUGCCCGGAUACCAGGAGAGGGCAAAAGCCAAAUCCAUCUGGGCACCACCCCGCGCUAGAGACGCCCUCCACGCUCAAAGAACCCCACGACGUUCUCAAGCCUCCUGGCUACGUGGCUGGUGGGAAUCGCCGCCGCCCGGUCCAGCCAGAGAGCCUUGAUGAGGCCCUCACCCGCUGCUCGGAGCCGCCCAAGGACCGCCUAUGUGUGGGUCAGCUGGACCUCGCAGGCAAGGUCCACCUCCUCCAUCGCCCAGGCGAUACCCUCAUCCACCUCACCUUGCCCUGGAGGAGUUUCUCGUGGCAUUCUGCGACGGCUCGCUCUGCCCGUGGCCGAGUCUCUGAGAAUUGAGAUGGACCAGCAAGAACAGUAAGAUGCAAGACAAGCAAAGCAAUGGCCGGUGCCGGCUGCCGGCCGAACGAAACCAAUAAAAACAACACUUACCGGAGAAAGCCUUGUCAAACUCGUAGAAGAGCUUGAGCGCACCGGCCACCUCUUGCUCCGCCUUCCGGAGCUCCUCUCCGAGCCGAGUCACCUCCACACGGAGGACCUCUCCCUCCUCCCUGCUUGCAGCCGACGCCCUUGGCGAAUCCUCCUUCUCUGUCGCUUUCUUCUGGAGCGUCCCGACCAGCAACUCCAACUCAGCCACAUGGCGGCCUUCAACCGCUCCGUCGUCGCCCGAUCGGCCUCGAGAUCCUUCCUCAGUCGCUCGUGAUCGCUCGUGACCUCAUCACAUUUCCCUCAGAUGUCUGCAAGCACGUGGCAGAGCUCCGCCGCCUCGGCCUUGGGGAUGGCCCCCUCUGCAUCAAGGAAGGAAGUUAGCAGGCGGCAUGACAAGGUUAUCAAAAAACAUGAGAAGAUUUGGUGUGGCUGUCGCGCGGCCACGCAGCCGACACGAAUAUUGGGGACUACACCAAAUGGGUGUGCUGGCGUGCACCCACCAUUUUAAAGACAUACAAAAGAAAGAAUAGAUUUGGCCUAGCUGUUGAGCAGUCGCACGGAUGACCCAAAUCUCGGGGACUAUACCCAGUGGAUGUGCUGGUGCGCACCCACCACACGACGUCAUACCUCGGGCCUUCUAAUCCUUCCUGGUUUUGAAGUAGGCGUUCUUGCUGAAGCGACAUAGUGCCACUGCCUCCUUAAAAACGUAUCGCAUUUUACUGUGUUAGCCUAUGAAGGAAUCAACGAAAAAGUUAAGAAUACCAAAGGGAUGAUUUGGCCUGGCUGCCAGGCAGCCGCGCACCCGGCCCGAGUCUCAGGGACUACAUCUAGCGGGUACGUUGGCGCGCCCCCACUAAAAAGCAAAGAAACAAAAAAGGAAAAAAAGAUUUGUGGCACCAACCUAGAUGGCGUGCUCCACGAGCUGGAAGUUGCUCAUUACCGAAUGGCCAAAGGCGUCAAUCCCUUGAUGGUACCGCGCCAUGACCUCUACCGCGCCGUCCGGCACGACAGCCUGCUCCCCAGCCGAUGAGCUUGCCCCAGCCACUCCGUGUACACGAUUCAGCUUCGCCCAGUCCUCCGCCGCCACAGCCAGGGCGGCAUGGUAGCGGGCCUCUCAACCAUCCAUCUGCCACACACCCAUCCAUCCACGCCACCGCCACCACAUCAAGCGUCGUCAGUACCUCUCCACGCCUCCACCAGCACCACACGCAUCCACCAGCAACGCCACACCAGCGCCACCACCUAGCCACCAGCAUCCAUCUCCUGCGCGCCAAAACAGCACCACCCUGUACCACCAUCUCCAUCCAUCCGUCCACCCCGCCACCGCGAGCGUCUCCUACUUCAGUUGCUGCUGCUCUAUCCCUGAUCCAUCAGUCCGUCUCUCAACUUCUGCUGCUGCUCUAUCCUUGAUCCCCAUACCCUGGUGUUGCUUGUCUCCUACUCCUCGCUGCUGCACCUCC